UUCUAACAGGAAUCUGCAUGUGGCAACAGUUGCCAGAUCCACAAUUCCCCAACUUGAAAUACAUAGUUGCACACCGUGAGAUAGUGCUGCAAUCUACUGAGAUCUAACUUAUAUGAUACUUUAAGCUACUAAUGUUUGCAUAUUUCUACAUGUUAAAUUGACACUACCAUCUAUAAUCACUCUAAAACGACAGAUGAUAAGCAGCUUUUGGCUACUUAUUACUAGCAUCCACAAUUAAUUUUUGUUCAGCAAUCAGCUUAUUUUAUAGAAAUUGAUUUAGUCAGCAACAAACACUAUAAUCCUUGAAAUUAGUUCUUGUUCUUUGUAAUUUUCUAUGAUUUUUCAUACAUCAAUUAAUCUGCAGUGCCAAGAUGAGGUUUGGUUUUUCAAACUAAAUAAUCAAGUAGCAAAAAUACAAAUUUAGAGAUUAGGGGGUGAACUAGCUAGGUGGUUUACAAAUAUUCCUAUUUGUAAGGUGAAUUAAUUGAAUCAUGAGAAAACAAUGUGACCAUAGCUCAAUAUGAGAUGAUUUCGGAGAGGCAUAUUGUUUUCAAGUGAAUUUGAUCCAUUAAGAGAUGAAGUGGAUUGAAGUGGAAAGUUUAAAUAACAAAUCCUUGUUCUUGAGUUUUACGACGUUGUUACUCCUUCAGGUGGCAGAUUAUGCAAGUGAAUUCAAAAACACAAUGCAUCAAUCACGGGGAUGCUACACCAAAAGACGGGAUCAUAGUCUAUGCAUUGAACAGUUACAGUUGCUGCUACCAAUUGACUCGGCAAAGAUCAAGAAGACUGAACGGGAAGUUAAUGCCAUCAAUGUCGUCUUCACUAUAGCUGCUGGGAAUGUAGGUGAACUUUCCUCAUUUGCGGCUGUCUAUACAUAGGCUUUUCCCCAGCUUAAGUACAAAUAAAUGAACCUGCUUUGAAGGCUUUAUUAUUGACCACAAUAAGGAUUACUAAUUGAAGAAGACUAUACGGAGUUAAUCCCACACUUUCGUUCUCUCAAUUUCUUUCAGAAGUGCCUCUGAAAAUAGCUGCCAAACCGUUAGUCAGCUUGUUAGACUCUGUUUUCUGGAAACAGAGCCCUAACUAACUGACUGUACAGAGUAAGUCAACAUAGCAUAUUUAAUCGUUUUAAUUGAAUUGUCUUCGUAGCGAUCAUCAACAAACUCAUCAUGAGAUUUUUGAAGCACCCAAGGACUAUCACUGGGUUUCUCUUCUGGUUGAUUAAUUAAUUAAUCAAAGAACGGUUGGAUACCCAAGGACAAUUAAAAUUAUUCGACUUCUGGAACUGGGAAUGAAGUGCAAUGAUGGAGCAAAAUUUACAAUGUCUCCGGUUUCUCCUACCAUCGGACUUUUGCAGUGAGAACAUAUAACAAAAAGGCCUUCAUCAAAAUUUGUAGACUCCGGGUAUGGAUUGGAUCGAUUUUUUUGUUUGAUAUUGAAGAACCUCUUUACUAUCGCGAUAUAGAUUAUGUGCAAGGAGUUGUCUACUGUUCUUUGCCUUGUGCUAUGAUCGGUGCUCUUGAGGCUGCCCUGAAACACAGGAAAAUACUUCGAUAUCCUCCGUUCGAUGAUGCAAAGAACCGGUUAAUGUAUGAUUACCUAAUUGACUCAGGAUCAGGUAACAACAACAACAAUUUAUUAAUAUCACAAACGAAGAAGAUCGCGGAGAGGGAGAUGUAUGCCUAUACUGUUUACAGGUUUGAUCCAUUGGGGAUGAAGUGGUCUCAAGUCGAAAGUGAUUUAUUAAACAACAAAUCAUUGUUCUUGGGUUAUACCUCAUGAUGUCAUCAAGUGGAAGAUUAAGAUUAUGCAAGACGAAGAUCGUUUGAUAUUGAAGAAUUUGAACAGAAAGCCCAUAGAAAGUACUUAAAAAAGCAUAUUCUUGUUGGGGUAGAAUAUUGAGAAAGGAGUUGUCUACUGUGUGUUGCGUGAUUAUGCUAUGAUCUGUGCUUUGAACAUUGCCCUGAAAACAGUGGAAAAUACUUCAUAUCCUCGACAUGAUGAUAAAAAAUUGGUUACCGAUUACGUAACUGACUCAGGUGACAACAAUCCAUUAAUAGCACAAUUUGAGGUGAUGCCGUUUAGGUAUAUGGUUAACAGGUUUGAUUCAUCAAUGAUGAAGUGGGCUUAAAUUAAAAGAUCAUAUAAUAAGUCGUUCUUCUUGGGCAUAUCGUCAUUACUACUUCAAGUGAUCAAAGAUGAAGAUGAAGAUGAAAAUUGUGCAAGUGAGUUCAAGAAUACCAUACAUCGUUACUUGGGAUACUUCUUCAAAUAUGGAUGGGGUCAUAAUUUACUCCCACGAAUUUCAACCCAAUUUUAUGAUUGGAGUGUCCCACCAUGACUCAGAAAAAUUUUGAUUCAACCUCCUCCACCAAUGGAUUUUGAAUAGUCACUUUGUGAUCAAGCAACUUAAUUAAACUCAGAGAGUCAGAGUUCGAUUUUGCUGGCACCGCAUUUUCUUUAAAAUGUGGCCAUGUAAGGAGAGCGGCACAUAAUGUCACUUCCUUAUCAAGCACUUUAAAGAGGGAUUUUAGAAGAAGAUACAACUGCAAUUGUUUUCGUAUGUAUAUAUAUAAACAACAGCACACAUUCAGUUCAUAAAAGAAAUUUUUGCUAACCAUGAUAUGUGGUAGUGCUUUUUAGGCAAUUUAGAAACAGAGUUGUUCAACUUACAGCAGGUAUUCUCCUCAAGUUCGACGUAAAUACAAAUAUUAAUUAGAAUCCAUAUUAUAAUGACACACAUAACUUGCUUCAAAAUUAUCAGAAAUUAAAAUUGCUGAUUCAUAAUGCAGAUAACUUGGAUGAAUUGAUGUUAAAGGAAAAAUCACACGCAUAACUUGGAGAGCAAUUGCGACAGCAGCCAAGUAUAUAUUUUUAUUUGAGAGUUGAGAAGAAUAUAUUUAAUGAAGCUUGAUAACAUUUGAUGGGAUAGCAAGUAAGGGUAAAUAAGAUAUUUUUAUUUGUUAUUUAUUUGAAUUAUAUCUAUUUUGUUCAAGUUAAAAUACUAAAUAUAAAUUGGAGGUAGACAUUUUAACAGAUCAUCUAAGCUCUCAAAUCUGAAAUUUUGUGUAGAUUUAAAUUCAUAAUUUUAGUUAAUUUUCAUUCAUUCAUAUAAACAAAUUUAUGAGAUUUUUCUUUUCAGCAUGUUAUAUUUUGAAACUUUCAAUGUAUUAUUCUAGCUUUAUUUAAACAAUUAAUUUAUUUAAUUUUGAAUUUGAUCAGUAGUAAAAUUAUUUUUAUAUCAAAUUUUUUUUAUUUAAAUAGUUCGUGGAUUGGACAAAAUUAAAAAAUUUUAAUCUACAAAAUGGUGGAUUAGAUAUGAAUUGGGUUAAAUCCACAUUCGAUUUGCAGUCGUAUGAAUUUGAUUUGGAUUGAAUUUCAUCAAUCCAUGGAUUAGAUUGGAUUGAAAAUUUAUUAUCCGCAAAAUCGUGGAUCGAAUAUGGACUGAUGUCCAAUCAGCAAAAUCCGAUCCCCGAACACGCCUCUAUCAAAAUUUUCAAGAAUAUGUUUUAUCUUACAAAUUUUUUUUUAAAGUCAUAAUCUAAUGGCAGCCCAAUUUUAUAAAGUCACACACAACCAUUCUUAUUAAAUUAGAAAGAUCAAACACUGCACUGGAUCUUGAACAGAUCAACACAAGUUGCACAACUUGCGAUUGAAUCCGGCCUGAAACAAUCAACUCUUUAGCAAGAACAAUUAAUCAGAGUCAAGAAACAAGUUUAAUGAAUAUAAACCUAUAAUUGAAACAAACAUAGCAAAGAAAAAAAAUACAGAUUUUACACGGUUCAGUUGUACCUAGGAUGGCACAACCUACACCACGAGAGAAGCUUUCUGGUGAGAUUUUAUUGAUGAUCAAAGAAGAAUCUUUUGACAAAGCUAAUAAUAGAGAUUUCAGAGAAUAAGCUAUAACCUCUCUCCCUCUUCAAUCUCUCUCUAUUUUGUUCCCAUUGAUGACCCCAAUCUGCUUAGUUAGCCAGCUUUAUAGCUGCAUCAGUAACAAACCAGCAAACCCAGAUUGAGCAGAUUGACGACACGUGGAUAACGGCUUUAACGAACCUGGUUAAGAACUGCUCACAUGUUCGUCACGCGUACUGCUUAAAUGAUGGCCAAAACGACUUCAAACAAAUGUCGUUUUGAGGCUUAUGAAUUACAAGUGAUAACACGAGAUUGUCUCAUGACUUUUAAAUGCAACAACGUGCCCAAAACGCUGUCGUUUUACUCUGUUGAGUUUGAUUCAUUACUAAGCUUUACGACUGGCAAUGGAGAAGAUGAUAAUUUAAUUGAUAUGGACAGUUUUUAUAUCACUUUUACAAAAUCCUAUGCAAUUGUAAUAUUGGGAAUUAUUGAUGUUUUAUAUGUGAAUCCUCAUUGGCAAAAACUAGUGGUUUUAUCUUUGUUGAAAUGUAGAUUACCUCUCGUUACUAUUUUAUUAUAAACAUAUAGUUUCGUAAGUGAAACUAUAUAUUUAUAAUAAAAUUAACAUAUAGUUUCGUUACAUUUCUGCCUCAUUAAGAUUCUCAAAUACCAGUCAGGUUUGCUUAAGAAAUAAAAUUUUUCCAUUAAAAUUGCAGUAGUAUUUCCAAGCAUAUCGCAUUUUCUAUGAUUUUUCAUAAAUUAAUUAAUCUGCGGUGCCAAUAUCAGAUUUAGUUUUUCAAACUAAAUAAUCAAGAAAGCAAACAUACAAAUAUACAGUUUAGAGGGGUAAACUAGGUAGGUGGUUUAGAUUUUAGAACUAAGCCAGCUACCUCACUAAAUUCCGAUUCGUACAGUGAACUGCAAGAAAUUGAGAAAACAAUGUAUUUAUAAUUUAAUAGAAUCAUAAGAAAACAAUGUAGUCAUUGCUCAAUAUAAGAUGAUUUCGGAGAGGCACAUUGUUUUCAAGUUAAUUUGAACCGUUUAUAAGAGAUGAAGUGGAAUGAAGUUGAAAGUUUAAAUAACAAAUCCUUGUUCUUGAGUUUUACGACGUCGUUACUCCUUCAAGUGGCAGAUUAUGCAAGUGAAUGCAGAAACACAAUGCAUCAUCCGCGGGGAUGAUACAUCAAAAGGCGGGGUUUGUUUAUGCCUGCAGAUUAGCAAUUUCACUCAUAUCGAAAAUUAAUUUUUUAUAUAUACUAAUCAACACUAAAUUGAUUAUGUGUUGUAUGUUUAUAUGCUAAUCAACACGAAAUUAUAUUGAAUUAUUAACAUUCAUAUUCCUAAUAAAAAUUAUUUUCCAUCAGUAUUCAAAAUUUUCACUUAUAGAAAAUGCGUUUUACGUGAAUACUAGUUAUUGUGUAAAUUUGAAUGAUAGCGAAAAAUAAACCUAUUUGAAAACUGUAAGGGUGUGUUGGGAUAUUUUACAACUGUCGGAAUCUGGUAGGAUAUUGCACCAUUUGCCCAAUAUUUUUAGACGUACUCCAACCGGUAUUCAAGAUAAGUAAAAUUUACAAGCGUGGCAAAAUAAAAAAAAUUAAAUUCGUAAUUUGUAAACGAAUUUUCCUGACAUGUAUAGUAGAUGAAGUUGUUGACCCUUUCUUUGGAUUAUUUCAGCUCUGGUUGUUGGUCACCGAUGAGCCGAAGUCUUAUUUUAAUUCUAUUUAAACUCAUCAUAAGAUUCGUGGAGCACCUAACUAACUUAACUGACUGUGCAGAGCAUCUCAACAUGGCAAAUUUAACCAUCAUUCAAGUGAUGGGUUUAAUAAGACUGCUUUUGUUCUACCAAGUUCCUCCGCCUCUAAGCAGAAUUACUAUUGAAGGGCCAAAUGGAAAAUGAAAACGUGUGAACAACAACAACCACCCCACAAAUUCAAUGACGAUGCUCGGAGAGGGUUAGGUUGGGCCUCUGAGAAAAAAAAAAAUUAUUUAGUUAAAAAGUUACCCUUAUUGAAACCUGUAUAAAAAUUUUAUAUUAAUUAGUUAUGUUGCCUCUUCAACUAUGAUCAAAUUUUUAUCUGAGCUCAUCAUUUAAUGAGUAAACAUGUAUUUUAAUGAUCUCAAUUAAUAUUUAGAACAAAUAUUUUAAGAAGUAAAGCUCAUUAUAUCCCCCAUUAUUAUGUAUCUCUGUAAUGUAUUGAAUUAGAAGAAAAAAAAAAUUCAACUCACUCAAAAAAAAAAAAAUGCUGGUAGCUUCGUAAUAAUUACUGUCUUGACUGCACCAGAUAAAGUUUUGUAAAAGAAUUCUGAUAUUUACCCCGGGUCAAACCCCGAAAAUAACUUAAACGGUGUCGUUUUGAUUUUUUUUUUUUUUAUACUCCAAAACGUUCUUACCAUUUCCGUUUCACUUACCAUUUAAUGCUCACAACUCAAAUAAAAAGCCCAGAAACUAGAAUCAAACUUUACAGAAACUAGAAUGCCCAGAAACGUUGUAUAGCAGGAACGUAUGUAAAGAGAGUAAACAAGAGGGAUUAAACAGAACAUACGUUUUCUUCACUUAUUAUUAGCAACAAACACCCUACACAACACACAUUUAAUGCUCACAACUCAAAUAAAAAGCCCAGAAACUAGAAUCAAACUUUACAGAAACUAGAAUCAAACAAUACACAUUUCAUUUCUUCAAGGUUAGGGAGAGACUCAGGGGAGUGAUUAAUUAACAAAAAUAAGAAUAAUAAUACCAACAUUUGUACAGGUCAAAUAAGAAUAAUAAUACUCAACCUAAUACCCAGUAUAUACAAACAAAUGCCCAGGCCAUCGUUCCUAUUUUGCCAUAACCUAAAGAGGAAAAAGCGAAGCACUACCUCAGGCUGUGAACUUUGCCGCUUCGUGAGUUUAAUUUCCCGAACAAGUUUCGGCUACCAGCGUUACCAGUGUUGACGGUGACCGUGGCUGUCAGCGUUGACGGUGACCGUUGGUGGAUCCCGAAUGCCUGGACCUUGGUCGAGGAAGGAAAGUAACGAAUUUUUUGAACAAACGAAGAAACGAAGCACCGAAGAGAUUUACGGUCAAACGGAACAAGACCAACUUGCUCUUCUAUCUAUGGCUUUCCCAGUUGAAACGAAGAAACGAAGAGGAAGAGGUUUAAUUCUUCUCAAAAUCGUCCAUCAGAAACGGCAACGUUUUGGAGUAUAAAAAAAGAAAAAAAAAUCAAAACGACGCCGUUUAAGUUAUUUUUCGAGUUUGACCCAGGACAAACAUCAUUUUCCUUUGUAAAAUAAUAAGUUCUCAUUAGUGGUUUUUAAUUUUUAAUUUUUUUUUCGGCACACCUGAUCAAGAAUUCUAUUUUGUUAACUAAUAAAUUGCAAAGCAUAAGUGUUGAACGGUACAAAAAAAUUUGAAAAAAAAACACUUAAAACGUAGGGAAAUGAGAAAUAUAGAAAGAAAGGAAGAAAGUUAAGACAUGAAACUGAUCUGCCGUGAAAUUGAUAAUCAUGUUUCUAUUUCGUUAACUAAUCAAACGGAAAACUGGAACUGUAAACAAACAUUAACACGUGUGGACUCUGCUAGCUGCCCUACAAGUCUACAAUAAUAAUUGAGUACCUUUGAUUCAUCCUUCUAUGAAUUUCUAGCUGUAUUGACCCCAACUGCUAAAGUUUUGUAAAAUUAAAAAAAAAAAAAAAAAAAAAAACUGGAAUUUCAACAAAAUUCAAAACGUGAGAAAUUUAAUUUUUGGCCAUGUGGAACAAAAUGUAAAUUACGGAAAAAGUAUAAAUCUCAAUUGCUUAGUAUGGUUAGGUUUUGUGAGCAUCACUAGAAAGUGAAAACUAUGAAUGAUAGGGGUGAUGUUUGCAACAUGAAUAAACGAUGAACUGAUUCAAUUGAUGAUCGUAAUUAUAUAAUGAGCAAAAUUUACAAAAUCAACAAAAGUUAAUAAAAAUUUAUUUUAAUAAUAAAACUUAUUAUUUAACGGCGCUCUAACCAUGGAGUACCAUAAUCAUAUUCUUCUUUUAAGAAAAUUAUAACUUAUUUCAAAUAGCACCAUAACAUAAUUCUAGAUAUUUAAAAGAAAAGCAUUAUUCACCUGAAAUGACUUGGAAGUCUAAAGAAAAAGAGGGAGUGGCUCCCCACAAUUUUCUUGUUUUCAGUAUAUUUUCUUUUUAAAAUCUUUUGACUCAUACAUAAUCUACCCUCGUUCAUUAUCUCUAUUUUGCUCUGUUCAAGUCCCUUUUUUUUCAAAUCUUAGUUUAAAUAAGAAAAUUGAAUAAAAGUACAUUUGUGUAAUUAAUUAGUAUCUGCGGGGGAUAUUUGGUGUAAUGUUUUGCUAUGUAAGACUCAGCUAUUAUUAAAUAGUUCCUUAACCUGUUUCGCAGUUUAUUUGCUAUCUUUGUGGAUCUCAUAGGCGUUGCAGAAUUUAAUAAUUUUAUUCGUCAGAAGAAUAGGAUAUUGGCUUCAAUAAAUUUAAUUUAAACCAACUUUUAUUUACUCCAUCAAUUAAUUAAUGCCAUUUGGUUUUGAAAAAUUCAAUAAUUAAAUUCUCACGUUUCAUGUGUUUGAAGUUAAAUUAUUCAUGGGUAAUUAUCACAAACCUCCCCUGAAGUUUGAUGUAUUAUCAAUUUGAUAGAUUGUAUUCGCGUAUUCUCAGCCACCUCCCCUUAAGUUAGUACACCGUUUAGUAUAAGUUUAGUGAGUGAGGGCAAGAUAGUAAUAGAACUCGUUAAUAAUAAAAAAUUCAAACAAACUUAAAAAUAUCAAAUUGGAUUCUGAAAUUGAUUUGAAUUUUGUUAAUAUUCCAAUGGGUAAAAACAAAAACAUGAUUUUAACCAACAGACAAUAUUAUAACAAAAAAAUGAGAAAGGAAAAUGGCAUCUUCUUGCUCCAUUCAGACAAGAGCUAACAAGAACAACGCCCCUUUCAUCUCUACUAUACUUUAAUAGAAAAAGGGUGCCACGAUCGGGAGACCAUGACGAUGAACUCGAAGACGCCGAUAGCAGGGACGACCGAAUCACGAACGCCAGGUGGAAGAAUGUUGACCAGUGAGUUUCCAUGUUGACCCACAGACAACCUCAGUUUGUUCGAGCCGCGAAUGAGGUAUGAAAAUGCUUAUUACUGUGCAUGUCAGUUUUAUUAGAUGGAAUUAAUCAAUUUGGUAAAAAUGAGUAAUGGGUCUCGACAAUUUUUUGAGAGUAUCUAUGUUGCUUCCAUUGUUUUCCAUCGAUUGGGUUAGUUGUAGGUUAAUGAUUGUUGUAAAUGCAUGUUCACCUGAUUUUGAUUGAAGAUGGCUUCAGCUACAUUAUGCUGCCUUGUGAAUGAUUGAAGAUGGGUAUGAAAAUUUUUUAAUUGUUUAAGCUAUUGCCACUGAUUGUUUGGAUUCAUGCUAGUUUUUAUUAAAUUACAGAUGUAAUUAAGUGUUGGAGAUUCCUUGUGCCGCAAUAUUAAUAUUUUGAGGAUACUUGAUUUUGUUUUUUUUUCUUUUUAUCACGAUAUGUACAUGUCUUGGUUGAAAAAAUGUCAUGAUUUGCUGCAUUCUCUCACACUGGAGCAGUGAGUUUAGUGGUUUUAAUUCUUUUCUUCUCUUUGACUAUGGCUCUACUUCACUGCAUUCAGAUGUCUUUAUUUGUCCAGCGUCAAAUGAUAAAGGAACAUAGUCUCCUUUUGAUUUCAGUUUGUCUUUCUGUUUUGCAGCCAAGAGGUUCUAACUACCAUCGAGAGUGAAAGGCUCUCCAAGUCAAGGCACAUAGCUCCUGCUGCUCUUGUUACUUUCCCUGAAGAUUUUGAUAAUGGGCUGGUGAUUAUUUAGUUUGGUUUCAAAUUAUGUUCUCGACAUUGUAUUUUGAAAUAUUUGGUUGGUGAGAUAAAGUUUAUUAUUAUAUCUCUAAUAUGUGAGAUGGGAUAUUUCAAGAUGGUAUUUUGGUUACAAUGUUUUAUUUGGUAUUUACAAUGUAAUCACAGCUCUUGGCGCUAAAACGGAUAUGACUAGCCAACAAUUCUUUGAUUUGUGUGAACGAAGUAUUUUUUUUCAACACAAGGGUAUUUUGGUCAUUUUGUCAAGUAACAAACAGUCAACUAAAUGGUAUACUAACGUUAGGGGAGGUGGCUGAGAAUACACAAAUACAAUCUAUCAAACUGAGAAUACGCUAAACCUCAAGGGAGGUUUCUGAUAAUUACCCAAUUAUUCAUUAACUAGAACUCUGUUCAAAAUUGACUGUCUUGUGGUUCCCAAAUGUAGUUGUAAUAUUGAAUGAAGGUAAAAACUUUCUAUGCGAGUUUAAAUCUAAAUCUGGACAAUGAAUUUUGACUUUCUCAAUGCUAUCCUAAUUACAAAAAUUAUAUUAAUUGAUUUAUUGUUACAGUUACUAGCCUUUUAAAAUGGAUGAAUUUAUUGUUUCCGUGACCAAAUUAUGCCUGCCUAACGGUGCAACUAUUAAAAAAACUAAUAUUUAAUGCAUAUGUUAAAAGAUUUAAAAUUUUAUGCAUUUAUUAAUUGUUAUAAUCUAAAAAAAAAUAAUUAAUUCAGGUCAAUCUGAGUUGGUGCAUCUGCAGGAGCCUUUUUUUUAAAUUUUUUUCCCCUUAUUGACCAUAAUGACAUCUCCUUCAACAUGACUAUUGACUAGGAGCAUGUAAAAACAUGGAAACAGAAUUUCCACAAAAAUGUCAAACGUGUGGAACUUAAUUUUUGGCCAUGGGGAACAAAUGCAAAUGAAAGAAAAAGGAAAAGACGCCUCUAAGAUUUGUUUCAAUGGUUUACAUUGACUCUUUAAUUUAAUUUAUAGUAACACAAUUUUUUUUUGUACAAAUAUAUAUUAUUCAUGUUUUGUAUUAUUUUUUAACAUCAUAUUUUUAUUUAUUAUAAAUAUUUAAAAUUAAUUUUUAGGUUGAUAUUUAAUAAAAGGGUAUAAUCGUUCUAUCCAUUUCUCAUCUCGCGAUCUCUCUCAAUUAUCCUUUAUUGAUAUCUCAAAGCGCGUUGCUGUGGAAAAUUGUAGCAAAAUGAAAAAUUGGAAAGAAAGGGAAGAAAAUUAUUGCUUGGAGAAAACAACCAAAUAAGUCAACUGGUCUUUAGUGAGAACAUAUCAUUUGUUUUGAUAUUGAAGGACCUACUUCUCUGCCGCGAUGUAGAAUAUGUGAAAGGAGUUGUCUACUGCUCUUUAGGUCAUAAUAAUGUGAUUGGUGCAUUCAACGUUGCCCCGAAACACUGGAAAGUACUUCCAUAUCCUCCGAAUGAGAACUGAUUUAUAUAUGAUUUCCUAAUUGACUCAGGAUCAGAUGACAACAACAACUUAUUAAUAGUUAUAUCAAAACGGCAGAAGACGUGUUUUGUUUACAGGUUGAUCCAUUUGGAAUGACGUGGUCUCAAGUCGAAAGUAAUUUAUUGCAUGCCUGUCGUCUAAAGCAUUACCUCACAAGGUUAUAUCAAAGGGUGUUUUACCUCAUCACGUCUUCAAGUAGAGGAUGAAGUCAGCCACUCGGCCUUUGGCCGAGUGGUGAGAGCUGCUCUCCAAUUUGGAGAGCAGCAGUUCGAACCCCCACAAUGUAUUGUGGGGGUCUUCCUUUCUUCAAUUAAAUUUGAGUGAAGGCAGUCUGUUUUUUUACCCAAGUGUGAGUAGCAGACAUCCCUUGAAAGUGUGAGUAGCAGACAUCCCUUGAAAGGAAUGAAGUUAUAGUCUGAUUUGUAAAUAUCAGUUAUAUUCUCAUGUAAUAUGAGUUGUAGUUUGAGCAAUAGUCUCAUGUAAUCAAAAAAAAAAAAAAAAAAAGUAGAGGAUGAAGUCUAUGCAAGUGAAUUCAGGAAUAUUGCAUGCCUGUCGUCUAAAGCAUUACCUCACAAGGUUUUAUGAGAGACGAAAGAUGUGUUUGCUUUGAACAAUUAAAGUUACUGCUACGGACCUCCCCAAAGGUCAAGAAGACAGAACAGGAAGCUAAUGCCAUCAAUGUCUUGUUCAUUAUAGCUGCUGGGUAGUUAGGUGUAGUUUCCUCAUUUGAAGCUGUCUAUACAUAGGCAUUUCCCCUGCUUAUGUACAAAUAAAUGAACAACCUUGAAGCUUUAUUAUUCGCAACAAAAAGGGAUUACUAAUUGGAGAAGACUAUACAGAGUUUCUCUCACACUUUCUCUCUGUCAAUUUCAUCCAGAAGGUCCCUCUGAAAGCUUCUCCCAAAACAGUUAGUCAUCUUUUAUGCUCUGUUUUCUGAAAGCAGAGUCCUAACUAAAUUAAUUGACUGUACAGUGCAUUUCAACAUAGCAUAUUUAACCGUUUUAACAGUUAUUUGGACCGUCUUCAGAGCUAACAUCAACAAACUCAUUCAUAUGCUUAAUAAUGAACGAAUAGUCUUGGAUCGAUGUUUUGCAGCAAGAGCAACUCGACACAAUCUGGAUUCAACCUCCUCCUUUCUAACAGGGGAUUUCGAUUUGAGUUACUUUGUGCUCAAGCAAAUUCACAUCAUAGUUUUGAUUCUUUAGAUAUGAAUUCAUCACAUUACAUGUAUCAGAUUAAGUGUAACAAAAUUUGUAAUUUACUGCGAAAGAAUAUGCACUAAAAAAUGAUUUCAAGACUAUUUGACUAUAAAAAGCAGCUGUCAGAGUGCACUAAAAAUUUCUGUAGGAUAUUUUGUAGCUGUUUAAUAUGUUAUGAUGGGCAUAUAAUUCUCAAAUUUUGAUGCCUCUCAGUGAAAAAUAUAUCAAAGUUUAGAUUAUGUGUUCGAGCUUUAAUAAAUGGUCGGAAAAAAAGCUGCUGUCAGAGUGCACUGAGUUAAUAAUAAUAACAACAAUAAUAAUAAACUAAAAAGCAGAAUUAAUUACUAUUGAAUGGUCGGAAAAAAAAUUGAAAACGUGUGAACUCCAAUAAUCACCCCACAAAUUCAGUGGCGAAUUUUGGCGAGGGCAAGGCCGGGCUUCUCAGAAAAAAAAUUAUUUAGUUACAAAAUUAUCUUUAUUGAAACCUAUAUAAAUUUUUUUUAUAUUAAUUAGUUAUGUUAUCUCUUCAAUUUGGUGAAUAAAUGUGUGUCUAAAUAAUUUCAAAUAACAUUUAGAACAAAUGUUUUGAGAGGUAAAGCUUAUUUUGUCUCGCAUUAUUAGGUGCAUCUAUAAUUUCUUAUUUACAAAAUUAUAUUGUACGAUAAAAAUGUAUUGAAUUAGGGGGAAAAAAGGUCAGCUCACUCAAAAACAACAAAUGGUAUUAGCUUCGCCACUGCACAAAUCUAGAAUAAUAAUGAUUCCUUAUCAUGCUGGGGGAUCCUUUACUUUCUAGCCGUAUUGACUGCACCAGGUAAAGCUUUGUAAAAUAAUAAGUUACUCAUUAGUGGUUUUUAAUCUUUUUAAUUCUUUUUACCGCACACCUGAUCGAGAAUUUUAUUUUGUUAACUAAUCAAUUGCAACGCAUAUACCGCACACAAGAUUGGAAAAAAAAAUCUUAAAAAACGUGCGGAUUCGGUAGCCACACCAGAAAUCUAUUACAAUAAUUCCUGGCCGUAUUGAAGUUUUUAAAAUAACAAGUUCCCCUUCUUGUUUUUUUUUUUUAAAUAUAUAAGCUUAUAACAAUUUUAGAAUAAUGACUCAUUUGUAGAAGAAUUUAUGAUUUCAUAUUAAUAUUAAUAUUGAAGUGGGGUGGGUCAAAUCUCAAUUGCUUGAAGAAUUUAUUUAUUAUUAUUAAUAUUAUUAAUAUUGAAGUGGGGUGGGUAACGGAUAAGCGGUUCACUCAGUUCGUGGCGAAUUAAAUAUUACCAUCCAAGGUAGAAUUGUGGAAAAUUAAAGCAAAAUGACAAGUAUGGAAAGGAAGGCUGAAAGUAAGGCAUGACGAAAGGCUUUGAGAAGGCUGAAGACUACCAAAGAAGACAACUGAAAGAGAGAAUGUGUGUUUUUUAAUAGUUAGAGAUAUAGCUAGAGUGGGUGGCUCAAAAUCCAAAAUGGUGACAAUGUUAGUUCUCGUAUUGGUAAUCUUGGGGGGGGGGGGGGGGGGGGGAACUCAGGGGAGGUCGAGUGAGGGAUGUUUGGAGCAUGAGAAAUUUGAUCUUUUGCGGCUUAAACAUUUCUUCAAUUCCCCUUAUACACUUCAAAACUGGGUAGGUGAACAAAGGGAAAGGGUUGAGUGCAGCAACUCCACAGGCCGCGUGGUACAACUACACCUUGGUCUUACUAUAUCGAUCUGGGAGAGUGGUAUCUGAAUGCUUCUAUAUUUACUUCCUUUCAACAACUUGGUAACAAAAUAGCCGGCUGCAUGCGUUGAGAAUGAAGGUCCUUCAUUUAAUUUAAUUUACUUAAUUUCUCCCUCCUAAUUAAUGUCUAUAACCAUUAGGAGGAACAAGGGAUUUUAUUAACUCAAAUAUAUCUAAUGGAGCUCAUUCUUUGGUUUUACUUGCAGGUCUAGAAGUAGGUGUCAUCUAACAGCUGCUUUAAUAAUUUCCCACCCCUUCAUCUUUGAUGGAAAGAUGAAAUAAAAACAAAAUGGUGAAAAUGGUAUUGGUACCUGAGGCUAUGUAAUCUAAUUCAAAAACUGCACCAUCAAAACGAUUACAUAAGUCUCAGAAGAAUCAAACAUCAGUUUGCAAAAUAUCAAUUGCUGGAGGUUUGAUUCUAACUUCCGCUCUUCAUUUUUAUGGGCAUGUUGUGUUGUACUUGCAUCAGAAAAUCAUAUUUUAGUUUAUUUACACUCAACGCUUGGAUUAAAGUUUUAGAGGGGGGGAUUGAAGAAGACUAGAAUGACACAAAAGAAAGAGUUGAGCGAGUGCCGCUUUUGUCGUCAUUUAAGGAGCUCUUUAUAAAUUUUAGGAUUUUUUUCCUGAGAAAAUUUAUGCCAACUCAUUCUUUGCUUCUUUUCUGAAGGGAUAGAUGCAACCGAAACUAUAUUCUUGAAUUAUCCAGGAUAAGAGACAUACGUUUAGAUUCUCGAGCCUUUAAAACAAUAUCAAAUUUUAGAUUGCCGAAAUUUUAUAUUGCCGAGUAUGAUGGUGUUCCAAUUAUAAGCUCCAGGGUGCAACUUCACUGAGGUUUAGAAUGCCUUCCUAUAGAAUUGAGAAAUCUCCAUUGGCAUAAAUAUCUUUUGAAAAUACUGCCAUCAGAUUUUGAAUUGGAGAACCUGAUUAAACUCAGCUUGCCUUCUAGUAAGGUUAAGCAAAUUUGGAAAAGAGAAAAGGUAUAAUGUAUUACUAUUACCAAAGUAUCUAUUUUUCUUUCUUUAAGUAUUUAUAAUGAAUAACUUUGAAAUUCAAUGAUGGUCAUUUAAUAUAGUUAUGUAUCUUUCAUUAUAGGAUGCUCUCAAGUUAAAAUUUAUAGACCUUCUCCCCCUGUAUCUUGAUAGGAUCCCAGAAAUCCUAAAUCUUAAGAAAAUAAAUCUUUCAAAUUGUGAAAGCAUGCUUACAUUACCCCCGUAUAUCCACAAUUUCAACCAGCUCAGUAUGUUGUGUUUCAUGGGAUGCAAAAUUCAUUUUGUUGCUCAUGAAAGAAUUGACUUGUCCGGAUGUAUUAAUUUUGCAGAUUUUCCACAGAUUAUGGGAAUAUAACAAAGCUAGACUUAAGCGAGACCCCAAUAAAAGAAGUUCCCUCAUCAAUAGAGUGCCUAGCUGAUCUGAAAACGUAGCGUUCGAGUAAGUGCACGAGGCUGAAGAGGCUUUCCAACAAGCAUUUGUAAAUUGAAAUCUCUUCUUGAGUUUUAUCUUUAUAACUACUCAAACCUUGAAUGUUUUCCAGAAAUCAUGGAGAAAAUGGAACGUUGAAAGAUAUAAAUCUAGCAAGGACGGCCAAUUACAGAGCUACAAUCGUGAUGGUCUUCUGGAUAACAUUAGCAAUUUAAAAUCUUUGAGGUACAUCUCGGCUAAUGGAUCGGCCAUUAGUCCUCUGUCGGAGAUUUGGCUGUACUUAAAUAUCUAUUGUUUUCUCGAUGCAGAGGUUUUGUAUCAUUGCCUCCAAUAUUAUUUUCAGGUUCAGGUUUAUCGAAUUUCGUACAACUAACUUUAAGAGACUCUGCUGUAGUGGAAAUUCCCCAAAACAUUGUUUGGCAAUCCUCAUUGAAAAUUUUAAAUCUAAAGGCUUGUUUGUUAACUACUUGAAGUAUGAAACUAAUGAUUUUUUUUAAUUUAUAUUUGAUUUUGAGAUAUUUGUAUCGGAAUUAAAAAAAUGAACUUUUGUGACAUUUAUCUAAAUAAAAAAAAGCUUAAUGAGAAGUAAAUAAUCCCCUUUUUCGUUUUGACUUACAAAAACAUAAUGUUAACUAACCAUGUUUAAGAUAUUUUUUAUUUAUAAAAACAAAUUAGAUGCUACUUAUAUUUAUUAUCGAAAAUUGAAAAACAAACAUGUUAUUCAUACAUUUAUAUUCAAACUUAUUCAGUCUUCAGCUAAAUACAGAUACAUUUAGAUUUCAGAGAAAAAAAUAAAUACUUCCUAAGUGGGAAUAACUUUGAGAGUUUACUUGCAAAUGUCAAGCAACUUGCAAGGCUAGAAUAUCUUGACUUGAACGGUUGCAAUAUGCUUCAGUCAUUAACAGAGCUUCCAUUGUUUCUAUAUUUUUCAGAAGUAAGGAAUUGCAAGCGCUCCAAUCUUUGCCAGAGCAUAGAUUUCAUGUUUACCAAUUGCCUGAAACUGAAUGAAAACGCAAACAACAGCAGUUUGGCAGAUUCAGAACAAAGGACUCAACAUAUGGCAAAUGCACCACUGAGACUAUUCCAUGAAAAGGUACCCCUACUCACUUUCUCUGUCCAAUCUUUGCAUCUGAUCAUCUGGGAUUCAAAUCCUCUACUCAUCUUGCUACUUGGCCUGCCAUUUUAACAUCCACUGACUGGUCGUUACCAAAAAUCAAAAACAGUAAAAUGAUACAUCUAAACCAUGCAUACAUAACCAAUAAUGUAUAUGUGUUGCAAGACUUUAGAAAGGCAAGAUGAGUAGAGUAUCGGCUUUGGUCUAAAAUUGUGGUUUUUAUAUGACAGCAGAAGCCUCAGGUACAACGUCAUGUCAGCAUUUGUUUACCUGGAAGUGAAAUUGCUGACUGGUUUAGCAAACAAGGUUUUGGAUCUUCAAGAACUAUCCAACUUCCACCACAUUGUUGGAACAGAAACUUAAUCAAAUUUGCUCUUUGUGUUGUUAUUGAACUUGAGGAAGGUUUUGAUGCUAAUGUUGAUGAAUUUUUUGUCCACUGUUUCUGCCAUUUUGAGAUAAGGGAUACUCCCUCUGAAACUAAACAUGAUCACUUUUGCGUUAUGAAAGCCGUAAACGUCCAUUGACUCGGAUCAUAUCAUAUUUGGAUUUCAUCCCUGUUGGAAUGUUGAGUGCAUUUAAGUCCAACCCUGUUACUAUAAAGUUUUUUGCCAACAGUGAAGAGGAAUGCACUCAAAGUGUUCCUCAAAUCUGAAAAAGAUGAAUUGGAACCGACUCCCAAGAGAAUUUAAAGAAAGCAAGUUGGUUUCUCAAGUUCUGAUUUCUUAUCUAAGUCCAACUCUCCAAUUACACUUUCUAUUUAUUUAUCAUUGUGCUUUAUCAUCAUCAAUAUUAAUAUUAAUAAAAUAAAAAGCAGUUGAGAGCCAAAUAAAGCCACUUGAAAAUCACUCAGUCACGCUUUUGGGACAUCAUUCUGCUCAUUACUUUUAAUCUGUAUCUCCGUUGUUUUAUUUGGUAUUUAUUACCAUUAGCAAAUAAAGGGAUUAGUUGAUUAUUGUGAGCUCACUAGAUGGAGCUCACCCUUAAAUGUCGGCUUGUACCAAGGAGGUGCCUUAGGGUUAAUAAACCAACUAAUCCCAUAAUUUAUUGAUGUAGGGUCCUAACAAAUUAUUGCAGUAGGUCAGUACACAGCUCGAAAACGUAUUUGAUCCAUACAUUGAAGAUGAUUCAAUAUUAAGCAUGUCAUAUAAUCUGGAAUAGGAUAUUGGACCAAUUUGAUGAUAAUGACUUUCUUUCAAUCUCAAUCUUUAUCUUCUUCGCAAUAUGACUAGCCAUUGCAAACUCAAACUCUGACAAUGAUUUCUCAAUCGCUUUCUAAGAUAUUGAGCAGGUAUGUAUAUGUAUGUGUGUAUGUGUGUGUGUGUGUGUGUGUGUGUGUGUGUGUGUGUUUGUGUAUAUAUAUAUAUAGAGAGAGAUCACGAGUGUGUGAUUUCCUUUUGCCAAUAAGGUAUGCAGAGACCUUGAUGUUACCCAAUAGCAAAAAAGCUUCCUAAUAAGUGAAGGUAUAGUCUAAAUACUUACACUCUCAUAUUAUUUUGUUCAUCAGCAGUUUGAUUAUUUUAUAUGCAUCUUUGAUUUUAGUUUUCUUUCCCUAUAAUUGCUAUUAUCUUUGAACUGGUCAAGAUUUGCCUAUAAGAUUUCUCAUGUUGAUUUUAGGUGCAAUGGAUUUUGAAUUUAGUGCAGGUGCAGAAGCUCGAAGGCAAAUUAUGAAAAAGGAUAAAGAUCUAUAAUUAGCGGUUAUGGGAUGUCAUAUAUCAUAUGGAUGGUAAUGGGGUCGGAUCACGAGUCCAUUAAUAAUCAUAGAUUGGCUUAUAUAUUUCAAACAAUGUACCAUGAAGUAAUUUCACAAGCACUUGUUAGUCUAUGUUGAGCUUUAUUGAAUCAGUAGUUCACAGUUCAAUACAAUGCAGGUUUACUAUUUGAAGUAAAUGCUUAUGGUGUGCAUUCUUCAUAAAACUAACUACUGAAUUUUUCGUUGAAACUUGCAGAAUGUAACAGAGAGAUGCAGAUAGCAGCCACAAAACACUAAGAUUGAAAAUCAGGACUACUAAAUUCUAUUACAAGCCCUUAGAAUAGACAACGAUCAUCCUCGAAUGUAUAUACUGAAAGUAAGAAAUAUUAAUCGUAAAGUUAUGCAUCAACAGAACUAUUAACUACUUAUCUUUAGCAGAAGAUUUAUAUUUUUAGUUGCAGCUCUCUACUUUGUUCGAAGAAUUAGGCAAAAGUGGCAUAUCUCCAAUCCAAUCAGCAUAUAUACCGCUCAUCUUCUCCAGUUCUUUCCGCUUUGAUUUGCACUCAUACCCUGCACUUGCUGCUUAGAAAUAGUCAUAGUUUGCACAUUGACAGUAGAAAAAGUACUUGAAACAGUCGUUGGCACAGCAUGAGAUUCCAUUGAGUCAUGGUCUCCAAGCUUUCGUAGUUCUGCAAAGAAAAUGACAAAACAUCAUGCUAUUGGCAUUCUACUUUUAACAAUUUUCCACAACCUGAGCUAUUUCAUAUCUCUCUAUAAAUUAUGAUCCAUGAGUGGACCACUGACGGAUGCAAGUUUAUUAUCACUUGUAACUGCUGGUUCAACCUUCAGAUAAGUUUGUGAUAAAGGCAUUUACGAGUACAAUGGCAAAAUUACAUGAACUUAUGUUAUCAAUCAUUGUUUUGCCUUCUCAUGAUAGAAUUCAAUGCAACAUAAAACAUUGAUAUAUUUGUACCUUGCCAUGCCGUGUUGUGAACCUAGAAGCAAUGCAAAGUGGAAGGAACAUAUCAAGCUAUCUACUGUAUAUAACAAAUUCUUACUAGCCCACAAUGCUGUGCCGCCACAUUGAUCAAGUAACACUACUAUUUCAUUUCCAAACUGGCAUAUAUAAUCUAAUGUUGAACAAACCAAAUUGGGAAUCAUCAUUCCUUACAUUAAGCUGACAUUCGUACCUGCUAGUCCAUGGGCAAAGUUGCAUAUAUUUUCAUACAGGCAGCUUCCCCUUAUCUCUCAGUUCCAACAGAGAUUUGGUUUCCCAUCACCAGCCUUUGAUUCAUUCGAUCAUAGAUACUCCGAGUUAGCAAGCCCCUUGUUGUGUUCCCAUUGAACAGACCCACUUCUGUUAUCCACAGAAGAUCCACCACUCAAAAUACUUAUCACUGAGCUAUUCCUAAACUGAGUAGAAACUUUCGCACAUCUCUCCGCAUUUACGUUAAGAAAUCGACACCUAUCCUCAUAUUUGCAAGUUUUCUGAUAAUAGAACGGUCUACAAAGCUGCAUUUCGUUAGGCAAUCUAGUCUCUCCAUUCCUCGCAAAGUGACAUUGAUUCCCGUAUUUGUAAUUGCCUAAUUGGGGUUUUGGCAAUAGCCUGAUCUUAAAAUUAGCACCCAUUACUUUGUUCAAAGCCACUGGCAUCCUCAGAUUAGGAACAACAUUUUCAAAUUUUUUAGCCCUGUUAGUCGAAUCACAUUCAACAGGAUAGUGAGGCAGCAUUUCACCAACAGAUUCAAUUUGACUACUCAUAUUGAUGCACAUAUAAGAAUUUGAAAUCACUUUUUCUUGGAAUAUUUAAUGACCAGACGAAAGUUCUUGAAUGGAAAUUAUUUAAUUUGAUUUGAUUUCCAACAAAUUCAAGAAACCCCAGAUAGUAACUAAACAAAAAUCAAACAAUAAUACGCAAUGGGUUUCUUUCUUUUUGCUUUUGGAGGGCCAUGGAGAUCUGGAGUGGGCUGUAAGUAAAUUAUGCCUUCAUCACUGGAAUGACAAAUUUGUAGAAGAUGAUAUAUGGGGAAGGAUUGAAGUAUUGAACAAAUUAAAUUACGUCCAUUGUGAUGAAUUAAAAAUAAAAUAACAAUUUUAACUUUAUAAUAAAAUUUGAUGUUAUCAUUACAUCUUUUAUUAAAAAAUUAAAUUAAUCAAGAAUGAUAUUAUUUUCUUUUAAUGUUAUCAAACUAAUCAACCUAUAAAAAUUAUAAAUUGUGAAGAAUAAAUACAUACACCACUUAAAAUGAUAUUUAUAUCAAAUUACUAGUUUUUAAGUUUUUCUUUUCAGAUGUUGAAAAAGAAAAAACAAACAUGUCAUUUAGAUAUUUUCAUUCAGACCUAUUCAGAUUUAAACUAAAUACAGACCUAUUCAGAUUUCAAAUAAAAAACAAACACAACCUUAGUAUAGCACAGAGCUUUUUUAGUGUAGCAUUUUAUAAGCAGAUUUUUUUUAAAAAAUUAUUAUUUAUUUGGUUGUUUUGCAUAGGAGAGCGUUUAAAGCUCCAAAAUCUUUGAUCAGUCAAUUUUUUUUUUUUUUGUUAGUAAAACUUUCAACAAAAAUUUAUUAUUCAUUUGAUCGUAUAUGAGAGUUUUUAUUAGUAAGUUAUAUAAAGUUCUUUAAUUUUUUUUUUAUUAGUGCAACUUUGUACAAGUACAAUUUUUAUUUUCUAAAAAAAAUUAAUUCAAUAAUAUUAGGAAUUUCAAUAUUUAAAUCCUAAUAUCAUCUGUCACUCAUUUAUUAAAUGACUAAUUUCAUAACUUAUAAAUUUAUUUAACUAACACCCAAUGAGUGAAUAUUACUAUGAUGAAGACUCAAAUUGAAAUUUAGAUGUUAGGUUGCGUAACGUUGCUCUUAUUUGGUUAUUUAUGAGAGCUUUCUUAUACAAACUUAUUUGUAUACAAAUUGAUAUAGUCUAAAUUCAUUAACUAGAUGAAAAUAUAAAAUAAUAAAAAUAAAUCAUAUGUACUAAGAAUUGUUUAAUUCAUCAAAUUGAAUUAUCCUACUUAUGUUUGUACCAAAUAAAUUUAUAUAAGAAUUUAUAAUUCUAUUUUUAAAUGUCCAACUAAAUUUUUAGUCCUUUAUUCUUUGUAAAAUUCAAAUUCAAAUGGCUCAUCAAAUAAAAUUAAAACUAUUGGCUAAUCAAAUAAAAUUAUUUGAAACCAUUGGGUAUGGUAGCUGGACCUCUUGGAACUAUCUAAGCCAUGAAAUUAACAGCGAAAAGAGUUUUAAAUGUCUAUUUUAUAAAUUUUUUAAUUAUUUUUUUAUUUACCAUUUUACCACCCAUAGUGAAAGUGUCUCAUCGACAGUUGAACAGUCAACAUAUCAGUCCUUAGGAAUUUACGUUUGGGGUAUUUUUGUAAUUAUAAGAAGGUAAACUAAUCGCAAAAUUCAUUUGGCUUGAACUUGCUCGCCUUCGCCCUGUGUAUGGUCGUGGCGUUAUCAAUAUCACCUUCUCCACUCGUACUGACACCAAACCUUAACCGUUCAGAUUCCCUUUCUCGAUUGUCAUACCCUAGGCCCCGUCUACGUGUCUCCGAUAAACAGUGCUCAAUUAAGGCCAUCAGAUUAUCCCGGACCCACAUUGAUCCAACGGCUCACAAUGACCGACAACCUCUAUAUCUCCAUUUCAAGCUCCCUUUUCAACUGGCUUCUGCUUCCGUCGUACUCUUUCUCGGAUUCGGAGUCCGUAUUUGCUCGGCCGGUCCCGCACAGCUCCCUCUCGCUCCAAUUGUCACCCAACAAGACCAAUUGCUUAAUCAAGGCACAGACCAAGAAGAGGAUGAGAAAUUGAAACAAGAAUUUGAGAAUUGGAAAUCGAAAACGUACCCAUUUGUGAUAAGGAAUUUAUGCGAAGUAAGGGAAAGAGAUUGAAGUUUCAGAUGAAUUUGUGUGCUAGCAUUGAUGGGAUCGUUAACAAUUUAUCUGUGCCCUUUAACAAAGUUAAGGCUAAGUCAGCUUCUUAUAUGGCUGCUGAUUUGGUUAGUGUUGGUGAUUCAUGGCUCAGCUUUGCGAUUAAAAAGAGAUUGAUUGAGCCAAUAGCUGGAGCUGAAGAUCAAGAUUGGUUCAAAUGCUUAAGUCACAAAUGGAAGGUAACAUCUUUGUCUUUGACCCGAUAAUUUUUAUUGUCUUACAUUGAAAUUUGGUAAUGUGGUUUGUAGUCAUUUUAUUUAUUUGCUUUUAUUUGCACCAACGAAGUCUCAGGUAUAUCUAUGCAGGAAUGAUACAGGAGAAAUUGAUCCUCGAGGUAAAAUAUGGGCGGCACCAUACAGGUGGGGCACAAUGGUGAUAGCCUACAAGAAAAGUAAAUUUCGAAAGCAUAAUUUGGCUCCAAUUGAGGUAAUAAUUGUCUUUAAAUUUUAUAUGAAACAAAAUCAAGACUGCCUUUCUGUUCAAUAUUUUUGAUGAUAAUAUCUUUAGAAGCAUCGCAUUGACGGGUAAUAAUGGUAUCCCUGAAAGAGUCUAUAAACUCAAUGAUAUUAUCUUCUACACAUGGUUUAUUAAACUUCUUCGUUGUAGUCAAAUGUACACUAAGAACAAUGAGAAGCUAUGCUACUGUAGCAUGUAGUGAUGGCGCUUAAUAAGUGAGUUGCUAGGAUGUGAACUAGAAAAAUUAAAUAUUGUCUCCUUGGGUAUGCUAGCUUGUAAGUCAGGGUUAAUAUUAGAAUUUAAGAUACUAUAACCAUGAGAAGCUAUUGACUGCCAAUUAAAAUAUCCAUUAAAAUGUCUAGGGAGUUAAGAAGGUGGAGGUAUCUUCCGAUUUCUAAGGCCACAUAGUAGACAUCAUCCAGGAUCCAAGGAAGGUGCGGUUAAGCUCCUGCUCGGUGCAAUUAAUAAAUUUGGUCAAUGCCACUGAAACCUGCUAACUGAUGUCACAAUGCACCAUGAGCACUUCAAAAUGGGAUAGACGGUCAGUAGCACUAAAUUUUUCUUGCCUAAGAUUGGGCAAUUGGUCUAACUGCUAACCCCUAUUGUAGGUUGAUCAUUAUUUUUUCAAUUAUGUUCAGUUUGACCCAAAAAGUUACAGAAUCUUGAUCUGAAUAUUGUCACCGAACACCGUCAAUGUUGUUUAGCAUAGCCAACUAACUAAAGUUUGGUAAAACAAACACACAUUGUGUCUCAUGUCUCACAAUUCAAAUUAUCAUCUGUAAUGAUGGAGGAUUUUUCUAAUGUAUGAAGUAUGCUUUGAUACGUGGGUUAGCUUGGAGAAGAUAUCUCAAAAUAAAGAACAUGGGGAGCGAAUGGGAAGAAAACAGUUCAGUAGUUUAUUAUUCUGUAGUCAAGUUUUGUCUCAAAAAUGGUCAAAAUUUAAAUGAAUAAGGACAGCGGAUCUUCAUUCUUUUUCCCUUUUUUAUGCCAAGAUAUCUCUCAACCUUUAUAUAAUCCCCACUGGAUAUCUACUUCUAACAAUUAAAAUAAAAAUUUCACCCACACAAAUAAAUACUGACCAAGCUCUAACAAUAAAAAGUAACAUCUUUAGUCAGGUAACCUCUUUACAGUUCCUCAUCAUCUUAGUGUGAGACUAUCAGUACGUUCCAAAAACAUAAUAAAACUGGUUUGAUCCUGUUUAUUGAUGUUUAAAUGUUGUUCAUUGUGACAUGUAGAAAUGAUGAGGCGAAGUUUCUUUGGUCAUCAAUUGGUAAGAUCUUGUUUGAAGUUGUUUUCUGAAAUGAACUGCCAAAUGGUAAUUUUUUUGGGCAUAUGAUGGCUCCUUUUUCCUCAUUUUAAACAUGUGCCUGCAUGGAACGGGAAGGAUUAGGCUGCAGAGUUGUUAUAUAUUUUGACAUGCAAUGGUUAUUACACAAUUUGUUCACACUGGAAAUUAGAAUGAGAAAUUUGUUGAUGCUGUUUUGAGAGAUCCGCAUUCUAUGCGCAUUAACAUGAUUAAUGAAAACAGAUUAUAGGACUGGAAAGAUCUGUGGCGGCCUGAGCUCGCAGGAAGAAUUUCAAUGGUUAAUUCUCCCCGAGAGGUUAUUGGUUCCGUUUUGAAGUAUAUGGGAGCAUCGUACAAUUCAAACAAUAUUGAUUUGCAAGUUGCUGGUGGGAAGAUUUCUGUUCAGCAGAAUCUGGCAUUAUUGGCAAACCAGGUACUCUUAAAGAAAUGAUAUCUGGUCAUUGCAUGUUAUUGCCUGACAACUGAUUUUGUUUGUAAAGUCUGCUUCUUCAUACAUAUGAACGCAUAUGUUAGUGUUUUCCUCUCCUUUUCAUACAUAUGAAUGCAUUUGUUAGUGUUGUCUUUUCCUUUUCAUACAUAUUAAUACAUAUGUUGGCGUUCUCUCCUGAAGAAAUGGCAAGGGAUGUGAGAUUCUGUCUCAUUAAAUUAACAAAAACCCAAAACAAUGAAAACCCAUAAUAAUGUGGUGUGGGUAAAUUGGCGCCAUUUGGUUCGUUUCCUUAAUGUGAAUACGCGAGCAAUAGAGACUAACAAAAUGAAGUGACAACAAGAAGUCAGUGUCGUCUGAUGGAUGCAUUUUUAGGCAGAAAUAGGUUUGUAAUUGACCAAAUUUGUCUGGCAUGCCAAUUUCAAAAAAAUUAAAUCAUGUGAUUAUUAGCUGUAAUGAAGGGAGACAGUAGGUGCAAUCAGGUGGAUCCAGGAAAGUUCAACAAAGUUCUGGUAUGGCGUAGUGAAAUUGGUUGUCCAACUCAAGAGUCUUUCAGGUGAACGAUGAUGGGUUUUGAUUUAUAAAUGUUAUAAAUCUACUAUGAAUAGUAUUCUAGCAGAAUCAUCUGUAAGUUCUAGUUAUUGAAAUUGUCUACUUUGUCCAGUUUGAAUUAAGGGCAAAUGUAAUAUGAAAAAUAGUUGCCGCAUCUUUUAGGUUACCUAACAUUUGAUCAAUCCUAUUAUGUGGGCUUCAAGAUGUCUAACAAUAUGUAGAAUGCACAUGCUCCUACCCAUUGUUUAUCUUAUACAAUAAUUUGUUUUAGAUGCUAAUAUCUUUGUCGAUCCCGGUAUCAAUAUUACAAUAUCUGCGUUUAUUGGGUUUUACAUAGGUUCGACUGUUUGACAGUACACACUAUCUGAAGGCAUUUGGAAUUGGAGAUGUAUGGGUUGCUGUUGGGUGGAGUAGUGAUGUUCUUCCUGCUGUCAAACGUAUGUCUAAUGUUGCAGUUGUUGUUCCCAAGUCUGGCGCUAGCUUAUGGGCCGAUCUUUGGGUAUACCCAUGCCUGCCUUUCUACUUCGAUAUUCACAUUGUUAUCUCCUUCAUAUUAGUGAUCAGUAAACACGAUAAUGUGACUAAUAAGUUCGUAUCCUCUUUAUAGGCAGGCCCUGCUGCCUCAAGACUUGAAACAAAACAAAUUGGAGGGCGAGUCAGAGGUCCAUCUCCAUUAAUCCAUCAAUGGAUAGAAUUCUGCUUGCAAACAGCGAGAGCAUUGCCUUUCAAGCAAGAGGUUAUCCCGGGCGCAUCUCCCUCUGCCCUUGAGAGUACUCUGGUUAAGUUGCCUGAAGAACUUCUGAAGGGUAAACCAAGUCUGGAUACUAACUUAAUUGUUGGAGUACCCCCGGCUGAAAUUCUGGCCAGAUGUGAGUUUUUGGAGCCAUUAUCUGAAGCUACUUUGUCAGAUUAUGAGUGGCUGGUUGCUAAUCAGCAAAAACCUGCUCCUGUCUUGAUGAAAAGGGUGCAACAUUACUUGUCAUCAUUGAUCCAAAGCUUUCUAGCAAAAGCUACAUUGAAAAGUUAAUGGCACUGCAUGCCAGUGAUUAUAAUGCUUCAGGGCAAUUGGGUCAGGGCAAUUAGGUCAGAGCAUAACUUCAUUAGGAAAAGAGGCUUCAGCUACAUUAAAUAUUACAGGAUGUACUGAGAUGGCUGAAGUUCUUGAGGUUUUAUGAGAAAUGAAAGAUGAGUCUUUGUUUGAACAAAGUUGUUGCCAAUUUUGCAGAGUUCGAGAAGAAAGAUCACGGAGCGAAUGCCACCGAUUUCUUCAUCAUUGUAGCCUCCAUAGUUGAAGUUUCCUCAUUUGAAGCUGUUUAUGCAUUAAGCUUAUUCCCUGCUCAAGUACAGGAAACUGAAGAAUUAACCAGACAUGAUAUGCUGAAAGAGGGAAGUUUUCUUCCUUGAAUGUGGCCUUGUGAUUUGUAGUGAAGUAAUAGGAUGAUCACUAGCAAGAACCCUAUCAAGGUAGAUUUUAUAAUGUCAACAUAUUAUUAAGCAUUUGUCAAUUUAGCACUUUCGCAAUGAUACAUUCAUAGCCUGAAAUUAAUUAUAUGAUCCUGAUUAAUCAAUUAAUCUUCAUGAGAUUUAACCUAGUUAAAACUAAGUACAAUCAUCGUUAACAAAUACUGAAAUUGGGUAAAUAUGAUCUCGACAUUGAAGAAUUUGAAAACACAACCCACGGAGGAAAUUACCUGUUGCAUGGGGAUGGAGAUGGUUACUGCAGGGAUAUAAAAUAUGUGCAAGGUGUUGUCCACUGCUCUUUGGGUUAUGGUGUGACUUGCGAUUUCAAGGUUGCCCUGAAACAAUGGAAAAGAUUAACAUAUCCUCCAAUGAAUGAAAACGGCUUGUCUAAUUCUAAUUACCGAAUUGACUCAGAAUCAGGUGGCAAUAAUAACAGGUCAUUAGCAUUACACAGUCCGAGUACUUUUCCAGGAUCAGAUACAACGUGGUCUAAUGUUGAUAAUAAUAGUUUAUUAAAUGACAAAUCAUUGGUCUUGGGUGUUGGUUAUAUACGUCAUUACUACUUCAAGUAGAAGAUGAAGGUUGUGCAGGUGAUUUCAGAAAUAAAAUACAUUCUGAGAGAUGCUGGUCUACCAUUGCAUGCCCCCAGAUAUAAGAAUUUUUUGAUUGGGGCAUUUGGCAAGAUUCGACAAAUUCUAGAUUCAACCUCCUCCACCAAGGGAUUCCAACUGAGUUAUCAAUUAUCGUAGCAGUUCUAUUAACUAAAAUUAGCAAAUAUAAUAUAAGAAAAAGAACAAUAAAUACACACUGAAGUUGAAUUGAAAAUGAAGUUGCAAGUUGCCGCCCAUAGCUGCUGACUAAUAAUAAAACGAGACAAAUUAAUUAAACUCAGACCUCUUUGUAUAUGUUAUCCUAACUUUACUUACCCUUGUUUGUAAUUUUCACUUAACACUUGAUGCCUAAACCAUUAAAACCAAAUGACCAUAGGGGUAUUUAAAGUAUGUAAAAAUAAACAAAAACACGUAAAAAAAUUCAAACAAUUAAUAAUUACACUCUAAAUGCACCACUCAACUCUUAAUAAUAGCCAUACUCUAAAACAAUCUACAACCUUUGAGGGGAGUAGCUAUGAGGAAAAUCCUUUUCUCAGUGGAUUGCCAUUGCCCAAUAGUUGCAAUGAAAAGAGACCACCUGCAACUGUGCCGGAAGAUUCAACUAGCUCUGAAAAAGAUGAUAAUUUAAUUGAUAUGGACAGUUUCCAUAUCACUUUUAAAUCAUCUUAUGUAAUUGUGAUGUUAGUAAGCAUUAGUGAUCUAUAUGUGAACUAUUAUUGGCGCCAUUGGUGGUUUUAUCUUGUUAAAAUAUGGAUGACUUCCGGUUACUAUUUUGUAGUACACAAUUUUAUUCAAUUAACAUAUACCUUAAAACCAUUAUGUAUGUGCUUUAUUAAGAUUCUCAAGUACCAAUCACGUUUGCUUAAGAAAUAAAAUUUUACCAUUAAAAGCGUAGUAAUAUUUCCAAGCGCUUCGCAUUUAUCUCAACAUUUUGAAGGAAUUUCGAGAAAUACACGGGUCCAAAAGUCUAGUCAUCAUCCUUAUUCUUGGUAUGAGUUGAUUUUUAGUGAUUAUCUAAUUGACUGGGGUGACAACAAUAGCACAACGUAGAAUUCAAUAAUAGAAUUCUCCUGUUUAAUUUGUUUUAAGUUAAAUUAUUAAUUACUUAAAACUCUGUUUUAAGUCUUUAAUUUUAUGUCUUGGCGUAUAUGCAGAGUUGGAAUCUUGAGUGAGUUGGACAUGACCUACAAUGAGAGUGGCAGUAAACAAACAUUAGAACGUGUGGACUCCGGUGGCUGCCCUGCAAGUCUACAACUCUACAAGAAUAAUUUCUAGCCCCGUUGACUCCACUAACUAAAGUUUUUUAAAAUUUAAAAAGGUACAUAGAAUUCAACAACAAGCAAAACGUGUGGAAUUUAGUUUUUUGCCGUGUGGAACAAAAUACAAUUUAGCAAAAAAGGACAAGAAAAAUGGUAAGAUUUCUAAAAUGAGUGGAAGUUGAUCCAUAUUUUACUGAAACGACUUGCCCCGAACAUCACGACGAUUGAUUUUUUUUAUUUAUUUUUUGAAUAACAUCAACUUUCAUAUCUUUCUAACCCCCAGAAUAUGCUCACGUUCUAGUCUAUCUUGCUAAUUUAAAAAAAUAAAAUCAAAUCAACACCAAAACAAUGAAAAGUAAAGCUUUUGAAUUUCAACUCCAGCUAGCAAACGUAUUCAGCGUUUUCAAAUUCUUCCCAUUGCAUAUCUUCUUCCUCCAUCAAUGCAAUAUUUGAACGAUUAUGAAAGAAUUUAAGAACAUAAAAAAUCUCCUAGGUUUAUACGGUGUAACAAAUUUAAAUUCUCAAUUACAAUAGAUAAUAAUUAAACUAAUAAUUUUUUAUGUACUUAUUUUAGUAAUUUCACCUAAGAAUAAUAUUGUAAUUAGAAAAAAAAAAUCUAAUGAGUAGGGUGGUCUUAUACAAAAUCAACUGCAUACAUAUAUGCAGAUGCAGAUAAUAAUUUUUAAUUCCUUUUUUUAAUAAGAAAAUUGUGUAUUGAGAUGAAUAAGAUGUUUAAUUUAAUUAAUUUCCUUACUUUCGUAUACAUUGUCUUUCUAUCUAGAGAAAGCUUGGUGUUCAGAACGACAUGAAGUUGCGAGUUGUCGCCCAUGGCUGCUGAUUAAUAAUAAAACGAGACAAAUUAAUUGAACUCAGGCCCAUAUGUAUAUGUUAUCCUAACUUUACUUGCUCUUGUUUGUUAAUAUUCAUUCUUAGAGAGGUGAAAAAAAUUACAAGUCUUGAAUAACGAGGAGUUUAAUUGCCUCUAACUUUACUUGGCCAGGCCUUCUAUAAUCUCAUUAAUAAUACAGAGAAUUAAUUAUCUUUUUAUUAUUAAACCAUCUUCAGGAAGAUUUUCCUUAAUUUGCUCCAGAAGAGUUGGAGCUGUGGUUCUGAUAAACCAAAGAAUUAGUAGCAAUUAAUAUUAAUAUUUCGCCCAUGGCUGCUGAUUAAUAAUAAAACGAGACAAAUUAAUUAAACUCAGGAGCAUUUAAACCACUUCCUUAUCAAUUGCGGCAGCCGUCUAUUAACUAAAACGCCAAUCUAAUACAAGAAGAAAGAACAUUUACAGACUUGGCAAUUGAGUUCAUUAAGAAGUAGCAUCGCAUUCGGGUGAUGAGUUUCCUUUUGUUAAUGAUUUUAGUCUAAUUUCAAUUGUACUGUGACCGCUUCUCACUCAAGGUAAGUGAAAGUUACAGAUGUGGCAAAAUAAAUAAUUAAAUUAACAAAAUGCUAACUAAUUUUCCUAAAUACCUAGGGUUGUACAAUUUCACCAACCUGGAAGAAUUGACAUUAAUGGACCGGUCUCCUCCCCAUAUAAUUAUAAUCCUUCUAGAAAGCUAGUUUUUAUUAAAUAUUUGCUUUUAAGUUAAUUUCAAUUAAAAAAUGUUUUAAGUUAUAUAUACUCUAAUGAGAUUCUGAAUUCCUUUAUUCCAAUAAUAAUGAAAACGUAUUAAAUUAGAAAUGAAAAAAUUGGUGUUGAUGAUUCAACCUAUUUGGAUAGAUUACGUGAAUAAAAUUGAAAUUUUGAUUUAAUUUUUGUUUAUUGUUAAUUCUCAUGCUAUCUUAAUUUCAAGAAUUUAGAAUGUUAAUUUGGUCAUGGAUUUCAACCCGUGAGUAUCAUAUUCUAGACUUAAUGGUACCAUUCUUUGAUUGAGGGCAAUGACUCUCACUCCUCUUGUAAAAAAAUAUUUUCAACUAUUUUGAUGACUUAAAAAUUGAUAGAUUUAUUGUUGUCAUGACCAAAUUAUUCAUUUUAAUGAAAUAUAAUUAAUGCAUCAAAGUUACCAGGUUUAUGUUCUAUCUUACCUCUGUUUCAUUUUUUUUUUUUCAGUUAUCAGCUAUGCCCCUGAGGCAUUUUGUAGAGUAUAGCUUCUGCUUACCUCUGUUUCAUUUUUUUUAAUAAAAAAACAAGGGAAGGUUUUUCCGAGUCAUCCAUUAUUUGAUUUCCGUCAAUCAAGAAAACGACCAAAUUAAUUUCUCUCCAAAAUUUCCAAAAGCUAGAAAAUUUUGUUAUUUGAAAAUAACAUCAUUAAUUAUAGAGUGGAUCAAACCGCGUUAUUGUCUUUCAUAAAAUUGAUGUCUUUUUAAGAGUCAAUACUUUUGAUGUACGCAAACCAGUCGACAUCAACUUAAACUUCCAUAUUUUUAUUAUUAUGUUAUUUAUUUUAAUCCCCGAUUAUUUGAUUAGCCACUAUAUAUAUAUCAAGAAAGCGACAAAAUUUAUUUCUCAUGACUUCCAAAAACUAGAAAACAACAUCAUUUAUUAUUUUUUUGCAACCCUAAUUGACAUAAACUUUAACUUUAUUAUGUUAUUAUUUCAAUCCCCCAUUAUGACCUUUCUAAUCCUCCAUUAUGCAUCUUUUAUAGUGCAAAUUUAAUUGCACAUCUAAAUAAAUUGAUUAUUGUUACUCCACCACCAAUAUUUCAAGGAAAAUUCUAUGAUGCCGUGAUUAAAAUUACGGUAUUAAUGCCGUAGUUAUUAUGUACCGUUAGAUUAGAUCAACGGCACAUAAUAAUUAUAAUUAUAUAAAUUUUAUUUUUUCAACAGGUUACAACCCGGUUAACAUUUUUUUAUAAGUAAAAGUUAACCGAUUAAAAUUAAAAAUAAUUAUUAUAUUUUUUUAGAAAAUUAUUAUAACUGAUUUAUUUUAAAAUCGCUCAUUCACGUUAAUUAGGGAUUAUGAUAGGACCGAAGUAAAACUUCAGCCGAUUCAUAUUGAGAGGAAAAGAGCAACUGAGUCUUUCUCCACUACCAGUCUUUCUCCACUACCAACUCCACGUCAUCGCCGUUCCGCCGUUUUGUUUCAUCAUGUGUUGGGAAAGGGCAGAGGUUGUUUCCCAGUGGCCAACUCGAAGAAGCUAAAGUUCGUUAAAUUCCAAAACACAUAAUCCUUGCAAACUAGAACGGGCAAAGGCUAUCUUUGAAUUGUGCUUUUUUUUCCUGUUUUUCGAGCCAGACUGCCCACCAAGUUAGCCAAUUCUUGGUACUAAUUUUGUCUUUUAGUAUUGAUUUUUGGGGAAUUCCUUUUUUCACCUUGAUUUUCUUUUGAAUUGUUUUAUAUCUGCUUGAUUUUCUUUCUUUCACUCUUUUGUAUUCUUUGGUUUUCUUCAUCAAAAUUUACUAUUUUCACAUGUUAUCUUGAUUAUUUCCUGCUAAUUAAUUUUGUAUUGUAAAUAAUCUAUUUGUUGGACUUCCAGAGUGAGCAAGUUAAUUUGAUUUAAUUAGGUGCCUAUUAUAAUAGCUUUUCUGGUUUGUUGUAGGCAAUUCUAACUGUAUUCUAAAUAAACUUCCAUAUGAUUAGAUCUUGAUAAAUGCAAAGGAUAACAAUGUUAUAAGCCAUUGGCCUAAGAAAAUGUGUAAAUCCUCUAUUUGAGGUACAAAUUUUCUCUCAUAUGUUUUUUUUUUUAUUUUGUAUUUUUUCACAAAGAACUGGUUGUUAAGAUCCUAUUUCAUUAGUUGAAACUGAUUAAAAGGAGAUUACCCUUCGGCAGUUGGUGGGAAAGAUUUAAGUUCAUCUUUCUGGAUCUUCUACUUUAGACUUAUCAUUCAAGAAAGUGUCAAAACUCGAAUGGCUGUAAAACUUUGAACAGAUUAUUAAUUAAUUUAGGUGCAAGAUCUUUUAUAACACUUUAAUAAGUUAUUACCAUUGCAUUCUUUUUUUCUUUUCUUUGAGAAGAAACCAUUUAACUUUAGACUAACUUCCAAAUUUACCUUUGUAAUUUAGCUAAAUAGGUAAAUUUAUUCAAAAGUUGUCCUCCUCGCAAGCUUAAGGUAUUUCAACUUUGCCUACAACUACAAGUUAAAGAGAAAUUAUCGUGAAAACCAUGCCACGGCCGCAGUAUUUAAAAUGUGCACAAGGAGCUUAGAGAACUGGGCUUUGUUUGAUUACAUGAAAGGAAAUGGACAAAAUUUAUGUUACAAAAGAAGCUUGGAGCUGAUAAAUGAUGCAGUAUGAGUGAACUUUUUGUCGCUCUUUGAGGAAUUUUUCUACAAAUUUUGAUGUAGCUAUUAUUUUGGUGAAUGAUUUAUUCUUUUCUUUUUUCUUCAAUAUUAUGAUUUUGUUUCCAUAUUUUAAUAGAAAUUAUUAAAAUUCUAAGGAAAUUGCACUAUUUAUCUCAAGAAAGUGGCUUAAUUCUACAUAUAUGAGUAAUGUUUCCAUAAUUACAAGCAUAAUAGUGGCUUAACUCCAUAAUUCUACAUAUAUGACAUCAAACCCAACUCAUGCUCACCCUUAUAUCAUUCUAUCUAAAUCAUAAAAUGACAAUAAUCCAACUCUUUAACAAUUUUCACAUUGGAUUUAAGUUGAGGCAAUUGACCUAAACUAAAUAACCUAAAUUCCAAAUAAAUGUGAAAUAACACAAAAAAUUUCUAAACCACACGUAUGACUCGUAAAUUGAAGGUAAAACAUGUAAAUUAGCGUUAGAGUGGUAAAUUGGUCUACAAAAUUAAAAAAAAUAAAAAAUAGAAAAAAACUAGUAAAUUGAUAGAAAAUGUAGUAAAUAAAUGUUGGAGUUGUAAAUUAUAAGAAGAAAUUGUAAACAAAACAAAAACUUAGAAAAGUGACAUAGAACUUGUAAAUUGACAUUAAGUGUGAAAUGAAAAACAAAACUUUGUAAACCACAUAUAAAACUAGUAACUUGAUGGGAAAAUGGGAAAAUUAAUGUUGGAGUUGUAAAUUGUAAGAAGAACUUGUAAACAAAACAAAAACUUAGAAAAAUGACGUAGAACUUGUAAAUUGACAUUAAGUGUGAAAUGAAACAAAAUAUUUGUAAACCACACAUAAAACUAGUAAAUUAAUGGAAAAAUGGGUAAAUUAAUGUUGGACUUGUAAUUGGCAAGAAUAACUUGUAAACAAAAUAAAAACUUAGAAAAAUGACAUACAACUAGUAAAUUGACAUUACGUGUAAAAUGAAAUAAAAAACUGUGUAAAUCACACAUAAAACUAGUAAAUUGAUGGAAAAAAUGGUAAAUUAAUGUUGGAGUUGUAAAUUGCAAGAAGAACUUGUAAACAAAACAAAAACUUAGAAAAAUGACGUAAAACUUGUAAAUUGACAUUAAGUGUGAAAUGAAACAAAAAAUUUGUAAACCACACAUAAAACUAGUAAAUUAAUGAAAAAAAUGGUAAAUUAAUAUUGGAGUUGUAAUUUGCACGAAGAAGUUGUAAACAAAACAAAAACUUAGAAAAAUGACAUAGAACUUAUAAAUUGACAUUAAGUGUGAAAUGAAAUAAAAAAUUUGUAAACCACACAUAAAACUAGUAAAUUAAUGGAAAAAUAGGUAAAUUAAUGUUGGAGUUGUAAUUGGCAAGAAGAACUUGUAAACAAAACAAAAACUUAGAAAAAUGACAUACAACUAGUAAAUUGACAUUACGUGUGAAAUGAAACAAAAAAAAUGUGUAAAUCACACAUAAAACUAGUAAAUUGAUGGAAAAAGGGUAAAUUAAUGUUUGAGUUGUAAAUUGCAAGAAGAACUUGUAAACAAAAUAAAAACUUAGAAAAAUGACAUACAACUAGUAAAUUGACAUUACGUGUGAAAUGAAACAAAAAAAAUGUGUAAAUCACACAUAAAACUAGUAAAUUGAUGGAAAAAGGGUAAAUUAAUGUUGGAGUUGUAAAUUGCAAGAAGAACUUGUAAACAAAAUAAAAACUUAGAAAAAUGACGUAGAACUUGUAAAUUGACAUUAAGUGUGAAAUGAAACAAUAAAGUUGUAAACCACACAUAAAACUAGUAAAUUAAUGAAAAAAAUGGUAAAUUAAUGUUGGAGUUGUAAAUUGCAAUAAGAACUUGUAAACAAAACAAAAACUUAGAAAAAUGACGUAGAACUUGUAAAUUGACAUUAAGUGUGAAAUGAAACAAAAAAUUUGUAAACCACACAUAAAACUAGUAAAUUAAUGAAAAAAAUGGUAAAUUAAUAUUGGAGUUGUAAUUUGCACGAAGAAGUUGUAAACAAAACAAAAACUUAGAAAAAUGACAUACAACUUGUAAAUUGACAUUAAAUGUGAAAUGAAACAAAAAAUUUGUAAACCACACAUAAAACUAGUAAAUUAAUGGAAAAAUAGGUAAAUUAAUGUUGGAGUUGUAAUUGGCAAGAAGAACUUGUAAACAAAACAAAAACUUAGAAAAAUGACACACAACUAGUAAAUUGACAUUACGUGUGAAAUGAAACAAAAAAAAUGUGUAAAUCACACAUAAAACUAGUAAAUUGAUGGAAAAAGGGUAAAUUAAUGUUUGAGUUGUAAAUUGCAAGAAGAACUUGUAAACAAAAUAAAAACUUAGAAAAAUGACGUAGAACUUGUAAAUUGACAUUAAGUGUGAAAUGAAACAAAAAAUUUGUAAACCACACAUAAAACUAGUAAAUUAAUGAAAAAAAUGGUAAAUUAAUAUUGGAGUUGUAAUUUGCACGAAGAAGUUGUAAACAAAACAAAAACUUAGAAAAAUGACAUAGAACUUGUAAAUUGACAUUAAGUGUGAAAUGAAACAAAAAAUUUGUAAACCACACAUAAAACUAGUAAAUUAAUGAAAAAAAUGGUAAAUUAAUAUUGGAGUUGUAAUUUGCACGAAGAACUUGUAAACAAAACAAAAACUUAGAAAAAUGACGUUGAACUUGUAAAUUGACAUUAAGUGUGAAAUGAAACAAAAAAUUUGUAAACCACACAUAAAACUAGUAAAUUAAUGAAAAAAAUGGUAAAUUAAUAUUGGAGUUGUAAUUUGCACGAAGAAGUUGUAAACAAAACAAAAACUUAGAAAAAUGACAUAGAACUUGUAAAUUGACAUUAAGUGUGAAAUGAAACUAAAAAUUUGUAAACCACACAUAAAACUAGUAAAUUAAUGGAAAAAUAGGUAAAUUAAUGUUGGAGUUGUAAUUGGCAAGAAGAACUUGUAAACAAAACAAAAACUUAGAAAAAUGACAUACAACUAGUAAAUUGACAUUACGUGUGAAAUGAAACAAAAAAAAUGUGUAAAUCACACAUAAAACUAGUAAAUUGAUGGGAAAAGGGUAAAUUAAUGUUGGAGUUGUAAAUUGCAAGAAGAACUUGUAAACAAAAUAAAAACUUAGAAAAAUGACGUAGAACUUGUAAAUUGACAUUAAGUGUGAAAUGACACAAAAUAUUUUUAAACCACACAUAAAACUAGUAAAUUAAUGUUGGAGUUGUAAUUAGCACGAAGAAGUUGUAAACAAAACAAAAACUUAGAAAAAUGACAUAGAACUUGUAAAUUGACAUUAAGUGUGAAAUGAAACAAUAAAGUUGUAAACCACACAUAAAACUAGUAAAUUAAUGAAAAAAAUGGUAAAUUAAUGUUGGAGUUGUAAAUUGCAAGAACUUGUAAACAAAAUAAAAACUUAGAAAAAUGACGUAGAACCUGUAAAUUGACAUUAAGUGUGAAAUGAAACAAAAAAUUUGUAAACCACACAUAAAACUAGUAAAUUAAUGAAAAAAAUGGUAAAUUAAUAUUGGAGUUGUAAUUUGCACGAAGAAGUUUUAAACAAAACAAAAACUUAGAAAAAUGACAUACAACUAGUAAAUUGACAUUAAUUGUGAAAUGAAACAAAAAAUGUGUAAAUCGCACAUAAUACUAGUAAAUUGAUGGAAAAAUAGGUAAAUUAAUGAUGAAGUUGUAAUUGGCCAAAAGAACUUGUAAACAAAACAAAAAUUUUAAAAAAUGACAUAGAACUUGUAAAUUGACAUUAAGUGUGAAAUGAAACAAACAAUGCGUAAAUCACACAUAAAACUAGUAAAUUGAUGGAAAAAUGAAUAAAUUAAUGUUGGAGUUGUAAAUUGUAAGAAGAACUUGUAAACAAAACCAAAACUUAGAAAAAUGACAUAGAACUUGUAAAUUGACAUUAAGUGUGAAAUAAAACAAAAAAUUUGUAAACCACACAUACAACUAGUAAAUUAAUGGAAAAAUAGGUAAAUUAAUGUUAGAGUUUUAAAUUGUAAGAAGAACUUGUAAAUAAAACAAAAACUUGUAAAUGUUACAUAAAACUUGUAAAUCAACAUUAACUUGUAAAAGUUUCAUAAAACUUGUAAAUCACACAUAAAAUUAGUAAAUGUAACCUGGAACUUGAACAAAAAAGAGUAAUUACCUGCUAUUUAGGUAACAGGUUACCUAUUUAUUUAGAAUUAAUGGUAGAAAUCUUUUAUUCAAAUCUAACGGUCCACGUCCAUUACGGCAUCAAUGCCGUAAAUUUAGUUACGGCAUUAUAGAAUGACCCAUAUUUCAAAUAGUCACUAGACCAUUUCUGCCUUUAAUUUUCCCUUAAGUUUAACUAUUGACUGUUUUUAGCAUCUUAAAAUAUACAUUUAUUCCUUGAUUAUGUGAUAAAAUUAUGAAAAAAAUCCAUUUUAGCUUAAAUUAAUUGGAAUAACCAUAAACAUAACUUAAAUUAAUAGAACAAAAUUAUCAAGUGUAUGUUCUAUCUUACUUUUUGAAGAAUUUAACAUAUAUAAUGCUAUACUAUUAAUAAAUUCAUCAUUUAAUAUAUAUGUUCAAAUAUUUUAUAUAUUUAUUAAUUGUUAUAUAGUCAAAGGAUGAAUGAUUUUUCAGGUCUACAUGAGUUGGUGCAUCUGCAAGACUCAAUUUUGACAACAAUGAUCUAAGGGGUAAUUUACCUUGGUGUUUGACAAAUAUAACCUCUCUUCAAGAUUUACUUCCAAUCUACUUACUGUAAAUAUCUCCUCAUCUCCUCUCAUUUAUAUGAUAACCCUUGAAGAUCUCACAUUUUCAAACAAUCAUAUUAGGGUUUUUAUUAUUAACAUCAUUGUGUCAAUAAUAUAUGUUGCAGUAAGAUUUUUUCAGACCAAUUCCCUUCUUCAAAUAAUAAUGGAAAAGUAUUAAUUUAAAAAUAAAAUGAAUAUGCAUUGAUUAUAUCCUAAUUUUCAUCGAUUAUAGCGAGAGUUUCUCCAAAUCAACUCCCUUAUUCAAAAAAUACAGAAAAAAUAGUAAUUUAAUAGUAAAAUUAACAAGUGUUGAUUAUAUAUCCUAAGUUUCAUCGAUUAUGUGAUCAAAGUGGCAUUGUUGAUUUAUUUCUUGUUCAAUGUUAAUUUUUAGGUUAUCUAAAUUUCAAGGAUUUAAAAUCUUUGUUCAUGGAUUACACGCUUAUUAAUUUUUCUGCCAUUGACUGUCAUAUUCUAGACUUAAUCGUACCUUCCUUGAUCAAGGAUAAUUACUCUCUGUUCUCCUCUUAUAAAUUCCUCUUCCAUUAACAUCACUAGAAGUAUGUUGAUCUCUCAGACGUUAACUUCAGUGGAGAGUUUCCAAAUUGAUUGUUACAAAACAACACAAAAACUAGACACACUUGAUCUGUCUAAUAAUUCUCUUUCGGUAAAAUUAAUUAAUUUUAGGGGAAUAUUUGACCAACCUAUAUAAUUUUAGAUUGAUCAUUAAUUAAUUAGACGAAAAAAGUACUUGUGCUUUUGUGGCGACAAUUGAACCAGAGAAGUGAAGCUGUAAAGAUUUGGCAGUAGUAAUUAUAAUUUUUUCAAAAAACUUUUUUACAACACAGGCACCUGGCCAAAAAUUUUAUUUUUCUAACUAACAAUAAUUGAGUAGCUGACCGUAUUGACUCCACCUACUUGCUAAAGUAAAAAAAUAGAAAUAGAAUUUCCACAAAAUGUCAAACAUGUAAAAUCUAAUAUUUGGCCGUGUGGAACAAAAUACAAAUGAAAAAAAAUAGAAAAAAAGGCCUAAAGACUUUUAAAAUGUGUGGAAGUCUUUCGGCCCUUUUAUAAUGGUGUGUUUUUCAAAGGAACAAAUAAUAAUAAUGACACUUCUACGGUUUGUUUUGAUAAUCACACAUAUACUCUUUAAUUUGAUAAAUGGUUACACAAAUUUUGUUUACAAAAAUAUAUUAUUCAUGUUCUGUAUUAUUUUUUAACAUCAUAUUUUUAUUUAUUAUAAUUGUUUAAAGUUAAUUGUUAGGUUGAUAUAUAACAAAAACGUAUAAUCGUUCUCUUACUAAACAAACAUACUCGUAGUUUCUGUUCAUUUGUCAUCUCAAUCUCUCUCAUUUAUCCUUUAUUGAUAGCUCAAAACGCGUCACUGUGGAAAAUUAUAGCAAAAUGACAAAUAUGGAAAAAAUGGGAAGAAAAUUAAUGCAUGAAAGAGUUGUAGAAGACAACCAAAUAAGUCAACUAUACGCUAGCUGGGUGUAUAAAUUGUUAGAUGUGUUAUAAACAAAUAGCAUAGAGCCUUGGUUGGUUACAGAGAUAGAAAAAGUGUGUGUGUUUUUUAGAACUUAAAGAUACAGUUAGAAUGGGUGGUUCAAAAUCAAAAAUGGUGAUAAUGUUUGUUCUGUUAUUAAUAAUAUUUGAAGGUGGGUGGAGUGAGGGAUGUUUGGAUCAUGAGAGAUUUGCUCUAUUGCGACUCAAACAUUUCUUCAUUAAUCCUUAUAAUCUUCUUUACAACUGGGUAGAUGAUGAUGGAGCUACUGAUUGUUGUCAGUGGGAAAGGGUUGAGUGCAGCAACACCACAGGGCGAGUGAUAGCACUAGACCUUUUUGACGCGCAUGGGGGAGAGUACUGGUAUCUGAAUGCUUCUUUAUUUACUCCCUUUCAACAACUUGAGUCACUUGAUUUAAGUUGGAACAAUAUAGCCGGUUGUGUUGAGAAUGAAGGUGCUUCGUCUAAUUCAAUUAAAUUACAUUUCGCUCUCCAAAUUUAAGUCGAAUAUCAAGACUGAGCAGCUAUAUGCAUAUUCAUUCAAUUGACAAUUUUUACAUAUUUUGUAAAAUGUUUAAUUUUGAAAUUACACCAAACAUCAUAUGUGAUCUUUGUUUUGAUUUUACUUGCAGGUCUAGAAAGAUUGAGCAACUUGAAGAGGCUUGAUUUAAGUCAUAACUUGUUCAACAAUAGUAUCUUAUCAUCUGUGGCUCAUCUUUCAUCACUAACAUCAUUAGAUUUAUCUGAAAAUAGAUUGGAAGGAAGUAUUAAUGUUAAAGGUACGUAAUUAAAACGUCAUCGCUUUUCCCAACUCUUUCAUUAACAUGUUAAAAUAAGAUUCAAGGCUUUGAAUUCAAUUUUUUUUAUGAGUAAAUAUUAGAAAAAUAGUUUUAAGCAAUUCAUAAAUACAAUUUUCAAUGUUUCUCAUAAUUACUCUAACUGUGAAGCAAAUACCCCAUGACUAAUUUAUCAUUUUGUCCAGUUAAAAAUGAUAAAAUUUAUCAUUUGUUUAUAUUGAUUUAUUAACUCUAUUUUAAGUCUUAAGUCUUGGCGUCUUGGCAUGUUUGCAGAAUUUGAUUCCUCGAGCAACUUAGAGGAGUUGGACAUGAGCUACAAUGAAAUAGACAAUUUCGAGGUUCCUCAAGGUAAACAAUUAAAAUAUUAUUUAAUUACAUUAAUUUAAUUCGUUUGAUUAGGGAAGACCCAAAAUGUACAAAAACAUAAUUAAAAAAAUAAAGAAACAGAGAAUUCAUAUUAUUUCAAAAAACAAAAGGUAAUACUAUUAUUUCAAAAAAAGAAUGUAAUAAAGAUUUGAUUCCGGUUCUUUAAUCUUUAUAGCAAUUGAAAAACAAUGUUGCUCUUUUCCCAAAGCAUAAAAUACGAAUUGACUCCCAAUUAAAUUAAUCAUUUAUUUCGUUUAGGUCUAAAUUUAGAAAAAUGAUUUUUGAUUCUCUUCAAUCCUAUCCUUAUUAUUAUUGUUAAAUAGGUUACAGAGGUUUGAGGAAGUUGAAAAGCCUCUAUCUAUUGGAAGUUAAAAUUAGAGAUGGAAGCAAGUUGUUACAGUCAAUGGGAUCAUUCCCAUCCCUCAACACUCUUGACCUUUCGUGGAAUAAUUUUACCGAUAUAGCGACAACUACUACUCAAGGUAAGUAAAAGGUACAGAUGUGGCCAAAUUUAUAAACAAACUGUUAAUUAAUUAAUUUUUCCGUAUUAUUAAUUAAGCUAAAUUUGUUGCUUCUUCCUUCUAAAUCUAAACAGAGUUGCACAAUUUCACCAACUUGGAAUAUUUGACAUUGGACGAUUCCUCUCUCCAUAUAAGCCUUCUGCAAAGCAUUGCAUCAAUAUUCCCUUCGUUAAAAAAUUUGUCGAUGAUUGGUUGUGAAGUCAAUGGCGUCCUACGUGGUCAAGGUAAAAGAAAAGUGUUGAUUGUGAACUCGCUCAAUGGUGUCCUACGUGUUCAACAUUUUUAUUUAUUUAUUUUAUUGUUUAAUGUUUCUGCUAGGCUUUCCUCAUUCCAAGAGUUUGGAACAUUUGGAGAUGGAUGACGCGCGCAUUGCACUCAACACCAGCUUUCUUCAAAUCAUCGGAGAAUCAAUGUCUUCUCUUAAGUACUUAUCACUGUCAUAUUAUACUCUUAGCACUAACAGCAGCAGGAUUCUUGUUCGAGGUUAAUCAGAUGCUCCCACCCUCCCUUCUUAAUCUAUAAUAUUAAUUUUCAAUUAAAUAUUUAAUUACACAAACCAAUCACUUAUUAUAAAAGAACAAUACGCAUUCAUUAAUUUUUAUAUUGUAUUAAUAAUUGAUGAAUUUAAUAAAUUUUCAGGCCUCUGUUCGUUGAUGCAUCUGCAAGAGUUGUACAUUUAUAAUAAUGAUCUGAGAGGCAGCUUGCCUUGGUGCAUGGCAAAUAUGACAUCCCUCAGAAUAUUAGAUGUUUCUUCUAAUCAACUUACUGGAAGCAUCUCCUCAUCUCCCCUCGUUCAUUUGACAUCCAUUGAAGAGCUGUAUCUUUCAAACAAUCAUUUUCGGAUCCCAAUUUCACUUGAACCACUUUUCAAUCACUCAAGACUCAAGGUUUUUUGGGUUAAGAACAAUGAAAUAAAUGCAGAAAUAACUCAGUCACCUUCUUUUACCGCCCCAAACUUCCAAUUAUCACGUCUCUCAUUGUCUUCCGGUUAUGGAGACGGUGUCAUAUUCCCCAAAUUCCUUUACCAUCAACUUGGUUGUUGGAAAACAACACAAAAUUGAGACAACUUUCUCUCGUCAAUGAUUCUCUUGCAGGACCUUUUCGGUUGCCAAUUCAUUCACACAAGCGGUUAAGACUGUUGGAUAUAUCCAACAACAACAUCCGAGGCCACAUUCCAGUAAAAAUUGGAGAUGUUUUACCAAGUUUAUACGUUUUCAACAAUUCCAUGAAUGCUUUAGACGGUAGCAUUCCCUCUUCAUUUGGUAAUAUGAAAUUCCUCCAAAUUCUGGACUUAUCCAACAAUCACUUGACAGGUGAAAUCCCCGAGCACUUGGCCGUGGGUUGCGUCAACUUGCAGUCUCUUGCAUUAUCAAAUAACAACCUACAAGGUCAUUUGUUCUCUAGAAAUUUUAACUUGACAAACUUGAAAUGGUUACAAUUGGAGGGCAAUCGCUUCGUAGGUGAGAUCCCACAAAGUUUGUCUAAAUGCUCCUCACUAGAAGGAUUGUAUCUUAACAAUAAUAGUCUUUCGGGUAAGAUUCCACGAUGGUUGGGUAAUCUCACAUGGUUACAAUAUAUUAUAAUGCCCAAUAAUCAUCUUGAAGGCCCUAUUCCAGUGGAGUUUUGUCAGCUUGAUUCGCUUCAGAUUUUGGACAUUUCAGACAACAACAUAUCUGGAAGUCUACCAUCUUGUUUCCAUCCUCUCAAUAUCAAACAAGUUCAUCUUUCAAAAAAUAUGUUACAUGGACAGCUAAAAAGAGGUACAUUCUUUAAUUGCUCUUCCCUUGUGACAUUAGAUCUUAGUUAUAAUCGCUUGAAUGGCAGCAUUCCGGAUUGGAUUGAUGGGCUUUCUCGGUUAAGCCACCUUAUCUUAGGUCACAAUAAUCUUGAAGGUGAAGUGCCAGUUCAAUUGUGCGAAUUGAACCAACUACAAUUGUUAGAUCUUUCUAAUAAUAAUCUUCAUGGUCCUAUUCCUCCUUGCUUUGAUAACACCACACUUCAUGAAAGUUACAGCAAUAGUUCUAGUCCUGAUGAGCAAUUUGAAAUAUUUUUUUCCAACGAAAGCUCUCAGGGAAAUGUAGAAAAGCAAAUCCAUGAAAUUUUUGAGUUCACAACAAAGAACAUUGCGUACAUUUACCAAGGAAAAGUGCUUAGCCUCCUAUCAGGACUUGAUCUUUCUUGCAACAAGCUAAUCGGUCCUAUUCCUCCUCAAAUUGGAAAUUUGACAAGGAUUCAAACAUUGAAUCUAUCACACAACGACUUGACAGGAUUGAUCCCAUCAACAUUUUCAAACUUGAAGCAUGUCGAAAGUUUGGAUCUUUCCAACAACAAAUUGAAUGGGAAAAUCCCUCAUCAACUAGUGGAGUUAAAGACAUUGGAGGUUUUCAGUGUGGCAUACAAUAACUUAUCAGGCGAAAUUCCAGAAUGGAAAGCACAAUUUGCAACCUUCAACGAGAGUAGCUAUGAGGGAAAUACUUUUCUUUGUGGAUUGCCAUUGCCCAUUUGCAGAUCACCAGCAACUAUGUCGGAGGCUUCAAUUGGCAAUGAACGAGAUGAUAAUUUAAUUGACAUGAACAGUUUCUUUAUCACAUUUACAACAUCAUACGUAAUUGUGAUAUUCGGAAUUGUUAUUGUUUUAUAUGUAAAUCCUUAUUGGCGACGUAGAUGGUUUUACUUUGUUGAAAUGUGGAUAACUUCAUGUUACUAUUUUGUUGUAGACAAUCUUAUUCCAACAAGAUUUUGUCAUUGAAAUUAAUUAGUAGCUUAAUUACGAUUCUUUAAGUACUAAUCAAGUUUGCUUAGGAAAUAUUUUUUUAUUAAAAUUGUAGUAGUAUUUAGCAUUAUAUAGCUUCCAACUUCCAAGCACUUCACAUUUUUCUCUACACUUAAAAAACUGAGUGAUCAUGUUUUGCAGAUCUGGAUUUGGAGCAGGAUGGAUCCAAACCCAUAUCUGUCCACCAUAACUUAUAGCUUCCCUAUACUGUGCAGCAUACUUAAAUAAGAGAACCAUCUCCAAUGUUAAAAGCAUUCACUCUAUAACAUUCAUUUAGAAACUAUAUUCAGAAUAAUUUUAUAAUUAAACACAAGAAAUGAAACACACAGAUACACUUGAUCGCCUAUUUUACUCUAAAAAAGAACGAUUAUUGUGCUAUCAUCAUCUUCUUCACUAGCAACAUUAACACCAAAUCGAUGGACCCAUACAUUUCAUCAAGAAAGGUAUAUAUCCAAUAAAGUUGAAGCCUAACAAAAAAUUCAAGAAGAUUAAUGCCUCGCCACAACAAGGGGCACAACAACAUCAAAGUAGAGAUUAAGCAGUAUUCUCAAAGCUAAAACUCUCAAAUCCACCCACCAGAAUUUCAUAUCUCCUCAACAAUUUUAAGAACUAAAGAUAAUUAGGAUUUAACAUUAGUUUUUUAUAUAUUAGUUUCAUAAUUUACAAAUCAAUGAAGAUGAAGAUUAUGCUAAUAAAUUCAAAUUAUACCAUACAUUCUCUAGAUGUUACCAAAAAUUUCUAAGUCAAUCCCACAUAUUUCAUAAUUUUAAGACUAGAAAAUUUCACUAGUUAGAAGUUUCAUUACCUUCAAGUGGAAGAUGAAGAACAUUAUACAAGUGAUUCAGAUUAUAUCAUACAUACUCCAAAUGCAACUAGAAAUUAACAAGUUCAUGCGCACAUAUUUCAUAACAGUAAAAAUUUGUUGCUCAACAUGAUGUGUAUUUUUUUUCAAGGCAAUUUGGAAACACAAUUGUUUCUACAGAUAUUCUUCUCAACUUGGAGAUAAAUACAAAUAUUAAAAUGCAUAUGAUCGCACAUAUUACUUCGAGUUUAGUAAGAUUUCAUUAAAAGAAGCAAUCAAACCACUUAUCAAUUGUCGCAGUCGUUCUAUAAACUAAAAUAGCAAUAUAAUACAAGAAAAAGAACAUAUAGAUACUUGGCAAGAGUUCAUUAAGAAGUCGCAUCACAUUCGGGUGAGGAGUUUUCUGAUAUCUUGCUAGCUGGGGCUUUUUCUUGUCUUUCUACGUAUGCCGAGGGAAACCAACCAGCUUGGCCCUUGCAUUCACCUUCCGACCAUCCAGUAGGAGCCACCUUGAGAAGUUAUAACUAAAACGGUGAAUUAAACAAAAGUUAAUCGUUCAAAGACCUAAGGGGAAAACUAAUUCUUUUACGUAGGAGGAGUGAAUUAGUUGUGAUCACUGAAAUAACAGCAUAACUAUAGAAGCAUAACAAGAUAUAAAUUCACAUGUCUAUAAGGGUAAACUGGGUGGUUUAGAACCGAGCUAGCAGCCCUACUAUAUUCUGAUUUGCACUUCAAUGUAAAAGGGAAUAUAUGGUAGGAAGAAAGAAAACCAACCAUCAUUUGUUAACUCGUUGCUUUUCAAUCAAAAUUUUAAGAAAAAAAUGCCAUGUGCUUUGAACAUCAAAUAAGUAUAAGCAUUAGUUCUAAAUUCCACAUAUCAUAAGUUGUUAGAAGGAUAAGUUAAUAGCAGAGUAGAAAAAUCUAUGUGUUGGUAUUUAGAGGGGAAAGUACCUGGCGAACCACAACAUAAUCAUCAAUUGAAAGACUUAGCUUUCCAUUUGCUUGAGCAUCAAAUGGAUGUAUAACCUGCAAGAUAAUGGGAUAAAUAGAACUUAAAAAAAGCAUAACAAAAGUAGCAACAGUAGCAGCAACGUUCAUUGUAACCACUAUGAUCAUGGCCAACAAAGAUAUAUUAGAAACAAAAUUCCAUUUUUACUACGACAUUAAUAUGUACUAUACGAUAUCAUGACGAUUGGGUUACUAAGAGCUAUCAAAGUCUAAUAAGUUCUGUAUAACUUUAUGUAGUUAUUUAAAUUAUGGAUCAGAUUUUAAAUUUGAAAUUUUGACUGCUCUCCACAAAACAUGGCCUAUGCACAAGAAAGUCAUAGAUAAUGAGGAUUACAAGUGUCCGACAUCUUUUGAGUGAUGGAUUUAACAUGAGAGCUUAUGGUCAGUCAAUUUCCUCUGCCUAGCAAUAUAAGCUUUCUCGGCCAGAUUUAUCUUCAAAUACAUAGAUUGCCCCCAAGUCACAUCCAUAUAAACAUAGUUUUUCUAGGUAAACCAAGUAAGGAGUAUCAUAAUUCAGACAUAAUCAUAAAAAGGCCCAUCUAACUUAAGAGAAAAUCUCAAAAAGAGGGAUGCUGAGCUAUCAGUCUUGUAUCUAUAAGCAAUAUCAAGACUUUACAUCACCUGCUACAUCGUGAGUGGCUACACAACUUUCAGUGGUUUGUCUUUCUUUGGCAUGCCUAACUCAGCUUUGAUGUUGCUGAGAUAUUGAUAGUAGAGACACAUGAUACUUCUAGCUCAUGCAUUCUAUCUAACUCAUCCAACAACUAUCUCUUUUUUAAUUCAUUAGUGUUUGCUAAACCUCAUGCUUAAAAGUCCUGUUCUCCUAAACAAAGUUUCCUAAGAAUGACUUCCUUAGCACCACAUUUGGACACUUUUAGAGCAAUUUUAUUUGGGGGAAAAGAAUUUUCAAGGUGUUAACUAAUAAAUUUUUAAAAAAUAAUUACAAUUUGUCCUACGAUCAUAUGACAAUUUAUCUGGGAUGAAAGGAUACAGAUAGACAUCUUCCACUUUCAAGACUAAUCACUACUUCCGUAGAUGUUGUGCAAUAAUACAAAUACUUGACCAGAUGGUAGUAAUGGUAGAAAAAAAUUUUAUUGCUCCAAAAUUAAAAUAAGAAUGCAAUAUGUUAAGCAAAAGGCUGUGCAACAUCAAAUUAAUUGAUAAGUUUGUAAUUCAGUAAAUUAACAACUUUCAUGGUAAAAUACAACAAAUUUCUUUUGAAAAAAAUAAAAAAAAUAAAUCUUAAAAGACAGCAUUCAAUUUUGUGCGCAUCUUAUUUCUUAAGAUUUUUCAGGAGGAGGGCAAUAGAGGGACUUUCACCUAUGCAAGAGAGCAGAAGCCUUACUUUCCCUAUAAAGUAGACGUCAUUCUGAUUAAUAUGCGUUUGCAAAUCAGCUCCGUUUGAAUCAGUAUUCUGAUAGACACACGAGGCAUUUACAUCCAUUUCCAAAGUCACAUGUUGCGAGGAGGACUCAUUUGAUUGCUCCUAUACGAUCAUCUAAUUCAAGUAGCAAGGGUUGGAAGAGAAUAAAAAGUCACAAUUAUUCUUUUGCAUAAGUGAGACGAAAAUGAUAAAUGCAAUAUUAUCAGCAGUAAACAAGAAGAGAACGCUCCAAGAAAUAGAUAGAUGCAGACAAGCAAGUUAAAAUGCAUAGUCCCAAACCUCCGCAUACAACUUCUCUAAAGUAGCAAUAACGUGUUGAUGCUAUGUUUUCUCAGCAUCUACCUGCAAAGGCCCGAGACCAGGAAAACAACAAUAAAACCACUAGCUGAAGGAGAAAGCAAAGAAAGAAAUACACUUGACAUAAAUCUUGACAAGAAGCACAAUUUAAGACAUAACAAACCCCAAUCAUAUUGUUUAGAACUACCAUUCGUUAUUUCGUUAUUGUAACAUUUCGAACAAGUGUUGACUUAAUUCAACAUUGUUGGAAAGAUAGGCUUUUAGAAGCAGAAGAAAGCCUCUCAAACCAAAGUGCUUGUCCUUGUAUUGAUCAAGGGAUGUAAACAUAUUACAUUUGCAGGAUGAGAUUUAAUCACUCCCCUGAUUUAUUUGGGUUGCAAUAAAACUAAGCGAGCAACUGUUUGACUUUCAAGCAACAACUAAAUCAGCUAUUAAAAUUCAAAUAAAAUCAUAAUAGAAUAAUAACAGGCCAUCUUGCAUCAAAAAUUAAGUUUAAUUUGUGAAUUUUUUUCUAUAGACAUGUCAGUUUCUGCUAUUGAAAUGUUAAAAGUAUUGAAAAAUUAUUCAAUAAAUUAUGCAAGCAUUAAAAUAGAGGAAAAAUUAAAAAGUUUCUAAUUACAAUGUUAAUAUUUCCUAUAUUUUAGCAUUUGCAUAUUUUAAUUUAUUUAAAAGCUACGUCGAUCAACUUUGGGCAUGAAGAUUUUAGAUUCUACGAGACUUGAUUGGAAUAUGCAUAAGAGUGUUAAAAUAUGAUGCAUCCAACGAAAGACAAACCACGUGUAGUCUUUUAAUUAAGCCAAAGUAGCAGCUCAAACAAAUGACACUUGGACCAACAUGCAAUCAUGAAGUGGCCGGAAAAAGGACAAAUGCUACUUUGGCUUAAAUAAAAAAUAACAUGUGACUUGACUUUUGCUGGACAUGCAUCAUGUUAUUACAAGACAACAGAAAUCAGUAUGAUAGUAAUAAAAGUUGACAAUAACAUGAAGAUAAGAGGCAGAAUGUCAACACAUGCAUAGGCACACACAAGAAAGUAUUAACAUAUAUACCAUAGCAAAAACUCUUUGAUAUGUCAUCUGUUGCUGCUGUGAUUCAACUGACAGCAUGGCAGCUGUCGCUUCUCUACCAAGAGCCAUUAUUGUAGAUUUAAGCUCGGUCAAUCUUGCUUCUGCAUUUCGAAGCUUCACAGCACUCUCUGCUGAUAUAUCAGAUUCCCUAAUCUUUGAUCGGUGCCUAAAUACUUCAGCUGCCUGGUGAAAAUAUUCAAUAUAAAUCUAAUAUAAUUCUCAUCUUGCCUUAUACAUGCAUAUGUUACCUCAAAGCUUACCUGGGCUUCAACUUCAUGUCGAAGUUUGUCAUAACGAUGAGUCAGGUGUUGAGCAUCUUCCAAAGGUGCUCUGUUGAUUAACGCCCGUAGUGGCUCAGAUACCUACAUGUCCAAAAACCUGUAACAUAGUUAGAAAAAUGAAAAGAAAGAGCGAAACCUAAAUUAAAAAGUUCCUCCAACAUAAUCAUGGAAUUUGGGCCUACUUUAAGAAUAUAUAUAAGGAUAAUUUAUGCAAUUUUGGGUCUUAGGAUGAUUGGUAUUAGGUUAGUGUUCUUCUCUUCUGUAUUUAAGGUUAAAAUAGAAAUAAACCUAUGCAAAUAUCUAAAUUAGGCCUGUAAGACAUCCACAUGCAUCCUUCAGUCUCAUGGAUUUGAUUUUACUAUAGAUGCAAGUGUCUUUAUCGAAAAUGCUUGGAGUCAAUUGAGAGAACUCAUGGCCAAUAACUUGUCACACGCUAGUCUUUGCUAGUGAUGUAAGAAGUCACAAGGUCUCUUCAACAUUUGAACCAAUAAAAUUAUUAAGUCAUGGAUGUCACUAGCAAUGAUUUUAAUAUAAAACAUUAAAUAUUUCAGAGUUGUAACUUUAAAAUGGAUUCUUUUAUUCAAUAUCAUAGAACUAAGUUUCCUUAUGAGAAGAUAAUAGUUUCGAUAAUAAUUUUACAUAUAAUUUUCUAUAUUUGAAUUAUUUUCUAGUUAGGGAUGAACUAACCUGAUCACGAAGAAUCCCGAGCAAAGUUUCCCUCUCAUUUUCCAUCAAAUCAUGUGAAGUGCCAAAUUGAAGAGCAGCUCUUGCAACGCAAGAAUUGUCACUUUGAUUCUCUGCUCCAUACUUGCAACAAUCUUCAGCCAACUUUCUCGCUACACUAUUUGAAUACAAAAAUAUUGUACACAAGAACUAUAAAAAACGAAUGAAAAAUAAAUAAAAUCGAGAAAUUUCACUAAUUAAAAGUCUAAAUAUAAUUUUUGAAAAAAGAAAAGAAACGGACUUGCUGCUGCUUGGCGACUUGUUCUCGGAGCUUGAUUGCCUGUUUCUUGAUAGUUUCCAUACUGUUUCUUUCAAAAAGCGACGACGGCUCAGCUCAUGGAAGUGGAAAAAAAAAAGUGUGAUCUAGAAAAAUGAAAAGGCGUGAAUAAUUUUUGACAAAAAGCGAAAAUCAAGGAAAGCCGGCUCUUUCCAGAAAAUAAAAAAAAGAAAAUCAUAAGUUUGAAAGGAGAAGAUGAUAGUGGAAGUAUGCGGUGUGGCUGCCAGGUACUUGGAUUGUAUUGUCGGGUAAGGUAAUAGUAGCGAAUUAUAAGUUUGAACAGAGCAUGUUGGACUUUUGUUGACCAAAUUCAAAAGCCCAAUGGCACGGCCCGGAAGCUUUUGAAUAGAAAAACUUGCUAGAAAGCAUCAGUUUAAAUCACUACUUAAACGCUUGCUUUAACUGCACCGCUUUGUACUGUUUUAUGUAUGUAGCGGUUGUGUGGUUGUAAUUCACGGCUGACGCUAUGUGUUUGUUUGUACUGUUCUAUUCGGUGAUUGGGUAUUAUUAGUUAGGCCAAAACUAUGUUGCAAUAGUGGUAUUUCAGUCAUUGAAUCUAUAGUUGUACAGUUACAUUAAUAAGAUCUAAUGGCUGAAAGCAACAGUGGUACCGUACCACUGUUGCAAUAUAACUGGACCCUAUUAGUUAUUUCAAAGGGAUAAAUAAGAUUGCUUACAACAAACCUACUAAUUUUAUAAAAUUCAAGUAAUAUAGAAUAAAUUAAAAAAAUAAAUACAAAAUUGACUUUUAUUUUUUAUGGUUGACUAUAUUUUGUGUUCUCUCUGCUACAAUUCUUCCCUAUAUAUCAAUUACACCACAUACUAUCGACACAAGAAAUGAAAUCUAAUAUCACCCGUUUAGUUAAAAAAUCACUCAUGAAAAAAUUUUACCAUUUUGAUUUGAGGAUCCAUAUUUUAAACUGCAAGCUAAUGUUCAUCAAGAAUUACUGAUGGCCGUUGAGUAGAAAAAUUAUUUUUGGACAAAUUAUUUUUGUUGAUAGAAGAAUUUCUUUAGGGACUACUAAAUUAUUAAUAAAAAUGUCGAACACACCCACAUAUCAUCGACACAAUUGAUUUUGAGGAUCCAUGCUUUGAACUGCAGCCUAAUGUUCAUCAAGAAUAGAGUAUGGCUUGUGAGUAGAAAAUUUUCUUAUUUUGGCCCGAAAUAAAAAGAAAUUAAAUUGGAUGAGAAUCUGCCACUUUCUCAUGAAGAAAGGCAUACGGAGCAUACCAUGGUACCAUACAAUAUAAGGAGCCUCUAUUCUUUGGUUUUUCAAACUCUGAACGGGCCAAUAUUGCCAAAUUCCCCCUUGAAAAUUCUGAUUACGACAUUAUUCAUCGCUUGAUGCAAUCAAAGUAGUGACAAAGUUAGGAAAAAUAUGAGUCCUAAGUAAUUGCUAGGCAGGGUUCCUGAGAGCAAAAUUGUCCUAAGCAUUAUAUGCAUACAUGGUGCGGUACAUAGAGCACGUUAAAUUCCCCACUAUAUCACAAACCCAGAAAGACAAGUAAUAACUCAACUGAUAUAAAGACAAAAAGAAGAUAAAAUGAUAUAGAAAAAAGAAUUUCAAAGAGACAGCAACAUACGAUAGACUGAAGCCACUUGAUCUGCUCAUUGAUUGCAGCCUUAAACUUGCAAAUAGUUACUGUACGCUAGUGCUCUAAGAAGUGAAAAUGAUGCCAGCCCUGAUUCCCUUUUGACUUCCAUUUACUGUCAAACAUUCUAGUAAUACAAAAAAUUGUUUAGAUAUCUUGCUAUAAAUAUAGCCGUUUGACUGUCAUAAUAAAGUCACAAAUAACCAUUCAUAUUGAUCUACUGUCACACAGCAUGCUUUAUGCAUACAACAGCUGUAUGUAUACCAACUCCUAACCUUAUCAAUACAUUUGGCAAAAACUUAAGAAGAAAGCUAUUUCUCCAUCUCUUUUUUGAAAUUUCACAAUAACCAGCACAAUGUGAAAGCUAUGUUCUAACCUUAUGAUAAAUGCUCUAGACUCCAAAAGGAUUUUAUAUAUGAGAGUUUGUUGCAGCAGAUAUAUUGACUUAUCAAGUAUGAAUCAUUGUCUGGAUGAACUAUCUUUAGAUAAAAGAAUAUUAGAACCACUGUAGAAUAUCUUUACGCUGCUGGUUCUAACAGGAAUCUGCAUGUGGCAACAAUUGCUAGAUCCACAAUUCCCCAACUUGAAAUACAUAGUUGCACACCAUGAGAUAGUGCUACAAUCUACUGAGAUCUAACUUAUAUGGUACUUUAAGCUACUAAUGUUUGCAUAUUUCUACAUGUUAAAUUAACACUAUUAUCUAUAAUCACUCCAAAACAACAAAUGAUAAGCAGCUUUUGGCCACUUAGUACUAGCAUCCACAAUUAUAAAUAAGAGAUCAUGGGUUUACUUGUUGCACCUACUUAAUUAUCUGCAGUUGACAUCCUGACGCAAGGUUUAAAUAGUGACUGCUUAGAACCCUUGUAGUUGGAUCUUGACCUCUCCCAUUGUAGCCAAGAUUGGUUACUCUGGUAAUGAAUCAACACUCUCCUGCUCAGGGCCAUGAAGAUCUGAAAGCUCAGCACUAGUGGAGAACUUCAUCAAUCUCUUCUUCUCAGCAUACUUGAGACAAGGCUGCCUUACGAGACCAAUCACCACAGCACCAACGCUUAAAACUGCAACUUUUAAAGAAGAAAGAGCCAACACAACACAACACAAAUCAAUAUGGUUGGAGGAAUACACAUGAUAAUGGCUCCAACAGUGACAGUGGGUAUCUUGUAGGGACGAGAUGCAGCAGGAUAUUGCAUCCUUAACCAUACAAAUGCUAUGAACUCCAUAAUCAUUCCAAAACAGUACAGGAAGUUCUCUGCAGCUACAAUAUCUCAAAAGCUCAGCCAUGAUAGCAAAACCACACCAGAUGCUGAGAAUAUGAUUCCAAUCAAAGGAGUCCCAUAACAAGACCUCUUAGCAAAAAACUCAGGUAGCAUUCCACGCUCAGCCAUCCCCAAAAGUUGGAAAGAGUCGCUGCUCAUCUCAGCCACAAACAUGCCCAUAUUGGACAUUGCUGCAGCCCCCUGGAUGCACCAUCUCAACCAAACUCCUCCAAGCACUUUAGCGAUAUCUGAAAAGUAACCAUUGGUCCACAAGUCGCGAUCUAAUGGAAUAGCUCCAGUUCCAAGUAGAAGGGGAAAGAAAUAUCCAAAAACGACCAAGAUCAAAGCAUAAAACAAAGCCUUUGGAAGAGUCUUCUUUGGGUUAUCCACCUCUCCAGCUAGUGUACUUAUUGAGUCCCAGUAGUUGGAGAUUCCAAAACAGGGUGUUCAAAUACAAAUUCCAGUCCACUUCACCUAAAUUUACUACAAGCCAUCUUGAAGGCUCUAACUUGGGAAGGGACACAAGUCCCAUAACCACAAAAGGAAGGAAUGAGAAAAUCCCUAAAAGAACAGCAGCCCAUCCCACAAUGGUUAGACCCCUAUAGUUCAUGAAAGUGAGAACAAAAGUCAAAGCUAACGCCGCAAAGGCUCUAGGUAACCCAUCGCCCAAAGCAGGGAUACCAGACUUCAAGUAGUCAAGAAACAGAACUGGGUAUAAAGCAUUAUCAAUAACCCCACUUAGCCACUUCAUCCAAACUUGCUGAAAACCCCAAUAUGGGCCUAAGGCAGAUGAAACCCAAACCAUAUAACCACAAUUUUCAGGAAACACGGUACCCAUCUCGGCAGUAAUUAAAGCUUCAGGGACACUCCAUAUAAUCGGAAACACCAAGAAACCAAGAAGUGCUAAAAGAGGACCAGCUGCCUUUACACUAUCCUCAACACCAAACGGCCCCCCAGAAACCUCAUAGAAUAUAAGGAAAAUAAGUGGCAAGAUUGAUACUUUUUAGCGCCAUGGACUCUAGGAGAAGAUGGUUGGUCAUUGAUAUUAACAUAUUCAACAGCAUCAGACUGCCCCAUUUCUACUGAAAGUUGCCUAUUCACAGUGUUCCUCAAUUUCUGCAUCAAGUUUAAGCAUAACUAUCAAAAGGGUAUCGGCAUCUAAAUUAUGAAACAAAAUGAGCAUUUACUUAUUAAAAAAAAUCAAAAAAACAGAAAUGGAUUUCACAGAAUACAUGAAUUUAAGUUCAACAUUAAACAGGCGCUUAAGAAAACAAAAGGGUCUGUUCGUAAAGCCAUCAGAUUGCAAGAUUGAACAACAUUAACGGAAUCAAUAGAAUAGAUGUAAAGAGAUCUGAAAAGAAAAUAAAAUAAAAGAUGAAGAGAGAUAAAACGAACCAUCAAAUAAGUGCAUGCAGAGCAGAGAGGCAGAUACUAGAGAAGCUCCGUCGUGUUAGAGUAGGGGUGGCAAUAUGGGUCAGGAUUCGUUUAUUCGAUUCGAUUCGAUACGAAUUAAAUGGGUUUGGGUUUGAAAAAAUUAAUUCGUUUAAUAAAUGGAUGAAUUCGAUUCGAUUCGUUAAUUAAACGAAUCGAAUGCGGGUUUGAAAAUUUAGAUUCGUUUAUUCGUUUAAAAUUCGUUUAAUAAAUGGGUCAUAAACGAAUAGAAUACGGGUCGAUUCGUUUAAAAUUCGUUUAUUAUUUGUUUAAUUAAAUUACUUUUUUAUCCUUAAAUUUAUUUGAAAGCUUUUUAAAAUUUGAAGGUUAAUAUUGUAAUUUUAAGUAAAUAACAAAAAAAAAAAAAACAAAGUAGCGGAAACCUAAAGCUAAAUCCCUAAAAAUUCUCCCUUCACUCAGCCGCCGCUCUCGUUGCUCUCUAGUCUCUACCUCUCUCACACGAAUCACACUCACCCACCCAUACCAAGUGAAGCAAUCAAGCAACAAAAACAGCCGCCGGUAGCCACUGUCAUUAACUCACAGCGAACCGACGAUUACAACCACCAUCGUUCAUCCAUCAUCGAUUGAGCUUGAGGGACGCAGCCACGCGAGUGCAGCCCGCAACUCGGCAGCAACCCAGGAGCAUCAGCCGCGCAACGUAUUAGCAGCCACUCGAACCCACAGCAGUAGCUAACUCGUGCGGCGGUGCAGCAGCAGCAAACCCAGGCGAGCGCGACCCGAACCAGUGCCCAGGUUCUGAGUGAGUUCCUCGUUUAGGAAGAUCGCUUUUAAUCUUUUUGUAGUUACUUUGAUUUUAAGUAACAUAGACGAUGAACCCAACAGAGAAGCUGCAACGAGCUAUCCAUUUUUGAAGCGGCUUCUGUGGCUCUGCGUAAAGAGCUAAUUAACCAGCUGCAUCUUGGACCAAGAGAUAUAAAUGAAUAUAUUUUUCUUUUGCGCAGUACGAAGCAGUAAUUAAGUUGUUCUCUAGGAAAUCAAUCCAUAAUCAAGGUUUUAAUGCUAUUAAUGAUAUACAGUAUGUUCUUCUUUAGAUUUUAUAAGUGUAUAACACCUCCUUUGACAUAAUAUAUAUUGAUGUAGACCUCUCGGAGUCAGAUGGAUGAUUUGCCCAGGCCGGCUGCUUUCUGCAAGACAAUGCCAAAAAAAAAAAAAACCUUUUGCUCGCAGUUUAUGUGUUUUAUCCACAUUUGACAGGGCAUUUUGUAAUUUAUUUGAGCAUUAAUUAUGCCAAGUUUCAGUUCUGUUCUCAUUUUUCUUGGACUCGUAACAGCAAUCAGCAUCAGGAAGAUGCAAGGUAGGUUUAAGUGCUUAUUUAAUUAAUUCCCAAGCGAUCCGAAUCAACAAGCCAUCACCAACUCAGGGUAAUAUCAUGAGAUUAUGGUUGAAUUAUUGAGAAAUUUUGUAUUGUAGAAUAUUAUGAGAUUAUGGUUUAGAAAAUGUUUUGUAUUGUUCGGAAAAUAUUAUGAAAUUAUGUAUAAAUUGAUUAUGGUGUUAAAAAUUAUCUGUAGGAUAAGGAAGAAGCCCCCACAAAUAUUGGAUUAAUUUUUUUUUAGUAUUAAAAUUUAUAAUUUAUUAUGUUGUAUUGUUAAUAUUUUGUGUAUUGGAAUAUUGUGCAUUAGGAAUAUUGCUGGGUUAGAAUUUGGCAUACAUGAUGAAUAGAUUUGAUUUUUGAAAUAUUGUUAGGUAAAGUUUUUAUCUUGUUCAAUUAUCAUUUCCUUGAAAAUGCUACAAAUUUGCUAUAUAUUUGAUUUUUGAAAUUUUACAAUGACUAUUAUCAAUAUUGCAGCAUGUUAAUAACAUUUUAUUUACUUUUUGGUGUAGGAUUUUUGUUUUCAAGGUGACAAAGACAAAUGAAGAGAAUUAAAGAAAUUACAUUUCUUUAUAAUUUGAAUUUGAAUUAUUGUUAUUUGUAAUAUUAAGGAUUUGGUAUUUGGUAUUUGGAUGACUGUAUAAUAUAAUUUGAAUUAUUUGUAUUUUGUUGUGGGAUAUUAAAUUUGUUUUUUUUGCUUAAUUUUGUUUAUUAAUUAUAUUUUCUAAACGAAUUGAAAACGAAUCCUAAUUCGAUUCGAUUCGUUAUGGAUUCGUAAAUGAUAAACGAAUAAUAAACGAAUCCGGAUUCGAUUCGAUUCGUUUAUCAAUUCUAUUAAACGAAUUAAACGAAUCGAACCGAAUAUUCGUUUAAUAAACGAAUCGAAUCCGAAUCCUGAAAUUUCAAUUCCUUUAAUAAACGAAUCGAAUUCGAAUUCGAUUCGUUUAUUCGUUUUGCCACCCCUAUGUUAGAGAGAGCCUAAUUCAAUCAGAGCUCACUGAGUUUCUUUUCAACCGACCGGCAAAUUUGGAGUGCCACAACAUAAUAUUUUUACUUUUAAUUUUUGGAACACUUUUGAAUAGAAUUUUUUGUUUUUAAAAAAGGUAAGGGAGAUUAGUAUUUAUUUAACUUUAUAUUUUUUUAAAUACUUUACAAAUAUUUUUGUCGUUAAAAUAUUAAUAUUUUUAUUAAUAAUUUUUAUAUUUUUAAUUUAUUUUUAUAAUAUUAUUUUUUUAUAAUAAUUUUUUAUUUUAAUAUUAAUAAAAAAUAAUUAAAUUAACAAGUUAAUCCUAAAAUAAAUAAACACGUGUUUGGUUUUGGGCUUUUUCUUUUGUUCGUUUAAUAUCAUCUGGCUCCCUGAUUUGUGACUAAUUAUCAACGGAAUCCCGUUGGUUUCUAAAUUGAAAUAAUAGAAGGUCAUGAGACUAUUUACUCCAUUUAGCACUGCAGACUUAGGUGGCGUUUGUUUUUUAACUUAAUGACUUAAAGUGACUUAACUUAAUUAAUUAAGUUAAUUAGAGGUGUUUAUUUUUAUAACUUAAUAAGACCUUUUAGAUAAUUUUGACUUAAUAAAAUAAGCCAAUUUUUUUGGCUUUUUACUUAAUGGAGAAAUCUGAAUUAAGUCAAUUACUUGCUAAUGUCAAAAAUAUCCUUGCUUUAUAAUUUAUUUUUUAUGUCUAUCCCAAAACUCACCCAUAGACAUUUACCCCACACAAAAAUAUCCUUAUUUUUUCUUUCUUAUAUUAUAUACGAUAAAAUUUAAAAUUUAUGAUAUUUUAUAUAUUAAAAUUCCAAAAUAAUUAUGUAUUCACUUGAAUAUAGUUUUACUUAUAAAUGUUAAAAUAUUGUGGUAUUUAAUUUAUUAUUUAUUUGACAUUCAAAUUUAAUAAGGAUACAAAUGUAAAAGUACAUAUUUUCAGCUUUUUAAGUUGAAAAAAACAAACAACUUAAUACUUGUUUUCCGAGAUUCAGACAAAAAAAUAAACAUAUUAUUCAGAUUCAGACAUUCAGAUCUAUUCAGAAUUCAGAUUAAUUCAGGUCUAUUCAGAUUUCAGACAAAAAACAAACGCCACCUUAGAGUAUAUUGAAAAAGCUUUGUCAAAUAGUAGUAAUAGGGGCAUAAGAAAUAAAUUAUAGCUAUCACAAAUUCGUUAGAAGAAUUUCAAUUUUUUCCAUCAAUAAUGGCUAUGAAGCAAAAUUACCUUAGGUUAUAUUGCAAUACUAAUACUUCAAAUCCUGAUAAUAAAUUUGAUGACAGUCGUUUUUAUCAUGGUUUUAACAGAUAUAAGAAGAGAAAAUUAACUGUUCAAACAAAUUAGAAGCAAAUUCUUUCAUAUCUUUCUUUUAUUUUUCCGCUUACUUUCUUAGCAUCCAAACAAGUUAAAGUUAAAACGCUGUUAGAGCCAACAAUAUGCAGGCAUCAAUAAGCAUAGUAGUUUUGUAUAUGUAUUCUAUACGAUAUUCUAGGGAUGUCAAUUGUAGAACAUUUUGUGGUAACUUUUUUACAUUAAUUAAUGUUUGAAGAACUUGUUAAAAAGAAAAUGGUAAUUUUAUCAUUUUGAAAGACAAAAAAAAAAAAAAAGAGUGAAAGUGGCGUUACCUCAUGGUCAUUAGAGACUUGUUGCAAUGAUAGCUCAAAAUUAAAAAUUUGUGAAGAAUUAGUAGACAACGACGAUACUAUAUUUAUACAGUCACCAACGUGUUGAUUUUUGUUUAAUGUUUGAUCGAUAGAAACUUUCGUCGUCGUCGCCGUUGUUGAAUUCGUGCUUAGAAUAUCACAAGAGAAGAAAAAAGGAUGAAAGGGAAGAGAAGAAGAGAGAAGUGGUGGAUAGCAAAUAUGAUAUGCUAGCUACACACAGGCCUUAGAGAGUUUUUUUUUAAUAUUUAUUGUAUUUUUGUUUUUGUUAUUGGUUUUUCAUAUGCUUCCAAGGCAGCAAUGCGUUACAUCAUAAAUUGGACCUUUUAGGGGAGGUGGUAAAAAACAUGAGAGCAAUGCAUUCUAGCGCAUACAUGCAGAAAGAGUUUCCAAAUUUUCAAAAGUUUUUUUAUUUCUUCCACCUUUUUUUGCUUAAAAUAAAUUUUAAUUGUAUUUUGCAUUAACUUAGAGAAAAAAAAAAUCCAGUUCUAUACAUAAACGCAUACAUUGAUUAGAAAAUGAGUUUUAUGGACACAAAGGGACAAUAUAAGAGAUUCUUUUUGUUUAUUAGAAGUAACAUAACUAGUUAGUGUAACAUGUAAUUAUAAGCUACCAAUAAUUUGCACUGAUGAUAAUUAACGGUAUAGAUUUUGAGCUAUGAAUGUCUUGUGGCUAGUUUAAUUGGAUUUUCGAGUUUUCAGCAGAUCUAUUUUAAUGAUUAUUAAAUUAUUUUCACUUCUUAUGCCUUAAUAAAAAAAAUCAAUAUUUUUUGUUGUAUUCUAUAUUUUAAAACUUAAUUUUUAGUUCUUUAUAUUGCAAACCAAACUGAGUCAAAUCGAGUAUGCUCUUCAAAUAAUUUUUCCAUUGCCUUCAAGAAGAAUUCAUUUUAUUUUUAUAUAUUAAUUUAACACUUGUAAACCGGGCCGUCAGAUUGCACAUAAAGCAAAUGAUCAAACCGUUACAAGACCGGCCCAGGCCCACCGACUCUAUUUUCUUUCAUUUGACCAUUAAAAAGCUUUUGGCCACCCCCACCAAAUAAAUAAGCUCUUGUUCUCUUUUGUUCCCUCUCAAAGGAAAAUAUCUGAUCACCGAAUAAUGAUUCCGGUGACAUAAAAGAUCGAAACACCCCCCUAAAUUCCCUAAAUUUACGAUAAUACCCCACCAUGGAUGAUUAUGUUGAAAUGCCGCCUUACGAUGAAAGGCCUAAAAAGGGUUUUAACUUCACCUCCAUGCGCUUGAUCUUAACCCUCGUUUUCCCAAUUUUAACUUGCUUUUUGUUGGCAUUUUUUAUUGGAAUCGUAGCUGUUUUAUUCGGCAAAUCAUCAGUUUCCAGUUCCAUUUUUGUCCCUUCCCAGUGCAAGAUAGUGUCCAGCAGUAAGCUUUUUUUAACAUUUUCAAUUUUUUCCAUUUAUGAAGUCCAAAAAUUUUAUUAAUUUUGAUUUUUUUGAAUGAUUUUGCAGGUGUUGAUAUAAGUUCAUCAAAAGUUUGUGAACUUGGGGUGUUGAAUUAUAAGGCGAAGCGUGUGUUUUAUCCAUUUGAAGCAAGUAAAUUUCGAUGUCGGUAUGAUUACUAUUGGGCUUCUAUCUUCAAGGUAUUCAUACAUUUUUCCCUGUACUAUAAGCUUCUCAGUGGCGUUCUUGUGAGCGGUAGUGAGCGGUGUGGCUGACAGCUUCUUGAAAAUUAUAAGUUUGAACAGAGCAUGUUAGAGCACCACCAAAAGCCUCUUUAAAUAAGAUUUUAUUAUUUAUUUAAAGAGUCACAUCAAUAUUGAAAGCUCCAAAAGACACUUCAAUUAAAAUUCUUCAAAUAAGAAUUGAUUCUCUCUCUUCAAAUUUGGAGAGUUAAUUUCUCCCUCUUCAAUUUAUAUUUUAUUACUUUUCAUUGAAGAAAUAGAGAAGUGCUUUAAUUGCUAUUGACUUUUCCUUUAAAAAACUAAUUAUAUGAUUAAAAUAAUAUUAACUUAUUUAUAUUUGAAGAGUCUUUUGGAGAAUAUCAUAUUUUUUUCACCCUUCUAUUUGCCACAUAAGUAAACAAAUAGAUAUUUAAAAAGUAAAAUUUAUAGAAGCUUUUGGAGAUGCUCUUAGACUUUUGUUGACCAAAUUCGAAAGCCAAAUGGCACAGCUCAGAAGCUUUUGAACUGAAUAACUUACUAGGAAGCUCCAAUUUUUUGUUGGCUACAGUAAAAGGAUGUUGUUUUAUUCUUCUUAUACUUUACGCUUGCAUCAGCUUAAAUCACUUCUUAAACGCUUUGCUUUAACUCCACUGCUUCGCUGGGGGGAUUUACCUUGGAACAAGUGGGGACUUAAGUCCCCACUGAAAAAAAAAAUUGUUUUAAUAAUUAAUUUGAUUUGCCAAAACUUCUCAAUAAAUUUUUCUUAAGCCCCCCAUAAUUUCUUUCAACAAGCAAUUGAUCUAAAUGAGUUAAUUUCUGUCAGUUGUAUCCAAAUGAGUUCUCUGCAAUUGAUAUCAUGGCACUUGAAAUUCAACUUGAUACAUAUAUUUUGGAUAUGCGCACUAGUGCGAGACUAAAAGACAUAAGGUAUAUCCAUUGGUUUACUUGUUAAUAAUAUUAGCAUUGACUUUACCCGUUGCCACUGCUAGUGUAGAGAGAGUAUUUUCAGCCAUGAACAUUUUGAAGAAUUGGUUAUAAAGCCGUGAGUAAUGGAUGAAUGAUAGUUUAAUUAUUUACAUAGAAAAAUACUUAUUUAAUAAUAUUGAUAAUGAACUUGUAAUGCAACAUUUUUAAUGUAUGAAAACUUGAAAGGACAAUUGUAAACAUAUAUUGAAGUAUGAUAAAUCUUUCAAAUUUAUAUAUUUAUUACUUUUAAAAUUUUUUUAUAUUGCCGUUGAAUGAGCCCCCAGUCAAUCAAUAUGUUGUCUUCGCCCUGCUUCGUACUCUUCUAUAUAUGUAUCGGGUAUGCAGUUGUAGUUAACGGCUGAGACUACGUGUUUGUUUGACGUGGUAGUAACGUUACGAGUCUGUUAAACAUUCGAUGAUUAAAGUAUUAUCAGUUAUUUCAAAGGGACAAAUAAGAUUAGCUACAACACACCCACUAGUUUUAUAAAAUUCGAAUGAGAUGGAAUAAAAUAAAAAAAUAAAUAAGUAAAUUGACUUUUAAUUUUAGUGGUUGAAUAUAUUUUGUAUUCUCUUAGGGCACUGCUGUAAUUAUUCCUUAAACGUCAGUCAUACCCACAUAUAAUAGACACAAGAAAUGAAAUCUAAAAUCACCUGUUUAGUUAAAGAAUCAUCAUGAAAAAAUUUUGCCAUUUUGAUUUGAAGAUCCACAUUUUGAACAACCAACUUAUGUUCAUCAAGAAUGGAUCAUGGCCUGUGAGUAGAAAAAUUAUUUUUGGACAAAUUAUUUUUUUUAAUAGAAGAAUUUUUCAAGGGACUAAUAAAAUUACUAAUAAAAAUGUCAGACACACCCACGUACCAUCGACACAAUUGACUAUGAGGAUCCAUGUUUUGAACUGCCACCUAAUGUUCAUCAAGAAUAGAAUAUGGCUCGUGAAAAGAAAAUUUUCUGAUUUUGGCCUGGAAUAAAAAGAAAUUAAAUUGAAGGAGAAUCUGCUACUUUCUCAUUAAGAAAGGCAGACAUGGUAUACCAUGGUACCAUACAAUAUAAAAAGUCUCCAUUCUCUGGCUUUUCAAACUCUGAAGGGGGCAAUAUUCCCCAAUUCUCCCGUGAAAAUUCUGAUUACGACAAUGUUCAUCGGUUGAUACAUAAGUACAAGUAGUGACAAAAUUAGGAAAAAUAUGACUCAUAAGUAAUUACUAGGCAGGGCUCUUGAGAGCAACAUUGUACUAGGCUUUAUAUGCAAACAUGGUGUGGUACAUAGAGCCCGUUGAAUUCCACACUAUAACACAAACCCAGAAAGACAAGUAAUAGCUCAACUGAUAUAAAGACAAAAAGAAGAUAAAAUGAUACAGAACAAAGAAUUUCUAAGAGACAGCAACAUACAAUAGACUGAAGCCAGUUGAUCUGCUCAUUGAUUGCAGCCUUAAACUUGCAAAUGUUUACUAUAGCCUGGUGCUCUAAGAAGUGAAAAUGAUGCAAACCUUGAUUCCCUGUUUACUUCCAUUUACCAUCAAACAUUCUAUUCAUAAGAAAAAAAAUGUUUAGAUAUCUUGCCGUAAAUAUAGCCAUUUGAUUGUCUUAAUAAAGCCACACACAACCAUUCAUAUUGAUCCACAUUGCCACAUAGCCUGAUUUAAGCAUACAACAGCUGAAUGUAUACUGACUCCUAACCUUAUCAAUACAUUGGCGACAACUUAAGACGAAAACUAUUUUUCCAUCUCUUUUUUGAAAUUUCACAAUAAAACAGCACAAUGUAAGAGCUGCAAUGAAAAUGGACCGUCUGGAACUAUGGCGGAAGCUUCAACUAGUGUAGUGAUUUGACCUUCUUAUUAACCUAGCGAGAUCAAACACUGCCGUUGAUCUUGAACAGAUCAAUACGAUACGCACAACUUAUGAUUGAAUCCAGAAACAAUCAAAUCUUUAGCAAGAAUAAUUAAUCAGAAUCAAGAAACAAGUUUAAUGAAUAUAAACCUAUAAUUGGAACAAACACAGCCAAAGAACCCAAGAAUGACACAACGUACACCAAGGGAGAAGCUUUCCAGUGAGAUUAUAUUGAUGAUCAAAGAAGAAUCUUUUUACAAAGCUAACAAAAGUGAUUUCAGAGAAUAAGCUAUGACCCUCUCUCUCUUCAAUCUCUGUCUAGUUUGUUAACAGUGAUGACCCCAAUCUGCUUUGUUAGCCAGCUUCAUAACUGCGUCAGUGACAAACUAGCAAACCCAGAUUGAGCAGACUAACGACACGUGCAUAACAGCUUUAACGAACUUGGUUAAAGAACUGCUCACAUGUUCGUCACGCGUGUAGCUUAAAUGAUAGCCAAAACGACUUCAACCAGAUGCCGUUUUGAAGCUUAUGAAUUAUAAGUGAAAACACGUGCUUGUCUCGUGACAUUUAAAUGCAACAACAAGCCCAAAACACUGCCGUUCCACUAUGUUGAGUUUGCCAUCUCCAAGCUUCACAACUAGCAACGGACAAGAUGAUAAUUUAAUUGACAUGGAGAGCUUUUAUAUCACUUUUACAACAUUCUAUAUAAUUGUGAUAUUGGUAAUCGUCGGUGUUGUAUAUGUGAACCCUCGUUGGCGACACUGGUGGUUUUAUCUUUAUUGAAAUAUGGAUGACUUUUCGUUACUAUUUUGUUGUACAUAACCUUAUUCACAGGAGAUUUAAUCAUUGAAAUUAACAUGUUAGUUUCAUUAGAAGGCUGAGUGGUUAGGGCUGCUACCCUCCAACUUGGAGGGCAAUAGUUUGAACCCACAAGCGCAAUGUGGGGGUAUUUCAUUCUUUAAUUACAUUGUAUAAUUGAAUAAAGAUAAUAUUCUCUCUUACCUAAGUGUGAGUGGAGUAGACAUCCUUCGAAUAUUAGUGAGGGUCAAAACUUGGGCAGAGCUCAAUAAGUAUUGAUAUAAGUUGGUCCUAAUAAUAGUCUGAUUUGUAAAUAUCAGUUAUAGUCUCAUGUUUCCUUCCUUAGUUAUAUUGUAUAAUUAAGUAAAUGUACUCUUUUCUCUUACCCAAGUGUGAGUGGAGUAAACAUCUCUCGAAUAUUAGUGAGAGUUAAAAUCUGGGCAGAGCUCCAUAAGUAUUGAUGUAAUUUGAUCCCAAUAAUAGUAUGAUUUGUAAAUACCAGUUAUAGUAUCAUGUAAUAUGAGUUGUAAUUUGAGUAAUAAUUUCAUGUAAUUACAAAAAAAAUGUUACUUUCAUUACUUUUUUCUUCGUUAAAAUUCUCAAGUAUCAAUUAUGUUUGCUUAAGAAAUAAAAUUUCAUUAUGAAAAUUGUAGCAGUAUUUCCGAGCACCUCACAUUUUCAAUGAUUUUUCAUAAAUCAAUUAAUCUGCCAUACCAAUAUCAGGUUUAGUUUUUCAGACUAAAUGAUCAAGAAAGCAAACAUACAAAUUCACAUUUUAGAGGGGUAAACUAGCUUUUAGAUUUUAGAACUAGGCUAGCUACCUCACCAAAUUCCAAUCUGUACAGUGAACUACAAGAUUAAGAAAAUAAUGUAUUUAUAGUUUAAUUGAAUCAUGAGAAAACAAUGUAGUCAUAGCUCAAUCGGACAUGAUCACGGAGAGGCAUAUUCUUUUCAAGUUAAUUUGAUCCAUUUAUAAGAAAUGAAGUGGAUUGAAGUUAAAAGUUCAAAUAACAAAUCCUUAUUCUUGAGUUUUACGACGUCGUUACUCCUUCAAGAGGCUGAUUAUGCAAGUGAAUGCGGAAACAGAAUGCAUUAUCCAAUUUCACUCAUAUAGAAAAUUAAUUUUUUAUAUAUACUAAUCAACACUAGAUUGAUUAUGUUUUGUAUGUUUAUAUGCUAAUCAACAAUAAAUUAUAUUAAAUGAAGAAAUGCUUCAAAAUUUUCUAAUUUAAUUUAGAAAAUCAAUUAUUAACAUUAAUAUUCCUAAUAAAAAUUAUUUUCCAUCGGUAUUCAAAAUUUUCACUUAUAGAAAAUGCGUUUUACGUGAAUACAAGUUAUUGUGUAAAUUUGAAUGAUAGCGAAAAAUAUUUUUUUUAAUAAUUGUAAAAAUAAUUAACCAUAACAAAUCCCUUGCGUAAAUAAUAAUCGUUAUUUAAAAGGUAGAAAGAUGGUUAGUGCACAAUCAAAUUUUAAGCCCCUACCUCCUCAGCCCAAGAUUCAAACUUAGAUGAUCAGCCAAAUAAAAGUAUUUGAAAAUCAUUCAAUCAGGUUCUCGGGGCAAAAAUACAAGAUCCUUAUUUGCAUGAUAUAUAUGAAUUAAUGUAAUUUAUUUGAAUUAUCCAAAUUUAUUAGAGAUAAAACUAUAAAAUAUACCAAAAAAGUUAGAAGGAAGGGUGUGUUGGGAUAUUUUACAAACUAUAGGAAUCUAGUGAGAUUUUGAGCCAAACUGUAGGGAGUUGAAGGCAUUUGCCCAAUAUGUUUAGACGUACACUAACCGUUAUUUGCUCUUGUUGUUGGUCCCGGAUGAGCUGUAGUCUUAUUUUAAUUUUAUUUAAACUCACCAUAAGAUUCGCGGAGCUCCUAACUAACUUAAAUGACUCUGCAGAGCAUGUCAACACAUAGCAUGUUUAACCGUUUUAUUUGUAGAAGAAUUUAUGAUUUCCCAUUAGCAUUAUUAUUGAAGUGGGGCGGGUCAAAUCUCAAUUGCUUGAAAAUUUUUAUUAUUAUUAUUAGUCUUGAAGUGGGGUGGGUAACGUUCGCUCAAUUCGAGGGGAAUCAAAUAUAUCAUCCAAGGUAGAAUUGUGGAAAAUUAAAACAAAAUAAGAAAUAUGGAAAGAAAAGAAGAAAGUUAAGAUAUGAAAGACAUAUACAGUUGAAAUUGAUAAUCAUGUUCCUAUUUUGUUAACUAAUCAAAUGGAAAGCUGAACUGUAAACAAACAUUAAAACGUGUGAACCAAGCUAGCUGUCCUACAAGUCUACAAUAAUAAUUGAGUACUUUGAUUCAUCCUUCUAUAAAUUUCUACCCAUAUUGACUCCACCGAAAUUUCCACAAAAUAAAAAAAAAAAAAAAACUGAAUUUCCACAAAAUGCAAAACCCGUAGAACUUAAUUUUUGGUCAUGUGAACUAAGAUGUAAAUUAAAGAAAAAGUAUAAAAUUAAAAAAAGAUAAGAUUUCUAAAAUGUGUGGAAGGUGAUUCAUGAUUCACUGACACUACUUACUCCAAAUAUGAAGAUAAAUCUAUCUAAUUUCAUUAAAAAUAGUUGGAAAAAAUUAACUAAUAGAAAGCUACGGAAAUUAACCCCCCACAAAAAUGACUUUUUAUGGAAGAAUUUAUGUUUUUUAAAAUAUGUUAUCAAAGUGUAUUUGAUCAAAUCUCAAUUGGUUAGUAUGGUUAGGAUUUUGUGAACAUCACUAAAAAGUGAAAAAUAUGAAUGAUAGGGGUGAUGCUUGCAAUAUGAAUAAAUAAUGGACUGAUUCAAUUGAUGAUUACAUUUAUAUAUUAUUGAUUAUUUAUGAAUUUUCAGACUUGUUAUGAUGUAUAACUAUGUGAUUUUGAAACUUGAAACCGUGGCAAACAUUGAAAGGAAUUAUAACUUGAAAUCAUGACUCACGGGGUAUGUCAUGAUUCACGUGCACAAAAAAGGUAGAAUUGUGGAACUUGAUAACCCAACGACAAAUGCGGAAAGAAAGGAAGAAAAUUAAAAGACUUGGGGCCUAGCCUGCGUGUAUAAAUUAUUAGAUUUCUUUCUAUUUUAUAAGCGUAACCAUCAAUUUACUCCAUAACAAUCUUUAAUUCAUUUCUUAAAGAGUAAUGAUAUAGCCACAAACUCUUGUACAAACUUAUUUUGUAUAAAUUGAUGUGGCAUGAUAAGAUUUGUUGAAUUAAAUAUUACUUGGCCCAUAUGAUUUGUUUUUAUUAUUUUAUAUUUUCAUUCAACCAAUGAAUUAAUGUCAUGUCAGUUUGUACAAAAUAAAUUUAUACAAAAAUUUGUGGCUGUAUCAUUACUCUUUCUUAAAAUAUCAAAACUUUAAUUUAUCUUUUAAAUAUCGUUACCUCUCCAUUGGUUUUAACAGUUAAAAGGGUAAAAUUAUAUUUGUAUAUUUUCUUGACUGUUAACUAAAUAAUAAAAGUCAAAAUUCAAUCUUGUUAUCUUGUUUCAAUCCUCUAUCAAUCAAACAAGAUUUCUAAAAUAUGUGGAAGAUAUUGCAUGAUUUCCUCAACGUACCUGGCCCGAACAUCAAGGUAAAUAUCUCUAAAAUAGUUGAUUAAAUCUCAGUUGCUAAGUAUAGUUAGGAUUGUGUGAACAUCACUGAAAACUAUGAUUGAUAGAAGUGAUCUUUGCAAUAUGAAUAAAUAAUUAACUGAACCAAUUGAUUUACAUAUUAAAGUUUAUGAAUUUUCGGACUUGUUGCGAUAUAAUAAUAGCAUAUGAUUUUGAAACUUGAAACAGUGGUAAAUAUUGAAAGGAAUUAAUUUGAAAGCAUGAUCCGUGGGGAAUGUGAUGAAUCGUGUUUACCAAAAAGGUAGAAUUGUGGAAAUUUAUAACAGAACGAUAAAUAUGGUAAAAAGGAAGAAAAUUGAAAGACUUGGGGCCUGGCCUGGGUGUAUUUUCUAACUGUCCAAUGGACAAAAUUAUAUUUGUAUAUUUUCUCAUCCCUAGGUUUCAUACAAUAGCUCAUUUCAUUUUUAUUUUUUAAAUAAUAGCCUAAAACAUCAUUCUAUUAACUCACUAUUAGUUGAAUGUCGUUUGUUAGUAAUUCAUUAAGGGUAAAAAAUCAUUUUCUAUCAAAGAGAAAAUUAGAAAAAUAAAUAAAAGUUGACAUAUAACUAAAAAUGAUUUGAUCUAAUCCCACUAAAUAAGAAAUACCAAAAAAGAUGAAAAAUUUAUAUUUCAAGCAAUUCUUUUUUCACUUAUUUCUAUUUUGGCAACAUGAAAGCCCUAUAAACCCUAGAUCUAAGUACUAAAAAUAUCACAAUUUUCUUAUUCAUAUAAGUAUACUCUCUAAUUGCAUUGUAAAAUGGUUUGAAUUAAAUUGAAAAUAAAGAAGAUAUUCAGCACAUGCAAGCACAUAAAAAUUGGUGGCAUUUUUUAGUUUUUCUUCCAAUGAUUUAAAGAUAUUGUUUUAAUUACAGUUUGUUCCUUAUGACAAUUAUUCAAUGGCGAUAUCAAACUAUAUCAUCGUUGAUUUUAUUUAAGAAAAAGUUAAUGAAUUUUGCAUAUUUUGUAGUGUUAUUUAAUUGUGUAAAAAAAAUUAUUUUAAUAUAGUUUGUAUCGCUUUAAUGAAAAAUCAUAUUUUGCCCCCAAUGAAUUACUAGUUAACGAUUUUACAUUAAUGGUGAGUUAACGGAAGGAUAUUUUAGGCUAUUGUUUGAAAAGUAAGGAUAAAAUGAGCUAUUGCAUUAAACUCUAGGGAUGAAAAAUGCUUUUUCCCCUUUCUUAUCAAUCAACUAUCUGAUAAAAGUCAAAACUCAUAUUUUUUUUUUCCUUGUUUCAAUCCCCUCUCAAUCAAAAAAGUUUCCUUGUCUAAGCAACGAGGAAUAUGGCUAGAAAGAUUGUUAUUAGAAAGAUUUAUCAAUAGUAAUUGGUUCACAACUGAACAUUUUUAGAUUAUUGUGAGUCAAUAUAGGUCCUGUUUGGGAUUGAAGUGUUGCAGUUUUUAAGUUACAACUGCUGUGGAAAAAAAAACUAUAAUUAUGAAAUAAAAGUUAAUAAUAUAUAAUAAAUAUAAAUUUUAACUAAUAAUUUUGAUAAAAUUAUUAAAAAUAUAAUAGAUUUUUCAUAAUACAAGUAAAAUAUCAUAUCUACAUAGCUUGCAAGGUACAACAGUUAGUAUUUACCAAAUAGUUUAGUACUAUUUGUAAUGUUGUAAUGUCGAGAGAUUACCCAACCAUUAUGGAAUCCUACCAAGAUGAUUGUUACCACUAAGAUAAAAUCCUUCUAGUGAACAACAAUCAGACAAAUUUUUUGGGGAUCUCUCUUACAAAGUGAUUACCAUCCAAUCGCAAUUUUGAAUGAAAAUAAUUUUUUUUUAUUGGGAGUUUGACCUUAACAUUAAAUUUAGACAAUAAAUUUUAACUUUCUUCAAUUAUUAAACAGAUUACAGACAUUUGACAAAUUUGAAAACACUUCAUCCAUCGAAAGUUCAAAUUAGAGAUGGAAGCUAGGUGCUACAGCUAAUGGGAACAUUAAUUCCUGUCCCUCAUCACACUUUAUUUUGGGUCUAAUAAUUUUACGGCAGCAUUGACCACUGCUCAAGGUAAGUAAAACUUACAAAUGUGUGGCAAAAUAAAUAAUUAAGUGCAUAAACUCUUAACUAAUUUUCUUGAUAUAUACAGCUAAGGUACUUGUUCCUUUUUUUUUAAAAAAAAAUGUUAAAAAAUUUCGGCUGAGCCUGCUUGUGGUUUUGAUAAAAAGGAGGGGCUGGCUUCAAAUAUUUGAAUAGGCAUCUCCGCCGUACCUCAAACAAAACUGUCAUUAUUAGUGUCAUGAAACAUGUUUCGGCCGUCAAAGUCAUGAGAGGGUUGAUGACGCUACUACGUAUGAUGACACACCAGCCGACAGUGUAGUAACAGCUCAAAAACAAAAUCUACCAAAAUCAACGAAAGUUAAUAAAAUUUUAUUUUAUUAAUAAAAAAACUUUUUAUUUGUGGAGAUAUGUGUAUUUGAGUCUGUGGACUGAAAUGGAAAAUAUGAAGACGUUCGUUGUGUAGAUUGACUUCAGUUGAACGGGUCUAACUGGUAUUUUAUGCUGACGUGGCACGAAUUAGUUAUAAUCUGUUAUAACGAUUCCAGAAAUAUCAGUAUAAAUAGAAGCUGAUGAGCAGUGCCUGUUGUACGAUCCUUUUCUUCUUCACUUGUUCGUCAAUUUGCAUAGCAUCUGUUUCAUUGUGAUCUAUGCAAAGUCUUCUGUAAAUCCACUUAUGUUUGAUUAGUUGUUGAUCAAUAACGAGAGUAAAUUUUUCCUUCAAAUCUUGCUGCUUCGUGCCCCUGUUUCAGUUCUGGUUUUUUUUUUUUUUUUUUUUUAGUUCUGGUUUCUUAAUUCAAUUGAAUUUCUUGGUGCUUAAUUCAUCAAGAUUCAGUGGAAUCGACUUGAAAAGGACUCAAUAGACUCAACAUUAUUUAACGACACUCUGACCGUGGAGUACCGUUAUAAUAAUCUGAUUUUAAGAAAAUUAUAACUUAUUUUAAAUAGCGCCACAAUAUAAUUCUAAAUAUUUAAAAGGAAAACAUUAAUGACAUUUUGUUUUGAAAAAUUCAAUUAUUAAACUCUCACGUUUCAUGUGUUUGAAGUUAAAUUAUUCAUUAACUAGAACUCUGUUCAAAAUUGACUGUCCUGUGUUCCCAAAUGUAGUUGCAAUAUUGAAUGAAAGUAAAAACUUUCUAUGGCGAGUUUAAAUCUAAAUCUGGACAAUGAGUUUUUAGUUUCUCAAUGCUAUUCUAAUUACAAAAAUUAUAUUGAUUGAUUUAUUGUUACAGUUACUAGCCUUUGAAAAUGGAUGGAUUUAUUGUUUCCGUGACCCAAUUAUGCCUGUCUAACGCUGCAACUACUAAAAAAUCUAAUAUUUAAUGCACAUGUUAAAAGAUUUAAAAUUUUAUGCAUUUAUUAAUUGUUAUAAUCUAAAAGAAAAUUAAUUCGUUCAGGUCAAUCUGAGUUGGUGCAUCUGCAGAGCCUUUUUCUUUUUUCCCCUUAUUGACCAUAAUGAUCUAAGGGGUAUAAUACGACCUUGGUUCUUGGUAAAAAUGACAUCUCCUUCAACAUGACUAUUGACUAGGAGCAUGUAAAAACAUGGAAACAGAAUUUCCACAAAAUGCCAAACGUGUGGAACUUCAGUUUUGGCCAUGUGGACCAAAUGCAAAUGAAAGAAAAAGGAUUUUCCCAGCUAAUGUACAAAUAAAUGAACAACCUUGAAGCCUUAUUAUUCGCAACAAAAAGGGAUUACUAAUUGGAGAAGACUACACACAGUUUCUCUCACACUUUCUCUCUGUCAAUUUCAUCUAGAAGUCCCUCUGAAAGCAUCUCCCAAAACAGUUAGUCAUCUUUUAUUCUCUGUUUUCUGGAAACAGAGUCCUAACUAACUUAACUGACUGUACAGAGCUGAUCAAGAAUUCUGUUUUGUUAACUAAUCAAUUGCAAAUCAUAUAUUAGUGUUGAACGGUGAACAAAAUUGAAAAAAAAAAAUUCUUAAAAAACGUGUGGACUCGGAUAGCCAGACCAGAAAUCUAUGACAAUAAUUAGCUUUGAUGCUGGGAAUCUUUUAGUUUCUGGCCGUAUUGACUCCACCAGUGAAGUUUUUAAAAUAACAAGUUCCCAUUCUUCGUUUUUUUUUUUUAAAUGUGCUUAUAAUAAUUUUAGAAUAGUGACUUAUUUGUAGAAGAAUUUAUGAUUUUCCAUUAAUAUCAAUAUUGAAGUGGCGUGGGUCAAAUCUCAAUUGCUUGAAGAAUCUAUUUAUUAUUAUUAAUAUUGAAAUGGGGUGGGUAACGGACCAACGGUUCACUCAAUUAAUAUGUGGGGAAUUAAUUAAAUAUGACCAUCAAAGGUAGAAUUGUGGAAAAUUAAACCAAAAUGACAAGUAUGGAAAGGAAGGCUGAAAGUAAGGCAUGACGAAAGUCUUUGAGAAGGCUGAAGACCACCAAAGAAGUCAACUGAAAGCUAGCUGGGGCCUGGUAUGUAUGUUAGAUGUGUUUGUUAUAAAUAACAUAGAGCCCUUUUGUUAUUUAUAGUUAUAGAGAAAGAGAGAAUGUGUGUUUUUUAAUAGUUAGAGAUAUAGCUAGAAUGGGUGGUUCAAAAUCCAAAAUGGUGACGAUGUUAGUUUUGGGGGUAGAGUGAGGGAUGUUUGGAGCUUGAGAGAUUUGCUCUUUUGCGGCUUAAGCAUUUCUUCAAUUCUCCUUAUAGACUUUAAAACUGGGUAGACGAGCAAAGAGGUUGUUGUCAGUGGGAAACCGUUGAGUGCAGCAAAGUGAAAUUAAUUUCUCCCUAUUCUUAGUCUUACCAGGAGUAUCGAUCUGGGAGAGUGGUAUCUGAAUGCUUCUCUAUUUACUCCCUUUCAACAAAUUGGCAACAAAAUAGCCGGUUGGGUUAAGAACGAAGGUCCUUCACUUAAUUUAAUUUACUUAAUUUAAAUUAAGAAGAAGUUCCGUCAUCAAUAGAGUGCCUAGCUGAUCGUAAAACGUUGCGUUUGAGUAAGUGCACGAGGCUGAAGAGGCUUUCCAUCAAGCAUUUGUAAAUUGAAAUCUCUUCUUGAGCUUUAUCUCUAUAACUGCUCAAACCUUGAAAGUUUUCCAGAAAUCAUGGAGAAAAUGGAACGUUUAAAGAUAUAAAUUUAGCAAGGACGGCCAAUUACAGAGCUGCAAUCUUGAUAGCCUUCGGGAUUGGUAUCAUUUUCAAGCAAUUUUCUCAAUGCAGAGGUUUGGUAUCAUUGCCUCCAAUAUUAUUGUCAGGUUUAGUUUAUCGAAUUUGUUACAGCUAAAUUUAAGGGACUCUGCUAUAAUGGAAAUUCCCCAAAAUAUUGUUUGUCAAUCCUCAUUGAAAAUUUUAAAUCUAAAGACUUGUUUGUUAACUAAUUGAAGUAUGUAAUUAAUGCUUUGUUUUUGUAAUUUAUGUUUGAUUUUGAGAUAUUUACAUUUGAAUAAAAAAGUAAACUUUUGUUACAUUUAUCUAAAUUAAAAAAAAAAAGGCUAAAUGAGAAGUAAACUAUGUUCAAGCAAUUUUUUAUUUAUAAAAAUAAACCAAAUACUACUUAUAUUCAUAUAUCAAAAAAUGAAAAACAAACAUGUUAUUCAUAUGUUCACAUACAAACUUAUUCGAACCUCAGCUAAAUACAAAUCCAUUUUGAUUUCAAACAAAAAAAAAAAAACUUCGUAAGUGGGAAUAACUUUGAGAUUUGACUUGCAAAUGUCAAGCAACUUGCAAGGCUAGAAUAUCUUGACUUGAACGGUUGCAAUGAUUUCUCAUCAUUGAGAGUUUAUCAUUGUGCUUCAUCAUCAUCAUCAUCAUCAUCAUCAUCAUCAUCAUCAUCAUCAUCAUCAUCAUCAUGAUUAAUAAAAAGGUAAGCAAUUAAGAGUCAAAUUAAACCACUUGAAAAUCACUCAUCCACGCUUUUGGGACAUCAUUCUGCUCAUUAUUUUUAUUCCGUAUCUUCAUUGUUUUAUUUGGUAAUUAUUACCAUUAGUAAAUAAAGGGAUUAGUUGAUUAUUGUGAACUAACUAAAUGGAGCUCACCCUUAAAUGUCGGCUUGUAUCAGGGAGGUGCCUUAGGGUUAAUAAAUCAACUAAUCCCAUAAAUUGUUGAUGUAGGGUCCUAACAAAUUAUUGCCGUAGAACAGCACACAGCUCGAAAACAUAUUUGAUCCACACAGUGAAGAUGAUUCAAUAUUAAGCAUGUCAUAUAAUCUGGAGUUGGAUAUUGGAUCAAUUUGAUGAUAAUGAGUUUCUUUCAGUCUCAAUCUUUAUCUUCUUCGCAACAUGACUAGCCAUUGCGCAAAUUCAAACUCUGACAAUGAUUUCUCAAUCGCUUUCUAAGACGAUGAGCACGUAUGUAUAUAUAUGUGUGUGUGCGCGUGCGCACGUGUGUGUUUGUGUAUGUAUAUAGGGAGAGAGAGAGAUAUCACACGUGUGUGCUUUCCUUUUGUCAAUAAGAUAUGCAGAGAGCUUAAUAAUCAUAGAUUAGCUUAUAUCCUUCAAACCAUAUGCUAUGAAGUAAUUUCACAAACACUUGUUGAAUGUUAUUGAAUCAGUAGUUCACAGUUCAAUACAAUGUAGGUUUCCUAUUUGAAGUAAAUGAUUAUGGUGUGUGCAUUUUUCAUAAAGCUAACAACUGAAUUUACCAUUGAAACUUGCAAAAUGUAACAGAGAGAUGCAGAUAGCAGCCACGAAACACUAAGAUUGAAAAUCAGGACUACUGAAUUCUAUUACAAGCCCUUAAAAUAGACAACAAUCAUCCUCAAAUGUAUGUACUGAAAAUAAGAAAUAUUAAUCGUAAAGUUAUGCAUUAACAAAACUAUUGACUACUUACCUUUAGCUAUAUGUUUUUAAUUGUAGCUCCCUACUUUGUUCUAAGAACUAGGCAAAAGUAGCAUAUCUUCAAUCCAAUCAGCAUAUAUACCGCUCAUCUUCUCCAGUUCUUUCCACUUUGAUUUGCAUUUCAUACCCUGCACUUGCUGCUUAGAAAUAGUCAUAGUUUGCACAUUGACAGUAGAAAAAGUACUUGAAGCAAUCAUUGGCAUAGCAUGGGAUUCCAUUGAGUCGCGGUCUCCAAGCUUUCAUGGUUCUGUAAAGAAAAUGACAAAAACAUCAUGCUAUUGGCAUUCUACUUUUAGCAAUUUUCCACAAGCUGAGCUAUUUCAUAUCUCUCUAUAAAUUAUGAUCGAUGAGUGGACCACUGAUGCAUGCAAGUUUAUUAUCACUUGUAACUGCUGGUUCAACCUUCAGAUAAGUUUGUGAUAAAGGCAUCUAUGAGUACAAUGGGAAAAUUACAUGAACUUAUGUUAUCAAUCAUUGUUUUGCCUUCUCGUGAUAGAAUUCUGUGCAACAUAAAACAUGAUAUAUUUGUACCUUACCAUGCCAUGUCGUGAACCUAGAAGCAAUGCAAAUUGCAAGGAACAUAUUAAGCUAUCUACUGUAUAUAACAAAUUCUUAUUAGCCCACAAUCUUGUGCCGCCACAUUGAUCAAGUAACACUAUUAUAUCAUUUCCAAAAUGGCAUAUAUAAUCUAAUGUUGAACAAACCAAAUUGGGAAUCAUCAUUCCUUACAUUAAGCUGACAUUCGUACCUGCUAGUCCAUGAGCAAAGUUGCUUAUAUUUCCACACAGGCAGCUCCCCUUAUCUCUCGGUUCCGACAGAGCUUGGUUUUCCCAUCACCAGCUUUGGAUUCAUUCGAUCACUGAUGCUCCGAGUUAGCAAGCCCCUUGUUGUGUUCCCAUUGAACAGACCCACUUCUGUUAUCCACAGAAGAUCCACCACUCAAAAUGCUUAUCACCGAACUAUUCCUAAACUGAAUAGAAACUUCCGCACAUCUCUCGGCAUUUACAUGAAGAAAUCGACACCCACCCCCAUAUUUGCAAGUUUUCUGAUAAUAGAACGGUCUACAAAGCUGCAUUUCGUUAGGCAAUCUAAUCUCUCCAUUCCUAGCAAAGUGAUAUUGAUUCCCGUAUUUGUAAUUGCCUAAUUGGGGUUUUGGCAAUAGCCUGGUCUUAAAAUUACCACCCAUUACUUUGUUCAAUGCCACUGGCAUCCUCUGAUUAGGAACAUUUUCACAAUUUUUAGCCCUGUUAGUCGAAUCACAUUCAACGGGAUAGUGAGGCAGUAUUUCACUAACAGAUUCAAUUUGACUACUCAUAUUGAUGCACAUAUAAGAAUUUGAAAUCACUUUCUCUUGGAAUAUUUAAUGACCCCUGAUGAAAGUUCUUGAAUGGAAUUAUUUAAUUUGAUUUGAUUUCCAACAAAUUCAAGAAACCCCACAUAGUAGCUAAACAAAAAUCAACCAAUAAUACGCAAUGGGUUUCUUUCUUUUUGCCUUUGGAGGGCCAUGGAGAUCUGGAGUGGGCAGUAAGUAAUAGCCUUUAUGACUGGAAUGACAGAUUUGCAGAAGAUGAUAGCUCAAAACGCGUUGCUGUGGAAAAUUGUAGCAAAAUUAAAAAUUGGAAAGAAAGGGAAGAAAAUUAAUGCAUGAAGACUUGGAGAAAACAACCAAAUUAAUCAACUAUAAGCUAGCUGGGUGUAUAAAUUGUUAGAUGCAUUAUAAGCAAAUAGCGUAGAGCCCUUUGGUUAGUUACAGAGACAGACAGUGUUUGUGUUUUUUAAUAGUUAAAGAUAUAGAUAGAAUGGGUGUUUCAAAAUCAAAAAUGGUGAUAAUGUUUGUUCUGUUAUUAAUAAUAUUAGAAGGUGGGGGAAGUGAGGGAUGUUUGGAUCACGAGAGAUUUGCUCUUUUGCGAAUUAAACUGUUCUUUGAUGAUCCUUUUAAUUAUCUUCACGAUUGGAUAGAUGAUGAGGGAGCUACUGAUUGUUGUCAGUGGGAAAGGGUUGAGUGCAGCAACACCACAGGCCGAGUGAUACAACUAAACCUUUUUUUAAUUGGGAAUUGGGAUUUGGGAGAGCGGUAUCUGAAUGCUUCUUUGUUUACUCCCUUUCAACAACUUGAGUCACUUUAUUUAAGUUGGAACAACAUAGCUGGUUGUGUUGAGAAUGAAGGUGCUUCGUUUAAUUUUAUUAAAUUACUUGCUCUCUCCUAAUUUAAGUUGAAUAUCAAGACUGAGCAACUAUAUGCAUAUCCAUUCAGUUGACAAUUCUGACAUUUUUUUGAAGUGAUUAAUUAAUUUUUGAAAUUACACCAGCAUCUAUGAUCCUUUUUUAUGUUACUUGCAGGUCUAGAGAGGCUAUCAAAAUUGAACAACUUGAAGAUGCUUAAUUUAAGUGAUAACUCGUUCAACAAUAGCAUCUUAUCAUCUCUAACUCAUCUUUCAUCAUUAAGAUCAUUAGAUUUAUCUUACAAUAGAUUGGAAGGAAGUAUUAAUGUUAAAGGUAUGUAAUUAAAACGUCAUCUCUUCUCCCAACUCUUUCAUUAACUUGCUAAAAUAAGAUUCAAGGUUUUGAAUUCAAUUUUUUUUAUGAUUAAUAUUAAAGGAAAAAAAACAAUUUUAAGAAAUUCAUAAAUACAAGUUCUAAUGUUUCUCAUAAUUUCAUCUUGUACUUUCAUAUGUCUUGAAUUUAAGAUUUAAAAAAAAAAAAAAACUCUAAUAGCGAACCAAACACCUCCACAACUUAUUAUUAAUAAUAUUAUUAUUUUUUCUGUGAGGUUUGAAACAUUAAACUCAAUUUGUACUCUUUACAGAAUUAGAUUCUUUGAGAGACUUAGAGGAGCUAGACAUUGCCGGGAACAAGAUUGACAAAUUUGUGGUCUCAAAAGGUGCUACAAAUACCAUAAAAAAUCUAAACUUUUACAAAUUAGCUAGAUUCUUUGCCAUUUGGUUAAUUAUUUUGCAGGUUUGAGGAAGUUGAAGUAUCUCGGCUUAAGUGAUGUGGGAUUCAAAGGAACAUUUGAUGUUCAAGGUAAGUCUAAGCCAUAUGCUUUCUCAUUUGAAUUCAUUAAGGAUAUCAAGAUCAUCGACAAAAUUAAAACAUACUUUAUUUUACUUCGUCAAUCAAUUAAUUAAAUACUAUUUGGCUUGGCUUCAUCAAUCAAUUAAGUCUUAUGUCUAGGCAUGUCUGCAGAAUUUGAUUCCUUGAGCAGCUUAGAGGAGUUGGACAUGAGCCGCAACGAAAUCGACAAUCUUGUGGUUCCUCAAGGUAAACAAUUAAAAUAUUAUUCAAUUACAUUAAUUUAAUUCAUUUGGUUAGGGAAGGCCCAAAAGGUACAAAAAAUAAAGGAAUAGAGAAUUUAUAUUAUUUAAAAAACAGAAUGUAAUAAAGAUUUGAUUCAAGUUCUUUAAUCUUUACAGCGAUUGAAAAACGAUCUUGCUCCUUUCCCAAAGCAUAAAAUACGAAUUGACUCCUAAUUAAAUUAAUCAUUUAUUUCUCUCAUCUCUGAAUUUAAACAAUGAAUUUUGAUCUUCAAUCCUAUUCUAAUUAUUAUUAUUAAAUAGGUUACAGAGGUUUGAGGAAGUUGAAAAGCAUGUAUCUAUCGGGAGUUGGAAUUAGAGAUGGAAGCAAGUUGUUACAGUCAAUGGGAUCAUUUCCAUCCCUCAACAUUCUUCACCUUUCGGAUAAUAAUUUUAUAGAAACAGUGACAACUACUACUCAAGGUAAGUAAAUGGUACAGAUGUGGCCAAAUUUGUAAAUAAACUAUUAAUUAAUUAAUUAAUUUUCCGUAUUGUUGAUAGUGCUAAAUUUGUUGCUUCGAAACAGAGUUGCGCAAUUUCACCAACUUGGAAUACUUGACAUUGGACAAUUCCUCUCUUCAUAUAAGCCUUCUGCAGAGCAUUGCAUCAUUCACUUUGUUAAAAAAAUUAUCUAUGACUAACUGUAAAGUCAAUGGCAUCCUAAGUGGUCAAGGUAAAAGAAAAGUGUUGAUUAUGAAUAAGUUGUUAAUUAAUUAAUUUUGUUGCUCCUUGCUUCUAAACAGAGUUGCGUAAUUUCACAACUUGAAUAUUUGACAUUGGACUCUUCCUCUCUCCAUAUAAGCCUUCUGCAAUUGCUUGACGAAUUUAUUUAUUAUUAUUAUUGUUAUUGUAUUGAAGUGGGGUGGGCAAGGGUUCACUCAAUUAAUAUGUGGGGAAUUAAAUAUUACCAUCCAGCAUAGAAUUGUGGAAAAUUAAAGCAAAAUGAGAAAUAUGGGAUGAAAGGAAGAAAGUUAAGGGCAUGAAAGACUUGGAGAAGACCGAAGACCACCAAAAUAAGUUAUGUGUUUGUUAUAAAUAACAUGGAGCCCCUUGUUGGUUGCAGCGGCAGGAGACAGAGAGAGUGUAUUUGAUUAAUUAAAAUUCAAAAUGGUGAUAAUGUUAGUUUUGCUAUUAUUAAUAAUAUUAUAAGAGGGACUUAAACAUUUCUUCAAUUCUCCUUAUAAUUUUUGUCAAGACUGGGUAGAUGAUGAGGGAGCUACUGAUUAUUGUCAGUGGGUUGAGGUUGAGUGCAGCAGCGCCACAUGCCUAGUGGUAUCUGAAUGCUUCUUGGUUUACUCCUUUUCAACAAUUUGAGUCACUUGAUUUAAUAUGGAACAAUACAGCCGGUUUUGUUGAGAAAGGUGCUUCAUUUAAUCUAAUAAAUUUACUUCCUCCCUCCUAAUUUAAGUGGAAUAUCAAGAUUGAGCAACUAUAUGCAUAUUCAUUCAAUUGACAAUGUUGACAUAUUUUUUAAAAUGUUUAAUUUCGAAAUUACACCAAAUAGAUGUGAUCUCUGUUUUGAUUUUACUUGCAGGGCUACAGAUGCUAUCAAGAUUGAGCAACUUGAAGAUGCUUGAUUUAAGUGGAAACUCCUUCUACAAUAGCAUCUUAUCAUCUGUAGCUCGUCUUUCAUCAUUAACAUCAUUAGAUUUAUCUGAGAAUAGAUUGGAAGGAAGUAUUAAUGUUAAAGGUAAGUAAUUAAAACGUCAUCUCUUCUCCCAACUCUUUCAUUAAUAUGCUAAAGUAAGAUUUAAGGCUUUGAAUUUAAUUUUUUUAAUGAGUAAUAUUAGAAAAAUAGUUUUAAGCAAUUCAUAAAUACAAUUUUCAAUGUUUCUUAUAAUUAUAUCGUGUACUUUCGUAUGUCUUGACUGUAAGAUUAAUAUAUAUAUAUAUAUAUAUACUCUAACUGUGAAGCAAAUCCCCCCAUGACUAAUUUAUCAUUUUUUCCAGUUAAAAAUGAUAAAAUUUACCAUUUGUUUAUAUUUAUUAAUUAACUCUGUUUUAAGUCUUGGCGUCUUGGCGUGUUUGCAGAAUUUGAUUCCUUGAGCAACUUAGAGGAGUUGUCCAUGAGCUACAAUGAAAUCGACAAUCUUGUGGUUCCUCAAGGUAAACGCUUAAAAUAUUAUUCAAUUACAUAAAUUUUAUUCAUUUGAUUAGGGAAGACCCAAAAGGUACAAAAACAUAAUAAAAAUAAAUAAAUAAAGAAACAAAACGUGGUAGUAUUAUUUCGAAAACAGAAUGUAAUAAAGAUUUGAUUCUAGUUCUUUAAUCUUUACAAUGAUUGAAAAACUAUACUGCUCCUUUCUCAAAGCCUAAAAUACGAAUUGACUCCCAAUUAAAUUAAUCAUUUAUUUUGUUCGUCAUUUAUUUCCCAAAGCAUAAUAUGUACAUCCUAUUCUAAUUACUAUUAAAAAACAGGUUAUAGAGGUUUGAGGAAGUUGAAAAGCCUGCAUCUAUCGGGAGUUGGAAUUAGAGAUGGAAUCAAGUUGUUACAGUCAAUGGGAUCAUUCCCAUCCCUCAACACUCUUUACCUGAUGGAUAAUAAUUUGACGGAAAUAGUGACAACUACUACUCAAGGUAAGUAAAAAGUACAGAUGUGGCCAAAUUAUAAAUAAACUGUUAAUUAAUUAAUUUUCCGUAUUAUUAAUAAAGCUAAAUUCGUUGCUUCUUCUUUCUAAUUCUAAACAGAGUUGCACAAUUUCACCAACUUGGAAUAUUUGAGAUUGGACCAUUCCUCUCUCCAUAUAGGCCUUCUGCAAAGCAUUGCAUCAAUGUUCCCUUCGUUAAAAAAUCUGUCAAUGUCUCAUUGUGAAGUCAAUGGUGCCCUACGUGAUCAAGGUAAAAGAAAAGUGUUGAUUGUGAACUCACUCAAUGGUGUCCUAUGUGUUCAAUGUUUUUUUUUAUUUAUUUUAUUGUUUAAUGUUUCUGCUAGGUUUUCCUCAUUUUAAGCGUUUGGAACAUUUGUACAUGGAUUACGCGCGCAUUACACUCAACACCAGCUUUAUUCAAAUCAUCGGUGAAUCGAUGCCUACUCUUAAGUACUUAUCACUGUCAAAUUCUAGUCUUAGCACUAACAGCAGGACUCUUGAUCAAGGUUAAUGAGAUGCUCCCACCCUCCCCUCUUAAUCUAUAAUAUUAAUUUUCGAUUAAAAUUAUGAUUACACAAACCAAUCACUUCUAUAUGAAAGAAUGCUCUGCAUUUGUUAAUUUUUAUAUCGUACUGAUGGAUGAAUUAAUAAAUUUUCAGGCCUCUGCUCAUUGGCGCAUCUGCAAGAGUUGUACAUUGAUAAUAAUGAUUUAAGAGGUAGCUUGCCUUGGUGCUUGGCAAAUAUGACAUCCCUCCGAAUAUUAGAUGUUUCUUUCAAUCAACUUACUGGAAGCAUCUUCUCAUCUCCCCUCGCUCAUUUGACAUCCAUUGAAGAGCUGUGGUUUUCAUACAAUCACUUCCAAAUCCCAAUUUCACUUGAACCACUUUUCAAUCACUCAAGACUCAAGAUAUUGCAAGCUGACAACAACGAAAUAAAAGCUGAAAUAAUUGAGUCACAUUCUUUGACCCCAAAAUUCCAAUUACAAUUUCUCUCCUUGUCCUCCGGUUACGGAGAUGGUUUCACAUUCCCCAAAUUCCUUUACCAUCAACAUGACCUACAGGAUGUUUAUUUCUCACACAUAACGAUGACUGAAGAAUUUCCAAUUUGGUUGUUGGAAAACAACACAAAAUUAGAAUUUCUUUUUCUCGUCAAUGAUUCUCUUGCAGGACCUUUCCGAUUGCCAAUUCAUUCACACAAGAGGUUAAGGUUGUUAGAUGUCUCUAACAACAACUUGGAAGGCCACAUUCCAAUAGAAAUUGGAGAUAUUUUACCAAGUUUAUAUGUUUUCAACAUUUCCAUGAAUGCUUUAGACGGUAGCAUUCCCUCUUCAUUUGGUAAUAUGAACUUCCUCCAAAUUCUGGACUUAUCCAACAAUCAAUUGACUGGUGAAAUCCCUGAGCACUUGGCUGUCGGUUGCGUCUACUUGGAGUCUCUUGCGUUAUCAAACAACAACCUAAAAGGUCACAUGUUUUCUAGAAAUUUUAAGCUGGUAAACUUGAAAUGGUUACAAUUGGAGGGCAAUCACUUCGUAGGAGAGAUCCCACUAAGUUUGUCUAAAUGCUCUUCGCUAGAAGGAUUGUAUCUUGAUAAUAACAGUCUCUCAGGUAAGAUUCCACGAUGGUUGGGUAAUCUCACAUGGUUAAUACAUCUUAUAAUGCCCAAGAAUCAUCUUGAAGGUCUUAUUCCAGUGGAGUUUUGUCAUCUUCAUUCGCUUAAGAUUUUGGACAUUUCAGACAACAAUAUAUCUGGAAGUUUACCAUCUUGUUUCCUUCCUCUCUCUAUUGAACAAGUUCACUUGUCAAGAAAUAUGUUACAUGGACAGCUAAAAGAAGGUACAUUCUUUAAUUGCUUUUCCCUUAUGAAGUUAGAUCUUAGCUAUAACCAGUUAAAUGGUAGCAUUCCAAAAUGGAUUGAUGGGCUUUCUCAGUUAAGCCACCUUAUCUUGGCUCACAAUAAUCUUGAAGGUGAAGUACCAGUUCAACUGUGCGAACUGAACCAACUGCAAUUGUUGGAUCUUUCUAAUAAUAAUCUUCAUGGUGUUAUUCCUGAUUGCUUUGAUAACACCACACUUCAUGAAAGUUACAACAAAAAUUCUAGUCCUGAUAAGCCAUUUGAAAUGUCUUUUUCUGUCAGAGGCCCUCAAGAAAAUGUAAAAAAGAAAAUCCUUGAAAUUUUGGAAUUCACAACAAAGAACAUUGCCUACACUUACCAAGGAAAAGUGCUUAGCCUCCUAUCAGGACUUGAUCUUUCUUGUAACCAGCUAAUCGGUCAUAUUCCUCUUCAAAUUGGAAAUUUGACCAGGAUUCAAACAUUGAAUCUAUCACACAACAGCUUGAUAGGAUCAAUCCCAUCAACAUUUUCAGAAUUGAAGCAUAUCGAAAGUUUGGAUCUUUCUUACAACAAAUUGAAUGGGAAGAUCCCUUAUCAGCUUGUGAAGUUAAAUACAUUGGCUAUUUUUAGUGUGGCAUACAAUAACUUAUCAGGCAAGAUCCCAGAAUGGACUGCACAAUUUGCAACCUUCAACGUGAGUAGCUAUGAGGGAAAUCUUUUUCUUUGUGGAUUGCCAUUGCCCAUUUGCAGCCCACCACCAACUAUGCCAAGGGCUUUAACUAGCAAUGAAGGAGAUGAUAAUUUAAUUGAUAUGGAUAGUUUCUUUAUCACAUUUACAACAUCGUACGUAAUUGUGAUAUUUGGAAUCGUCGGCGUUCUAUAUGUGAAUCCUUAUUGGCGACGUAGGUGGUUUUAUCUUGUUGAAAUGUGGAUAAUUUCCUGUUAUUAUUUUGUCAUAGACAAUCUUAUUCCAACAAGAUUUUGUUAUUGAAAUUAAUAAGUAGUUUAAUUAAGAUCCUUUAAGUACUAAUCAAGUUUGCUUAAGAAAUAGUUUUUUUUUUAAUUGAAAACUACAAGAAAAAUAGUAUAUGACAACAUGCAAAGAGUGUUGUAGAAGGGAUAUCACAACAAGCAUAUGAACGUUGCGGUUCUUGAUGUAGCGAAAAGUAGGUAACUUUCGACUACGUGCAAUUCACGUUGUUGAAAAAGAUAUGAACGUUGUUAAAUAUCAUAUGACAACUUACAAUGAUUGUGGUUAAAAAGAUCAUGUGCUUCCAAACUUUCGACUACAAGCCUAUGAAUGUGGCUAUAAAUUAUAUAGCAACAAGCAACUAAAUGUCGCCAUUAAUUCUAAUUUUUAUUUACAAUAAACCACAUAUCCUGCAUGUUGUCAAAAAAACAACAAUAUAUUAUUAAUAAUUAUUAUUAUCAUUAUUAUGACUACUAAUAUUAUCAUUUUUAUUACACUAUUACUGCCGCCAUAUGUAAAAUUCAUGCGAACUAAUUCUACAAUUUGACUUGUUAUAAUAAGUUUUCAUAAACUUAGUAAUAAGCACACAUCACAGCUAAGGGUCACACCAACAUUUUUGUAUUCAUACAAAUUCUAUUACAUAGCAAAUAUGAAAAACACCAUAUACCAUCAGUUUAAAUUUCAUCUAGCCAAACACCCAAAAAAUUAGUAAAAAAACACAUUAGUGGCUGUUGCAAUUCCAUAAAUAUCAACUUAAAAAAAACCAUCUCCAACGAAAGCUUCUUCAAUUUAGCAAUUCCAUCAAAAACUUGUUCAGGGCAUAUAUACACUCCUAAAAAAAUAUUAACUGAAUCAAUAUUCAUUUGUUGCAUUUGGAAUAUAAUUAUACACACACACACACACCCAAGAAGAAUAUUUUAUGCCUACAUACCUUUUUUAAAACAAUUUGAUACAACUUCCUGAUUAUUUCUCAUUUCUCUAAACUUCUUGCUUAUUGCCUGUCCGGCAAAUAUUAAAAUGUAUAAUUUUCAUAGACAUGAAACUUAACAUGGAUACUAUAAGUGCAAUGCUACGGACUAGCUUACUUUAAAUUCUGGAGAUAAUCUUUACUUGACAAUAUUAGCCCAAUCUUCUUUGAAAAUUAUACUUUUUUGGCCUAAUAAGAGCAACCAGCUCUGUCAUGUACUUUUUUGGUUUCCUUUAUCUUAGUUGUUAGCUCUGAUUUGUAUUGUCUCCAACAAUCACCCAUCGUUCUUAAUGCCAAGCAUUCAAGAUAAAAAAUGUAUUUCUAAAUAAAGAUAAUUACUAUGUAAUUCCAUAAACAUGCACCAAGGGCCAAUAGUUCGCUGUCAACUAAAAGCUAAUUUUCAAUGCACACAAGCACAUGCUCUCAUGUUAUAACUCUAAUAAAAGUGCAUAUUUGUAAGAAUUUACACCUACUAGCUGGCCAUAGUCGUUAAAUUCAAUGCUUAAUGAUGGAGAACAAUCUUGAAUCAUUCCAAGUUUGGUUGGACCUCUUUUGUCUUUUGGUGCAUCUAUCAUCAGAUUGAGGUUUGUGUGCAUUUUCCCUAUUGCUAGUUGCUAAUGAUCCAUUCUCCUCUUGAAUAGUUGCAUUUUCUCUAAAUUUAUCUCGACUUGCCUAGAAGACUUUGUAACGCAUAGCAAAAUUAAUGUAGGAAUAAACAUACUAGAAAAAAGUAUAUGAACAUGAAAAAGUAUAAUUUAAAGUUGAACAAAAAAAAAAAAUUCUUACUUAUACUAAACAAAAUGUAAUCACUCUCACUGGCCAAUAAUAAAUCUUGGAACCCUCUUUGUGGUUUUUUCAAUACUAAAUACUAAUUUGAUUUUUCAUUAUCCUUAGAAUAAAUCCAAAUUGGCUUUGUCCCUCAUGAAGUUUAACCAAAGUGAAUCCUUCGUCAACUUUAACACCAUUAACUAUAUUAGUUCAGUCACAUUUGAAAAUAGGGAACUAAAAGUAUUGUAAUCAAGCACUAAUAUAUCUCUCAAAACUCCAUAGUAAGUAACUUUUCCAAAAGAGAAAUCCAUUUUGAAUUUUAAUUAUACAAGGGGGAAACAGUACCUCAAGUUUGCUCUAUAAUCAGAUCCUAAAAUGUCACAGCUGAUUCAGGAGAUUAAUGGCAUUAACAGAAGUAACUAGUCAACAACGCCAAUAAGAGAUUAAAAUUGUGCCUUUCAAUUGAAAAAAAAAAUCAUUAUCCGUCUCACUAGUAAUAUUUACUCAUUUAAAUUAUUUUUACCGAAAUCAGUUUAUCUUGAAAAUAAAAUAUAAUCUUCAAAAUUAUCUUUUCCAUGUAAAAUAUUUAGCUUCAGGCGUUUCAAAAGAAAAUAAUCUUUUGGUUUCAAUCACCCACCACAGAAAAAGUAACAUUUAUUUUAUUCAUGCAUAACAGAUGAACCCCACAAGCAAUAAAGAAUUGUGCCACUUACCAAACAAUGAAUCUACAAUGGGACGAUGUCGAGUGAUUUUGAGUGAGAAGAAGUAUAGGGUGAAGACCCAAAUCUUCUAAAAACAAAAUAGGUGGAAAGAGUAAAUUAUUAAUUAAAUGGAAUUAGGGAAGUGAAAGUGAGCUUUAUCAAUGAAAUUGAAAAGAAGAGUACCUGAUACACUCAUUUCCUUGGGUGGGCAGCCGCCAUUACGAUGAAGAUUGAGAGGCCUGCUUUGCUUUAGUGGCAGAGAAAGAGUAAAGUGGUACUGCAAAGAGAACCGAGGGUUUCACUAAGUCAAUUUGUCUCUUUUUUCCCCCCUUUUUACCGCGCUUUAACCCGUGCGCGCAAAAUGAAAUUUUUUAUUUAUUACACAUUAUUUUCUAUUACUUUACUUUUAAAAAAAUAUUGUAGUUAAUGAUACCCUCAAAAAAUUUAUUUGUUAUAAUACUUUUAUGCAUAAAUUCCAUGAGCAACUAUUUAUGUUUUAAUUUUCACCAAUUUCAUAUUAAAUGAGAUAACAAAGAAUUUUACAAAAAAAAAAAUAUUUUCAACAACAUGCAACAUAUAAACGUUCUUAUUUAAAUAAUAAUUUUUGCAACAGGCAAUUCAUUGUUGCCUUAAAUAAUUAAUUGCAACAUGCAAAUUAUGAAUGUUGUUAUUACAUACUCCUAUACCGCAACAAAUGGUCGCUCGUUGUCGUAAGGUUUUAGACCACAGUCACUUUUUGCGUGUUGCUAAAACUUUAUAUUUACCAACAUGCAGUUUAUGACUGUUGUUAAUUAUAAAUUUGACAACAUUCCAUCUGUGCACGUUGUUAAAAUGAUGUUGCCUUAUCCCAAUUUUCUUGUAGUAGUAUUGAUCAUUAUAUCACUUCCAGCUUCAAAGCACCUAGCAUUUGUCUCUACACUUAGAAAGCUGGAUGAUUUUGCUUUGCAGAUCUAGAUUUGAAGUAGGAUGGUUCCAAACCCAUAUCUAUCUAUUGUAGCUUACCUAUGUUGUACAGCAUACUUAAACGAUAACACCAUCUCCAAUGUUAAAAGUAGCCAUUAUAUAAGAUUCUUAUGGAAACUAUAUUCGAAAUAGAUUUAUAAUCAUACAUAGGAAAUGAAAAACCUUGCUGCACUUGCUCGCCUAUUUUACUCUGAGCAAGAACAUCAUCUUUUUCAUUUGCAGCAUUAACAUCAAACCAAGGGAUGGAGACCCAGACAUUUCAUCAAGAAAGGCAUAAAUCUACUAAAGUUGAAGCUUUGACAAAAAAUUCAGUCGAAAGUCAAUGUCUGACCACAAGAAAGGGCACAACAACAUCAUUCUAGAAGAGAUGAAGCAAUAUUCUCAAAGCUAACGCUCUCAAAUACACCACACCAGAAUUUCAUAUCUCCUCGUCAAUUUUAAAAACUAAAGAUAAUUAGGAUUUAACAUUAGUUUGUUAUACAUUAGUUUCAUAAUUUACAAGCCAAUGAAGAUGAAGAUUAUGCCAAUGAAUUCAAAUUAUAUCAUACAUUCUCUGGAUGUUUCCAAAAAUUUACAAGUCGAUCCCACAUAUUUCAUAAUUCUAAGACUGGAAAGUUUCAUUAGUUAGAAAUUCAUUAUCUUCAAGUGGAAGAUGAAGAAAAACAUUAUGCAAGUGAUUCAUAUUAUAUCAUACAUUCUCCGAAUGCAACUAAAAUCAACAAGUUCAUGCCCACAAAUUUGAUAACAUUAUGAUUGGAAAGUUUCACAGAGACUUGAGAAAGGCAUUAUGAUUGAUUUGAGUUACUUUGUGAUCAAGCUACUAAUAUAACAUUCAAUUCAAGGAGGGAAUAAGUUGGGAAGAAAUAGUAGUAAAAAUUUGUUACUACAUAAUUCUCCUCAACUUUGAGAUAAAUACAAAUGUGAAAAUGUAUACGAUCUAAUAUUACAGAUAUGAAAAUGCAAAUGAUCACACAUAUUACUUGCAACUUAGCAAGCUUUAACUAAGAGGAGCAAUCAAACUACUUAUCAAUUGUCGUAGACAUUCCGUAAUCUAAAAUGGAAAUAUAAUGCAAGAAAAAGAACAUACAGAUACUUGGCAGAAGUUCAUUAAGAACUCCAACCAUAUUCGAGUCAUGAGUUUGCUUUUGAUAUCUUGUUAGCUGGGGUUUUCUCCUGUCUAUUGACGUAUGCUGAGGGAAAUGACACAACUUAAAAGUAAUUUUUAACUCCCAAGUCUAAGAGUGUCUUGUUGUAUUAUAACUCGGUGAGCCCGAUGUCGAUCCACAGAGAAAAGAUUUAAUUAGUUUACUUUAUUUUAACUAAAAAUUGAAAUUAAAACUUAAAUAUAAACAACUUAAUUUAAAUGAAACUAUGAAAUUAAACUAGUUAUGAUUAUGGAUCCACUCUUAGAAGUAAAUAAAACUUAAUAAAUUCUUUUUGCCCUUUUUUUACAUUUAUUGCCCAAAAGAUUAAUUAUAUAAAUUAUUAUUAUUUUCCCUUUAAUUUUAUGAUGGAUUAAGUAUUUAUUGUGCCAAAAUUUAAUUUGUCUACAAUAAGUCAAAAUACCAUUUUACCAUACCUUAUAUUAAGAUAUUAAGAAUUUAUUGUGCCAAAUUCAUUUGUUUGUCUACAAUAAAUCAAAAUUUCAAAAUAUAAAAUAUGUAUAAAAUUAAAUAGAAAAUAAUUUAAUUUAUAAAAUUAAAAAUAGAAUUUGCUUAAAUCAUAUUUAUUUCCUAAGAGUUUCACCUUCCCCUAACUAAUAUUAUUUAGUUAAGCAUAAUUAAAAUAAAAAGAAGUAGUAAAAUUGAAUUACUUAUAAUUAAAAGAAAUAAAAACAACUAAAAUUGGAAAUAAAAAUAAUUUUAUUUAUAAAAAUAAUUAUACAAAAGAUUAAAAACACACCUGGAAAUCAAGAUUAUAAGGAGAUGGAGAGAAUUUGAGAAGAAAAGAGUUGUAGAGAGAUGAUUAAAAACAUAAAAAUGAGGCUCUAUUUAUAGAAAAAUAAAUUCAUAAUCCAGUGCUUUGCGGUCCAUCAUAAGCUUCAUGCAUGUGCUCCUCACAACCUUUAGAUCAAGAUCCAAUGGCUGGUCAAACUUCAAAAGUCAACAUCACACGUGGCAUCGUUUGACUCGUUCGAUUUGCCCAAAGAACGGUUGAGAUUUGGAGGGUUAAUGGGUGGAUCAGGUCGACCCGAAUACAAAGAUUCGGAUCCUCCAACUUGCUUCACCAACCAUUGCCACGUGGCACACUCAUGGCCAUUGAAUCAUGAACGGUUGAGAUUUAGUCAAAAUUGCCAGCUAUCCCAUGCACUCAUACCUAUUGUAAGCUCAUUUCAUCAUCCAAUCAGUGCUUGGUCAACAGGAAAAGUCAACUUUUUUUUACACAAGCCCAAUUUUAAGCCGAUCUUGACUGAUUUUAAGGUUUUCGGACCUCCGGAAUCCAAAUUUGACCUUCGUUUAUCUGUUUGGAGCCUCGAAUUACGUGAAAUCAAUAUUUUUCCUAAUAAACACAUAAAAAUACAUAAAAUUAAAUAUAUUUAAAACAUAAUUAAUAAUUCCUAAUAUAUUACAUAAACAAAAAUAUAAAUUAUAACAUAAGCAUAAAAUAACAUAUUAUCGCUUGAUAAUUAAACAAUUUUUAAUACUAAUCACACCCCCCAACCAGCUUAUUGCUAGCCCUCUAGCAAUUAAAGCGUUAUAUUAAAUUAAGAUUUAUAAAAUUCACAUGCAAGUUAAUAAUUGUUCAUCUAUCUUCUAAAUUACCAAAUAAAUGAACUCUCCCAAAUUUCUUUACCAUAUUGAUGUUCCUUCAUUAUCCAGAAUAUCAUCAAACCUUCUUUUGUGCUCCAGUAAUUAACACAAUACUUAUGGGGCUUCAUUAAAAGAAAAACAACAUUUUCGUUACAAAAUUCAUUAGAAAUUAUAUCUUUAGGCAAUAGAUUAUUCACACACACACACACACACACACACACAUAUAUAUAUAUAUAUAUUUUAAAUAUUACAUUUCUAACCCGUGUAGCAAGCUUUAGGUCAGUGACUCCCAAACCAGUUGACCUUAGGGCACUAGGUGUUGAAACACCCCUACGGACUUAAUUACUCGGGUUUCUAGAUAUAACAAAAUUAAAAACAUUUUUUUUUCUUUUUUUUCUUUUUGUUUUUGUUUUUUUUUUUUUUUGCAAUAUACACUUUCUACUACCUUAGAUACUAUUCCUAAUAAAUCAAAAGAACUAAAUGCUGUAAAAUUUUAACUUACAACCCACUAGUAUGUAUCAUAAUGUGUGUGUGAAGAAUGAUUCAACAAUACCUGUUAAAUGAGUAAACAAUUAAAUAACUUAAUAACCAAGUGGAGAGUUCACAAAUUCGGGUAAUUCAAAGAAAAGGGAACAAAAACAAUUUACUAUGAAUCUCAAAAUCAAAAUAUAAUACAACAAGACUAUUAGGAUGCGUCUCAAAAGUCGUGACUCUUUACACGGCCAUCCUAGACAAAAACAAAAAUGUUUUUUUUUAAGAAAGAAAAGAAAAAAGAAAAGAGAAAAACAACACACAUAUUUAAAAACAUACGUCAAUUAUCCCCACUCCACAACCUAAUCUAAACAUUAUCUUAACAUUUUAUAAUUUUACAAAUAUGCAAAAAAUAAUAAUAAUAAUAAUAAAAGAGAAUAAUAAAAGAAAAAGAAGAGGAGAUCUCACCUGAACUUGAUGCAGAAGCUUAAAAGCGGAUAACAAAGAUGAAGAAAAAGUCAAUUUUUUUUUUUUAACAACACCCUUAAGACUAAGAAGAUGCGUUUCUAGAGGUACUGCAUUCUCUAUAUCCUGUCAUCUUCGACUCAAAUUUGUCCUAAGUUAGUCUUUACAGAAAAAAAAAAUUUUGUUUUUUUGUUUUUUUUUUUUGUAAACACAUCACCAGGACUAAGACAUUCCACAAUUAUUAACUAUUCCCUCCCCCUAACCUGAAAAAGACAUUGUCCUCAAUGUUUUAAAAGGAAAGAGAAAGAGUUUAGAAGACAACACAUGAACACUACAACAGAAAAUAUUUAGAGACGGAGAGUUAAAUCUAAAUCGCACUUCUUAUUACUGCUACUGUUACCGCUACCAUCAUUAGUUGACCAAUUCAGUGUAAAAGUUUUUGGAUUUGGCUCUGGUGUAUAAGCUUGUAAAAGAUCAAGUAACUCAUUAGUAGUAGAAGCAGAAAUAAAGAGUUUUUUUUAUAGAAUAUGGAACAAAAUGAUUCUUUAUUGCAUGGUUAAUAAAAGUUAGCAAGCCGUCAUAAAAAUUAUUAACAUUUAACAAACCGAUGGGUUUUUUAUGAAUGUUCAAGUGGGCCCAGGAUGCAAAUGUAAUUAGUGCCUCAAAAGUUGCAAGAUCUCCUGGCAAGAAAAUAAAAGCAUCAGCAUGAUUCAUCAUUUCAGAUAUUCUGUCUUGCAUACUUGAUACCACUAAUUCUUCUCCAAUUGGUGGGCCAAACAACUUCUGAGACAAGUCUUGAUAACCCUCGUUCACCUCCUCCAUAUGCAAGAUGCAGUUUCCUCUCUGCUAUGACACGACCAAGAUCUACAGCUGCCUGAACGAACUCUUUGUACUUUCCAUAGUAAAACCCAGAAAAGCACACAAAUGUUUUUGAAUUGUUUACUCGAAGAUGCUGCCAUUGGACUAAUUUUCAAAAACAAGUUGUGAGUGUUUGAAAAACGAGCUCAUAUUUAAAGAUCUUGGUGACAUAAAUAAUGAGAAACAGCUGUAAAUGGGUUGGCAUAUUUGUCAAAUGAAGAGUAAAGCUCGUGGCUCAAUAAUUCAAAAAUAAACAGUAAAAAGAAAAUAAUGAUUAGAAAAAGCAAACAGUAAAAGAAAACAAUAUUUAUUAAAUACAAAAUCACAUCACUAAAUGCAAUAAUACAAAUGAUAAAAUAACAGUGAAGUGAAAGGAUAUUUACUGGUAGUUGUGAUUGCGGCUCACAUCUUCCUCUGGUUUUACGUCCAGUAACGGCUUGAAUGCCCUCUAUGGGUCGAGGAUCGGCUUGCCAUCCAGUUUUCUUAUAAACUGGCAAACAUGGUCUUUUUGAGUCAGAUUCCCAAGACUAAACUGUGUACUUUAUUUUUGGAAUACUAUCCACAAAUUAUAAAUCUCAUGUUGCACAAAUUCACUUCAAUGCGUCUCAAGAGAUCGUAAGAUAUCAUCCAAUGAUUCUUUACUCAUGCCAUCUUUAACGAAUUUAAUUUUAUCUUUACGAGUAUCAGAAACCAUUCCUAAAGAUUUACAAUCUGGUCGUUUGCAACCAAGUCUUACACAGUUAUGACAUUUUGAGCCAAGUCGUUUAGCUCUCCUUUUCUUAGCAAACGUACUUUUACCAAAACCAGGCAUGUAAGAAACAAAUGGAUCAGAAAACUCACCUGCUAAUCAGACCUUUGCUUCAAUUAACCAACGAAUGUCAGAAGGAAUGCCAUUGAUCAUUAACAAACGCAGUCGUUCACAACGAGCUUUGUAAAUUUUCCUGAGGGCAUUCUGAGGGAGAGAGGGAAAAUGCUUAUUGAGUUUAUGUUGUAUUUCUUCCAUGUUUGAUUUUGGGGUUUCAGUUAUUGUGGGAAACUGAAGAUACCGACUUAAGAAGUCACGGAGUACCGUUAUCCGCCAUUUAUACGGGAAAAUAAAUCAAAACACACCAAAAUCAAAUCUGCAAAAUCAAAUCAAACGUGAAAGCGAGCAAAAAGAAACACACAAUAUAAAAGGAAAAUGAACUUACAUUCGUCCUCUCAUUGAGUUAACCUCAAGCUCUAAUUGAAAUUCAUAUAUGCCACUCUCUACUGUUCUGAGUUGUCCCUCUAAAUCCUCAACAUAAGACACGAAUUCUGGUGGUUGCAGAUCCCAAAGUGGAUGUGAUUUACAGCUUUGUAUCAGGCCUCUUAAGUGAAAUUUCACACGCAGAAAUCUUUUUAGAUGUGCGAACAUGAAUUUUCUCAUUGAGGUGCUCAUGAUGUAAAAUGAAAAUUGAUGAAAGAAUGUACAACUGUCAAACAAACACGCUUACACAAGAAAAACAAUGUUAAAAAAAAUAUGUACAGUGCAUCAAUCUAGAGAAAAAAAAAUCAAACAAUGAAAUGGUAAAAUAAUAGUAAAACAAAAAUAAAUAAAUAAAUCAUUAAAGACUUAAUCAAGAACUGGUAGGUCACCCAAAUUAAUUUCGGUGUCCUCGUCACGUGGGUGAUGUUCCAGAUAUGGUUUUAAUCUUUGACCAUUAACUUUAAAUGUGACACCAUUCUUUGAAUUCUCAAUUUCUAUGGCCCCAUAUGAAUAUACAUUUUUUACAACAAAUGGGCCACUCCAUUUUGACUUUAACUUCCCUGAAAAUAAAUGAAGACGAGAAUUAUAAAGCAACACUUUUUGACCAAUCUCAAAUGUUUUUCGAAAAAUUCUUUUAUCAUGAAAUGCUUUUGUUCUUGCCUUAAUAAUUCUUGAAUUUUCAUAUGCAUCAUUCCUUAAUUCCUCAAGUUCAUUCAAUUGCAAUUUUCACACAUUAUCAGCAUCAUCUAAAUUUGAAUUAAAAGCUUUAAUAGCCCAAAGUGAUUUAUGUUCAAGUUCAACAGGUAAAUGACAAGGUUUACCAUAAACUAACCGAUAAAGUGACAUUCCUAAUGACGUUUUAAAUGCAAUAUGAUAGGCCCAAAGUGCAUCAUUAAGUCUAAGCGACCAAUCUUUUCGGUUUGGGUCAACCGUUUUUUUCCAAAAUUUAUUUUAUCUCCCUAUUUGCUAAUUCAACUUGACCAUUUGUUUGAGGAUGAUAAGGGGUAGCAAUUUUAUGUGUAAUUCCAUAUUUCUUCAUUAAAGACUCAAAUGACUUAUUACAAAAAUGCUUACCUCCAUCACUGAUAAUGGCUCGAGGGAUUCCAAAUCGACUUAAAAUAUUUUCUCUUAAAAAUUUAACCACAGUUUUACUAUCAUUAUUUCGACAGGAAAUUGCUUCAAUCCAUUUUGAGACAUAAUCAACUGCAACUAAUAUAUACACAAAUCCAAAAGAUGAUGAAAAUGGACCCAUGAAAUCAAUUCCCCAACAGUCAAAUAUUUCAAUUUCAAGUAUGGGAUUUAAGGGCAUCAUGUUUCUUUUUGUAAUUGAUCCCAAUUUUUGACAUUUUUCACAACUUUUGCAAAAUUCAUAUGUGUCUUUGAACAUGGUAGGCCAAUAAAAUCCACACUGUAAAAUUUUAGCAGUAGUUUUUCUUGAAGAAAAGUGACCACCACAUGCUUCAGAAUGACAAAAAUUAAUGACACUACUUACCUCAUUAUCAGGAAUACGUCGCCGAAAAAUUUGAUCUGGGCAAUAUUUGAACAAAUAAGGGUCAUCCCAAUAAAAUUUCUUUACUUCAACAAAAAAUUUCUUUUUCUCUUGAGCAUUCCAUUGCAAAGGCAUUAUACCUGUAACAAGGAAAUUAACAAUGUUAGCAUACCAAGGCAUUGAAGUAACAGAAAAUAAAAAUUCAUCAGGGAAAGAAUCAUUUAUGGGUGUUAUAUCAUUGCAGAAUUCGGAUGUGAGUCUUGAUAAAUGAUCAGCAACAACAUUUUCAGCACCCUUUUUAUCUUUGAUGGUAAGGUCAAAUUCUUGUAGUAACAACAUCCAACGAAUUAGUCUUGGUUUGACAUCCUGUUUACUCAUCAAAUAUCUCACAGCAGCAUGGUCAGUAAACACAACAGAUUUAGAGCCAAGCAAAUAUGAACGGAAUUUGUUUAAUGCAAAUACCACAGCAAGUAAUUCUUUUUCAGUUGUAGAAUAAUUCAUUUGAGCACUAUUCAAAGUCUUACUCGCAUAAUAAAUCACAAAAGGCUUACCAUCCCUUCUUUGUCCUAAAACAAUACCAACAGCAAAAUCACUUGCAUCACACAUUAAUUCAAAUAACAAAGACCAAUAAGGAGAUUGCAUAAUAGGUGCAGAUGUUAAAAGACAAAUUAUUUUUUUAAAAGAUUUUUGGCAAUCAUCAUUCCAUUCAAACGGUGCAUCUUUUAAUAAGAGGUUACAAAGUGGUUUAGAUAUGGCACUAAAGUUUUUUAUAAACCUCUUAUAAAAUCCUGCAUGUCCUAAAAAGGAUCGCACAUCUCUAACUGUUUUUGGUUGUGGCAAUUUAGAUAUGACUUCGAUUUUUGCUUUAUCAACUUCAAUUCCUUUAAUAGAAACAACAUGACCCAAAAUAAUUCCAGAAGUAACCAUGUAGUGACAUUUUUCCCAAUUCAACACGAGGUCUUUUUCAACACAUCUUUUUAAAACUUUCUCCAAAUUAUCAAGGCAAUCAUCAAAAGAAUUCCCAAACACAGCCAAAUCAUCCAUAAAGACCUCUAAACAAUGUUCAACCAUAUCACAAAAAAUGCUUAACAUACAUUUUUGAAAUGUUGCAGGAGCAUUACAAAGCCCGAAUGGCAUUCUUUUAAAUGCAAAUGUUCCAAAAGGACAUGUAAAUGUGGUCUUUUCUUGGUCCUCAAGUGCUAUAGGAAUUUGAUAAUAGCCUGAAUAUCAAUCUAAAAAACAGUAGUAGGGAUGUCCUGCUACUCUUUCUAAUAUUUGGUCAAGGAAUGGUAAUGGAAAAUGAUCUUUUCUAGUGGCUUCAUUUAAUUUUCUAUAAUCAAUGCACAUGCGCCAACUAGAUGUAAUUCGCGUUGGAAUUAAUUCACCUUUUUUCAUUUUUAACAACAAUGAUUCCAGAUUUUUUAGGCACUACUUGUGUAGGACUUACACACUUACUAUAAAAAAUAGGGUAGAUAAUUCCCACAUCAAGCAAUUUAAGGACUUCUGUUUUGACAACCUCUUUCAUGUGUGGGUUUAAUCUUCUUUGAGGUUGUUCACAUGUUUUAGCAUUUUCUUCCAAAUUAAUUCUAUGUGUGCAAAUUAAGGGAUUAAUACCUUUAAUAUCAUUUAAAGUCCAUCCAAUUGCAUUUUUAUACUUUUUAAGAACAGGUAGUAACUUACCUUCUUAGUCGCUUGUUAAAAUAGAAGAAAUCACAACAGGAUAAGUUUGUUCUUCUCUAAGAAAAGUAUAUUUCAAUCCUUCAGGCAAAGGUUUCAAUUCCAUUUUAGGUGCUUCUUGUUGUUCUGUCUUUUCAAUACUUCCAAGCUCCUCAAAUUUUGGCUCGUCAUCAUAAUUUUGUGAAGUCUGCACAGAAUCAAGCAACGAAUUUAUAUUAGAAAUAUUUAGUUCAAGUUGCUUAUUUGACUCAAUUGAAUUAACUAAAUAAACAUUUGAGAGUUUAGAAAAAUCCCCUUUUUGAAUAUUUUUCUUGAUACAAGAUUCAAACAAUUCAUUUUGUUCAUCAGUAUCAUCUUCAUUCUCAUUUUCUUUAUUAGGUUGCCUGCACAUGUUGAAAACAUUUAAUUCCAAAGUCAUAUUCCCAAAAGAUAAAUUCAUUAAACCAUUCCUACAAUUAAUCAAAGCAUUAGUAGUUGCUAAAAAUGGUCGACCUAAAAUUACAGGAAUUGGUUUGUAAUUAUUCACAACAGGUUCAGUUUCCAAGACAAUAAAAUCUACAGGAUAGAUGAAUUUAUCAACUUGUACUAAAACAUCUUCCACUAUUCCUUUUGGUACUUUAACUGAUCUAUCGGCAAGCAAAAGUGUAGUUGAAGUUGAUUUUAACUCACCAAGAUUAAGUUGAAGAUAAACUGAAUAAGGAAGCAAAUUAACACUAGCUCCAAGAUCUAGUAAAGCAUGCUCAAUUUUGUGAUUACCAAUAAUACAAGAAAUGGUAGGACAACCAGGAUCUUUAUAUUUCAACUUAUUAUUAGUAGACAGAAUUGUACUUACCUGUUCGGCCAUGAAAGUACUCUUUCUUACCUUCAAUUUCCUCUUAACAGUGCACAAGUCCUUUAAAAAUUUGGCAUAUGAAGGUACCUGCUUGAUUGCAUCUAAUAGAAGAAUGUUAACUUUCACUUGCUUAAAGAUUUCAUAAAUUUCAGAAGAGUGGUUUAUUCAAUGCAUGCGGAAAUGGUGGUUCAGGUGGAACACUAGUUAUUUCUUCACUAGGUGUAAGUUCAUUUAGUCCUUCCUUACCCUUUGAAUUUUCAUUAUUUUCAUAAGGUUCAGGCAUAGGUCUAUCAACAACCUUACCACUACGAAGAGUUAUAACUGACUUGACUUGGUCUGUGGGUGGAUUUUGUUGAAUUUUAGGAUUUGGUUGUGGUUGAGCUGGAAAUUUUCCUUUUUCUUGAAUGGUGAGUGCAUAAGCAAUUUUAGCAAGAGUAUCUUUCAAAUCAGAAAAAGUUUGUGCAUUUUGAUUGUUAAUAACAUCUUGCUUUCUGAUGAAUGAAUGCAUUGUGCCUUCCAGAUUUUUCCAGGGUGGUGGAACAUAUGGUGCAUAAGGCUGAGGAUUUUGAAAAUUUUGUGGAGGUGGUGCUUGUGAAGAUUGUGCAUUAUUAUUAUUCCUCCAACUGAAAUUCGGAUGAUUUCUCCAACCAGGAUUAUAAGUCUAUGAAUAUGAGUUUGGUUUAUUGAAAGUGUUAAUGACAUUAGCUUGAUCAUUUAGACAUUCUUUAAGUGUAGGCAAAGUGGGACACUCUUGAGUGAAAUGAUCAUUCGAACUACAUAUGUUACAUGCAAUUUCUUGAACAUAUUUUACUUGAUCACUCUUUUUAUGCUCCAAAGCUUCAACUUUCCUAACUAGGGAUGCAAAUUUUGCUUGUAAAUCAUGAUCUUCCCUAAGGUUAUAGAUUCCUCCACUAGAUGGAGAUGAUUGUUGCUUAUUUGUCAAUUCAAAAAUUCCAACAGUAUCCCAAUGUUGUGUAUUUUCAGCUAAUUGGUCAAGGUAAUCUAGUGCAUCUUCAGGAUUUUUAUCCCUAAAUUCACCAUUACACAUCAUUUCAACAACCGGUCUACUUUGGGGUAUUAAGCCCUAGUAGAAGUAAGUGACCAAUCGCCAAGUUUCAAAACCAUGAUGUGGGCAUAUGUUAAGCAACUCUUUAAACCUAUCCCAACAUUGGUAUGAUGUUUCUCCAUUUUUUUGAGUGAAAGAAGUGAUUUGCCUUUUAAAAGAAUUUGUUCUAUGAGGUGGAAAUAAUUUUUUCAAAAACUGUUCUUACAUGUUAUUCCAAGUUCUUACUGAUCCAGAUCUAAGGUUUUGUAGCCAAGUUUUUAUCUUUUAAUGAAAAAGGAAAAAGCUUUAAUCUAAUUAUGUUCAUGCUACAAUUUUGGUCCGUGUAUGUAUUACAAACUUCCUCAAAAUCUCUUAGAUGCAAGUACGGAUUCUCAGAUUCUAAACCAUGAAAUGUUGGUAAAAGUUGGAUAAUACCUGGUUUAAAGUUGAAUCGAGAUGCUUCUGGAGGAAAUACUAUACACGACGGUGCUCCAGUCCUGGUUGGAUUCAUGUAGUCUCUCAGAGUUCUUGGUUGAUUUUGAUCAUGCCCAUGUUGGGAUUGGUUGUCUCCCUGAUCAAUUUGAGGGUUAAGUUCGCCCAAAACGUUUUCGUCUUGAUUCUCAUCCAUGAUUGGUGGUGGAGAUUGAGAUCUACGAAUUAACCUGCCACUUGAAGAUCGAGACCAACGUCUCAUGCAAUGGUUAUAUUAUAAAGAUAAUAUUUACACAAAUUGAUAACAAAAUAAAAUUAAAAAAAUUAAAUAUGCAAAUAAUAUAAGUGUACGAAAGAAAAUUAAAUAACAAUUUUGGUGGUUGAACCCACCAAUUAACAAUAAAUUAAGUAUAAAAUAAAUGCAAAAGAAAGAAAAAGAAAAAAAAAUGGUGGUUGAACCCACAAGUUAAAAAAAAUAAAGCAAAAAAAAUACAAAAUUAAAUAAAUACUGAAAAUUAAAUAACUGAAAAUAAAAAUUAAGAGUUAGUAGUUAGUUUGGUGGUUAAACCCACCAAUAAAGCAAAAAUAAAUAAAUAAAUACGAAAUAAAAUAAAUGUAGAAAAUUAAAUAACUGAAAUUAAAAAAAGUUAGGAGUUAGCAGUUAGUAAUUAAGAGUUAGUAAUUAGAGUUAGUAAUUAAAGUUAGUUUGGUCCAAAUUAAGUCCAAAAUAAGUCCAAAUAUGUCCAAAGUAUGUCCAAGUCUUGAUUAUUUUGAGGAAUUUCGUCUAGGGAUUCUAUUGCAAAUUAUUUUUAAUUUUAUGGUCAAACUAUAAUUUUUAGAAGUUUAGAAUUGAGCAAUUUGGGAUGAAAGUGAAAUGAUUGAAAGAUGUUGGGGUGAGAAUGUAAUUACCAGAAGAUUGGGCUAGAAACGGAAAUUGUUGGGGUGAAACGAGAAUUAUGAAAGAUAUGGGGACAAAAGAGAAUUUAAGAAAAGGAAAGGGGGCAAACGACAUUUUACAUAUAAGAGAAAAAUAAAAAACGGAAAAACAAACCAAAUAAAAAAAACUUUUCCCCGGCAAUGGUACCAAAAACUUGACACAACUUAAAAGUAAUUUUUAACUCCCAAGUAUAAGAGUAUCUUAUUGUAUUAUAACUCGAUGAGCCCGAUGUCGAUCUACAGAGAAAAGAUUUAAUUAGUUUCCUUUAUUUUAACUAAAAAUUGAAAUUAAAACUUAAAUAUAAACAACUUAAUUUAAAUGAAACUAUAAAAUUAAACUAGUUAGGGUUAUGGAUCCACUCUUAGAAAUAAAUAAAACUUAAUAAAUUCUUUUUGCCCUUUUUUUACAUUUAUUGCCCAAAAGAUUAAUUAUAUAAAUUAUUAUUAUUUUCCCUUUAAUUUUAUGAUGGAUUAAGUAUUUAUUGUGCCAAAAUUUAAUUUGUCUACAAUAAGUCAAAAUACCAUUUUACCAUACCUUAUAUUAAGAUAUUAAGAAUUUAUUGUGCCAAAUUCAUUUAUUUGUCUACAAUAAAUCAAAAUUUCAAAAUAUAAAAUUAAAUAGAAAAUAAUUUAAUUUAUAAAAUUAAAAAUAGAAUUUGCUUAAAUCAUAUUUAUUUCCUAAGAGUUUCACCUUCCCCUAACUAAUAUUAUUUAGUUAAGCAUAAUUAAAAUAAAAAGAAGUAGUAAAAUUGAAUUACUUAUAAUUAAAAGAAACAAAAACAACUAAAAUUGGAAAUAAAACUAAUUUUAUUUAUAAAAAUAAUUAUAAAAAAUAUUAAAAACACACAUGAAAAUCAAGAUUAUAAGGAGAUGGAGAGAAUUUGAGAAGAAAAGAGUUGUAGAGAGAUGAUUAAAAACAUAAAAAUGAGGCUUUAUUUGUAGAAAAAUAAAUUCAUAAUUCAGUGCUUUGCGGUCCAUCAUAAGCUUCAUGCAUGUGCUCCUCACAACCUUUAGAUCAAGAUCCAAUGGCUGGUCAAACUUCAAAAGUCAACAUCACACGUGGCAUCGUUUGACUCGUCCGAUUUGCCCAAAGAACGGUUGAGAUUUGGCGGGUUAAUAGGUGGAUUGGGUCGACCCGAAUACAAAGAUUCGGAUCCUCCAACUUGCUUCACCAACCAUUGCCACGUGGCACAAUCAUGGCCAUUGAAUCAUGAACGGUUGAGAUUUAGUCAAAAUUGCCAGCUAUCCCAUGCACUCAUAUCUAUUGUAAGCUCAUUUCAUCAUCCAAUCAGUGCUCGGUCAACAGAAAAAGUCAACUUUUUUUACACAAGCUCAAUUUUAAGCCGAUCUUGACUGAUCUUAAGGUUUUUGGACCUCCGGAGUCCAAAUUUGACCUCCGUUUAUCUGUUUGGAGCCUCGAAUUACGUGAAAUCAAUAUUUUUUCUAACAAACACAUAAAAAUACACAAAAUUAAAUAUAUUUAAAACAUAAUUAAUAAUUCUUAAUAUAUUACAUAAACAAAAAUAUAAAUUAUAAUAUAAGCAUAAAAUAACAUAUUAAACAAAAAUAUAAAUUAUAAUAUAAGCAUAAAAUAACAUAUUAUCACUUGAUAAUUAAACAAUUUUUAAUACUAAUCAGGAAACCAACCAGCCUUGCCCUUGCAUUCACCUUUCGACCAUCCAGUAGGAGCCACCUUGAGAAGUUAUAGCCAAAAAAGGUGAGUUAAACAGAAGUUGACCAUUCAAAGACUUGAGGUGAAAUAAUUAAAGCAAAAUAGGCUAAUUCUUUUACUUGAAAAGAGUGAAUUAGUUGUGAUUAUUGAAAUUGGAUUAACCAUGGAAGUAUAACAAGAUAUAAAUUCAUGUGAAAUUCUUAAAUGGAAAUAUAAGAUUAGAGCUCCUCAAUUUGCUUUUAAUUCAGCUAGACAACUAAGAGUGAUUUAUAGGUGAAAGUAGUUUGUAUAAGCAUAAAUUUAAUUUUUAGCAGUUCAGUAAGAGUUAAAUCCUUUUGAAUCAUCAAAAUAUCCAGAUUUAUUUCACCCUUUUGAACAGAGGAUAUAGCAAUUUCACUAGGAUUUAUUGUCAAAGUAGGUAAUGCACAGCAAAGAUUUUUUUAAAAACAAAUAACCUAUAAAAAGUACACACAUAUAACGUAUUAACAAAAUUACUUCAUUCUACAACAAUCCGUUUAUAUUAUAGUAAUUGGUUUAGUCGGCAACAAGCACUAUAAUCCCUUAAAUAAAUUUUUUUAUGUAAUUUUCUAUAAAUUUCAAAAAUCAAUUAAACUGGAGCUAAGACCAUUUCUAGUUUUCAGAUAAAAUAACCAAUCAAACAUUCAAAUUAACAGUUUAGGGUAAACUGCGUCAUUUAGAACUGAGCUAGCAGCCUUAUUAUAUUCUGAUUUGCACUUCAAUGUAAAAGGGAAUAUGUGACAGGAAGAAAGAAAACCAAUCAUCGUUUGUUAACUGAGCUAUCAUUCUUGUAUUUAUAAGCAAAUAUCAAGACUUUAGAUCACCAGCUACAUCAUGAGUGGCUACACAACUUUGCAGUGGUUUGUCUUUUUUUGGCAUGCCUAACUCAACUUCGACAUUGUUGAGAUAUUGGCAGUAGAGACACAUGAUACUUCUAGCUAUGCAUUCUAGCUAGCUCAUCCUGCAACGUUCUCUUUUUAAUUCAUUGGUGUUUGCUAAACCUCAUGCUUAGAAGUCUUGUUCUCCUAAACAAAGUUUCCCUAAGAAUGACUCCUUCAGCACCACAUUUUAACACUUUUUAGAGCAAUUUUAUUGGGGGAAAAGAAUUUUCAAGGUGUUAACUACUAAAUUUUAAAAGAUAAUUACGAUUUUGACCUACAAUCAUAUGACAAUUUAUCUGGGAUGAAAGGAUACAGACAGACAUAUUCCACUUUCAAGACUAAUCACUACUUCUCUAGGUGUUGUGCUAUAUUACAAAUACUUGACCAGAGGGUAGUGAAAAUAGAAAAGAACUUUAUUGCUCUACAAUUAAACUAAGAAUGCAAUGUGUCAAGCAAAAGACUGUGCAACAUCAAAUUGAUUGAUAAGUUUCAAAUUCAGCAAAUUAACAACUUUCAUAGGAGAAUACAACAAAUUUCUUUUAAAAAAAUAAAAAAUUAAGUCUUAAUUAAAAGAUAACAUUCCAUUUUGUUUAUAUCUCUUCUAUGUUAUUUCUUAAGAUUUUUCAAGAGGAGGACAAUAAAGGGACUUUCAACCAUGCAAGAGAGCAUAAGCCUUACUUUCGCUAUAAAGUAGGCAUCAUUAUGAUUAAUAUGCGUUUGUAAAUCAGCUCUAUUUGAAUCAGCAUUCUGAUGGCCACGUAAGGCAUUUACAUCCAUUUCCAAAGUCACAUGUUGCGUGGAGGACUCAUUUGAUUCCUCCUCUAGGAUCAUCUAAUUUGAGUAGCAAGGGUUGGAAGAGAAUACAAAGUCACAAUUAUUCUUUUGCAUAAGAGAGACGAAAAUGAUAAAGGCAAUAUUAUCAGUAGUCAACAAGAAGAAAAUGCUUCAAGGGAUAGAUAGAUGCAGACAAGUGAGUCAAAAUGCUUAGUCCCAAGCCUCAGGAUACAAAUUCUCUACAACAGCAAUAACGUGUUGAUGAUAUGUUUUCCGAGCAUCUACCUGCAAAGGCCCAAGACCAGGAAAGUAAAGAAAGAAAUACACUUGACAUAAAUCUUAACAAGAAGCAUAAUUUAAGACAUAACAAAACCCAGUCAUUGUUUAGAACUACAUUUGUUAUUGUAACAUUUCAAACAAACGUUCACUUAAUUCAACACUGUUGGAAGGAUAGGCUUUCAGAAGUAAAAGAAAGCUACUCGAACCAAAGUGAUUGUCCUUGUAUUAAUCAAGGGAUGUAAACAUCUUACAUUUGCAGGAUGAGUUUUAAUCACUUAUUUAAUAACACAUACCCUUGAUUUAUUAGGGUUGCAGUAAAGUUAGAAAAUAUUGAUCAAAUUCUUCCAUUGAAACAAACUUAGUAAACAAAGCUAAGUGAGCAGCUGUUUGACUUUCAAGCAAACAGCUAAACCAGAUAUUAAAAUUCAAAUAAAAUCAUUAAUAGACUAAUAACAGGCCAUCUUGCAUAAAAAAAUUAAGUUUAAUUUGUGAAUUUUUUUCCUAUAAACAUGUUAGGUCCUACUAUAUUGAAAUGUUAAAAGCACUAAACAAUUAUUCAAUAAAUUAUGCAAACACUAAAAUAGAGACUUAUUAAUUAAAAGAUUUUUGGUUAGUAACCGAGAAUGUCGGAGAGCUCCGAUAACCAAGAACUUCAAGACAACCCUACCCUGCUGAAAGUGCCUCCACCGCCGCUAAAUGAAGAUCAGUCCACUAAAAAGGCGCGUUUUCGCAGUCAUGGUACAGCUGAAGAUAAUCCAACGCCGCUAUCCUUCAAGGAAGCGCUUGUUCCCUCUAACCAACAUAGGAACUUUGAUUCCGCUGAGAUGGAUGAAGACUGGGACUUUGAACCUGGCGAUGUGAUGGUUGGAGAAGAUGACACCAUGCCAACUAUUGUGUUCUCGAAAAGAGUCCAUGAUAAACUGACUAAACCUUGGCAAAAUUCUGUGGUAGUGAAGUUAUUGGGGAGAAACAUUGGGUAUAAGGUUUUAUGUAACCGUCUAAAGGUAAUGUGGCCUAUGAUUCAUGAUUUAUCUGUGAUUGACCUCGAGAACAAUUAUUAUUUAGUUCGUCUCCACUCAACAGAGGAUGCAGUCUAUGCUUUAACAGAGGGGCCAUGGGUUAUCUUUGGGCACUAUUUAACAGUGCAACCUUGGACUCCACUUUUCGACAGCACCGUUACUGAUAUUGCCUCAGCAACUGUUUGGAUCCGCUUACCUGGCAUGGCUUUUCAUUUAUACGACAAGCGUGUUCUGCGGGAAGUUGGACAACUUGUGGGCACAAUUAUUAAAAUUGAUUAUCAUACCGAAUCAAGGGAGAGGGGAAAGUUUGCGAGGAUUGCUGUCCGUGUUUCUCUUUCUCAGCCUUUGGUGUCUCAAUUUAAUCUGGACGGAAAAAUUCAGAAGGUUGAAUACGAAGGGCUGCCAAUUAUAUGUUACCAGUGUGGUAAAUAUGGCCACACCAGCAGUACUUGUCCUGAGAAACAAGCUGCGAAUGGGGCUAGGGCCGAGAGUUCGGUGAGAUCUCCACCAGUCAACGUGACAGCUGAUAAGGAUGGCGCCUCAGCUAUGGCUAAUAACAGUGGUGAGAAAUUCGGUCCAUGGAUGAUUGUGGCACGAAGAGGGAGACCUAAAGGAGUUAGGGACAAGGAGAAUAUCACCGAUUCAGAAAGGAAUCAGCGUAUUAACUAUACUACGGCUUCCCGUUUUGCUGCUUUAGUUGAUGGGCCUGAUACAAUUACUGUGACAUAAAUUGAUGUUCAAGAUCCCACCAUUGUCCCCCCCAACAACCAGCUAAAUCCAUUACCGACCACUUUCACACCCGAAGGAACCACCCUCUGAAAAUCCGUAGCACCCUAAAGCCUCAUAAUCACCUAUCCAAAGCUAAACAAGUGGCCAAAUCACACCUUAAAGCCUCAUCAUCUACUUCCAUGCAUGCAAACUUAUGUCCCAAUGUUCAUAUGGAUCACUCCACCCAUAAUAAUGUCCCGAUCCAGUAUCCCUUAGGACAUCCUUUUAGCUUGCCCGUUGAACCUUCGUUCACCUUGACCACCCUGAAUCCUCACAAGCAUACUGCCGUGACCUUUCCCAUAGCCAACCAUGAGAUUGUGGGUAAUCAACCAGGCUACUCAUGUGGAAAAGUGGCUGAUAACCUGGAGCAGCAACUCUACCCAAAGCAAUUAGCUGAUCCUCCCAAUGUAAGAGAAGACGGAGCUGUUAAUCCGAUGGAGUUUUAUGAUGGUGACCCUCAACUUGCAAUUGGCAAUGAAGAGGAAGACAUUAUGUCUGAUGAUGAAAAUACUAGUGUUAAUGAAACCCCCAGAGUGCAUGGAGGAGGGGCCCUAGGGCCUAGAAUGUAAGGACUCCAUGCUCCCCUGUUUUGCUUAUAUCUUUAAUGAUGUACAAUAUAAUGUUUUGGAAUUGCCAAGGAGCUUUUUUGCCGGGAUUUUGCAGGACUUUUAAGACUAUUGUCAGUAAUUAUAGACUGAAUCUGGUGGCCUUAUCCAAGCCUCGCAUUAGUGGAGUAAAGGCUGAUGACUUCAUUAAAAAAAAUGGCUUCCAGAGGUCUCAUCGGGUGGAAGCUAGGGGUUUUUCUGGUGGCAUUUGGAUUUUGUGGGAUGACAGUUUUGAGGUGGAAUUUAUCAUCAAUCAUAAUCAAUUUAUUCACUUUAAAAUAAUUGAUUUGAAAGGUUGUAGUUCCUGGGUCACAGCAGUUUAUGCGAGUCCGAUACCCAUGGUAAGGAAAAUUUUAUGGUCGGAGUUAGAUAAAGUUGCCAAGUCUGUUGAUGGUCCGUGGAUGAUUGGUGGGGACUUCAAUGCAAUUAGAAGAGUAUCUGAAAAAAAAGGAGGGUCAGCCAGGACAAGUGGUGUGCGUGAACUCUUUAAUGGAUGGUUCCAUCGAAACCAUCUCAUGGAACUUGUCUUUAAGGGACCCAAAUACACAUGGUCAAGAGGCAACUUAUCGAAAAGGUUAGAUCGGGUGAUUUGUAAUGAAGAGUGGAUGAUGAUGAACGAUGAGACAGAAGUUUUCCACCUCCCCAAAUUAAAUUCCGAUCAUAGACCGGUGAUGUUUCGUUGCAAGAAAUACAAUUCCGCUCCUACGGGGGUGAAACCUUUUCGGUUUUUGGCUCCCUAGCUAACUGAUGAGAGAUUCCAACCCUUUGUGGAAAAUAACUGGAGGAGCAAUUUGAACUACACUAAUGUUGUGGAUGAUUUUAUCAACAAACUGGGAAACUGGAAUAAAGAUAUUUUUGGCAAUAUUUUUAAAAGAAAAAAAGAGAUGCUGGCUAGAAUAGGUGGCAUUCAACGCUUUCUGGAGAAGCGUCAGUCUAGGAGUUUAAGCAAGCUAGAAUCUAAGCUAAAGAGGGACCUUGAAAAAGUGUUAACUCAAGAGGAAGUGCUAUGGUUCCAAAAAGCUCGAAGAGAAUGGAUUGUCUGUGGGGAUAGGAACACAACCUUUUUCCAUCAAAAAUCUAUAAAGAGACGCCGACGAAAUAAAGUGGGUAUGAUAAAAAAUGAUGAGGGGCAGUGGAUCCAUGACGAAGCUGAUAUUAAAGCCCAUGCAGUCUUUUAUUUUUGUAAUUUGUACACGAAGGAGGGAGGUGUUCCUGUCCAAUACCCUUUUACUCUUGACUUCCCUUUAAUUGAUAAUGUUGUGCUUAACAAUCUGAUCAGAGGUGUUGAUGAUGCAGAGAUUAGAGAUAUUGUCUUUACCAUGAGCCCAUUGAAAGCCCCGGGUAUAGAUGGCCUUUAUGCCAUUUCCUUCCAGACUCAAUGGCACGUGGUGGGGUCUUCAGUUUGUCAGCUUAUUAAAGAGUUUUUCGCGGGAAAGCAAUUGCCCCAGGAAUUGAACCAAACUCUUCUUGUGCUGAUUCCCAAGAUCAAUAAUCCAUAUUCUCUCAAAUUAUUUAGACCUAUUAGUCUUUGCACAGUGGUGUACAAGACUAUAACUAAAUUGGUAGCUAAUCGCCUCAAAGCCAUUUUGCCGCAAAUCAUUGGCCCUGCUCAGACGAGUUUUGUUCCUGGGAGACAUAUAGUCGAAAACGUCAUCGUUGCCCAAGAAAUCAUUCACUCUAUGAGGAACAAAGGGGGCAAAACUGGUCAGAUGGCUAUCAAGGUUGACUUGGAAAAGGCGUAUGAUCGUUUGAGUUGGGAUUUUAUUCAGGAGACUCUGGGGGUGAUUGGGUUGCCGAUGGAUUUGAUUCGUAUUAUAAUGGAGUGUAUAACCACAGUUUCGAUGCAACUCUUGUGGAAUGGUGAGCUCACGGAGAGUUUUAACCCAUCUAGAGGAAUCAGACAUGGGGACCCUUUGUCCCCGUAUAUUUUCGUCAUGUGCAUCGAGAGGCUAAGUCACGGUAUCAAUCAUGCAGUUGGGAACGGGCGUUGGAAACCCAUCAGGCUUAAUCGUGGAGGUAUUCCUAUUACUCAUUUAUUUUUCGCUGAUGAUCUUCUUCUUUUAGCGGAGGCUUCUAGUCAGAAUGCGCAGGUGAUCAAUGAGGUCUUGGAUACUUUUUGUGUAAGCUCUGGCGAGAAAGUGAGCAGAGAAAAGACCCAAAUUUUCUUCUCUCGAAAUGUUUAGAAGAGCACAAUCCGAGAGAUAAGGAAUACACUCGGAUUUUCAGUUACGAAGAACCUCGGUAAAUACCUUGGUAUGCCCAUCAUUCACUCCCGAGUUACCAAGGCAACUUAUCAAGAUAUUCUAGAUAAAGUACAGCAGCGUUUAUCAGGCUGGAAUGCCAAGCAUCUCUCUCUAGCGGGCAGGAUCACUUUGGCACAAUCGGUAAUACAAGCUCUCCCAGUUUAUGCCAUGCAAUCAACGAAAAUUCCAGCUUCGGUUCUUACCAAAAUUGAGCAAAGAUGUAAGCAUUUUAUCUGGAGUGGAAAUGCCGAACAAAGAACAUUGAAUCUCAUCCGGUGGGACACUCUUUGCCAACCCAAGUCAUGUGGGGGCCUUGGUCUUAAAGAUUUAUCUCAUAUGAAUAUGGCUUUGAUGAUGAAAAUUGGGUGGGGUUUAGUCAACUCUCCUAAUACUUUUUGGGUCCAGGUGCUGGCUUCUAAGUAUAAGGUUGAUACCACUUGUCUUCCUGGCAGCUUACAAACGAGGAACGGGUCUUACUUGUGGCGUGCUGUGGGGAAGGUUUGGGAUCAUGUGUUGAAGGGAACUCGUUGGGCUCUUGGGGAUGGAAAACGAGUGCAAUUUUGGUGGGAUUUAUGGCUCAGUGAGGCUGAUAACUUACAAUCAUAUGCCACGAACCCAAUUCCUGAUCAGCUGAUUAAUUUGUGUGUGGCUGAUUUUUCAGAUAACAAUGGCAACUGGAAUUGGCAUUUAUUUGCUCAUUUGCUUCCCAACCACAUAAUUCUAAAGAUUGCUUCAGUUAAAGCUCCUUGUGCUCUUAGUGGUGAGGAUCAAUGUUACUGGGCUUACUCUAAUACAGGUCAAUUCACGGCGAAAUCUGCGUACCUCUCUUUGCACCAAUCCAAUAAUGUGGCCGAUAAAUCUUUGUGGAAUUUGGCUUGGAAAUGGAAUGGACCUCAAAGUAUCAUAACAUUUAUUUGGCUCGCCAUGAGCAAUAGGCUGAAAACAAAGUCGGAGCUUUUUCGAAGGCACAUUACUAUGGAUGCCACUUGUUGUAGUUGCGGCCAACACUUGGAAGAUACCAUUCAUGUGUUGAGGGAUUGUAUCAUUGCCCGGCAUGUGUGGCUCAGUUUGGUGCCUCAUACUUUAUGGAAUAAUUUUUUCGAUUUGGACUUGACGAGUUGGAUCUACUACAAUCUCAAGAACACGGGUUUGAUUAGGAGAGAUGAUAAUUGGCCCUGUAUUUUUGGUGUUGCUCUGUGGCGGAUUUGGUAUUGGAGAAACCAAUUCAUUCACAAUAAAGAAAUCAUCAGUAUUGCAAAUAUUGUGCUGGACAUCACGCACCGCGCGGCCGAAAUCAAUGCUUCCAUGGAGAAUAUCUGUAGACCAGGCCAUGAAAGGAUAAUCAAAUGGUUGAAGUGGAUGGCCCCACCUUGGCCUUUCUUUAAACUAAAUACAGAUGGUGCUCGGAAAAUUUCAGGAAAUGCAAGUGCAGGUGGUCUCAUUAGAAAUUAUUGCGGAGAAUGGGUUCACGGUUUUGGCAUGAAUAUUGGCCAUUGCACUAUUACUGGGGCGGAGCUUUGGGGUCUUCUUCAAGGAUUGCAACUUGCCUGGAAUAUUGGGAUUAGACAAUUACUUGUUGAAGUUGAUAGUCGAUGCAUCACUGAGAUCUUAGCCACAGAUACCAAUCAUCCCAAUGCUAACUCCUCUCUUAUUCAAGGAAUUAAAAGACUUCUCAACAUGGAGUGGCAGGUUUCUCUGUCACACUGCUAUAGAGAAACAAAUUAUGCAGCUGAUUACCUCGCCAAUCAAUCUCUUCUUUUGCCUCUUGGGGUCCAUGUGUUUCCAACGCCUCCAUCCGGAACUGACAGGUGGCUGCUGCACGAUGUAUGUGGGACUGCUUACUCACGAAUGAUCUUUGCUUAGUUUCUUAACUUCGCCCUUUUGUAUCAAAAAAAAAAAAAAAAAUAGAGACUUAUUAGAAAGUUUCUUACUACAAUGUUAAUAUUUCCUCUAUUUUAACGUUUACAUAAUUUUAAUUUAUUUAAAAUCUACGUCGAUCAACUUUGGGCAUGAUGAUUUUAGCUUUUACGAGAGUUUAUUGGAAUAUGCAUAAGGAGUGUUAAAAUAUGAUGCAUCCAACAAAAGGCAAGCCAUGUGCAGUCUUUUAAUUUAGCCGAAGUAGCAGCUCAAACAAAUGACACUUUGACCAACAUGCAAGCAUGAAGUAGCUAGAAAAAGGACAAAUGCUACUUUGGCUUAAAUAGAAAAUAGCACGUGACUCGACUUUUGUUGGACAUGAAUCAUGUUAUUACAAGACAACAUAAAUCAUUAUCAUUAUAAUAAGAGUUAGCAAUAAGUAACAUGAAGAUAAGAGGCAGAAUGUCAACACAUGCAUAGGCAUACACAAGAAAGUAUUAACUUCUAUACCAUAGCAAAAAGUCUUUGAUAUGUCAUUUGUUGUUGCUGUGAUUCAACUGACAACAUGGCAACUGUCGCUGCUCUACCAAGAGCCAUUACUGUAGAUUUAAGCUCGGUCAAAUUUGCUUCUGCAUUUCGAAGCUUCAUAACACUCUCUGCUGAUAUAUCAGAUUCCCUAAUCUUUGAUCAGCUCCUCAAUACUUCAGCUAAUUCUCAUCUCGCUUUAUACAUGCAUAUGUUACCUCAAAGUUGACCUGGGCUUCAACUUCAUGGCGGAGUUUGUCAUAACGAUGAGUCUGGUGCCGAGCAUCUUCCAAAGGUGCUCCGUUGAUUAAUGCCCGUAGUGGCUCAGAUACCUACAUGUCCAAAAGCCAGUAAUAUAAUUAGAAAAUUGGAAAAAAAAGAUCGAAACCUUAAUUACAAAGUUCCUCCAGCAUAAUCAUGGAAUUUGGGCCUACUUUAAGAACAUAUAUAAGGAUAAUUUAAGCAAUUUUGGGUCUUAGGAUGAUUGGUCUUAAGUUAGGGUCUAUCCUUCUGUUUUUAAGGUCAAAAUAGAAAUAAACCUAUGCAAAUAUUUAAAUUAGUGCUGUAAGAGUUCCACAUGCAUCCUUCAGUCUCAUGGAUUUGAAUUUACUAUAGAUGCAAGCGUCUUUAUCCAAAAUGCCUGGAGUCAAUUGAGAGAACUCACAACCAAUAACUUGUCCCACGGUGGUCUUCACUAGUGAUGUAAGAAGCGACAAGGUUUCUUCAACAUUUGAACAAAAAAAUUAUAAAGUCAUGGAUGUCACUAGCAAUUGUUAAAACAUUAAAUAUUUCAGAGUUGUAACGUUUAAAUGGAUUCUUUUAUUCAAUAUCUUAGAACUAAGUUUCCUUAUGAGAAGAUAAUAGUCUUGAAAGUAAUUUUACAUAUAAUUUUCCAUAUUUGAAUUAUUUUCUCGUUAGGGAUGAAUUUACCUGAUCACCAAGAAUCCCAAGCAAAGUUUCCCUCUCAUUUUCCAUCAAAUCAUGUGAAGUGCCAAAUUGAAAAGCAGCCCUUGCAACACAAGAAUUGUCGCUUUGAUUCUGCGCUCCAUAUUUGCAACAAUCUUCGGCCAACUUUCUCGCUACAAUAUUUGAAUACAAAAAUAUUAUACGCAAAAACUAGUCAAGAACAUUAAAAAAAAUAAAUAAAUAUUAUAACGAAAGCAAGAGCAAACAAACAACCUAUCUCCAUUUGUUUCAAGUUUAGUGCAAUUCAACACCACGGACAAUAUUCCUCUAAAAAUGCUGUGUUACAUAGCAUAUAUUCCAAAUUAUUGUUCAGAUAAAACCAUAAAAACCAUCAUAAUUAUUCAACAUACAUUAAGCUCUGUUUGGUAAAUACUUGUAACUCCAGUCUAGAAAAUAUAGUUGUUUGUACAAUAUUCGACAAAAUUAUUAUUUAAAAAUCAUAUUUAAUUACCAAAAGCCACAACAAAUCAAUAUCAAAACAGAGAGGGUAAUACCUUAGCUGCCCUGGUGGAAUUGUAUAGAUUUUGAAGUUGUUGGUGACACUCAAUUUCAGCUUCAUCAACCGCAACAUUUUCAUUACCAAGACGCAUGCAGCAAAUGCUUCAAUACUGCCUGUACAAAUCAUUAAAAAAUAAUAAAAACAUAAAAUUGAGAAAUUUCACUAAUUGAAAGUUUAAAUAAUUUUUAAAGAAAAAGAAAGAGACGUGCUGCUGCCUGGCGAUUUGUUCGCGGAGCUUGAUUGCCUGUUUCUUGAUAGCUUCCAUAUUGUUUCUUCGGGCAUUGCUGCAAUUGUUUCUUCUAUGUCAGUCACACCCACAUAUCAUUGACACAAGAAAUAAAAAUCUUAGAUCACUUGUUUAAUUAAAGAAUCACUUACAAAAAAGUUUUGCCAUUUUAAUUUGAGGAUCCAUAUUUUGAACUACCAACUAAUGUUCAUCAAGGGCAGAGUAAAAAUUACUUUUGGACAAAUUAUUUUUGUUGAUAGAAGAAUUUCUCAAGGGACUAUUAAAAUUAUUAAUAAAAAUGUCAAACACAUCCACACAUCAUCCCACAUAUCAUUGACACAAUUGAUUUUGAGGAUCCAUGUUUUGAACUACAACCUAAUGUUCAUCAAGAACAAAGUAUGGCUUGUGAGUAGAAAAUUUUCUGAUUUUGCAAAAAGAAAUUAAAUUGAAGGAGAAUCUUUUACUUUCUCAUUAAGAAAGGCAUACGGGGCAUACCAUGGCACCAUACAACACAAGGAGUCUCCAUUCUCUGCUUUUUCAAAAUCUAAAGGGGGCAAUAUUUCCCAAUUUCCCCUUGAAAAUUCUGUUUACAACAUUAUUCAUCACUUGAUUCGAUCAAAGUAGUGACAAAGUUUGGAAAAAUAUGAGUCCUAAGUAAUUACCAAGCAAGGUCCCUGAGGGCAACAUUGUCCUAGGCAUUAUAGACAUAUAUGGUGUGGCACAUGGAGCACAUUGAAUUCCAGACUAUAACACAAACCCUGAAAGACAAGUAACAACUCAAAUGAUACAAAGACAAGAAGAAGUUAAAAUGAUAUAGAACAAAGAAUUUCAAAGACAGAGCAACAUUCCAUACACAGAAGCCACUUGAUCUACUCGUUGAUUGCAGCCUCAAACUUGCAAAUAGUUACUGUAGGCUAGCGCUCUAAGAAAUAAAAUGAUGCAAAACCUUGAUUCCCUUUUGUCUUCGAUUUACUGUCAAACUUAUUACUAGCAUCCACAAUUAAUUUUUGUUCAGCAAUCAGCUUAUUUUAUAGAAAUUGAUUUAGUCAGCAGCAAACACUAUAAUUCUUGAAAUUAAUUUUUGUUCUUUGUAAUUUUCUAUGGUUUUUCAUAAAUCAAUUAAUCUGCAGUGCCAAGAUGAGGUUUAGCUUUUCAAACUAAAUAAUCAAGUAAGCAAAAAUAUAAAUUCAGAGAUUAGAGGGGUAACCUAGCUGGGUGGUUUAGAACUGGGCUAGCUACCUCACUGUAUUCCAAUUUAUAGAGUGGAUUAAUUGAAUCAUGAGAAAACAACGUGGUCAUAGCUCAAUAGGAGAUGACUGCGGAGAGGCAUAUUGUUUUCAAUGAUCUAUUAAGAGAUGAAGUGGAUUGAUGUGGAAAGUUUAAAUAACAAAUCCUUGUUUUUGAGUUUUACGACGUCGUUACUCCUUCCAAGUGGCAGAUUAUGCAAGUGAAUGCAGAGACACAAUGCAUCAUCCACGGGGAUGAUACAGUAAUAGGCGGGAUCAUAGUCUAUGCAUUGAACAGUUACAGUUGCUGCUACCCAUUACCUUGGCAAAGAUCAAGAAGACAGAACAGGAAGCUAAUGCCAUCAAUGUCGUCUUCACUAAAGCUGCUGGGAAUGUAGGUGUAGUUUCCUCAUUUGAAGCUGUCUAUACAUGGGCCUUUCCCCUGCUUAAGUACAAAUAAAUGAACGGCCUUGAAGGCUUUACCAUUCACCCCAAAAAAGAUUACUAAUUGAAGAUGACUAUACAGAGUUAAUCUCACACUUUUGUUCUCUCAAUUUCUUUUAGAAGUCCCUCUGAAAAUAGCUGCCAAAACAGUUAGUCAGCUUUUAUACUCUGUUUUCUGGAAACAGGGUCCUAACUAACUGAGCUGACUGUGCAGAGUAUGUCAAUAUAGCAUAUUUAAUCGUUUUAACAGUAUUUUCGAAUUGUCUUCGCAGUGAUCAUCAACAAACUCAUCACAAGAUUUUUGGAGCACCCUAGGACUAUCACUGGGUUUCUCUUCUGGUUGGUUAAUUAAUUAGUCAAAGAACGGUUGGAUAUCCAAGCACAAUUACUAGAUUCUAAAAUGACUAGUUCACUAUUCUUUUACAGCCCUUUCACCAGUCAAAUUAUUCGACUUCUGGAACUGGGAAUGAAGUGCAAUGAUGAAGCAGCAUUUACAAUGUCUCCGGUUUCUCCUGAAUAUUAGAUUUUUGCAGUGAGAACAUAUAACAAAAAGGCCUCCAUCAACGUAGGUAGAAUCCGGGAUAUGGAUUGGAUCGAGUUUUUGUUUGAUAUUGAAGAACCUCUUUACUAUCCCGAUAUAGAAAAUGUUCUUUGCCUUGUGCUAUGAUCGGUGCUUUUGAUGUUGUCCUGAAACGGUGGAAAAUACUUCGAUAUCCUCCAUUUGAUGAUGCAAAGAACUGGUUAAUGUACUAUUACCUAAUUGACUCAGGAUCAAGUAACAAUGACAAUUUAUUAGUAGUAAUAUCACAAACUAAGAAGAUUUCGGAGAGGGGGAUGUAUGUGUAUACUGUUUACAGCUUUGAUCCAUUGGGGAGGAAGUAGUCUCAAGUUGAAAGUGACUUAUUAAAUAACAAAACAGAGUUGUUCAAUUUACAACAGAUAUUCUCCUCAAGUUCAACGUAAAUAUGGAUAUUAAUUAGAAUCCAGAUUAUUAUGACACACAUAACUUGCUUCAAAAUUAUUAGAAAUUACAAUUGCUGAUUCACAAUGCAUAUAACUUGUAUAUUGAGAUGGAUAAGAUGCUUAAUUUAAUUAAUUUACUUACUUUCAUACACAUCGUCUUUCCAUCUAGAGAAAACUUGGGGGUGAGAACGAUAUGAAGUUGCGAGUUGCUGCCGAUAGCUUCUGAUUAAUAAUAAAACGAGACAAAUUAUCUGUUUGUUAAUAUUCAUUCUUAGAGAGGAGAGUAAAUCACAAAUCUUUAAUAACAAGGAGUUUGCCAUUAACUUUACUUGGCCUUAAUAUUAAUAUUGCCCACCCAAGAAAUAAGAGUGAUUUAAAGUAUUACCAAGACUUCAUUGAGAGGAGCAACCAAACCAACUCCUUAUCAAUUGCGGCAGCCGUCUGUUAACUAAAAUGCCAAUUUCAUACUCGGCAAUUGUGUUUGUUAAGAAGUGACACAGCACUCAGGUGAUGAGUUUACUGUGACCACUAUUCAAGGUAAGCGAAAAUUACAGAUGUGGCAAAAUCAAUAAUUAAAUUCAUAAACUAAUUAAAUUCAUGGAGUUGCACAAUUUCAUCAACUUUGCAAGAAUUGACAUUAAUGGACUGGCGCUCUCCCCAUACAAUUAUAAUUAUAAUCUUUCUAGGAAGCAAAUUUUUAUAAAUUAUUUGUUUUUAAGUUAAUUUCAAUUUCAAAAAAUAAAUUUUUUAAGUUAUGUAUACUCUAAUGAGAGUUUCUUCAUAACAAUUCCCCUACUCCAAUAAUAACGAAAAGGUAGUUACUUAGAAAUAAUUAAAAUAAACAGGGGUUGAUUGUAUAUCCUAAUUUGCAUCGAUUUUUUUUUACCUUAAUUUCAGGAAUUUGUGAAUGGAGGAUGAUCACGCGUGUAUUAAUUUUUCAGUCGUCGAUUGUCGUAUUCUAGACUUAACGAUAGUGUUCUUGAUCAAGGGCAAUGACUCCCACCCCUCUUUUAAAAAUAUUGUCAAGUAUAUUAAUGACAAAAUCUCUUAUAGUUAAUAGUCUUUAAAAAUUUAUAGAAUUACUAUUGUCAUAACUAAAUUAUUCAUGUUUAAUGAAAUACUAAUGCAUCAAAAUAAAGGUGUUCACAAUCCAAUUCGAUCCACUCAAUUCGUUUGAUCUGCAGAAGUGCAAUCCGCAAAAAUUUAAUCUGUGAAUUAGUGGAUUGGAUUGCAUUGAAAAUUUAAAAAUCCGUAGUCGAUAAAUUGGAUAUUGAUAUACUUUUAUAAAUAUACAAAAAUUCACGAAUUCACAAAAAAAAGUAUUUAAUUAAAAAAUAAAACUUAUAAAUGUUGCAUGACUACUUACUAAUAAAUAAAUAAGUUAAAAUGUAGUUAGUUAAUUUAACACCAUAUUAUAUCUUAUUCGAUAACAAUAUAAAAUAAAAAUAAUUAAAAAAAUUAAUAAUUGGAUAAACAAAUGUGGCUUUCUAAACAGUAAAAAUUCUAGACUUAAAAAUUUAUAUUGUUAUUCUAUUUUUUUUAAAUUGACAUUUUUCUAUUGUCUUACAUGUACAGAGAUUUUGAGAGUUGAGAAGAAUAUAUUUGAUGAAGCUUGAUAGCAUUUGAUGGGAUAGUAAGUAAGGGUAAAUAUUUAUUAAUUAUUUUUAUUAAAUAAAAUAUUUUUAUUUGUUAUUUAUUUCUAUUAUAUCUAUUUUAUUCAAGUUAAAAUACUAAAUAUAAAUUGGAGGUAGACAUUUUAACAGAUCAUCUAAGCUCUCAAAUCUGAAAUUUUGUGUAGAUUUAAAUUCAUAAUUUUAGUUAAUUUUCAUAUAUUCAUAUAAACAAAUUUAUGAGAUUUUUUCUUUUCAUCAUGUUAUAUUUUAAAACUUUCAAUGUAUUAUUCUAGCUUUAUUUAAACAAUUAAUUUAUUUUAAUUUUAUUUAAUUUUUGAUUUGAUCAGCAGUAAAAAUAUUUUUAUAUCAAAUUUUUUUAUUUAUAUAGUUCGUGGAUUGGGCAAAAUAAAAAAUUUUUAAUCCACAAAUGGUGGAUUGGAUAUGAAUUGGGUCAAAUCCAUCUUCGAUCUGCAGUCGCAUGGAUUGGAUUUGGAUUGAAUUUUAUCAAUCCAUAUAUUAGAUUGGAUUGAAAAUUUAUAAUCCGCAAAAUCAUGGAUCGGAUAUGGACUAAUGUCCAAUCCGCAAAAUCCGAUCUCCGAACACUCCUCUAUAAAAAUUUUCAAGAAUAUGUUUUAUCUUACAAUUUUUUUUUUUAAAGUCAUAGUCUAAUGGCAGCCCAAUUUCUACCCCAUCCAUAUAAGCGGAGUUCAAAUCUCAUACCUCUUAUCUCCACACAAGAGAUUUAACCAAUUGAAAUAGCUAGCACCCACAAAUAUACUAGUACAACAUCUCUUAACGUUUAACAUACAUAUAAUUAACGUUAUAGCCAUUGAUAAACUCAUUGUUCAUUAUGUGAUCAAGAAUUUGAUCCUGCGAGUAAUAGCGGUAAGAAGAACCAUUAUUGUUGGGGGGACUUAGCAUAAGAUUUCUAGGUAUCUAACCUAAAAGACUAGCCUUUUAGGUGGAGUGACCUACUACCUUAUAAACCCAAGCAUCUUCCCUUUACUAGUCAAUGUGAGACACAACUCAACAAUCCCCCUCUCGGACGAAACCACCGCCAGACUCCGAUCCUUUCGUCUGACACACCAGAGUUGUUCCACCACCACAUUCGGGCUAUUAGGGUUUAGCUCUAAUACCACUUGUUAGGGGGACUUAGCAUAAGAUUUCCAGGUAUCCAACCCAAAAGACUAGCCUUUUAGGUGGAGUGACCUACCACCUUAUAAACCCAAGUAUCUCCCUUUUACUAGCUAACGUGGGACAAAACUCAACAAUUAUAAUGCCUAGCUCUUAUCGUAGUUAAUUCUCUGGCCCGAUGCUUCAUCAUAGUGAUUUAAAAAAUCAACAACAGCUAUCUAAAAGAAAUGAAGAUAUCAUCUACGUAAAGAACAUGAGACAGAGAUCACAACCCAUAAGAACUGAGAUAAAUUGGACCAGACCAGUAAUCUUGAGAUAAGUUAAACCGUGACUUAAGUUGAAAUCAGAUGAUAAAUGGCUUUUGGCCACUUAUUUCUAAUUUCCACAAUUAAUUUCUGUUCAGCAAUCAGCUUAUUUUAUAGAAAUUGAUUUAGUCAGCAACAAACACUAUAAUCCUUGAAAUUAGUUCUUGUUCUUUGUAAUUUUCUUUGAUUUUUCAUACAUCAAUUAAUCUGCGGUGCCAAGAUGAGGUUUAGUUUCAAGCAAAAAUACAAAUUCAGAGAUUAGAGGAGUAAACUAGCUAGGUGGUUUAGAACUGGGUUAGCUACCUCACUAUAUCCCAAUUCAUAGCUCAAUAGCUCAUACAUCAAUUAAUUGAAUCAUGAGAAAAUGUGGUCAUAGCUCAAUAUGAGAUGAUUUCGGAGAGGCAUAUUGUUUUCAAGUUAAUUUGAUCCAUUAAGAGAUGAAGUGGAUUGAAGUGGAAAGUCUAACUAACAAAUCCUUGUUCUUGAUUUUUACGUCGUCUUUACUCCUUCAAGUGGCAGAUUGUGCAAGUGAAUUAAGAAACACAAUGCAUCAUUCACAGGGAUGCCACAUCAAAAGACGGGAUCAUAGUCUAUGCAUUGAAUAGUUAAAGUUAUCUCAAAGAGGACAGAACAGGAAGCUAAUGCGAUCAAUGUCCUUUUCACUAUAUCUGCUGGGAUUGUUGGUGUAGUGUCCUCAUUUGAAGCUGUCUAUACAUAGGCUUUUCCCCUACUUAUGUACAAAUAAAUGAAUGGCCUUGAAGGCUUUACUACUGACCCCAAAAAAGAUUACCAAUUGAAGAAGACUAUAUAGGGUUAAUCUCACACUUUCGUUCUCUCAAUUUCUUUCAGAAGUCCCUCUGAAAAUAGCUGCCAAAACAGUUACUCAACUUUUAUACUCUGUUCUCGGGAAACAGAGUCUUAACUAACUUAACUGACUGUGCAGAGCAUGUCAAUAUUCUUAGUAUAUCUAACCGUUUUAACAGUAAUUUUUUACCGUCUUCGCAGUGAUCAUCAACAAGCUCAUCAUAAGAUUUUUGGAGCACCCAGGACUAUCACUUGGUUUCUCUUCUGGUUGAUUAAUUAAUUAAUCAAAGAACGGUUGGAUACCCAGGGACAAUUACUAGAUUCUAAAAUGACUUAGUUCACUAUUCUUUUACAUUCCUUUCACCAAUAAAAUUAUUCGACUUCUGGAACUGGAAAUGAAGUGCAAUGAUGGAGCAACAUUUACAAUGUCUCCGGUUUCUCCUGACUAUCGGAUUUUUGCAGUGAGAACAUAUAACAAAAAGGCCUCCAUCAACUUGAAGAACCUCUUUACUAUCGCGAUAUCGAAUCUGCGCAAGGAGUUGUCCAUUGUUCUUUGCCUUGUGCUUUGAUCGGUACUUUUGAUGUUGCCCUGAAACAGUGGAAAAUACUUCGAUAUCCUCCGUUUCAUGAUGCAAAGAACUGGAUAAUGUACGAUUACCUAAUUGACUCAGGAUCAAGUAACAACAACAAUUUAUUAAUAGUAAUAUCACAAACUACGAAGAUUUCGGAGACGGAGAUGUGUGCGUAUACUGUUUACAGGUUUGAUCCAUUGGGGAUGAAGUGUUCUCAAAUCGAAAGUGAUUUAUGAAAUAACAAAUCAUUGGUCUUGGGUUACACCUCAUUAUGUCUUCAAGUGGAAGAUGAAGAUUAUGCAAGAUGAAGAUCGAGUUUUGGUUUGAGAUUGAAGAAUUUGAACAGAAAGCCCAUAGAAAGUACCUAAAUAAGCAUAUUCUUGGGGUAGAAUAUGGAGAAAGGAGUUGUCUACUGUGUGUUGCGUAAUUAUGCUAUGAUCGGUGCUUUCAACAUUGCCCUGAAAACAGUGGGAAAUACUUCAUAUCCUCGACAUGAUGAUAAAAAAUUGGUUACCGAUUACGUAACUAACUCAGGUGACAACAAUCCAUUAAUAGCACAAUUUGAGGUGAUGUCGUUUAGGUAUAUGGUUAACAGGUUUGGUUCAUCAAUGAUGAAGUGGGCUCAAAUUAAAAGAUCAUAUAAUAAGUCGUUCUUCUUGGGCAUAUCGUCAUUACUACUUCAAGUGAUCAAAGAUGAAGAUGAAGAUGAAAAUUGUGCAAGUGAGUUCAAGAAUACCAUACAUCGUUACUUGGGAUACUUCUUCAAAUAUGGAUGGGGUUAUAAUUUACUCCCACGAAUUUCAACCCAAUUUUAUGAUUGGAGUGUCCCACCAUGACUCAGAAAAAUUCUGUUUCAACCUCGUCGACCAAUGGAUUUUGAUUAGUCACUUUGUGAUCAAGCAACUUAAUUAAACUCAGAGUUUAAUUUUGUUGGUACUGCAUUUUUUUUAAAAUGUGGCCAUGUAAGGAGAGCGGCACAUAGUGUCACUUCUUCAUCAAGCACUUUAAAGAGGGAUUUUAGAAGAAGAUACAACUGCAAUUGUUUUCGUAUGUAUAUACAUAAACAACAGAACAUUCAGUUCAUAAAAGAAACUAGUGUUUUUUAGGCAAUUUAGAAAUAGAGUUGUUCAACUUACAACAGAUAUUCUCCUCAAGUUCGACGUAAAUACAGAUAUUAAUUAGAAUCUAGAUUAUUAUGGCACACAUAACUUACUUCAAAAUUAUAAGAAAUUACAAUUGCUGAUUCGCAAUACAUAUAACUUGGAAGAUUUGAUGUUAAAUUUUGUCAUUAAAAUUGUAGUAGUAUUUCUAAACACCUCGCAUUUGUAUCCACAUUUUGCAGGAAUUUUGAGAAAUACACGUGUCCGAAAAAUCACACGCAUAACUUGGAGAACAAUUGCGACAGCAGCCGAGUAUAUAUUAACUAACUAAAAUGGCCAACCAGAUUUGCUUAAGAAAUAAAAUUUUGUCUUGUAGUAGUAUUUCCAAGCACCUCGCAUUUGCAUCCACAUUUUGCUGGAAUUUUAAGAAAUACACGUGUCCGAAAGUCUAAUCAUCGUUUUUACUAUUCGAGUAUUGGUAUGAUAAUGACGAAUUUGAAAAGCCACACUGUAAAAACAGUUUGUGAUCUGUGCAUGACGAACCACCAACAGUGUAGUAAGAGCACAGGAAAAAAUCUAACAAAAUUAAUUGCGUCCAUAGAUAUUCAGACGCAAACAAUAAUUUUAAAUAAUAGCAAUUAGUAUUAAUAUUGCCCACCCAAGAAAUAAGAGUGAUUUAAAGUAUUAGCAGGACUUCAAUGAGAGGAGCGAUCAAACCACCUCCUUAUCAAUUGCCGUAGCCGUCUAUUAACUAAAAUGACAAUUUCAUACAAGAAGAAACAACAAGUACAUACUCGGCAAUUGUGUUCGUCAAGAAGUGACAUAGCAUUAAGGUGAUGACUUUACUUUUGUUAUCUUGCUAACAAUGGUAGUCUAAUUUUAGUUUUAAUGUGAUCACUAUUCAAGGUAAGCGGAAGUUACAGAUGUGGCAAAAUCAAUAAUUAAAUUCAUAAAAUAUUAAUUGUUUUCAACAAAUUUUGAGGUAGGAAAAGCCAAAACAAAUCUAGAACAAUAAAUUUGUAUUUUUUGGGGAGACGGGGUACCUCACUAGUUUGUUGUGUGCGGUGUGGUGUAUCUGAAAUCUGGGGGAGGUGAGAAGGGGAGAGGGAGUGGCAAAAAUGGUGAAAGGUCAAAACCAAGAGAGAUAUCCUUCAAAAUGAGCUUCACGCCUGCAAAACAGUGAAAUAGAGGUUAGAGGUGAAGCCGGGGUACCCCGGUGUUCACACUCCGACGCUCAAAUUAGCAAACUCAAGCUUUUAUGGUAAAGAGAGCUAGCUAGCCCUCUAUAAAUUAUGGUUUAAGAUUGAAGAAAACCUAUUUUUUAGAGUGUGAGUGUUAAUGGUGAGUGAGAGCAUGAUGGAGAAUGAAACCUAAGCACCUUUAUAUAUGGAGUACCUCAGCUGACACGUGGCGUACCCUUUUUGGCUAACGUCCUUUUACCUUUUUAUGAUUUUUGGGCCGUUAUGUGCAUGUUCGCGGCGUAUCUCAUCCUUUGGGAACAUGGUGCGCGCUAGAGAGUGGUCCAGGGUACCUCUGCAGUAGCUGUCGGGUAGGCGGCUGAGGACCACUGUCCUUGGGAUAGUGUCCUUCACUUUUGGCAGAGGUAGCAGGCGGCUGUCCCCCCUUUUUGGUACGACGUUCUUGAUUCUUAAUUCUGACAAAAUUGAAUAAUAUCUUUUAAGAUAUGAAGACGUUUCUUACGGCGGAUAUUUUCAGAGGGUUCUCUUGCAUCUGAUUUGCCGGGUACCUCGAGUUACGUGGGGUACCUCAAUUUAUGUGGAGUACCCCUAAUUGUGCGGGGUACCUCUAUUUGUGUGGGGUACCUCUAAUUGUGCGGGGUACCUCAAAUCACGCCGGAUACCUCGGAUUGUGCAGGGUAUCUCGUAUCAUGUCGGGUACCUCUAUUUGUCCGGGGUACCUUAAAUCAUGCCGGGUACCUCGAAUUGUAUGGGGUACCUCAGAUUGUGCUGGGUACCUCUAAUCAACUCGAGUACCUCUAAUCAGACCGGGUACCUCUAAUCAGGCCGAGUACCUCUAAUCAUGCUGGGUACCUCGAGUUAUUCCGAUUACCUUGAAUUAUGUUGGAGUUAUUCUGGGUACCUUGAAUUAUGCUGGAGUUAUUCCGGGUACCUCGAAUUAUACAGGGUACCCCAGUCUAUGCGGGGUACCUCGAGUUAAUCUGGAGUUAUGCGGGGUACCUCUGACCGUGCCGGGUACCUCAAAUCAUGCCGGGUACCUCAAAUCACGCCGGGUACCUCUAAUCUUACGGGGUACCUAUAAUCUUGCGGGGUACCUCAGAUUGCACUGAAGUUAUUCUAUUCGUCGACACAUGGCGUUCUGCUAUCUUUCUUAUUUUUCCCUCAAACAAUAUCCCCCUAGUUUCUUUUGGCGAGAAGUAUUGGAGGCAAAAGAAACUUACAUAAAAAGUAGGAGCGACACGUGGCGAUAUGAAGUUUAGCUCGAUGGGUAGCUGAAUAGAGGAUGCCUCUAGGGGUACCCUCAUGAAGGGAAGAUCUCUGGAGUGAACAAGACUUUGAGGGGACACUUUGAUGAAGUUUCAGAGGAGAAUGCCCAUAAGGUGGAAGACCCUGAGGAGCUUUAAGUUAAGCUUGAGGACUUGAUACCUCGACAUAAGAACAUAGUUGACAAUGCUUUUGAGUGCAUCAUGACCGAAGAAUGAAGUGCUGAUAUGGGGCUGGUGGUGCCAAGAGUAGAGAACUAGGUAGAUAAGCCGGCUAUCUUGAAGGCAAUUGAGAAUAGUAGGGCUCCCCACACAUCUUGGUUUGAAAGCCCAUGGAGAUCAACUAGGGUACCUCAGAUGAAGUCGCCAUAAGGUACCCCUGAUACCGACGCUUGUGUUUUUGCUAUUUCUAACACUUUUGUUGAUCCCCUUAUCCUAAAUAAUGAAGGUGAAGAUAACCAUCCUAUUAUGUAACCUUGUUCGGCAUUACCGACAAGGCGUAUGGGGUACCUCGGGUACCCAUAAGCUUGGAUAUCCCCUGAGCUAUCUGUUACUUCAUGGCGGGAUAACCCAAUUUUAUCAAACAUAUGGCGAUUCCUUCAAAUAUGCUUGCUGUUUAUCUCAGGCUUUCUUAGAGUUCCUCUUGGUGUACACGAGGAAUGGUUUUCUGUCAUAGGGUACCCUGAGUACUAUGGGUACCCUUAAUCUUGUCUCAUCAGUGUAUCGCGGUUUACUUAGACAUGCUUGUUGCGGUUAAUUCAUGGCGGAACAACCCAAUUUCAUCAAACAUAUGGUGAUUCCUCCGGAUAUGCUUGUUGCUUAUCUCAAACUUUCUUAGGGUUCCUCUUGGUGUAUUUGAGGACUGACUUUCUGGCGUGAGGUACCUCAGAGGUACCCUUAAUUAGUGUAUGGCAAUUUUCAUAGAAAUGCUUGCCGCAAAUCUUCACAAAACUUGUGGCGAUUCCUUUUGAGAGAUGAUGGAAAACCUCAUGAUCCACCAUUCUCUCUACAUCAAAUAUGCAAGACAAAUAGUCAUAAAGGUGGGCUGCUCGCCUACCCUUAUGUAAGAUGGUAAAAAAUAUCAUGAUCCGCCAUUCGCGUGGAAUCAAAUAUACAACAUAGAUUGAGAUAAAGGUGGCUGCUCGCCUACCCUUUUGCGAUAUGGUCAAAAACCUCAUGAUCUACCAUUCGCUGGAAUCAAAUAGACAAUAUAGAUUGAGAUGAAGGUAGUUGCUCGCCUACCCUUAUGUGAGAUGGUCGAAAACCUCAUGAUCCACCAUUUGCAUGGAAUCAAAUAGACAAUAUAGAUUCAGAUAAAGGUGGCAGCUCGCCUACCCUUAUGCGAGAUGGUCGAAACCUCAUGAUCCACCAUUCACAUGGAAUAAAAUAGACAACAUAAAUAAAAAUGAAGGUGACUGCUCGCCUACCUUUAUGCGAAAUGAUUGAAACCUCAUGAUCGACCAUUCGCUCAGAAUCAAAUAUGGCGAAUAAAUAAUGAUAAAGGCGGCUCUGAUGUUAAGUAGAUUAGCAUGAUUGGGGAUAAGUCAGGUACCUCUGGUACCCUGGAGUAAGGUGAUCUCUGGAUACCCUUUUGCAUCAUAAUAAACAAUACUUUUACUAGUAGUGUGACUUUUCUUUGUUGGAUCGGUGGCCCAAAUCGAGACUGAAACCGAGUCUUCAACUGGGGUACCCUAUUUUUCAUCUUUGGGUAUUCGAGGAUCCAAAUGUGCCUCCAAUUCACAUUUUGGCUUAAUCUGGUCCCCCUGGGGUACCCCCGCAUAACUCUAGAGUAACUAGUUAUGGGGUACCCUACCACCGAGGCCUCGGUGGUGGCUCUUGCUGCUCUGGUGGUGGCGAUCUUGGAGGUUGGGGUACCCGUGAGAUACCCUAAGUGUUAAACACUCGUCCCCACAGGAUAACCCUUGGAGGGCUCCGCAUUCAGGGUACCCUUGGUAUUGGGCCUUCCAUCAUCUUCGGCUUCUCCUUAUUCUUUGUGACCUCGACCUUAUCUUCUUGGCAAUUCAAAUGAAAUUUCUCAUCCAUCUCCACUUGCUGCAACGCCCAAGAACGGGCUUCCCUAUAUGAAAGUGGGUGCUUAUUUUGAAAGGAACGUCAUAACUUGCCCAACCGUAAAUUUUUCUCGAAAUGGGUCAGUGUUUGUUGGUUUCCAAAUGCUCCGGUUCGCAACACCUCUUGGUGGAAACGGCUCAUAUACUCCGCCAAAGGUUUGGCUUCCCCUUGCUUGAUAAAAGCGAGUUUGGAGGCUACCCUAUCUUGAGUGGAAACAUAGGAAAACUCUUUAGUAAAUUCGGAUAAUAAUUGGUGUAGAGAAUAUAGGUUACCCACCUUCAAGGACUGAAACCAUGACUUCGCGAGGCCCAUGAGUGUGUGUGUAAACAUCCUACACAUGGCAUUCUCAUAUACACCCAUGAUGGAGAAUGAAACCUAGGCACCUUUAUAUAUGGAGUACCUCAGCUGCCACGUGGCAUAUCUUUUUUGGCUAACGUCCUUUUAUCUUUUUAUGAUUUUUGGGCCGUUAUGUGCAUGUUCGCUGCGUAUCUCAUCCUUUGGAAACGUGGCGCGCGCUGGAGAGUGGUCCAGGGUACCUUUGCAGUAGCUGUCGGGUAGGCGGCUGAGGACCACUGUCCUUGGGACAAUGUCUUUCACUUUUGGCAGAGGUAGCAAGCGGUUGUCCCCCCAUUUUGAUACAACAUUCUUGAUUCUUAAUUUUGACAAAAUCGAUUAAUAUCUUUUAAGAGAUGGAGACGUUUCUCAUGGCGGAUAUUUUCAGAGGAUUCUCUUACAUCUGAUCUGCCGGGUACCUCGGGUUACGUGGGGUGCCUCAAUUUAUGUGGGGUACCCCUAAUAGUGCGGGGUACCUCUAUUUGUACGGGGUACCUCUAUUUGUGCGGGGUACCUCAAAUCACGCCAGGUACCUUGGAUUGUGCAAGGUAUCUCGUAUCAUGUCGGGUAUCUCAAUUUGUCCGGGAUACCUUAAAUCAUGCCGGGUACCUCGGAUCGUGCGGGGUACCUCAGAUUGUGCUGGAGUCAUUUCAUUUGUCGACACGUGGCGCUUUACUGCCUUUCCUAUUUUUCCCUCAAACAACAUCUCCCUAAUUUCUUUUUGGCGAGAAGUAUUGGAGGCAAAAAAAACUCAUUGUAUGAGUGACACGUGGUGAUGCGUCUGGACCGGGGAUACCUUGCGUAGUUUCUUCCCUUGACAAAACUUUGUGUACUGUCGAGCUAAAAAAAUCUUCUCUUUGUCUUUUCCCUUUCCCGCCACUUUUCUUUCUUUUUUUUUUACUCAACUGCUGAUGAGAACGAACAGUUGUCUUUAUGUCUCUCUCCUGUUUUCUUGGGAAAUGGCAGCCUUCUAACACACAGUUUGAAUUUUAAAAAUAUCAAUCUCACACAAACAUCUCUUACCUCCUUUCUUGUGCAGUGUGUUCUGUCAUGUUGAAUUAAAAACCCCUGACGUGAAUGUCAAUCUCCUCUCAUUUAUUUUGAAAAUCCCCAAACGAUCUCCCAAAAGUUGAUUAUCUCCAGUGGCCUUCUUCUUUCAACAUUUCGUCUUUUCUCCUAACUGCAUCAAUAUUGCUCACAGGAAAAAAUUUCUUCUUUACUUUUUUUUUUUGCGUUCGUUCGUCUUCCCUUGGGCUUUAUUUUCUCUUUACUUUCCUUUUUUUCUUUUAUUUCCUUCUUCUUCCUUUUUCCUUCUUUCCUUCUCUUUCUCUCUCGGUCGGUGUUCAUCUGGUGCGUUUUCCGGCGUUGAUCUCGGCUGCUGCAGUGGCGGUUUUGGCUUCAGAUCUGGUCGGUUCAAGGCAGUUUUUCGACGGCUCAUGACGAGAUCCGACCUGGCGGUAGAUACGGUAACCUCCCUCCCUCGUGUCUUCAUUUUAUCCUUACUUUCUCUCUCUUCUUUCUCAUUUUCUUCUCUCUUUCUCUUCUCUUUUUCGUUUCGGCCGGCGUUCUCCUUGGCGAUUUCUGGCGUCAGUUCGGUGGCUGCAGUCGCGGCAGCUGGCGUCGGUUCAAUGGCUGCAGUCCCCCCCUCCGUGUUGUCUUCUCCGUUCUUCCUUUUCUCUUUUUUCCUUUUUUUUAAUUUUCGGCAGCGUUCUCCCUUGGUGGUUUCCGGCGUCCUUCUCGCGAUCUCCGGCGUCGGUUCUCGGUGGUUGCAGCCACGACAGUCGACGCCGGUUGCUGCAGCUUCCCCCCCCCACCGCGUUGGUUUGGUUCGGUAGCUGCAGCUUCUUCAUUUUUUUAUAAAUAAAAUGAAUUGACUAAUUUCAUUUGUGCUUGAAUAAAUAAAAUAAAUUUGCAGCUUCUUCGUUCUUCACACCAUUGGUUUUUAUACUUGCAUAUUCUUACUUACUGGUUUUGGUUGCCUGCAGCUUUGUCUUCCCACGAUUACCAAUCCUGAUCCGUCAAGUUGGUAAAUCAUAGGUAUCCUUCCUCGUUUCUCCUCCUUUGGCGCAUUUACAAUGGCGUUAUUUUGCAUACUCUGAGAAAAUUUUGUUUGUUUGUUUGUUUUUUUUUUUUUUUGUGGUUGGUGUUUGCAUUUGAUGGUUGAUGUGUGGUGGGUGGUGUAUGGCAUGAAAAUAUUGUUGGGGGAAUUGUGGCUUGGUGGUUACAUUGUUGGGAGAAUUGUGGCUUGGUGGUUACGUUGUUAGGGGAAUUGUGGCUUGGUGGUUAUGUUGUUAGGGGAAGUAAAUAGGCAAGAAACAUACGGGACCUGUGAGGAAGCGACGUGCAAUUGGGGCUAGUAGGUUUGACAGCCCUCCUGCGCGUUCUCCUUCCCACAUCUCCAUUACCGAGAGGGAUAGGUCCCCCCUAGUACCUCUAGGAGUUGUAACUCUCAUUUUGAGCUCCCUCCUCUUAGGAGUACUCCUCGUGUCAGCCCACGCCACUAAACGGCCAACCCCCCAUCCUCGAAAGAAGGGUAGGUCAUCAAAACCUAAGGUUCCAGCUCGUUCCUCAGACCGGCCUCCCAAAUCUCCCCCUGCCACACCUUCAAAAUCUGGCAACCUUUAUUCCCUAGGCACUAGGAGGGCUACUUUGGGGGACUUAGAACAAAUUAGAGCCAAAUACAAUAUUCCUCCGUCUGUCCAGCUUAGGGUACCCCAUGUGGAUGAGCGACCUGAGUGUCCGAAGUCUGAUGGGAUUGCUCUCCACAUUGACCUCUUUCAUCUAGGACUUCGCCUGCCCCUCCAAUCUUUCUAGAUGAAGAUGUUUAGUUUUUUGGGGGUAGCUCAUGGGCAGCUGUCCCUUCCAGGGUGGAGGACACUUACGGGCUUACAUGUGUUAUAAUUGGAGGUAUUGAGGCGCAACAUUUCUAUUCAGGAAUUGAGGGGCCUCUACCAAUUCAAAAAGCCCAAGGGUUCCGCUAUUGCUUACUUCUCCGCUUGGGGUGAUCAUAGUCAUAUUGUUGAGGGGGACCCUACCUUGAAGAAGGGUUACCGAAAGGGGUGGUUCGUUGCUGAGGGUAGGUGGGGGACAGAGACUCUAGGUGAAAAGGGCAACCCCGUGGAGGUUCCAAAUUCCUUCAAUGUAGACUGUAAGUAUCUUCCUUGUUUACGGUUCUUUAUUGUAAUAUUUCGCAUGAAUGUCUCGUUAACCUUGGGUUCCAUGCUUUUGUAGGUGUGACGUGGGCUAAAGGAUCAUGCCUACUUCAGGAGGUGAAAGAGUUUGUGGAGAGGCUCCGAGGUGCACAGAGGGGUAGUGAUGUGUUAGAGGAGAGCAAAUUACAGAGAGCGGGGUUGAUUGACCGAAGUCCUCCAUCUGCUUCUGGGGAUGACUCAUGUAUGAUUCUGAAGUCGGGGGGUACCCUAUUAUUAUCUACGGGACUGGGGUACCCCGUUAUCACCGCAUUCUUUAUUUUGCUUCCCCGCUUUUAAUUUCCUAUUUUUGCUUUUAUAGUACUUAGUACUUGUCCGGCUAACAUAACGUUUGUGCAUUGGGUGCAGUUAUGGAGUCGGCGGGUGACGCCUUUGAUACCUUUUUCUAAGUAGUUGUGUGAGGUGCUUCUAGAUCUCAGGAUUCGGCGGUACCCCAGAAAAGUUCCCGGCCACCUCGAGCUCCCGGACUAAAGGGAAAAUUCCAGGGUACCUCCCACAGUGGGUCGAAGGGUACCCCUCGUUCAAAAAAGAGAAAAUUCGGGAUGGUUUCUGCUUUCCCCGAUGAAUUGCGUGAAGGCGACCUAGACCCGGCCUCCAACAAGGAGGUUUCACACUUGGCUCGGUGUUUCUACUAUUCUGCUGAAAAUGUUACCUCCGAGGUGGCUGAAGAGACAGACAAGAUGAGCUUGAGCCAACACUAUGUCAGGCACUCAGGGCUACCCAAGAGGUAAGCUUUAAUAGGGUACCCCGGGUGUAUCCUCCAUUUUUUAUUUAUUUACUCCUAUUGCCAUACACAUAUAUUUAAAAUGUCUUUUACGACCUGCAGGCAUCCUAUUUUCUCAGCCACUGUCUUUCAGAUCUCGACUCCCUUGUUGCCGCCCAAUCGGAGGUUGACAAGUUAAGGGGUGAGCUUCGAAGUCGUCAGUCUUACGAGAACGAGCUUGCUCGAGAAGUCAAGACUUUGCGGGAACGCAUUACUGGCCUUUCUGGAGAGAAAUCUCGAGUGGAGAAAGAUUGCGACGAGUUGAGGGCCACAAACUAGGAUCUGUUAUCCCGACAAAAGACGAUGGCAGAGGAUGCAUUCUCACUCAUCAUGACGGAGGUGUGGAGUGUGGAUCCGAAAUUAGAGGUACUCCAUGUGCAGAAAUUCGUCAACAAGGCCACGAUUCUGAAGACGAUUGAGGAGAGGAAUAAGUCUUCCCAUGCACGGUCAGGUACCCCUUCCGAGUCGCCUAGGGUACCCCGCGCGCUUCAGCCGUUGCUCGCCUCAGAUGCCCCUACUUCGGCUGCUCAUAUUCCAGGUACCUCAGAGUCCUCUGCUGAUCGCCCUCUGGAGACGGACGGUAGGGAUGGCGUUCCACCCUCGGUGUAACCUUUUCACUGUGCUCUUAUUUUUUAGAUCUAUCCACAUUUUGCUAUUUCGAACUUGUUUCUUUCUUUUUGGUUUCUUGGGAUAUUCUGUAUUAUUGGGACUUCUCUUUUGUUAUGAUAUCAUGCCACCGAGCCCUUUUGUACUUUGCAUUCUUGUUAUUCUGCAAAUGAAUGUUUGGCUAAACUGUUAUCUUGUAAAUUUUCAGGGUACCUCUCAUUUUUCUUUUUUCUUUUUGAAAUGGGGUACCCCCGGUACCUUAACAAAUAUUCGACAUCAGGCGCCUGCUGGUUUAUACAGAUUAGCGAAUUUGGUGCAUGCCCUUCUCGGCAACCAUGGCGGAUUUCCCAUAAAUAGGUAAUCAAAACAUCAUCGCGACAUCUCGAUCAAAAAUUGAAAGUGCGCAAUUGGUCCAACCAAUCAAUUUCUUAUUCUUUCGAAGUUCUCUCCGAAUUUUUGAAUAGCUUACCCCCUACUUUGCUCAAGUAAGAGGACGGAGGUGUGGGUGUUCUCAUACCUAAGCUGAACCUCGUGCCGCUGGGGUAUGCCGAUUUUACUCCAUCCUCGGCUCCUCUUUGACCCUCCCUCUCUUUGUCUAGGUAGUUUUGUCAUGCUUCCGCAGAAAGACUACCCCUGGGCUGUUCACUCCGUUGCCCAUCUUGGCUUUACAUAGAUCGUCAUGAUCUAGGCAUAUCAGGUACCCUGGCUGGUCCUGUGAUAGGUUAGUUAUAAUUGACAAGCGUAUGGCGAGAAUUGCAUAUAACCAAAUGCGAGGGUAUAUUAAUGGCGAUAAAUGAAUAUAAUCCGCAUUCUAAGAUCGAAGUGGCGAAAAAUAAAAAAGAACCCACAUCAUAUUUGUUGAGAAAGAAAAUGCAUUUAUAGAUAACGAAAGCGUUGAUCAAUACAUGACUUAGCGUUGUUACCCUGAGGAGAAUGAGAGACCGCAAGACCUCCUAUCCUUUUCAUUUGAAAAUUAAAGAAACUUUAAAGUUGCAACUGACCAACAUAAGGCAUUCGGGGUACCACAUUUGGCCUACCACGCAAAAACAUUAAAUAAAGCAAACAACAGCAAAAGCCUAAAGGUUAAGACACUAUCCUUUAGUAAUAUUUCCGUAGCAUUGCAGCAUUUCAGGGGUGCCUCACGAUUGUCUUAUUCAUAUGGAGUAGCUAUGCCAAGGUUGGUGACGACUGCAAUGGUGUGAGCUUGAAAAUAUGGUCUGAGCUUCCGUGCGGAGACAACCAAUGCCAAAACGACCUUUUCACAGGUGGGGUACCUCUUUUCGGCAUCAACCAUAGCCUUAUUAGUGUAGUAAAUAGGUCGUUGUACCUCAUUAUCAUCCUCUCGGAGUAACACGGAGCUGGUGGCAUACUCGAAUACGGUGAGAUACAACAGAAGCACCUCUCCCGGCUCAGAUUUGGCAAGUAGUAGAGCAUUCACGAGGUACCCCUUCAGUUCUUGAAAAGCCUCUUCGUAAUCGGGUGUCCAUUGGAGCUUCUUGCCGGUCUUCAAAGCUUUGAAAAAUGGCUUACACCGGUCUGUAGCCUUGGAGAUAAAGCGGCUCAGGGUAGCUACCCGGCCUGCCAAGCUUUGAACCUCCUUGAUGGUGCGUGGCGAUUUCAUGUCAAGAACCGCGUGAAUUUUAUCGGGGUUGGCCCAAUCCCCCGUUAUUGUACCAUGAACCCAAGAAAUUUCCCCAAGGUAACCCCAAAUGCACAUUUUUCAGGGUUGAGCCGCAUCUGGUGUCUUCUUAAAACUGUAAAAGUAUCUCUGAGAUGCCCCAGGUGUUCCCCCAUAUGUACCGAUUUAGUGAUCAUGUCAUCUAUGUACACCUCCAUGGUGUGCCCGAUUUGUUUCUUGAAAAUUUUGUUCACUAGCCGCUGAUAGGUAGCCCCGGCAUUCUUCAAACCAAACGGUAUAACCUUAUAACAGUAUAACCCGCGGUUGGUGAUAAAGGCCGUUUUCUCUUAAUCGGGUUCAUACAUUGGGAUUUGGUUGUAACCGGAGAAGGCGUCCAUAAAACUAAGCAUCUCAUGCCCCGCUGUUGCAUCAACUAGCUGGUCUACCCGGGAAGCGAGAAGCUAUCCUUGGGGCAGGACUUGUUCAAAUCGGUGAAGUCCACACACAUACGCCACCUUCUGUUUGAUUUCCUGACUAGAACAACGUUGGAUACUCAAUCGGGGUACACUGCUUUCUGGAUAAAUCUUGCUGCUAAUAGGCAGUCUACCUCUUGUUCAAUUGCAUCGUACCUCUUUUGGUUGAAGGUGCGACGCUUCUGUUUCACCGGUUUAUUAUGUGGGCUGACAUUGAGUUUGUGACAAGAGAGGAAAGGUGGGAUACCCGGCAUAUCUAAGCGGGACCAGGCGAAUACAUCGUGGUGCUCGCGUAGAAAGGUGAUGAGCCCCUCUCUUUGUUCCUCCGAAAGAUUGGAGCCUACUUUCACGAUCUUUGUUGGGUCGGUGGUACAAAUCGAGACUGAAAUAAGGUCUUCAACUGGGGUACCCCGUUUUUCAUCUUUCAAUAUUCGGGGAUCCAAAAGUGCCUCAACUUCACAUAUGGGCUCCACCUGGUCCCCGUGGGAUACUUUUGACCUAUCCCCCGCAACUGCUUCUACGCCCAUUGGUGAGGAUUCCAACUGUUUUCGUGGGUGGGCUACCUGAGGAGAUUUUUUGAAUACCACUCUCCGCUGUCUAGCAAGUACUCGCUUUGAGGGAUAAGGUGUGGGCUGGCUGCCACUGGGGUACCCCUUCAUUGGCGGAUCAGAAGCGAUUUGAUAAGUGACUUUGGAGGCCAUGAAGUAACAUCCACGAGCCGAUUGCUGGUCCCUUUUAAUGGUGAUAACUUCUUGGGCGGACGGGACUUUCAUGGCGAGGUAGUGCAUGGAUACCACCGCUUUAGUUGCUAUUAAGAACGGCAUACCCAAUAUGAUAUUGUAGGCACCCGGGUGAUCUACAAUAAGAAAAUCAAUCAUAUGAACAACACGGUAAGGUACUUUACCAAGUGUAACGGGCAGUGUAAUGAUGCCUUUUGGUAUAACCAUAUCUCUGGCGAACUCAAUAAGAGGCGUAGCAUAAGGGAUGAUCUUUGGCGACUCUAUCAGUAGUUGAUCCAAGGCGCUUUUGAAAAUGAUGUCAACGGAGCUGCCGGUAUCUACAAGAGUUCUUGCUACCUUACCGAUGGCAACCUUCAACGUAAUUUACUAAGGCAUCGUCAUGGGGGUACGAGAUACCCUCCGCAGUUUUUUCUGUAAAAAGGAUAGGCGGGGGAUGGUGGGGUACUUUCGGUGUACCCCAUUCAUUAAGGUUGACUUCUCUGUCAAUAUUAGUGGUUAUCGACAACGAUCUACCAUAGCCUUUGAUAGCCCUCCUAGAUUGGCCCGCUAAAGUAGGUCCACCCAUAAUCAUCCGGACAUACACGCCUUUCUUAUGUCCCGGGAGUACCUCUCGUUCAGGACUGCCAUCAGCUACCCGCUUGCCCUUAUCCUGCUCCGUGGAUUUCCGAGCUUCUCUCAUGCCAGCAACAAAUUCUUUGAGGUACCCGCUAAGAAUCAAAGAUUCAAUUUCCUCUCGCAAGGUAAAAUACUCGGCUGUGCUAUGACCGAAGUCCUCAUGGAACUCACAAUACUUCAAGUUAUGCUUCAUGUUGGGGUACUUCUUCAUUGGCUAAGGAGGACGAAGGAGGCCGCUAUCCCGAAUAUGGUAGAAGAUCUGCUCUGGGGAUCGAUUCAGUGGAUGGUAAGAUUCGUACCAAGGCCUCGGUGGUGGCGAUCUUGGAGGUUGGGGUACCCUGAGCGUUAUACCCUCGUCCCCGCGGGGUAGCCUGUGGAGGGCUCCAUGCUCAGGGUACCCGCGGUAUUGUGGCCUCCAUCCUCUUGGGAUUCUCUUUGUUCUUUGUAACAUCAGCCUUAUCUUCUUGGCGCUUCAAUUGGCAUUUAUCGUCCAUCUCCACCUGCUGCAACGCCCGGGAACAGGCUUCCCCAUAUGAAAGUGGGCGCUUCUUUUGAAAAGAACGCCAUAACUUGCCUAACCGUAAAUUUUUCUCAAAAUGGGUUAAUGUGUAUUGGUUUCCAAAUGCUCCGGUUCGCAGCACCUCUUGGUGAAAACGACUCAUAUACUCCGCCAAAGGUUCGGCUUCCCCUUGCUUGAUAAAGGCAAGUUUGGAGCCUACCCUAUCUUGAGUGGAAGCGUAGGAAAACUCUUUAGUAAAUUCGGAUAACAAUUGGUGUAAGGAAGAUAUACUACCUGCUUUCAGAGAGCGAAACCAUGACUUCGCAGGGCCCGUAAGUGUGUGUGUGUAAACAUCCUACACAUGGCACUCUCAUCUACACCAUUGAUAAGCAUUUAGUCGCGGUAUAGCUCAGCAUGCUCCGAGGGAUCAGUGACACCCGAGUAUUGGGGUAUUUGAGGCAUGGCGAACGCCUCGGGGAGAGCUGCCUUCCGAAUCUCCAUAGUGAAUGGCGAUUGGUAGGUCAUUGGCGUUGGAGCAGCUGUGAUGUUUUGCUUCUCGGAGAGGAGCUUCACUUGGGCUUCCAGGUUCUCCAUUUUUUUCACAAGUUCGUGGGGUACCCUCGGGGUACCUGAUGAUGUCGCCACCAUUUGAGAAGCCCUUUUGGCGUUUAACUUUUCAUAGAGAUCCUCGUGGGUAUGCUUUGCACGCCUCGUACCCUGGCUGCUGCAGGAAUUGCAAGAGGCGGUGGAACACUCGUCUCGGGAGCCCACGGUAUGAAACUUAAAAUGGGUACCCGAUGGCCUAUGCUUUGGCUUGUUGCCCUCGGGUACCUUUUUUCUGAUCAUAACUUGGUCGUCCUUUUGAGGUGGUAGAGCAUCUAGUGUCACUGGUGGAAGUGAACUUUCGGGUGCCCGAGAUCCAACCGCCCUAAGUAUUGCAUGGGCAAGAUCCUCAAAAUGCUUGUGGGAGAUGGGUUCAUCAUCUUGGCGGAUACCCGUUGAUUGCUUGAUACCCUUGCCCUUGCUGAGAUGGGCUACCCUUCUUACGGUAUCACUACCUUCACCGCUGUUGUCAUCUCCCAUCCUUGUAGGAUCCGCCAUUAAACCUUCGGGAGGUGCGUCAGGUGCCAUGUAUUGGAGUACACACAACAACUAGUUUGGUAACUGCGGUAGAGGCUUUUUGUACGCUUCCCCACAGACGGCGCCAAUUGUUUUCAACAGAUUUUGAGGUAGGAAAAGCCAAAAUCUAUCUUGAACAAUGAAUUUAUAUUUUUGGGGGAGAUGGGGUACCUCACUUGUUUGUUGUGCACAAUGUGGUGUAUCUAAAAUUCGGGGGAGGUGAGAAGGGGAAAAUGAGUGGUAACAACAGUGAAAGGUCAAAACCAAGAGAGAUGCCCUUCAAAAUGAGUUUCACGCCUGCAAAAUAGUGAAAUAGAGGUUAGAGGUGAAGCCGGGGUACCCCGGCGUUCACACUCCGACGCUCAAGUAAGCAAACUCAAGCUUUUAUGGUAAAGAGAGCUGGCUAGCCCUCUGUAAAUUAGGGUUUAAGGUUGAAGAAAACCUAUUUUUUAGAGUGUGAGUGUUAAUGGUGAGUGAGAACAUGAUGGAGAAUGAAACUUAGACACCUUUAUAUAUAGAGUACCUCAGCUGCCACGUGGCAUACCCUUUUUGGCUAACGUCCUUUUACCUUUUUAUGAUUUUUGGGCUGUUAUGUGCAUGUUCGCGGCGUAUCUCAUCCUUUGGAAACGUGGCGCGCGCUGGAGAGUAGUCCAGGGUACCUCUGCAGUAGCUGUCGGGUAGGCGGCUGAGGACCACUGUCCUUGGGACAAUGUCCUUCACUUUUGGCAGAGGUAGCAGGCGGUUGUUCCCUCCUUUUGAUACGACGUUCUUGAUUCCUGAUUCUGACAAAAUCGAAUAAUAUCUUUUAAGAGAUGGAGACGUUUCUCAUGGCGGAUAUUUUCGGAGGAUUCUCUUGCAUCUGAUAUGCCGGGUACCUCGGGUUACGUGGGGUACCUUAAUUUAUGUGGGGUGCCCCUAAUUAUACGGGGUACCUCAAAUCACGCCGGGUACCUUGGAUUGUGCAGGUAUCUCGUAUCAUGUUGGGUACCUCAAUUUGUCCGGGGUACCUUAAAUCAUGCCGGGUACCUCGGAUUGUGUGGGGUACCUCAGAUUGUGCUGGAGUCAUUCCAUUUAUCGACACGUGGCGCUUUACUGCCUUUCUUAUUUUUUUCCUCAAACAAAUAUUAAUUAUUGUGAUUAUUUAUUCAAAAAACUAUAAUUAUUAAUAUAUUAUUGUUAAUAAAAUAUUAAUAUAUUAAUUAAUAGUAAUAAUUUUAUUAAUAGUUAUUAUAAUAGUAUAUUAACUAAUUAAUUAUAAGCUAAACCGUGACUUAAGUUGAACUCAAAAGGACCAGAAUUUAAAAACAUUUCGGGUGAGCCCUUUAGGAAUUUUCUAAAGUACGGCUUCUGCUUAGCUCUGUUUAAUUUCUCUUAUAUUUUUAUACAAAAAGUCUCCGUUCUCUGCCUUUUCAAACUCUGAAGGGGGGCAAUAUUCCCUAAUUCCCCCUUGAAAAUUCUGAUUACGACAUUAUUCAUCGCUUGAUGCAAUCAAAGUGGUGACAAAGUUAGGAAAAAUAUGACUCCCAAGUAAUUACUAGGCAGGGCUCCUGAGAGCAACAUUGUCCUAGGCAUUAUAUGCAUACACGAUGUGGUACAUAGAGCACGUUGAAUUACACACUAUAACACAAACCCAGAAAUACAAGUAAUAACUCAACUGAUGUAAAGACAAAAAUAAUAUAAAAUGAUAUACAAAAAGAAUUUCAAAGAGAUAGCAACAUACAAUAGACUGAAGCCACUUAAUCUAUUCGUUGAUUGCAGCCUUAAACUUGCAAAUAGUUACUGUACGCUAGUGCUCUAAGAAGUGAAAAUGAUGCAACUGAUCCCCUUUUGACUUCCAUUUACUGUCAAAUAUUCUAUUCAUACGAAAAAAAUGUUCAGAUAUCUUGCUAUAAAUAUAGCCGUUUGACUGUCAAAAGUCACACACAACCAUUCUUAUUAAAUUAGCAAAGAUCAAACACUGCCCUAGAUCUUGAACAGACCAACACAAGAUGCACAACUUACGAUUGAAUCCGGCCAGAAACAAUCAACUCUUUAGCAAGAACAAUUAAUCAGAGUCAAGAAACAAGUUUAAUGAAUAUAAACCUAUAAUUGAAACAAACGUAGCCAAGAAACAAAUAGAGAUUUUACAUGUUUCAGUUGUACCAAGGAUGGCACAACCUACACCAUGGGAGAAGCUUUCUGGUGAGAUUUUAUUGAUGAUCAUAGAAGAAUCUAUAACCCUCUCUCCCUGUUCAAUCUCUUUCUAUUUUGUUCCCAGUGAUGACCCCAAUCUGCUUAGUUAGCCAGCUUUAUAGCUGCAUCAGUAACAAACUAGCAAACCCAGAUUGAGCAGAUUGACGACACGUGGAUAACGGCUUUAACGAACCUGGCGAAGAACUGCUCACAUGUUCGUCACGUGUGUUACUUUAAUGAUGGCCAAAACGACUUCAAACAAAUGCCGUUUUGAAGCGUAUGAAUCAUAAGUGAAAACACGUGCUUGUCUCGUGACAUUUAAAUGCAGCAACAAACCCAAAACGCUGUCGUUUUACUCUGUUGAGUUUGAUUCAUCACUAAGCUUCACGACUAGCAAUGGAGAAGAUAUAAUUUAAUUGACAUGAACAGUUUUUAUAUGACUUUUGUAACAUCCUAUGUAAUUGUGAUAUUUGGAAUCAUGGGUGUUCUAUAUGUGAACCCUAGUUGGCAACACUAGUGAUUUUAUCCUUGUUGAAAUGUUACUAUUUUGUUGUAGAUAACUUUAUUCCCACGAGAUUUGUCAUUGUUGUAGAUAACCUUAUUCCCAUGAGAUUUGUCAUUGAAAUUAACACGUAGUUUCAUUGCAUUUCUGCUUCAUUAAAAUUCUCAAGUACCAGUCAGGUUUGCUUAAUUAAGAAAUAAAAAUUUUGCCCACCUUGCAUUUUCUAUUAUUUUUCAUAAAUCAAUUAAUAUGCAAUGUCAAUAUCAAGUUUAGUUUUUUAUACUAAAAAAUAAAGAAAGGAAACACACAAAUUCACAGUUUAGAGGGGUAAACUAGAACGUUCAUCAUACAUAAUUGCAUAUCAUGAGACAGUGCUACAGUCUACUGAGAUCUAACUUACAUGAUAAUUUAAGCUACUAAUGUUUGCAUAUUUCUACAUGUUAAAUUAACACGAACAUCUAUAAUCACUCCAAAACGACAGAUGAUAAGCGGCUUUUGGCCACUUAUUACUAGCAUCCACAAUUAAUUUUUGUUCAGCAAUCAGCUUAUUUUAUAGAAAUUGAUUUAAUCAGCAACAAACACUAUAAUUCUUCAAAUUAAUUUUUGUUCUUUGUAAACUAGCUAGGUGGUUUAGAACUGGGCUAGCUACCUUACUAUAUGGGAAAUUUUUAACCUACCCCAAAUAAAUUGAUAUUUUGCACCGCGCCCCUAAUUCCGUUAAUUUUUCAAUUAUUUCUAACGGCUCCGUCUAACUUUUGAUUGAAUGACAAAAAUGCCCCUCUAUAUGAAAAAAAAAACAAAAUUUUUAGCUCAUUUAAUUUUUUUAAGGUUUUUAUUUCAAUUGCAAUAAAAAAAAAUUUCUUAUUACAUGUACAUUUGUCACCACUAUUAUUUUUCCUUUAAUUUUUUAAAGAUUUUUAUCUCAAUUGCAAUAAAAAAAAUUUCUUGUUACAUGUACAUUGUCACCACUAUUAUUUUUCCUUUAAUUUUUUUUAAGAUUUUUAUUUCAAUUGCAAUAAAGAGAAUUCCCAUUAAAAUUAAUUUAAAGAAUGAACUUUCAAUUUUACCCCUCCACUAUUAAACUUAACUGAAAAAUUAACGUAAUUGGGGAUGCAGUGCAACACGUCAUUUUUUUUUUGGUGCGCGGUGCAAAAUAUCAAUUUAUUUGGGGGUAGGUUAAAAAUUUCCCUUACUAUAUUCCAAUUUGUACGGUGAAUUAAUUGAAUCAUGAGAAAACAAUGUGGUCAUUGCUCAAUAUGAGAUGAUUUCGGAGAGGCAUAUUGUUUUCAAGUUGAUUUAAUCCAUUUAUAAGAGAUGAAGGGGAUUGAAGUGGAAAGUUUAAAUAACAAAUCCUUGUUCUCGAGUUUUACGACGUCGUUACUCCUUCGAAGUGGCAGAUUAUGCAAGUGAAUUAAAGAACAAAAUGCAUCAAUCACGAGGAUGCUACAUCAAAAGACGGGAUCAUUGUUUAUCCACUGAACAGUUACAGUUGCUGCUACCAAUUACCUCGGCAAAGAUCAAGAAGUCAGAACAGGAAGCUAAUGCCAUCGAUGUCGUCUUCAUUAUAACUGCUGGGAACGUAGGUGUAGUUUCCUCAUUUGAAGCUGUCUAUACAUAGGCUUUUCCCCUGCUUAAGUACAAAUAAAUGAACAGCCUCGAAGGCUUAAGUACACUUUCGUUUUCUCAAUUUCUCUCAGAAGUCCCUCUGAGAAUAGCUGCCAAAACAGUUACUCAGCUUUUAUACUCUUGUCUUCCGGAAACAGAGUCCUAACUAACUGACUGUGCAGAGCAUGUCAAUAUUCUUAGUAUAUCUAACCGGUUUAACAGUAAUUUUUUACCGUCUUCGCAGUUAUCAUCAACAAACUCAUCAUAAGAUUUUUGGAGCACCCAAGGACUAUCACUUGGUUUCUCUUCUGGUUGAUUAAUUAAUUAAUCAAAGAACGGUUGGAUACCCAGGGAGAAAGGAGUUGUCUACUGUGUGUUGCGUAAUUAUGCUAUGAUCGGUGCUUUCAACAUUGCCCUGAAAACAGUGGGAAAUACUUCAUAUCCUCGACAUGAUGAUGAAAAACUGGUUACCGAUUACCUAACUGACUCAGGUGACAACAAUCCAUUAAUAGCACAAUUUGAGGUGAUGCCGUUUAGGUAUAUGGUUUACAGGUUUGACUGAUCAGUGAUGAAGUGGACUGAAAUUAAAAGAUCAUAUAAUAAGUCAUUGUUCUUGGGCAUAUCGUCAUUACUCAUUACUACUUCAAGUGAUCAAAGAUGAAGAUGAAGAUGAACAUUGUGCAAGUGAGUUCAAGAAUACCAUACAUCGUUACUUAGGAUACUUCUUCAAAUAUGGAUGGGGUCAUAAUUUACUCCCACGAAUUUCAACCCAAUUUUAUGAUUGGAGUGUCCCACCAUGACUCAGAAAAAUUCUGAUUCAACCUCCUCCACCAAUGGAUUUUGAUUAGUCACUUUGUGAUCAAGCAACUUAAUUAAACUCAGAGAGUCAGAGUUCGAUUUUGCUGGCACCGCAUUUUUUUUAAAAUGUGGCCAUGUAAGGAGAGCGGCACAUAAUGUCACUUCCUUAUCAAGCACUUUAAAGAGGGAUUUUAGAAGAAGAUACAACUGCAAUUGUUUUCGUAUGUAUAUAUAUAAACAACAGCACACAUUCAGUUCAUAAAAGAAAUUUUUGCUAACCAUGAUAUGUGGUAGUGCUUUUUAGGCAAUUUAGAAACAGAGUUGUUCAACAUACAACAGGUGAACUCCUCAAGUUCGACGUAAAUACAAAUAUUAAUUAGAAUCCAUAUUAUAAUGACACACAUAACUUGCUUCAAAAUUAUUAGAAAUUAAAAUUGCUGAUUCAUAAUGCAGAUAACUUGGAUGAAUUGAUGUUAAAGGAAAAAUCACACGCAUAACUUGGAGAGCAAUUGCGACAGCAGCCAAGUAUAUAUUAACUAACUAAAAUGGCCAAUCAGAUUUGCUUAAGUAAUAAAAUUUUGUCUUGUAGUAGUGUUUCCAAGCACCUCGCAUUUGCAUCCACAUUUUGCAGGAAUUUUAAGAAAUACACGUGUCCGAAAGUCAAAUCAUCGUCCUUACUAUUCGAGUACUGGUAUGUUAAUGACGAAUUUGAAAAGCCACACUGUAAAAACAGUUUGUGAUCUAUGCAUGACGAACCACCAACAUUGUAGUAAUAGCACAGGAAAAAAUCUACCAAAAUUAAUUGCGUCCAUACAUAUAUGCAGAUGCAAACAAUGAUUGUAAAUUCUUUUUUUUUAAAGAAAAAAAAUAAGAAAAUUGUAUAUUGAGAUGGAUAAGAUGCUUAAUUUAAUUAAUUUACUUACUUUCAUACACAUCGUCUUUCCAUCUAAAGAAAACUUGGUGGUGAGAACGAUAUGAAGUUGCGAGUUGCUGCCGAUAGCUGCUGAUUAAAAAUAAAACGAGACAAAUUAAAUUAAGGACAAUGAUACAGAGCAUACUUAUCUGAAUUGUGCUAAACUUUCAAAGAUUUUGUCUCACGCGUGCAUGUAUAUCAUUUGUGUUUAAGAUUUAAUUAGUUAUAGUUAUAAUUAUUAGUCAUUUUAUAUUUAUUGAUUCAUCUAUACUGGAUAAAUUUUGAUGGAUUUAAAAAAAAAAAAAAAAAACUCGGUUGCCGAAAAAAUAAAAGAAAAGAAAAUGUUGAAUCUUACAUUUUAAUAUUUAGUUAAUUCUCCUUUCGAGCGUCUUCUUAGGCUUAGCAAACUAACUUAAAUUCUGCUAAUUUCUGUUAAAAAAAUUUGAUGCUGGCACUAAAAUGUUAAAAAAAAAAUGGUUUCUUAGAAAAGAACAAGAAAAGAAAAAUUUCAGCAUCUUCUACUCAGAAUUCUUUUCGUUGUUUAAGACUAUGUUUAUGUUUUCCAAAGAAAAGAAGAUUUUUAUUUUUAGUGACUAAUUUGAUUCUUAUUGGAUGAAAGGGGUGCGAUUUCAAUGAGAAAAAUGGGGAACAAAAUAAAGGAAGAUGAAAGAAUUGAGGGGAUCAUACACGUGGUCUUUUGAAGCUUCCUGAGAAUCGGAAAUGUAUCAACUGCAACUGUUUCUUAUGCCUUUUGCAGUAUUCUGAUAAUUUUAGUUUGAGUGGUUAAGAUAUUAAAUAAUCCAUUACAUUGCUUCCUAUUUUCUUGAUCGACUUACAUGAUCCUAGAUCUAAUGUAUGUUUCUUAUUGGCAGGGACCUCAAUAUGUUUGCACAAACUGCAGUGGAGUACAGUAAGUGUUGAUACAAAUUCUGAAAUUCUUAAUUCCGUCUGCAUACUGUGAAUAGCCUCUGUUUUAAAUUCCAACUUUUCCCAGUUUCAGCUCGACAUUUUAAAGCCAUUCUACGUGAUUCUUAAUUAUCUCUAUUGAAGCUUUAAUUUUAAUGAUGCUAGCUAUAUUUGUAUAAUUUAUAAUCGGUCCGGCCACCAUGUACUAUCUUUUUAUGAUUAAAGCAUCUUCAACAAGAUUUUCUUCAAUUUUCUCCAAGAGGAGCUGGAGCUGUGUCUCUGAUUAGCCAACGAAUUAGUUGCAAUUAAUAUUAACAUUGCCCACCCAAGAAAUAAGAGUGAUUUAAAGAAUUAGCAAGACUUCAUUGAGAGGAGCGAUCAAACGACCUCCUUAUCACCUGCGGCAGCCGUCUAUUAACUAAAAUGCCAAUUUCAUACAAGAAGAAGCAACAAGUACAUGCUCGGCAAUUGUGUUCGGUAAGAAGUGACAUAGCAUUCAGGUGAUGACUUUACUUUUGUUAUCUUGCUAACAAUGGUAGUCUAGUUUAAGUUUUACUGUGGAAGUUACAGAUGUGGCAAAAUCAAUAAUUAAAUUCAUAAAAUGUUAAAAAAUAAAACUUAUAAAUGUUGCAUGACUACUUACUAAUAAAUAAAUAAGUUAAAAUGUAGUUAGUUAAUUUAACACUAUAUUAUAUCUUAUUCGAUAAUAAUAUAAAAUAAAAAUAAUUAUAAAAUAAAUAAUUGGAUAAACAAAUAUGGCUUUCUAAACAGUAAAAAUUCGAGAGCUAAAAUUUAUAUUGUUAUUUUUUUUUAAAUUGACAUUUUUUCUAUUGUCUUACACGUACAUAGAUUUUGAGAGUUGAGAAGAAUAUAUUUGAUGAAGUUUGAUAUCAUUUGAUGGGAUAGCAAGUAAGGGUAAAUAUUUAUUAAUUAUUUUUAUUAAAUAAAAUAUUUUUAUUAAAUAAAAAAAUUUAUUUGUUAUUUAUUUCAAUUAUAUCUAUUUUGUUCAAGUUAAAAUACUAAAUAUAAAUUGGAGGUAGACAUUUUAACAAAUCAUCUAAGCUCUCAAAUUUGAAAUUUUGUGUAGAUUUAAAUUCAUAAUUUUAGUUAAUUUUCAUAUAUUCAUAUAAACAAAUUUAUGAGAUUUUUAUUUUCAGCAUGUUAUGUUUGAAACUUUCAAUGUAUUAUUCUAGUUUUAUUUAAACAAUUAAUUUAUUCAAAUUUUAUUUAAUUUUAAAUUUGAUCAGUAGUAAAAAAAAUUUUAUAUCAAAUUGUUUUAUUUAAAUAGUUCAUGGAUUGGACAAAAUUAAAAAAUUUUAAUUCACAAAAUUAUGGAUGGGAUAUGAAUUGGGUUAAAUCCACAUUCGAUCCGCAGUUGCAUGUAUUGAAUUUGGAUUGAAUUUCAUCAAUCUAUGUAUUAGAUUGAAUUGAAAAUUUAUAAUCUGCAAAAUUGUGAAUCGGAUAUAUAAACUGAUGUCCAAUCAGCAAAAUCCGAUCCCCGAACACUCCUCUAUCAAAAUUUUCAAGAAUAUGUUUUAGCUUACAAUUUUUUUUUUAAAGUCAUAGUCUAAUGGCAGCCCAAUUUCUACUCCAUCCAUAUAAGCGGAGUUCAAAUCUCAUACCUCUUAUCUCCACACGAGAUUUAACCAAUUGAAAUAGCUAGCACCCACAAGUAUACUAGUACAGCAUCUCUUAACGUUUAACAUACGUAUAAUUAACGCCAUAGCUAUUGAUAAACACAUUGUUCAAUAUAUAUGAUCAAGAAUCUGAUCCUGCGAGCAACAGCAGUCAGAAGAACCAUUAUAAUGCCUAGCUCUUAUCCUGGUUAAUCCUCUGGCCCGAUGCUUCAUCAUAGUGAUUUAAAAAACCAACAACAGCUCUCUAAAAGAGAUGAAGAUAUCAUCUACGUAAAGAACAUGAGACGGAGAUUCACAACCCAUAAGAUCUGAGAUAAAUUGGACCAGACCAGUAAUCUUGAGAUAAGUUAAACUGUGACUUAAGUUGAAAUCGGAGGACCAGAAUUUUAAAAUCUUUCGGCUAAGCCCCUGAGGAAUUUUCUAGAGUACGGCUUCUGCUUACCUCUGUUUAAUUUCUCUUUAUAUUUUUCUUUCACUUCAUUAAUAAAGUCAAAUAAUAAAUCAAAGAACGAGGGAAGAUUUUUCCAAGUCAUGCAUUAUUUGAUUACCAUCAAUCAAGAAACCGACCAAAUUAAUUUCUCCCCGUGAUUUUUAAAAAUUAAAAAAAAAUUAUUUGAACAUAACAUCAUUAAUUAUAGAGUGGAUCAAACUGCGUUAAUCAUGAAACUGAUACCUAUUAAGAGUCAUACUUUUUACUUAUGCAUACUAAAAGACAUCAAAUUGUUCCGAUCCCCAAUUAUUUGAUCAGCAACUAUCAAGAACUAACCAAAUUUAUUUCUUCAUGACUUCCAAACACUAGAAAAUUUUGUUAUUUGAUAAUAAUAUCAUUAAUUAGAGUUUAUCAAACCGCAUUAUUUUCUUUCAUAAAAUUGAUGCCUAUUAGUGUCACACUUUAUUUGUAUUACCUAGCGGACAUCAACUUUUUUUUUUAAAAUUAAAAAGACCAUUUGAUUUUAACCCAUGUCCUUGGCCUUAGGGAAGCUGACUUCUUUUAUAGUCGAUAUCAGCUUGAACUUUGUUGUGUAAAUUAUUUCAAUCCCCGAUUAUGCAAUUUUUAAAUUAUAGCCUAACGGCGGUCUCAUCACCAUGUGUGUGAUUUUCUUUUGCCAAUAGGAUCUGCAGAGAGCUUGAUCUCACCCAAUAGCAAAAUAAACUUCCUAAUAAGUGAAGGCAUAGUAUAAAUAUUUCACCCCCAUAUUAUUUAUUAGCAGCUUGAUUAUUUUAUAUGCAUCUUUGAUUUUUAUUUUUUUUUCCCAUAAUUGCUACUAUGUUCGAACUGGUCAUGAAUUAUCUAUAAGAUUUUUCAUGUUGCUUUUAGGUGCAUUGGAUUUUUUUUAGUUUAGUGGAAGAGCAGAGGAAGGCAAAUUAAGAAAAAGGAUAAAGAUCUAUAAUUAGCUUCUCAUAACAUAUUGAUGGUAACAUUAUACAUAUGUAUAUCUAAAUAAUGGGUUGGAUCAGGAGCCCAUUAAUAAUCAUAGAUUAGCUCAUAUAGUUAAAAAAAAUGUACCAUAAAGCAAUUUCACAAGCACUUGUUAGCCUAUGUUGAGCUUUAUUAUCAAUAGUUCAAAGUUCAUCAGUGCACUGCAAGUUUACUAUUUGAAGUAAAUGUUAUGGUGCGUGCAUUCUUCAUAAGGCCAACUAUUGAAUUUAGCAUUGAAACUUACAAAAUGUAAUAGAAAGAGGUAGAUAACAGCCAUAAAACACUAAGAUUGGAAAUCAGGGCUACUAAAUACUAUUACAAGCCCUUAGAAAAGACAGUGAUCAUCUUAAAAUGUAUAUACUAAAAGUAAGAAAUAUUAAUCGCAAAGUUAUGUGUCAACAGAACUAUUAACUACUUGUCUCUAGUAGAAAGUAAAUAUUUUUAACUUCAGCUCUCUACUUUGUUUUAAGAGCUAGGCAAAAGAAGGAAAUUUCGAUGUCUAAAGUUUGCCACUUGGAAUAUUUCACUGUCUAAACAUUCACUCACCACUUAUUUCAUCAACGAAUUUUGUCUAAUUAUAUGUUGAUAAAGAUAUUAGAGUAAUAUAAUGUGUUUAAAGCUUAACUUAUAUUUUUUAUUAGUAGAGUGUAGAACUUUUAAGAAAUAAAUUAUUAAAUUACUAUAACUAACAUAUUAUUUUAAAACAUAUUAUUUUAAAGCUAUGUUAAGGAAAAGAAUGAAACAAAAAUAAAUAAAUAAAUAAGGGUAUUCUAAAACUUUGAUCUUUUUAAAAGUAGAUUUUGACAUAGAUAAAAUAAUUUUUAUAUUUUUUAAAUCACAUACUCUAGUUAAAAUCAAAUUUGUAUUUAUAAAGUUUGUAAAUUUUUUUUUUUUUUAGCACUGAUAUUUGAACACUAUCAAGAUAAGAAAUAGGGUACUGGUCAUGCUACAACAUUAUUAUAGCACGUAAAAAGACAAUACCAUUUAUUUUAUUGUACUAUCAUUGUUGAUAUAAUAGUAUUUUGUUAGUGGUCAAAUAUUAUUUUUUUAAGUAAAAAAAGUGAACAAUGUAAAUUAACUUUUAAUCUCUCCUAAAAUUCUAAUUCCUAGUUACGAAACAAAAUUGUUUAAAAAUCAUUAGGCUAACUGCAUGGGUUCUUAAAACCAUAGGUGAUAGAAGUUACUAACACAAGCAAAUUUGACGGUCCAUUUUAUAAAAUUUGUUAUUUACCAUUUUACCACCUAUAUAAGGAGUGCCGCAUCGACAUAUCAACUCAUUUGCAGAUUAUUUUAAUUUUGUAAAAUUCAUUUAACCUGCACUUGGUCGCCCCUAUUCUCUGAAUGGUUAUGGCGAUAUCAUCAUUAUCGUUACUUGUACCAACGCUAAACCCUUCUUAUUCCCUUUCUCGCCUGUCAUACCCUAACAUUAUAUCCCGUGUCCACACUAAAGACAAGUAGUCAAUUCAGGCCAUCAGAUUAUAGUGGACCCACAUCAAUCCAACUGCUCACAAUGACCGACAGCCUCUCCAUCUCCAUUUCAGGUUUCCUCUUCAACUGGCUUCUGCUUCCGCCGUAUUUGCUCCAUUUCUUGGAUUCGGAGUCCGUAUUUGGUCGGUCGGUCCCGCACAGCUCCCUCUCACUCCAAUUGUCACCCAACAAGACCAAUUGCUUAAUCAAGGCACAGAACAAGAAGAGGAUGGGAAAUUGAAACAAGAAUUUGAGAAUUGGAAAUCGAAAACGUCCGCAUUGACCGUGCCUUUGAGGGCAAUUACUUUUCUUGAGAAUUGAAGUUUGGUAAUGUAAUUUGUUCUCCAUCUGUGUUCCCUUUGUAGUCAUUUCAUUUAUUUGUUUGUUUGCUUUUAUUUGCAGGAGAAAUUGAUCCUCGAGAUAAAAGUAAAUUGUCUUUAAGCUCAUUUAGUUUUAUAUCAAACAAAAUCAAGACUGCCUUUUUCUUCAAUAGUUUUGAUGAUAAUAUCUUUAGAAGCAUCUCAUUGACAGGUAAUCGUGGUACCCCUUAAAGAGUCUAUAAACUCAAGGAUAUUAUCUUCUGCAAAUGGUUCAUUAAACUUCUUAGAUGUAGUUAAAUGUACACUGAGAACAACGAGAAGCUAUGCCACUGUAGCAUGUAGUGAUGGCACUUAAUGAGUGAGUUGCUAGGAUAUGAACUAGAAAAAUUAAACAUUGUCUCCCUGGGUAUGCUAGCUUGUAAGUCGGUUAAUAUUAGAGCUUGAGAUACUAUAACCAUGAGAAGCUAUUGACCGCCGAUUAAAAUAUCCAUUAAAAUGUCUAGGGAGUUAUGAAGGUGGAGGUGUCUCCCAAUUUCUAAGGCCAUAUAGUAGACAUCAUCCAGGAUCCUAUUAAAGUGCAGUUAGCCUCCUGCUUGAUGCUAAUGUCAAACAAUUAAUAAAUUUGGUCAAUGUAACUGAAACUUGCUAACUGACGUCAGAUUGCGACUUGAGCACCUUAAAAUGGGAUAGACGAUUAGUAGCACUGAAUUCUUCUUGCCUAAGAUUGAGCAAUUGUUCUAACUACAAUCUCCUAUUGUAGGUUGAUUAUUAUGUUCUAAUUAUGUCGAUUUUGACCCAAAAAAUUACAUAAUCUUGAUCUGCAUAAUGUCACUGAACAGUGUCAAUUUCGUUUACCAACUAACUUGAGUUUGAUAUAACAAACACACGGUGUGUCUCUCAUGUCUCACCAUGAUGGAGAAUUUUUCUAAUGCAUGAAGCAAGCUUCGAUAUGUGGGUUAGCUUGGAGAAGAUAUCUUAAAAUGAAGAAUAUGGGGAGUUAAUGGGAAGAAACAGUUCAGUAGUUUAUAAUUCUGUCGUCGAGCUGUAUCUCUAACAUGGUCAAAAUUUAUGUGAAUAAGGACAGGGAAUCUUCAUUCCUCUUUCCCUUUUUAUACCCACAUAUCUCUCAACCUUUAUAUGUUGCUCACUGGAGAUCUGCUUCUGAUAACUAAAAUAAAAAUUUCAUCCACUCAAAUAAAUUCUGACCAAGCUUUCACAAGAAAAAGUAACAUCUUUAGUGAAGUAAUUUACAAGUAAUUUAGAGUUCCUUAUCAUCUUCUUGUGAGUCUAUCAGUAUGAUCCAAAAACAUAAUAAAUCUUGUUAGAUCCUGUUUAUUGAUGUUUAAACGCUGCUCAUUGUGAAAUGUAGAAACAAUGACGUGAAGUUUCUUUGGUCAUCAAUUAGUGAGAUCUUGUUUGAAGUUGUUUUCUGAAAUGAACUGCCAAAUGAUAGUUUUUUUUUUUUUUUUUCUUUGGACGCAUUUGAUGGCUCUUUUCUCCUCAUUUUAAGCAUGUGCCUGCUUGGUAUGGGAAGGAAUAGGCUUCAGAGUUGUUAUAUAUGUUGACAUGCUCUGGUCAUUACACAAUAUGUUCAAAUUGGAAAUUAGAAUGAGAUAUUUGUCGAUGCUUUUUGAGAGAUCUGCAUUCUAUGCAGCAUAACAUGAUUAAUGAAAACGGGUUUAAGGACUGGAAAGAUCUGUGGCAGCCCAAGCUUGCAGGAAGGAUUUCAAUGGUUAAUUCUCCCAGAGAGGUUAUUGGUACAGUUUUGAAGUAUAUGGGAGCAUCAUACAAUUCAAACGGCAUUAAUUAGCAAGUUGCUGCUGGGAGGAUUGCUGUUCAGCAGAAUCUGGCAUUACUGGGAAACCAGGUACUCUUAAAGAAACGAUAGCUGGUCAAUGCAUAUUAUUGCCUGACGGCUGAUUUUGUUUGUAAAGUGUGCCUUUUCAUACAUAUGAAUGCAUAUGUUAGUGUUGUCUUCUCCUUUCCAUAAAUAUGAAUGCAUAUGUUGGUGUUCUUUUCUGAGAUGGAUGCAAUAAAGGCUUUUUCUUCUAAAUGACGAGUUUUCAUUUAAAAAUGUUAUAAAUCUGCCAUGCAUAGUAUUCUAGUAGAAUCAUCUAUAAAUUCAAGUUAUUGAAAUUGUCUAUUUGUCCAGUUUGAGUUAAGGACGCAUGUAAUAUGAAAAAUAGUUGUCGAAUAUUGUAGGUUAGCUAAUAUUUGAUCAAUCCUAUAGGGAGGGCUUUAAGAUGUCUAACAACAUGUAGAAUGCCCCUGCUUCCCCCACAAUUUUUAUCUUAUACAAUUUUUAUCUAUAAACAGUAUUUGCCAGACCUUAACUGUUCAGAUUCCCCUUCUCGACUAUCAUACCCUACGCCCCGUCUCCGUGUCUCCGAUAAACAGUGCUCAAUUAAGGCCAUCAGAUUAUCCCGGUCCCACAUUGAUCAACGGCUCACAAUGACCGACAACCUCUGUCUCCAUUACAAGCUCCCUCUUCAACUCGCUUCUGCUUCCAUCCUACUCUUUCUCAGAUUCGGAGCCCGUAUAUGCUCGGCUGGUCCCACGAAGCUCCCUCUCACUCCAGCUGUCAACCGACAAGACCAAUUGCCUUAUCAAGACAGAGAACAAAAAGAGGAUGAGAAAUUGAAACAAGAAUUUGAGAAUUGGAAAUCGAAAACGUACUCAUUGACCGUGCCUUUGAGAGUUGUUUCUCUUCAGAAUUCAGUGCCUCAAUCUUGGGUUAAGGAUUUUAUGCGAAGUCAAGGAAAGUGAUUGAAGUUUCAGAUGAAUUUGUGUGCUAGCAUUGGUGGGAUCUUUAACAAUUUAUCUGCCCUUUAACAAAGUCAAGGCUAAUUCAGCUUCUUAUAUGGCUGCUGAUUUGGUUAGUGUUGGUGAUUCAUGGCUUAGUUUUGCCAUUAAAGAGAGAUUGAUUGAGCCAAUGGCUGGAGCUGAAGACCAAGAUUGGUUCAAAUGCUUAAGUCACAAAUGGAAGGUAACAUCUUUAUCUUUGGCCCGAUAAUUUUUAUUGUCUUACAUUGAAAUUUGGUAAUGUAAUUUGUUCUCUAUCUGUAUUACCCUUUUUAGUCAUUUUAUUUAUUUGUUUAUUUGCUUUUAUUUGCACUAACGAAGUCUCAGGUAUAUCUAUGCAGAAUGAUGCAGGAGAAAUUGAUCCUCGAUGUGAAAUAUGGGCGGCACCAUACAGGUGGGGCACAAUGGUGAUAGCCUACAAGAAAAGUAAAUUUCGAAAGCAUAAUUUGGCUCCGAUUGAGGUAAUAAUUGUCUUUAAACUCAUUUAGUUUUAUAUCAAACAAAAUCAAGACUGCCUUUCUCUUCAAUAUUUUUGAUGAUAAUAUCUUUAGAAGCAUCUUAUUGAUGGGUAAUAAUUGUAUCCCUGAAACAGUCUAUAAACUCAAUGAUAUUAUCUUCUACAAAUGGCUCAUUAAACUUUGUCGUUGUAGUCAAAUGUACACUCAGAGCAAUGACAAGCUAUGCCACUGUAGCAUGUAGUGAUGGCACUUAAUAAGUGAGUUGCUAGGAUGUGAACUAGAAAAAUUAAAUAUUGUCUCCCUGGGCAUGCUAGCUCAUAAGUCAGGGUUAAUAUUAGAACUCAAGAUACUAUAACCAUGAGAAGCUAUUGACUGCCAAUUAAAAUAUCCUUUAAAAUGUCUAGGAAGUUAUGAAGGUGGAAGUAUCUUCCGAUUUCUGAGGCCACAUGGUAGAUAUCAUCCAGGAUCCUAGUACAGUGCAGUUAACCUCCUGCUUGAUGCAAUUAAUAAAUUUGGUCAAUGCCACUGAAACAUGCUAACUGACGUCGCAAUGCGACAUGAGCACUUCAAAAUGGGACAGACGGUCGGUAGCACUAAAUUUUUCUUGCCUAAGAUUGAGCAAUUGGUCUAACUACUAACCCCUUUUGUAGUUGAUCAUUAUUUUUUCAAUUAUUUUCAGUUUGACCCAAAACGUUACAGAAUCUUGAUCUGAAUAUUGUCACUGAACAUUGUCACUGAACAUUGUCAAUGUCGUUUAGCGUAGCCAACUAACUUGAGUUUGGUAAAACAAACACACAGUGUGUCUCAUGUCUCACAAUUCAAAUUAUCAUUUGUAAUGAUGGAGAAUUUUUCCAAUGUAUGAAGUAUGCUUUGAUACGUGGGUUACCUUGGGGAAGGUAUCUCAAAAUAAAGAAUAUGGGGAGAAAACAGUUCAGUAGUUUAUUAUUAUGUAGUCAAGUUUUGUCUCAAAAAUGGUCCAAAUUUAAAUGAAUAAGGACCGGGGAUCUUCAUUCUUUUUUCCCUUUUUUAUACCUAGAUAUCUCUCAACCUUUAUAUAAUCCCCACUGGAUAUCUGCUUCUAAUAAUUAAAAUAAAAAUUUCACCCACACAAAUAAAUACUGACCAAGCUCUAACAAUAAAAAGUAACUUCUUUAGUCAAGUGAUUUACAGUUCCUCAUCACCUUAGUGAGACUAUCAGUGUGUUCCAAAAACAUAAUAAAAUUGGUUUGUUCCUGUUUAUUGAUGUUUAAAUGUUGUUCAUUGUGACAUGUAGAAAUGAUGAGGCGAAGUUUAUUUGGUCAUCAAUUUGUAAGAUCUUGUUUGAAGUUGCUUUCUGAAAUGAACUGCCAAAUGGUAGUUUCUUUGGGGCAUUUGAUGGCUCUUUUUUCCUCAUUUUAAACAUGUGCCUGCUUGGAACAGGAAGGAUUAGGCUGCAGAGUUGUUAUAUAUUUUGACAUGCUCUAGUCAUUGCACAAUUUGUUCACACUGGAAACUAGAAUGAGAAAUUUGUUGCAUUCUAUGCACAAUAACAUGAUUAAUGAAAAUGGAUUGUAGGACUGGAAAGAUCUGUGGCAGCCUGAGCUCGCAGGACGAAUUUCAAUGGUUAAUUCUCCCUGAGAGGUUAUUGGUUUAGUUUUGAAGUAUAUGGGAGCAUCAUACAAUUCAAACGAUAUUGAUUCGCAAGUUGCUGGUGGGAAGAUUGCUGCUCAGCAGAAUCUGGCAUUACUGGCAAACCAGGUACUCUCAAAGAAAUGAUAUCUGGUCAUUGCAUGUUAUUACCUGACAACUGAUUUUGUUUGUAAAAGUCUGCUUCUUCAUACAUAUGAAUGCAUAUGUUAGUGUUUUCUUCUCCUUUUCAUACAUAUGAAUGCAUAUGUUGCUUCUUUUCCUUUCCAUACAUAUUAAUACAUAUGUUGGUGUUCUCUCCUGAGAUGGAUGCAAUAAAGGUUUUUCUGAAGAAAUGGCAAGGGAUGUGAGAUUCUGUCUCAUAAAAUUAACAAAAACCCAAAACAAUGAAAACCCAUAAUAAUGUGGUGUGGGUAAAUUGACGCCAUUUGGUUCGUUUCCUUGAUGUGAAUACGCGGGCAAUAGAGACUAACAAAAUGAAGUGACAACAAGAAGUCAGUGUCCUUUGAUGGAUGCAUUUUUAGGCAGAAAUAGGUUUGUAAUUGACCAAAUUUGUCUGGCAUGCCAAUUUCAAAAAAAUUAAAUUAUGUGGUUAUUAGCUGUAAUGAAGGGGGAUUGUAGGUCCAAUCAGGUGGAUCCAUGAAAGUUCAACAAAGUUCUGGUAUGGCGUAGAAAUUGGUUUGUGCAACUCAAGAGUCUUUCUGGUGAACGAUGAUGGGUUUUGAUUUAUAAAUGUUAUAAAUCUACUGUGCAUAGUAUUCUAGUAGAAUCAUCUAUAAGUUCUAGUUAUUGAAAUUGUCUACCUUGUUCAGUUUGAGUUAAGGGCACAUGUAAUAUGAAAAAUAGUUGUUGCAUCUUUUAGGUUACCUAACAUUUGAUCAAUCCUAUUAUGAGGGCUUCAAGAUGUCUAACAAUAUGUGGAAUGCCCAUGCUCCUCCCCAUUGUUUAUCUUAUAUAAUAAUUUGUUUUAGAUGCUAAUAUCUUUGUCGAUACCGGUAACAAUAUUACAAUAUCUGCGUUUAUUGGGUUUUACAUAGGUUCGACUGUUUGACAGUACACACUCUCUGAAGGCAUUUGGAAAUGGAGAUGUAUGGAUUGCUGUUGGGUGGAGUAGUGAUGUUCUUCCUGCUGUCAAACGUUUGUCUAAUGUUGCAGUUGUUGUUCCCAAGUCUGGUGCUAGCUUAUGGGCUGAUCUUUGGGUAUACCCAUGCCUGCCAUUCUACUUCAAUAUUCACAUUGUUAUCUCCUUCAUAUUAGUGAUCAGUAAACAUGAUAAUGUGACUAAUAAGUUCGUAUUCUCUUUAUAGGCAAUCCCUGCUGACUCAAGACUUGAAACAAAACAAAUUGGAGGGUGAGUCAGAGGUGCAUUUCCAUUAAUCCAUCAAUGGAUAGAAUUCUGCUUGCAAACAGCGAGAGCAUUGCCUUUCAAGCAAGAGGUUAUCCCGAGCGCAUCUCCCUCUGCCCUUGAGAGUACUCUGGUUAAGUUGCCUGAAGAACUUUUGAAGGGUAAACCAAGUCUGGAUACUAACUUAAUUGCUGGAGUACCCCUGACGGAAAUUCUGGCCAGAUGUGAGUUUUUGGAGCCAUUAUCUGAAGCUACAUUGUCGGAUUAUGAGUGGCUGGUUGCUAAUCUGCAAAAAUCCACUCCUGUACUGAUCAACAAGAUGCAACAUUACAUGUCAUCAUUGAUCUUUAGCUAAAGGUACAUUGAAAAGUUAAUGGCACUGCAUACCAGUCAUUAUAAUUGGGUCAGGGCAAUUGGGUCAGGGCAAUUAGGUCAGAGCAUAACUUCAUUAGGAAAAGAGGCUUCAGCUACGUUAAAUAUUACAGGAUGUACUGAGAUGGCUGAAGUUGGUGAGGUUUUACGAGAAACGAAAGAUAGUGUUUGUUUGAACAAAGUUGUUGCCAAUCUUGCAGAGUUCGAGAAGAAAGAUCACGAAGCGAAUGCCACCGAUUUCUUCAUCAUUGUAGCCUCCAUAGUUGAAGUUUCCUCAUUUGAAGCUGUUUAUGCAUAUGCUUUUUCCCUUCUCAAGUACAGGAAAUUGAAGAAUUAACCAGAUGUGAUAUGCUGAAAGAGGGAAGUUUUCUUCCUUGAAUGUGACCUUUGUGAUUUGUCUUGAAGGGAUAGGGUGAUCACUGGCAAGAACCCUAUCAAGGUAGAUUUUAUGAUGUUAACAUAUUAUUAAGCAUUUUGUUACAUCAGCAAUGAUGCUUUCAUAGCAUGAAAGUGUUUAAAUUUAACUGAAUGAUCUUGAUUGAUCAAUUAUGAGUUUUAAUCGAGUAAAAACUAAAUACAAUAAUCGUUAACAAAUAUUGAAAUUGGGUAAAUAAGAUCUUGAUAGUGAAGAAUUUGAAAUCACACCCACACAGGAAAUCACCCUUCGCGUGGGGAUGGAGAUGUUUACUGCAGCGAUAUUGAAUAUGUCCACUGCUGGACUAAUUCUGAUUACCUAAUUGACUCAGGAUCGGCUGGCAAUAAUAACAGUUUAUUAACAAUGCACAGUCCGAGUACUUUUCCAGGAUCAGAUACGACGUGGUCUAAUGUUGAUAAUAAUAGAUUAUCAAAUGACAAAUCGUUGUUCUACUAUUGCAAGCCCCCAGAUUUAAGAAUCUUUUUCAGAAAUUAAAUACAUUCUGAGAGAUGCUGGUCUACUAUUGCAAGCCCCCAGAUUUAAGAAUCUUUUGACGGUAAUUUAUCACCUGUAACUGUGCCGGAAGAUUCAACUAGCACUGAAAAAGAUGAUAAAUUAAUUGAUAUGGAGAGUUUUCAUAUCACUUUUAAAUCAUCUUAUGUAAUUGUGAUGUUAGGAAGCAUUAGUGAUCUAUAUGUGAAUUAUUAUUGGCGCCAUUGGUGGUUUUAUCUUGUUAAAAUAUGGAUGAAUUCCAGUUACUAUUUUGUUGCAGACAAUCUUCUUCAAUUAACAUAUGGUUUAAAAUCAUUAUGUAAAUCAAUCUAUUAAUUUUCAAGAUAUUUAACUGAGUUAAAACUAAGUGCACUCAAUAAAUCUCUUUUCCUUUAAAAAACUGUUACGCUUUGAUUUUAGUGCUUAAUAUUUAUUGAACUCCGAUACAGGGAAUUUGAAAUCAAACUCGUAACUACAUAUUAUCUAAUUGCAAGUUUCUAUCCAUAGCUGCUGAUUUGUAGUGAUUAUCUAAUUGACUGAGGUGACGACAAUUUUUUUUUUUUAAAUUUUCAAUAGCACAAUGUGGAAUUCAAUAAUUAAAUUCUCCUUUUUAAUUUGUUUCCAGUUAAAUUAUUAAUUACUUAAACUCUGUUUUAAGUCUUUAAGUUUAUGUGUUUAUGCAGAAUUGGAUUCUUGAGCGUGUUGGACACGACCAACAAUGAAAUUGACAGUAAAAAAAACAAUACAACGUGUGGACUCCGGUAGAUGCCAUACAAGUCUACAACUUUACAAAUAAUAAUUGAGUAAGCAACUUUGAUUCUCGGGGCCCUUCAAUGAAUUUCUAGCCCCGUUGACUCCGCCAACUAAAGUUUGUAAAAUAAAAAAAUACAUAGAAUUCCACUAAAUGCAAAACGCGUGGAAUUUAAUUUUCGGCCAUGUGGACCAAAACAUAAUUUAAUGAAAAAGGAAAAAAAUGAUAAGAUUUCUAAAAUAUGUGAAAGAUGAUCCAUAUUUUACUGAAACGACUUAUUAAAUUUUUCAAAGAUUUAGAAUAUUUAGUCAUAAAUUACGUGCAUGUUAAUUUUUCCGCCAUUGACUAUCAUAUUCUAAACUUAAUAGUACAUUUCUUGUUGAAGGGUACUUAAUCUCUCUUCUCCUCUUAUAAAAAUUAUAUUGAUGGAUUUCUUGUUAUAGUUAAUAGUCUUUAAGAACGGAUAACUUUAUUGUUUUCGUGACCAAAUUAUGUCCGCCUAAGGUUGUGACUAUUAAUAAAAUUAAUAUUUAAUGUUUAUGUUAAAAGAUAUAAGAUUUUAUGCGUUCAUUAAUUGUUAUUAGCUAAAGGAUGAAUUAUUUUUUCAACCCAAUCAGUUGAUGCAUCUGCAAGAGUUUUUUUCUUUUAUUGACCAUAAUUAUGUUCCGGGUACAAUAAAUUGUCUUUGGUGCUUGGAAAAUAUGACUUCUUACUUCAAGUUUGAUAUGUCUCUCUCCAUAAACUUACUGGAAAUAUAUCCUCAUCUACUGUCAUUUAUCUAAUAUCAAUUGAAGAUCUCACUUUUUCAAACUAUCACUUCCAAGUCUCAUUGUCACUUGGCCAUUCUUGGACCAUUCAAAACCAAUCAAGUGUUGAAAUAAUCAAAUAUAUGCAAAAUUAGAGUCACGAUUUUUGGUCCCCCAAAUUCUAAUUAUAUAACUUCUAUAUAUUUCAUUGCCAGGUCACGAACUUGUUGGCACAUUUUCCAAAUUCCUCUUCCAUCAGCUCUCACACGUUAACUUAAGUGAAAAGUUUCCAAGUUGAUUGCUAGAAAGCAACGCAAAAUCAGACACACUUGAUCUGUCCCCUAAUUCUCUUUUCUACGUUGAAAAAGAAAAAAAAAAAUAAAAUACAUACAUACAUAUAUAUAUAUAUAUAUAUAUAUAUAUAUAUAUAUAUAUAUAUAUAUAUCUAUGUAAAAAUAAAUAAUAAACUGAGUAAAAGUACAUUUGUUUAAUUAACAUCUGAUCGGGGCAUUUUUGGUGUAAGCCACAACUAAAAUCAAACAGCCCCUUAGCAUACUUCUUCCAUUUUAUCGGCUACUUUUGUGGAUCUUAUAGGGUGGGCAUGUGGACAGAAUUUAAAAGUUUUAAUAGGCUCAAAGAAGAAGAUGUGUUAAAUCUAAAGUUGUUGCACCUUCUGAUUAAAUAAAGUUGUACAAUUUCAUCAACUUGAAAGAAUUGACAUUAAUGAACUGGUCGCCUCUCCAUGUAUGAAGCCUUCUUAAAAGUUAAUUUUUAUUUCAGAAAAAAAAAGUUUAAGUUACAUAUAUUACAGUAAGAUUUUUUGAGACCAAUUCCCUUCUUGAAAUAAUAAUAGAAAAGUAUUAAUUUAAAAAUAAAAUGAAUAUGUAUUGAUUAUAUCCUGAUUUUCAUCGAUUAUAGUUAGAGUUUCACCAAAUCAAUUCCCUUAUUCAAAUAAUACAGAAAAAAUAGUAAUUUAAUAGUAAAAUAAACAGGUGUUGAUUAUAUAUCCUAAGUUUCAUCGAUUAUGUGAUCAAAGUGGCAUUGUUGAUUUAUUUUUUGUUCAAUGUUAAUUUUUAGGUUAUAUAAAUUUCAAGGAUUUAAAAUCUUUGGCCAUGAAUUACACGCUUGUUAAUUUUCCUGCCAUUGACUGUCAUAUUCUAGACUUAAUGAUACCUUUCUUGAUCAAGGGUAAUUACUCUCUCUUCUCCUCUUAUAAAUUCCUCUUCCAUUAACAUCACUAGGAGUAUGUUGAUCUCUCAGACGUUAACUUGAGUGGAGAGUUUCCAAAUUGAUUGUUACAAAACAACACAAAAACUAGACACACUUGAUCUGUCUAAUAAUUCUCUUUCGGUAAAAUUAAAUAAUUUUAGGGGAAUAUUCGGCCAACCUCUAUAAUUUCAUAGUGAUCAUUAAUUAAUUAAUCGAUACAAAUAUCUAAAGUGAUUAAAUGUGACUUGAAAUUUGAUCUCUAUCGAUUGGUUUACAAAUGGACGUACUUGUGCCUUUGUGGCGAUAAUCGAACAAGUACCCAUGAUUAUUAUUUUUUCCAAAAACUUUUUUACAACAAAUUCAUCUCGUCAAAAAUUCUAUGUUGCUAACUAACAAUAAUUGAGCACUUGGCCGCAUUGACUCCACGUCUCCACCUCUUUCUAAAUUCUAAGUAAAAACAUGGAAAUGUAAUUUCCACAAAAUGCCAAAUGUGUGGAAUUUAAUUUUUUGCCUUGUGGAUCAAAAUACAAAUGAAAGAAACAGAAGAAAAAAAAGGCCCAAAGACUUCUAAAAGAUGAAGAAGUCUUUGUGCCUUUUUAUAAUGGUGAAUUUUUUUAAAGAAAAAAAAUAACAACAUUUUUAUGGUUUGUUUUGAUAAUCAUAUUUACAUAUACUCUCUAAUUUCAAAAUGGACACAUAAAUCUUUUUUUUUUACAAAAUAUAUAUUAUUCAUAUUUUUUUUAUUUUUUUAUUAUCAUAUUUUUAUUUAUUAUAAAUGUUUAGAGCAAAUUUUUAGGUUGAAAUAUAAUAAAAAGGUAUAAUUGUUCUCUUAUUAAACACACAUACUUUUAUUAGUUUCUAUCCAUUUGUCAUCUCAAUCUCUCUCAAUUAUUCUUUAUUGCUAGCUCAAAACGCGUUGCUGUUGCAAAUUAUAGCAAAAUGACAAAUAUGGAAAAAAAGGGAAGAAAAUUAAUGCAUGAAAGACUUGGAGAAAACAACAAAAUAAGCCAACUAUGAGCUAGUUGGGUGUAUAAAUUGUUAGAUGUGUUAUAUACAAAUAGCGUAGAGCCCUCUAGUUGGUUCCAGAGACAGAAAGAGCGUGUGUGUUUUUUCACAGUUAGAGAUAUAGUUAGAAUGGGUGGUUCAAAAUCAAAAAUGAUGAUAAUGUUUAUUAUGUUAUUAAUAAUAUUUAAAAGUGGGUGGAGUGAGGGAUGUUUGGAUCACGAGAGAUUUGCUUUUUUGAGACUCAAACAUUUCUUCAAUGAUCCUCUUAAUUCUCUUUACGACUGGGUAGAUGGUGAGGGAGCUACUGAUUGUUGUCAGUGGGAAAGGGUUGAGUGCAGCAACACCACAGGCCGAGUGAUAGCACUGGACCUUUCUUAUAUAUAUUCGGAGAGUACAGCUGGUAUCUGAAUGCUUCUUUAUUUACUCCCUUCCAACAACUUGAGUCACUUGAUUUAACUCAAAACAAAAUAGCCGGAUGUGUUGAGAAUGAAGGUACUUUGUUUAAUUUAAUUAAUUUACUUUCUCCCCCCUAAUUUAAGUUGAAUAUCAAGACCGAGCAAUUAUAUGCAUAUUCAUUUAGUCGACAAUUUUGACUUUUUUUUAAAUGAUUAAUUUUGAAAUUACACCAGUAUCUAUGAUCUUUUUUAUUUUAUUUUAUUUGCAGGUAUAGAGAGGCUAUCAAGAUUGAACAACUUGAAGAUGCUUAAUUUAAGUCGAAACUCAUUCAAUAAUAACAUUUUAUCAUCUCUAACUCAUCUUUCAUCAUUAAGAUCAUUAAAUUUAUUGUGGAAUAGAUUGGAAGGAAGUAUUGACGUUAAAGGUACAUAAUUAAAACUUCAAGCUCUUUCAUUAACUUGCUAAAAUAAGAUUCAAGGCUUUGAAUUCAAUUUUUUUUAUGAUUAAUAUUAAAAAAAACAGUUUUAAGCAAUUUAUAAAUACAAGUUUUAAUGUUUCUUGUAAUUUCAUCUUGUACUUUCAUAUGUCUUGAAUUUAAGAUUAAAAAAAAAAACUCUAAUAGCGAACCAAACACCUCCACAACUUAUUAUUAUUAUUUUAAUUUGUGGUGAGGUUUGAAACAUUCAACUCAAUUUGUACUUAUUACAGAAUUUGAUUCUUUGAGAGAUUUAGAGGAGCUAGACAUUGGCGGGAACAAGAUUGACAAAUUUGUGGUCUCAAAAGGUACUACAAAUACCAUAAAAAAAUAUGCUAACUUUUACAAAUUAGUUAGAUUCUUUGCCAUUUGGUUUAUUAUUUUACAGGUUUGAGUAAGUUGAAGUCUCUUGGUUUAAGUGGUAUCAAACUCAAUCGUAGCAUCUUAUCUUCUCUUUCUUCGUUAAGAGAAUUAGAUAUAAGUCGUACGGGAUUCAAAGGAACAUUUGAUGUUCGAGGUAAGCCUAAACCUUGCUUUCUCAUUUUAUAUAUGCCAACUAGAUUUGUGUAUCAUCGACAUAAUUUAAUAUUUAAUUUGAUAAGUCUGAAUGAAUUACAUGCUAAUUUAAACACACUUUUAUUUACUUUGUCAAUUAAUUAAUUAAUUAAUUACUAUUUGGCUUGGUUUGGACGAAAUUCUCAUGAUGUUUUUAAUUUCUUUAAAUUAAUUAAUUAAUUAACUCUGUUUUUAAGUCUUAAGUCUGGGCAUGUUUGCAGAAUUGAUUCCUUCAAUAACUUAGAAGUGUUGGACAUGAGUUGGAACGAAAUCGACAAUCUUGUGGUUCCUCACGGUAAACAAUUAAAAUGUUAUUCAAUUACAUUAUUUUAAUUCAUUUGAUUAGGGAAGGCCAAAAAGGUAAAAAAAAUAAUAAUAAAGAAACAGAGAAUUUGUAUUAUUUAAAAAACAGAAUGUAAUAAAGAUUUUGAUUCUGGUUCUUUAAUCUUUAAAGUGAUUGAAAACAAUGUUGCUCUUUUCCCAAAGCAUCAAAUACGAAUUGAAUGCCAAUUAACUUAAUCAUUCAUUUCGUUUAGCUCUAAAUUUAGACAAUGAAUUUUUAUAUUAUUUCAAAAACAUGACGUAAUAGAAUUUUUUUAAAAACAGAUUCUAAUAAAGAUUUGAUUCCAAUUCUUUAAUCUUUACAGUGAUUGAAAAACGAUACUACUCUUUUCCCAAAGCAUAAAUACGAAUUGACUCCCAAUCAAAUUAAUCAUUUAUUUCGUUCAUCUCUGAAUUUAAAUAAUGAAUUUUGAUCUUCAAUCGUAUUAUAAUUACUAUUAAAGAACAGGUUACAGAGGUUUGAGGAAGUUGAAUCAUCUUGAUCUAUCGGGAGUUGGAAUUAGAGAUGGAAGCAAGUUGUUACAGUCAAUGGGAUCAUUCCCAUCCCUCAACACUCUUUACCUUUCGUGGAAUAAUUUUAUCGAUACAGCGACCGCUACUCAAGGUAAGUAAAAGGUACAAAUGUGGCCAAAUUUAUAAAUAAAUUGUUAAUUAAUUAAUUUUUCCGUAUUAUUAAUUAAGCUAAAUUUGUUGCUCCUUCCUUCUAAAUCUAAACAGAGUUGCACAAUUUCACCAACUUGGAAUAUUUGACAUUGGACUUUUCCUCUCUCCAUAUAAGCCUUCUCCCAAAGCAUUGCAUCAUUAUUCCCUUCGUUAAAAAAUCUGUCGAUAUCUCAUUGUGAAGUCAAUGGUGUCCUACGCGGUCAAGGUAAAAGAAAAUCGUUGAUUGUGAACUCACUCAAUGGUGUCCUACGUGUUCAACAUUUUUAUUUAUUUAUUGUUUAAUGUUUCUGCUAGGUUUUCCUCAUUUCAAGAGUUUGGAACAUUUGGAUAUGGAUUACACGCGCAUUGCACUCAACACCGGCUUUCUUCAAAUCAUCGGUGAAUCGAUGCCUUCUCUUAAGUACUUAUCACUGUCAAGGUUAAUCUAUAAAUCGAUGCCUUCUCUUGAUCAAGGUUAAUCAGAUGCUCCCACUCUCCCCUCUUAAUCUAUAAUAUUAAUUUUCAAUUCAAUAUUUAAUUACACAAACGAAUCACUUAUUAUAAAAGAAUAAUACGCAUUCAUUAAUUUUUAUAUUGUAUUAAUAAUUGAUGAAUUUAAUAACUUUUCAGGUCUCUGUUCGUUGGUGCAUCUGCAAGUGUUGAACAUUGCAGGCAAUGAUUUAAGAGGUAGCUUGCCUUGGUGCUUGGCAAAUAUGACAUCCCUCCGAAUAUUAGAUGUUUCUUCCAAUCAACUUACUGGAAGCAUCUCCUCAUCUCCCCUCGUUCAUUUGACAUCCAUUGAAGAGCUGAUGCUUUCAGACAAUCACUUCCAGAUCCCAAUUUCACUUGAACCAUUUUUCAAUCACUCACGACUCAAGAUUUUCCAUGCUUACAACAACGAAAUAAAUGCAGAAAUAACUGAGUCACAUUCUUUGACUGCCCAAACUUCCAAUUAAAAUAUCUCUCAUUGUCUUCCGGUUACGGAGAUGGUGUCACAUUCCCCAAAUUCCUUUACCAUCAACAUGAUCUGGAGACUGUUGACCUCUCACAUAUAAACAUGAGGGAGAAUUUCCAAAUUGGUUGUUGGAAAACAACACAAACUUAGAAAUAUUUUUUGGUUAAUGAUUCUCUUGCAGGACCUUUCCGGUUGCCAAUUCAUUCACACAAGCGGUUAAGACUGUUGGAUAUAUCCAACAACAACAUCAGAGGCCACAUUCCAGAAAUUGGAGAUGUUUUACCGGGUUUAUUUUCUUUAAACAUUUUCAUGAAUGCUUUAGACGGUUGCAUUCCCUCUUCAUUUGGUAAUAUGAAAUUCCUCCAAUUUNNNNNUUAAUUAAUUAANNNNNGAUGGGAAAUUGAAACAAGAAUUUGAGAAUUGGAAAUCGAAAACGUCCGCAUUGACCGUGCCUUUGAGGGCAAUUACUUUUCUUGAGAAUUGAAGUUUGGUAAUGUAAUUUGUUCUCCAUCUGUGUUCCCUUUGUAGUCAUUUCAUUUAUUUGUUUGUUUGCUUUUAUUUGCAGGAGAAAUUGAUCCUCGAGAUAAAAGUAAAUUGUCUUUAAGCUCAUUUAGUUUUAUAUCAAACAAAAUCAAGACUGCCUUUUUCUUCAAUAGUUUUGAUGAUUAUCUUUAGAAGCAUCUCAUUGACAGGUAAUCGUGGUACCCCUUAAAGAGUCUAUAAACUCAAGGAUAUUAUCUUCUGCAAAUGGUUCAUUAAACUUCUUAGAUGUAGUUAAAUGUACACUGAGAACAACGAGAAGCUAUGCCACUGUAGCAAUGUAUGAUGGCACUUAAUGAGUGAGUUGCUAGGAUAUGAACUAGAAAAAUUAAACAUUGUCUCCCUGGGUAUGCUAGCUUGUAAGUCGGUUAAUAUUAGAGCUUGAGAUACUAUAACCAUGAGAAGCUAUUGACCGCCGAUUAAAAUAUCCAUUAAAAUGUCUAGGGAGUUAUGAAGGUGGAGGUGUCUCCCAAUUUCUAAGGCCAUAUAGUAGACAUCAUCCAGGAUCCUAUUUAAAGUGCAGUUAGCCUCCUGCUUGAUGCUAAUGUCAAACAAUUAAUAAAUUUGGUCAAUGUAACUGAAACUUGCUAACUGACGUCAGAUUGCGACUUGAGCACCUUAAAAUGGGAUAGACGAUUAGUAGCACUGAAUUCUUCUUGCCUAAGAUUGAGCAAUUGUUCUAACUACAAUCUCCUAUUGUAGGUUGAUUAUUAUGUUCUAAUUAUGUCGAUUUUGACCCAAAAAAAUUACAUAAUCUUGAUCUGCAUAAUGUCACUGAACAGUGUCAAUUUCGUUUACCAACUAACUUGAGUUUGAUAUAACAAACACACGGUGUGUCUCUCAUGUCUCACCAUGAUGGAAUUUUUCUAAUGCAUGAAGCAAGCUUCGAUAUGUGGGUUAGCUUGGAGAAGAUAUCUUAAAAUGAAGAAUAUGGGAGUUAAUGGGAAGAAACAGUUCAGUAGUUUAUAAUUCUGUCGUCGAGCUGUAUCUCUAACAUGGUCAAAAUUUAUGUGAAUAAGGACAGGGAAUCUUCAUUCCUCUUUCCCUUUUUAUACCCACAUAUCUCUCAACCUUUAUAUGUUGCUCACUGGAGAUCUGCUUCUGAUAACUAAAAUAAAAAUUUCAUCCACUCAAAUAAAUUCUGACCAAGCUUUCACAAGAAAAAGUAACAUCUUUAGUGAAGUAAUUUACAAGUAAUUUAGAGUUCCUUAUCAUCUUCUUGUGAGUCUAUCAGUAUGAUCCAAAAACAUAAUAAAUCUUGUUAGAUCCUGUUUAUUGAUGUUUAAACGCUGCUCAUUGUGAAAUGUAGAAACAAUGACGUGAAGUUUCUUUGGUCAUCAAUUAGUGAGAUCUUGUUUGAAGUUGUUUUCUGAAAUGAACUGCCAAAUGAUAGUUUUUUUUUUUUUUUCUUUGGACGCAUUUGAUGGCUCUUUCUCCUCAUUUAAGCAAUGUGCCUGCUUGGUAUGGGAAGGAAUAGGCUUCAGAGUUGUUAUAUAUGUUGACAUGCUCUGGUCAUUACACAAUAUGUUCAAAUUGGAAAUUAGAAUGAGAUAUUUGUCGAUGCUUUUUGAGAGAUCUGCAUUCUAUGCAGCAUAACAUGAUUAAUGAAAAUGGGUUUAAGGACUGGAAAGAUCUGUGGCAGCCCAAGCUUGCAGGAAGGAUUUCAAUGGUUAAUUCUCCCAGAGAGGUUAUUGGUACAGUUUUGAAGUAUAUGGGAGCAUCAUACAAUUCAAACGCAUUAAUUAGCAAGUUGCUGCUGGGAGGAUUGCUGUUCAGCAGAAUCUGGCAUUACUGGGAAACCAGGUACUCUUAAAGAAACGAUAGCUGGUCAAUGCAUAUUAUUUGCCUGACGGCUGAUUUUGUUUGUAAAGUGUGCCUUUUCAUACAUAUGAAUGCAUAUGUUAGUGUUGUCUUCUUCUUUCCAUAAAUAUGAAUGCAUAUGUUGGUGUUCUUUUCUGAGAUGGAUGCAAUAAAGGCUUUUUCUUCUAAAUGACGAGUUUUCAUUUAAAAAUGUUAUAAAUCUGCCAUGCAUAGUAUUCUAGUAGAAUCAUCUAUAAAUUCAAGUUAUUGAAAUUGUCUAUUUGUCCAGUUUGAGUUAAGGACGCAUGUAAUAUGAAAAAUAGUUGUCGAAUAUUGUAGGUUAGCUAAUAUUUGAUCAAUCCUAUAGGGAGGGCUUUAAGAUGUCUAACAACAUGUAGAAUGCCCCUGCUUCCCCCACAAUUUUUAUCUUAUACAAUUUUUAUCUAUAAACAGUAUUUGCCAGACCUUAACUGUUCAGAUUCCCCUUCUCGACUAUCAUACCCUACGCCCCGUCUCCGUGUCUCCGAUAAACAGUGCUCAAUUAAGGCCAUCAGAUUAUCCCGGUCCCACAUUGAUCAACGGCUCACAAUGACCGACAACCUCUGUCUCCAUUACAAGCUCCCUCUUCAACUCGCUUCUGCUUCCAUCCUACUCUUUCUCAGAUUCGGAGCCCGUAUAUGCUCGGCUGGUCCCACGAAGCUCCCUCUCACUCCAGCUGUCAACCGACAAGACCAAUUGCCUUAUCAAGACAGAGAAAAAAAGAGGAUGAGAAAUUGAAACAAGAAUUUGAGAAUUGGAAAUCGAAAACGUACUCAUUGACCGUGCCUUUGAGAGUUGUUUCUCUUCAGAAUUCAGUGCCUCAAUCUUGGGUUAAGGAUUUUAUGCGAAGUCAAGGAAAGUGAUUGAAGUUUCAGAUGAAUUUGUGUGCUAGCAUUGGUGGGAUCUUUAACAAUUUAUCUGCCCUUUAACAAAGUCAAGGCUAAUUCAGCUUCUUAUAUGGCUGCUGAUUUGGUUAGUGUUGGUGAUUCAUGGCUUAGUUUUGCCAUUAAAGAGAGAUUGAUUGAGCCAAUGGCUGGAGCUGAAGACCAAGAUUGGUUCAAAUGCUUAAGUCACAAAUGGAAGGUAACAUCUUUAUCUUUGGCCCGAUAAUUUUUAUUGUCUUACAUUGAAAUUUGGUAAUGUAAUUUGUUCUCUAUCUGUAUUACCCUUUUUAGUCGUUUUAUUUAUUUGUUUAUUUGCUUUUAUUUGCACUAACGAAGUCUCAGGUAUAUCUAUGCAGAAUGAUGCAGGAGAAAUUGAUCCUCGAUGUGAAAUAUGGGCGGCACCAUACAGGUGGGGCACAAUGGUGAUAGCCUACAAGAAAAGUAAAUUUCGAAAGCAUAAUUUGGCUCCGAUUGAGGUAAUAAUUGUCUUUAAACUCAUUUAGUUUUAUAUCAAACAAAAUCAAGACUGCCUUUCUCUUCAAUAUUUUUGAUGAUAAUAUCUUUAGAAGCAUCUUAUUGAUGGGUAAUAAUUGUAUCCCUGAAACAGUCUAUAAACUCAAUGAUAUUAUCUUCUACAAAUGGCUCAUUAAACUUUGUCGUUGUAGUCAAAUGUACACUCAGAGCAAUGACAAGCUAUGCCACUGUGUAGCAUGUAGUGAUGGCACUUAAUAAGUGAGUUGCUAGGAUGUGAACUAGAAAAAUUAAAUAUUGUCUCCCUGGGCAUGCUAGCUCAUAAGUCAGGGUUAAUAUUAGAACUCAAGAUACUAUAACCAUGAGAAGCUAUUGACUGCCAAUUAAAAUAUCCUUUAAAAUGUCUAGGAAGUUAUGAAGGUGGAAGUAUCUUCCGAUUUCUGAGGCCACAUGGUAGAUAUCAUCCAGGAUCCUAGUACAGUGCAGUUAACCUCCUGCUUGAUGCAAUUAAUAAAUUUGGUCAAUGCCACUGAAACAUGCUAACUGACGUCGCAAUGCGACAUGAGCACUUCAAAAUGGGACAGACGGUCGGUAGCACUAAAUUUUUCUUGCCUAAGAUUGAGCAAUUGGUCUAACUACUAACCCCUUUUGUAGUUGAUCAUUAUUUUUUCAAUUAUUUUCAGUUUGACCCAAAACGUUACAGAAUCUUGAUCUGAAUAUUGUCACUGAACAUUGUCACUGAACAUUGUCAAUGUCGUUUAGCGUAGCCAACUAACUUGAGUUUGGUAAAACAACACACAGUGUGUCUCAUGUCUCACAAUUCAAAUUAUCAUUUGUAAUGAUGAGAAUUUUUCCAAUGUAUGAAGUAUGCUUUGAUACGUGGGUUACCUUGGGGAAGGUAUCUCAAAAUAAAGAAUAUGGGGAGAAAACAGUUCAGUAGUUUAUUAUUAUGUAGUCAAGUUUUGUCUCAAAAAUGGUCCAAAUUUAAAUGAAUAAGGAGGGGAUCUUCAUUCUUUUUUCCCUUUUUUAUACCUAGAUAUCUCUCAACCUUUAUAUAAUCCCCACUGGAUAUCUGCUUCUAAUAAUUAAAAUAAAAAUUUCACCCACACAAAUAAAUACUGACCAAGCUCUAACAUAUAAAAGUAACUUCUUUAGUCAAGUGAUUUACAGUUCCUCAUCACCUUAGUGAGACUAUCAGUGUGUUCCAAAAACAUAAUAAAAUUGGUUUGUUCCUGUUUAUUGAUGUUUAAAUGUUGUUCAUUGUGACAUAGAAAUGAUGAGGCGAAGUUUAUUUGGUCAUCAAUUUGUAGAUCUUGUUUGAAGUUGCUUUCUGAAAUGAACUGCCAAAUGGUAGUUUCUUUGGGGCAUUUGAUGGCUCUUUUUUCCUCAUUUUAAACAUGUGCCUGCUUGGAACAGGAAGGAUUAGGCUGCAGAGUUGUUAUAUAUUUUGACAUGCUCUAGUCAUUGCACAAUUUGUUCACACUGGAAACUAGAAUGAGAAAUUUGUUGCAUUCUAUGCACAAUAACAUGAUUAAUGAAAAUGGAUUGUAGGACUGGAAAGAUCUGUGGCAGCCUGAGCUCGCAGGACGAAUUUCAAUGGUUAAUUCUCCCUGAGGUUAUUGGUUUAGUUUUGAAGUAUAUGGGAGCAUCAUACAAUUCAAACGAUAUUGAUUCAAGUUGCUGGUGGGAAGAUUGCUGCUGCUCAGCAGAAUCUGGCAUUACUGGCAAACCAGGUACUCUCAAAGAAAUAUCUUUGCAUGUUAUUACCUGACAACUGAUUUUGUUUGUAAAAGUCUGCUUCUUCAUACAUAUGAAUGCAUAUGUUAGUGUUUCUUCUCCUUUUCAUACAUAUGAAUGCAUAUGUUGCUUCUUUUCCUUUCCAUACAUAUUAAUACAUAUGUUGGUGUUCUCUCCUGAGAUGGAUGCAAUAAAGGUUUUUCUGAAGAAAUGGCAAGGGAUGUGAGAUUCUGUCUCAUAAAAUUAACAAAAACCCAAAACAAUGAAAACCCAUAAUAAUGUGGUGUGGGUAAAUUGACGCCAUUUGGUUCGUUUCCUUGAUGUGAAUACGCGGGCAAUAGAGACUAACAAAAUGAAGUGACAACAAGAAGUCAGUGUCCUUUGAUGGAUGCAUUUUUAGGCAGAAAUAGGUUUGUAAUUGACCAAAUUUGUCUGGCAUGCCAAUUUCAAAAAAAUUAAAUUAUGUGGUUAUUAGCUGUAAUGAAGGGGGAUUGUAGGUCCAAUCAGGUGGAUCCAUGAAAGUUCAACAAAGUUCUGGUAUGGCGUAGAAAUUGGUUUGUGGCAACUCAAGAGUCUUUCUGGUGAACGAUGAUGGGUUUGAUUUAUAAAUGUUAUAAAUCUACUGUGCAUAGUAUUCUAGUAGAAUCAUCUAUAAGUUCUAGUUAUUGAAAUUGUCUACCUUGUUCAGUUUGAGUUAAGGGCACAUGUAAUAUGAAAAAUAGUUGUUGCAUCUUUUAGGUUACCUAACAUUUGAUCAAUCCUAUUAUGAGGGCUUCAAGAUGUCUAACAAUAUGUGGAAUGCCCAUGCUCCUCCCCAUUGUUUAUCUUAUAUAAUAAUUUGUUUUAGAUGCUAAUAUCUUUGUCGAUACGGUAACAAUAUUACAAUAUCUGCGUUUAUUGGGUUUUACAUAGGUUCGACUGUUUGACAGUACACACUCUCUGAAGGCAUUUGGAAAUGGAAUGUAUGGAUUGCUGUUGGGUGGAGUAGUGAUGUUCUUCCUGCUGUCAAACGUAUGUCUAAUGUUGCAGUUGUUGUUCCCAGUCUGGUGCUAGCUUAUGGGCUGAUCUUUGGGUAUACCCAUGCCUGCCAUUCUACUUCAAUAUUCACAUUGUUAUCUCCUUCAUAUUAGUGAUCAGUAACACGAUAAUGUGACUAAUAAGUUCGUAUUCUCUUUAUAGGCAAUCCCUGCUGCCUCAAGACUGAAACAAAACAAAUUGGAGGCGAGUCAGAGGUGCAUUUCCAUUAAUCCAUCAAUGGAUAGAAUUCUGCUUGCAAACAGCGAGAGCAUUGCCUUUCAAGCAAGAGGUUAUCCCGAGCGCAUCUCCCUCUGCCCUUGAGAGUACUCUGGUUAAGUUGCCUGAAGAACUUUUGAAGGGUAAACCAAGUCUGGAUACUAACUUAAUUGCUGAGUACCCUGACGGAAAUUCUGGCCAGAUGUGAGUUUUUGGAGCCAUUAUCUGAAGCUACAUUGUCGGAUUAUGAGUGGCUGGUUGCUAAUCUGCAAAAAUCCACUCCUGUACUGAUCAACAAGAUGCAACAUUACAUGUCAUCAUUGAUCUUUAGCUAAAGGUACAUUGAAAAGUUAAUGGCACUGCAUACCAGUCAUUAUAAUUGGGUCAGGCAAUUGGGUCAGGGCAAUUGGGUCAGGGCAAUUAGGUCAGAGCAUAACUUCAUUAGGAAAAGAGGCUUCAGCUACGUUAAAUAUUACAGGAUGUACUGAUGGCUGAAGUUGUUGACGUUGUACGAGAAACGAAAGAUGAGUGUUUGUUUUGAACAAAGUUGUUGCCAAUCUUGCAGAGUUCGAGAAGAAAGAUCACGAAGCAAAUGCCACCGAUUUCUUCAUCACUGUAGCCUCCAUAGUUGAAGUUUCCUCAUUUGAAGCUGUUUAUGCAUAUGCUUUUUCCCUUCUCAAGUACAGGAAAUUGAAGAAUUAACCAGAUGUGAUAUGCUGAAAGAGGGAAGUUUCUCCCUUGAAUGUGGCCUUGUGAUUUGUCUUGAAGGAAUAGGAUGAUCACUGGCAAGAACCCUAUCAAGGUAGAUUUUAUGAUGUUAACAUAUUAUUAAGCAUUUUGUUACAUCAGCAAUGAUGCUUUCAUAGCAUGAAAGUGUUUAAAUUUAACUGAAUGAUCUUGAUUGAUCAAUUAUGAGUUUUAAUCGAGUAAAAACUAAAUACAAUAAUCGUUAACAAAUAUUGAAAUUGGGUAAAUAUGAUCUUGAUAUUGAUGAAUUUGAAAUCACAACCCACACAGGAAAUCACCCUGCGCGUGGGAUGGAAAUGUUUACUGCAGCGAUAUUGAAUAUGUCCACUGCUGGACUAAUUCUGAUUACCUAAUUGACUCAGGAUCGGCUGGCAAUAAUAACAGUUUAUUAACAAUGCACAGUCCGAGUACUUUUCCAGGAUCAGAUACGACGUGGUCUAAUGUUGAUAAUAAUAGAUUAUCAAAUGACAAAUCGUUGUUCUACUAUUGCAAGCCCCCAGAUUUAAGAAUCUUUUUCAGAAAUUAAAUACAUUCUGAGAGAUGCUGGUCUACUAUUGCAAGCCCCCAGGUUUAAGAAUCUUUUGACGGUAAUUUAUCACCUGUAACUGUGCCGGAAGAUUCAACUAGCACUGAAAAAGAUGAUAAAUUAAUUGAUAUGGAGAGUUUUCAUAUCACUUUUAAAUCAUCUUAUGUAAUUGUGAUGUUAGGAAGCAUUAGUGAUCUAUAUGUGAAUUAUUAUUGGCGCCAUUGGUGGUUUUAUCUUGUUAAAAUAUGGAUGACUUCCAGUUACUAUUUUGUUGCAGACAAUCUUCUUCAAUUAACAUAUGGUUUAAAAUCAUUAUGUAAAUCAAUCUAUUAAUUUUCAAGAUAUUUAACUGAGUUAAAACUAAGUGCACUCAAUAAAUCUCUUUUCCUUUAAAAAACUGUUACGCUUUAAUUUUAGUGCUUAAUAUUUAUUGAACUCCGAUACAGGGAAUUUGAAAUCAAACUCGUAACUACAUAUUAUCUAAUUGCAAGUUUCUAUCCAUAGCUGCUGAUUUGUAGUGAUUAUCUAAUUGACUGAGGUGACGACAAUUUUUUUUUUUUAAAUUUUCAAUAGCACAAUGUGGAAUUCAAUAAUUAAAUUCUCCUUUUUAAUUUGUUUCCAGUUAAAUUAUUAAUUACUUAAACUCUGUUUUAAGUCUUUAAGUUUAUGUGUUUAUGCAGAAUUGGAUUCUUGAGCGUGUUGGACACGACCAACAAUGAAAUUGACAGUAAAAAAACAAUACAACGUGUGGACUCCGGUAGAUGCCAUACAAGUCUACAACUUUACAAAUAAUAAUUGAGUAAGCAACUUUGAUUCUCGGGCCCUUCAAUGAAUUUCUAGCCCCGUUGACUCCGCCAACUAAAGUUUGUAAAAUAAAAAAAUACAUAGAAUUCCACUAAAUGCAAAACGCGUGGAAUUUAAUUUUCGGCCAUGUGGACCAAAACAUAAUUUAAUGAAAAAGGAAAAAAAUGAUAAGAUUUCUAAAAUAUGUGAAAGAUGAUCCAUAUUUUACUGAAACGACUUAUUAAAUUUUUCAAAGAUUUAGAAUAUUUAGUCAUAAAUUACGUGCAUGUUAAUUUUUCCGCCAUUGACUAUCAUAUUCUAAACUUAAUAGUACAUUUCUUGUUGAAGGGUACUUAGUCUCUCUUCUCCUCUUAUAAAAAUUAUAUUGAUGGAUUUCUUGUUAUAGUUAAUAGUCUUUAAGAACGGAUAACUUUAUUGUUUUCGUGACCAAAUUAUGUCCGCCUAAGGUUGUGACUAUUAAUAAAAUUAAUAUUUAAUGUUUAUGUUAAAAGAUAUAAGAUUUUAUGCGUUCAUUAAUUGUUAUUAGCUAAAGGAUGAAUUAUUUUUUCAACCCAAUCAGUUGAUGCAUCUGCAAGAGUUUUUUCUUUUAUUGACCAUAAUUAUGUUCCGGGUACAAUAAAUUGUCUUUGGUGCUUGGAAAAUAUGACUUCUUACUUCAAGUUUGAUAUGUCUCUCACCAUAAACUUACUGGAAAUAUAUCCUCAUCUACUGUCAUUUAUCUAAUAUCAAUUGAAGAUCUCACUUUUUCAAACUAUCACUUCCAAGUCUCAUUGUCACUUGGCCAUUCUUGGAUCAUUCAAAACCAAUCAAGUGUUGAAAUAAUCAAAUAUAUGCAAAAUUAGAGUCACGAUUUUUUGGUCCCCCAAAUUCUAAUUAUAUAACUUCUAUAUAUUUCAUUGCCAGGUCACGAACUUGUUGGCACAUUUUCCAAAUUCCUCUUCCAUCAGCUCUCACACGUUAACUUAAGUGGAAAGUUUCCAAGUUGAUUGCUAGAAAGCAACGCAAAAUCAGACACACUUGAUCUGUCCCCUAAUUCUCUUUUCUACGUUGAAAAAGAAAAAAAAAUAAAAUACAUAUAUAUAUAUAUAUAUAUAUAUCUAUGUAAAAAUAAAUAAUAAACUGAGUAAAAGUACAUUUGUUUAAUUAACAUCUGAUCGGGGCAUUUUUGGUGUAAGCCACAACUAAAAUCAAACAGCCCCUUAGCAUACUUCUUCCAUUUUAUCUGCUACUUUUGUGGAUCUUAUAGGGUGGGCAUGUGGACAGAAUUUAAAAGUUUUAAUAGGCUCAAAGAAGAAGAUGUGUUAAAUCUAAAGUUGUUGCACCUUCUGAUUAAAUAAAGUUGUACAAUUUCAUCAACUUGAAAGAAUUGACAUUAAUGAACUGGUCGCCUCUCCAUGUAUGAAGCCUUCUUAAAAGUUAAUUUUUAUUUCAGAAAAAAAAAAGUUUAAGUUACAUAUAUUACAGUAAGAUUUUUUGAGACCAAUUCCCUUCUUGAAAUAAUAAUAGAAAAGUAUUAAUUUAAAAAUAAAAUGAAUAUGUAUUGAUUAUAUCCUGAUUUUCAUCGAUUAUAGUUAGAGUUUCACCAAAUCAAUUCCCUUAUUCAAAUAAUACAGAAAAAAUAGUAAUUUAAUAGUAAAAUAAACAGGUGUUGAUUAUAUAUCCUAAGUUUCAUCGAUUAUGUGAUCAAAGUGGCAUUGUUGAUUUAUUUUUUGUUCAAUGUUAAUUUUUAGGUUAUAUAAAUUUCAAGGAUUUAAAAUCUUUGGCCAUGAAUUACACGCUUGUUAAUUUUCCUGCCAUUGACUGUCAUAUUCUAGACUUAAUGAUACCUUUCUUGAUCAAGGGUAAUUACUCUCUCUUCUCCUCUUAUAAAUUCCUCUUCCAUUAACAUCACUAGGAGUAUGUUGAUCUCUCAGACGUUAACUUGAGUGGAGAGUUUCCAAAUUGAUUGUUACAAAACAACACAAAAAGUAGACACACUUGAUCUGUCUAAUAAUUCUCUUUCGGUAAAAUUAAAUAAUUUUAGGGGAAUAUUCGGCCAACCUCUAUAAUUUCAGAGUGAUCAUUAAUUAAUUAAUCGAUACAAAUAUCUAAAGUGAUUAAAUGUGACUUGAAAUUUGAUCUCUAUCGAUUGGUUUACAAAUGGACGUACUUGUGCCUUUGUGGCGAUAAUCGAACAAGUACCCAUGAUUAUUAUUUUUUCCAAAAACUUUUUUACAACAAAUUCAUCUCGUCAAAAAUUCUAUGUUGCUAACUAACAAUAAUUGAGCACUUGGCCGCAUUGACUCCACGUCUUCACCUCUUUCUAAAUUCUAAGUAAAAACAUGGAAAUGUAAUUUCCACAAAAUGCCAAAUGUGUGGAAUUUAAUUUUUUGCCUUGUGGAUCAAAAUACAAAUGAAAGAAACAGAAGAAAAAAAAGGCCCAAAGACUUCUAAAAGAUGAAGAAGUCUUUGUGCCUUUUUAUAAUGGUGAAUUUUUUAAAAGAAAAAAAAUAACAACAUUUUUAUGGUUUGUUUUGAUAAUCAUAUUUACAUAUACUCUCUAAUUUUCAAAAUGGACACAUAAAUCUUUUUUUUUUACAAAAUAUAUAUUAUUCAUAUUUUUUUUUAUUUUUUUAUUAUCAUAUUUUUAUUUAUUAUAAAUGUUUAGAGCAAAUUUUUAGGUUGAAAUAUAAUAAAAAGGUAUAAUUGUUCUCUUAUUAAACACACAUACUUUUAUUAGUUUCUAUCCAUUUGUCAUCUCAAUCUCUCUCAAUUAUUCUUUAUUGCUAGCUCAAAACGCGUUGCUGUUGCAAAUUAUAGCAAAAUGACAAAUAUGGAAAAAAAGGGAAGAAAAUUAAUGCAUGAAAGACUUGGAGAAAACAACAAAAUAAGCCAACUAUGAGUUAGUUGGGUGUAUAAAUUGUUAGAUGUGUUAUAUACAAAUAGCGUAGAGCCCUCUAGUUGGUUCCAAAGACAGAAAGAGCGUGUGUGUUUUUUCACAGUUAGAGAUAUAGUUAGAAUGGGUGGUUCAAAAUCAAAAAUGAUGAUAAUGUUUAUUAUGUUAUUAAUAAUAUUUAAAAGUGGGUGGAGUGAGGGAUGUUUGGAUCACGAGAGAUUUGCUUUUUGAGACUCAAACAUUUCUUCAAUGAUCCUCUUAAUUCUCUUUACGACUGGGUAGAUGGUGAGGGAGCUACUGAUUGUUGUCAGUGGGAAAGGGUUGAGUGCAGCAACACCACAGGCCGAGUGAUAGCACUGGACCUUUCUUAUAUAUAUUCGGGAGAGUACAGCUGGUAUCUGAAUGCUUCUUUAUUUACUCCCUUCCAACAACUUGAGUCACUUGAUUUAACUCAAAACAAAAUAGCCGGAUGUGUUGAGAAUGAAGGUACUUUGUUUAAUUUAAUUAAUUUACUUUCUCCCCCCUAAUUUAAGUUGAAUAUCAAGACUGAGCAAUUAUACGCAUAUUCAUUUAGUCGACAAUUUUGACUUUUUUUUAAAUGAUUAAUUUUGAAAUUACACCAGUAUCUAUGAUCUUUUUUAUUUUAUUUUAUUUGCAGGUAUAGAGAGGCUAUCAAGAUUGAACAACUUGAAGAUGCUUAAUUUAAGUGGAAACUCAUUCAAUAAUAGCAUUUUAUCAUCUCUAACUCAUCUUUCAUCAUUAAGAUCAUUAAAUUUAUUGUGGAAUAGAUUGGAAGGAAGUAUUGACGUUAAAGGUACAUAAUUAAAACUUCAAGCUCUUUCAUUAACUUGCUAAAAUAAGAUUCAAGGCUUUGAAUUCAAUUUUUUUAUGAUUAAUAUUAAAAAAACAGUUUUAAGCAAUUUAUAAAAACAAGUUUUAAUGUUUCUUGUAAUUUCAUCUUGUACUUUCAUAUGUCUUGAAUUUAAGAUUAAAAAAAAAACUCUAAUAGCGAACCAAACACCUCCACAACUUCUUAUUAUUUGUGGUGAGGUUUGAAACAUUCAACUCAAUUUGUACUUAUUACAGAAUUUGAUUCUUUGAGAGAUUUAGAGGAGCUAGACAUUGGCGGGAACAAGAUUGACAAAUUUGUGGUCUCAAAAGGUACUACAAAUACCAUAAAAAAAUAUGCUAACUUUUACAAAUUAGUUAGAUUCUUUGCCAUUUGGUUUAUUAUUUUACAGGUUUGAGUAAGUUGAAGUCUCUCGGUUUAAGUGGUAUCAAACUCAAUCGUAGCAUCUUAUCUUCUCUGACUGUCUUUUCUUCGUUAAGAGAAUUACAUCUACGUGAUACGGGAUUCAAAGGAACAUUCGAUGUUCGAGGUAAGCCUAAGUCUUGCUUUCUCAUUUUAUAUAUGCCAACUAGAUUUGUGUAUCAUCGACAUAAUUUAAUAUUUAAUUUGAUAAGUUUGAAUGAAUUACAUGCUAAUUUAAACACACUUUUAUUUACUUUGUCAAUUAAUUAAUUAAUUAAUUAAUACUAUUUGGCUUGGUUUGGACGAAAUUCUCAUGAUGUUUUAAUUUCUUUAAAUUAAUUAAUUAAUUAACUCUGUUUUUAAGUCUUAAGUCUGGGCGUGUUUGCAGAAUUUGAUUCCUUUAACGACUUAGAAGUGUUGGAUAUGAGAUACAAUGAAAUCGACAAUCUUGUGGUUCCUCAAGGUAAACAAUUAAAAGGUACAGAUGUGGCCAAAUUUAUAAAUAAAUUGUUAAUUAAUUAAUUUUUUCGUAUUAUUAAUAAAGCUAAAUUCGUUGCUCCUUCCUUCUAAUUCUAAACAGAGUUGCACAAUUUCACCAACUUGGAAUAUUUGACAUUGGAAUCUUCCUCUCUCCAUAUAAGCCUUCUGCAAAGCAUUGCAUCAAUAUUCCCUUCGUUAAAAAAUCUGUCGAUGUCUUUUUGUGAAGUCAAUGGUGUCGUACGCGGUCAAGGUAAAAGAAAAGCGUUGAUUGUGAACUCACUCAAUGGUGUCCUACGUGUUCAACAUUUUUAUUUAUUUUAUUGUUUAAUGUUUCUGCUAGGUUUUCCUCAUUUCAAGAGUUUGGAACAUUUUGACAUGAGGUUCGCGCGCAUUGCGCUCAACACCAGCUUUCUUCAAAUCAUCGGUGAAUCGAUGCCCUCUCUUAAGUACUUAUUACUGUCAUAUUCUACUCUUGGCACUAACAGCAGCAGGAUUCUUCAUCAAGGUUAAUGAGAUGCUGCCACCCUCCCCUCUUAACCUAUAAUAUUAAUUUUCGAUUAAAUAUUUAAUUACACAAACCAAUCACUUAUUAUAAAAGAACAAUACGCAUUCAUUAAUUUUUAUAUUGUAUUAAUAAUUGAUGAAUUUAAUAAAUUUUCAGGCCUCUGUUCGUUGGUGCACCUGCAAGAGUUGUACAUUGAUAAUAAUGAUUUAAGAGGUAGCUUGCCUUGGUGCUUGGCAAAUAUGACAUCCCUCCGAAUAUUAGAUGUUUCUUCCAAUCAACUUACGGGAAGCAUCUCCUCAUCUCCCCUCGUUCAUUUGACAUCCAUUGAAAAGUUGGAUCUUUCAAACAAUCACUUUUGGAUCCCAAUUUCACUUGAACCACUUUUCAAUCACUCACGACUCAAGCUUUUCUAUGCUGACAACAAUGAAAUAAAAGCUGAAAUAACUGAGUCACAUUCUUUGACUGCCCCAAACUUCCAAUUAAAAUAUCUCUCAUUGUCUUCCGGUUACGAAGAUGGUGUCACAUUCCCCAAAUUCCUUUACCAUCAACAUGACCUGGAGUAUGUUGACCUCUCACAUAUAAACAUGAGCGGAGAAUUUCCAAAUUGGUUGUUGGAAAACAACACAAACUUAGAAUAUAUUUUUUUGGUUAAUGAUUCUCUUGCAGGACCUUUCCGGUUGCCAAUUCAUUCACACAAGCGGUUAAGACUGUUGGAUAUAUCCAACAACAACAUCAGAGGCCACAUUCCAGUAGAAAUUGGAGAUGUUUUACCGGGUUUAUUUUCUUUAAACAUUUUCAUGAAUGCUUUAGACGGUUGCAUUCCCUCUUCAUUUGGUAAUAUGAAAUUCCUCCAAUUUCUGGACUUAUCCAACAACCAAUUGACUGGUGAAAUCCCUAAGCACUUGGCCGUGGGUUGCGUCAACUUAGAGUCUCUUGCGUUGUCAAACAACAACUUAGAAGGUCAUAUGUUCUCCAGAAACUUCAACCUGACAAACUUGAAAUGGUUACAAUUGGAAAGCAAUCACUUCGUAGGAGAGAUCCCACAAAGUUUGUCUAAAUGCUCCUCACUAAAAGGAUUGUAUCUUAACAAUAAUAGUCUUUCGGGUAAGAUUCCACGAUGGUUGGGUAAUCUCACAUGGUUACAAUAUAUUACAAUGCCCAAUAAUCAUCUUGAAGGUCCUAUUCCAGUGGAGUUUUGUCAGCUUGAAUGGCUUCAGAUUUUGGACAUUUCAGACAACAACAUAUCUGGAAGUUUACCAUCUUGUUUCCAUCUUCUCUCUAUCAAACAAGUUCAUCUUUCAAAAAAAUAUGUUACAUGGACAGCUAAAAAGAGGUACAUUCUUUAAUUGCUCUUCCCUUGUGACAUUAGAUCUUAGUUAUAACCGCUUGAAUGGCAGCAUUCCGGAUUGGGUUGAUGGACUUUCUCGGUUAAGCCACCUUAUCUUGGCUCACAAUAAUCUUAAAGGUGAAGUGCCAGUUCAAUUGUGCAAAUUGAACCAACUACAAUUGUUAGAUCUUUCUAAUAAUAAUCUUCAUGGUCCUAUUCCUCUUUGCUUUGAUAACACCACACUUCAUGAAAGUUACAGCAAUAGUUCUAGUCCUGAUGAGCAAUUUGAAAUAUAUGUUUUCAUCGAAGGCCCUCAGGGAGGUGUAGAAAAGAAAAUCCAUGAAAUUUUUGAGUUCACAACAAAGAACAUUGCGUACAUUUACCAAGGAAAAGUGCUUAGCCUCCUAUCAGGACUUGAUCUUUCUUGCAACAAGCUAAUCGGUAAUAUUCCUCCUCAAAUUGGAAAUUUGACAAGGAUUCAAACAUUGAAUCUAUCGCACAACAACUUGACAGGAUCGAUCCCAUCAACAUUUUCAAACUUGAAGCAUGUCGAAAGUUUGGAUCUUUCCAACAACAAAUUGAAUGGGAAAAUCCCUCAUCAACUAGUGGAGUUAAAGACAUUGGAGGUUUUCAGUGUGGCAUACAAUAACUUAUCAGGCGAAAUUCUAGAAUGGAAAGCACAAUUUGCAACCUUCAACGGGAGUAGCUAUGAAGGAAAUACUUUUCUUUGUGGACUGCCAUUGCCCAUUUGCAGAUCACCAGCAACUACGCCGGAGGCUUCAAUUGGCAAUGAACGAGAUGAUAAUUUAAUUGACAUGGACAAUUUCUUUAUCACAUUUACAACAUCGUACGUAAUUGUGAUAUUCGGAAUUGUUAUUGUUUUAUAUGUAAAUUCUUAUUGGCGACGUAGAUGGUUUUACUUUGUUGAAAUGUGGAUAACUUCAUGUUAUUAUUUUAUUGUAGACAAUCUUAUUACAACAAGAUAUUGUCAUUGAAAUUAAUUAGGAGUUUAAUUACGAUUCUUUAAGUUCUAAUCAAGUUUGCUUAGGAAAUAAAUUUAUUUUUAUUUUUUAUUAAAACUGUAGUAGUAUUUAGCUCUAUAUAGCUUCCAACUUCCAAGCACUUCACAUUUGUCUCUACACUUCCAAACCCAUAUCUAUCCACCAUAACUUAUACUUCCCUAUACUGUGCAGCAUACUUAAAUAAGAGAACCAUCUCCAAUGUUAAAACCAGCCACUCUAUAACAUUCAUUUAGAAUAGUUUUAUUAUCAUACACAAGAAAUGAAACACCUAGAUGCACUUGAUCGCCUAUUUUACUUUAAAAAAUAAUGAUUAUGGUGCUAUCAUCAUCUUCUUCACUAGCAACAUUAACACCAAAUCCAGCGAUGGACCCAGACAUUUUAUCAAGAAAGGUAUAUAUAUAAUAAAGUUGAAGCUUGACAAAAAAUUCAGGAAGAUUAAUGCCUCGCCACAACAAGGGGCACAACAACAUCAAAGUAGAGAUGAAGCAAUAUUUUCAAAUCUAAAACUCUCAAAUCCACCCACCAAAAUUUCAUAUCUCCUCAACAAUUUUAAGAACUAAAGAUAAUUAGGAUCUAACAUUAGUUUUUUAUAUAUUAGUUUCAUAAUUUACAAAUCAAUGAAGAUGAAGAUUAUGCUAAUGAAUUCAAAUUAUACCAUAGAUUCUCGAGAUGUUACCAAAAAUUUCUAAGCCAAUCCCACAUAUUUCAUAAUUUUAAGACUAGAAAAUUUCAUUAGUUAGAAGUUUCAUUACCUUCAAGUGGAAGAUGAAGAACAUUAUACAAUUGAUUCAGAUUAUAUCAUACAUACUCCAAAUGCAACUAGAAAUUAACAAGUUCAUGCGCACAGAUUUCAUAACAUUAUGAUUGGAAAGUUUCACAAAGAGAAAUUCUAAAUUCAAUCUCUUGCAUCAAGGUAGUUUGAUUGAUUUGAGUUACUUUCUCAUCAAGCUACUAAUAUAACAUUCAAGUCAGGGAGAAAGUAAAUUAAAACGGGGAAGAAACAACAGUAAAAAUUUGUUGCUAAACAUGAUGUGUAUUUUUUUUUAAGGCAAUUUGGAAACACAGUUGUUACUACAGAUAUUCUCCUCAACUUAGAGAUAAAUACAAAUAUUAAAAUGCAUAUGAUCGCACAUAUUACUUGGAGCUUAGUAAGAUUUCAUUAAGAGAAGCAAUCAAACCACUUAUCAAUUGUUGCAAUCGUUCUAUAAGCUAAAAUAGCAAUAUAAUACAAGAAAAAGAACAUAUAGAUACUUGGCAAGAGUUCAUUAAGAAGUCGCAUCACAUUCGGGUGAGUUUGCUUCUGAUAUCUUGCUAGCUGGGGCUUUUUCUUGUCUUUCUACGUAUGCCGAGGGAAACCAACCAGCUUGGCCCUUGCAUUCACCUUCCGACCAUCCAGUAGGAGCCACCUUGAGAAGUUAUAACUAAAAGUCUAAAACAAUGAAUUAAACAAAAGUUGACCGUUCAAAGACCUAAGGGGAAAACUAAUUCUUUUACGUAGGAGGAGUGAAUUAGUUGUGAUCACUGAAAUAACAGCAUAACUAUGGAAGCAUAACAAGAUAUAAAUUCACACGUCUAUAAGGGUAAACUGGGUGGUUUAGAACUGAGCUAGCAACCCUACUAUAUUCUGAUUUGCACAUCAAUGUAAAAGGGAAUAUAUGGUAGGAAGAAAGAAAACCAACCAUCAGUUGUUAACUCAUUGCUUUUCAAUCAAAAUUUUAAGAACAAAAUGCCAUGUGCUUUGAACAUCAAAUAAGUAUAAGCAUUAGUUCUAAAUUCCACAUAUCAUAAGUUAGAAGGACAAGUCAAUAGCAUAGUAGAAAAAUCUAUGUGUUGUUAUUUAGAGGGGAAAGUACCUGGCGAACCACAACAUAAUCAUCAAUUGAAAGACUUAGCUCUCCAUUUGCUUGAGCAUCAAAUGGAUGUAUAACCUGCAAGAUAAUGGGAUAAAUAGAACUUAAUCUUAAAAAAAGCAUAACAAAAGCAGCAACAGUAGCAGCAGCGUUCAUUGUAACCACUAUGAUCAUGGCCAACAAAGAUAUAUUACAAACAAAAUUCCAUUUUUACUACGACAUUAAUAUGUACUAUAUGAUAUCAUGACGAUUGGGUUACCAAGAGCUAUCAAAGUCCAAUAAAUUCUGUAUAACUUUAGGUAGUUAUUCAAAUUAUGGAUCAGAUUUUAAAUCCGAAAUUUUGACUGCUCUCCACAAAACAUGGCCUAUGCACAAGAAAGUCAUAGAUAAUGAGGAUUACAAGUGUCUGACAUCUUUUGAGUGAUGGAUUUAACAUGAGAGCUUAUGGUCAGUCAAUUUCCUCUGCCUAGCAAUAUAAGCUUUCUCGGCCAGAUUUAUCAUCAAAUACAUAGAUUGGCCCCAAGUCACAUCCAAAUAAACAUAGUUUUUCUAGGUAAACCAAGUAAGGAGAAUCAUAAUUCAGACAUAAUCAUAAAAAGGCCCAUCUAACUUAAGAGAAAAUCUCAAAAAGAGGGAUGUUGAGCUAUCAGUCUUGUAUCUAUAAGCAAUAUCAAGACUUUACAUCACCUACUACAUCGUGAGUGGCUACACAACUUUCAGUGGUUUGUCUUUCUUUGGCAUGCCUAACUCAGCUUUGAUGUUGCUGAGAUAUUGAUAGUAAAGACACAUGAUACUUCUAGCCCAUGCAUUCUAUCUAGCUCAUCCGACAACUAUCUCUUUUUUAAUUCAUUAGUGUUUGCUAAACCUCAUGCUUAAAAGUCCUAUUCUCCUAAACAAAGCUUCCUAAGAAUGACUUCCUCAGCACCACAUUUGGACACUUUUAGAGCAAUUUUAUUUGGGGGAAAAGAAUUUUCAAGGUGUUAACUAAUAAAUUUUAAAAAAUAAUUACAAUUUGUCCUACAAUUAUAUGACAAUUUAUCUGGGAUGAAAGGAUACAGACAGACAUCUUCCACUUUCAAGACUAAUCACUACUUCCGUAGAUGUUUUGCAAUAAUACAAAUACUUGACCAGAUGGUAGAAAAAAAUUUUAUUGCUCCAAAAUUAAAAUAAGAAUGCAAUAUGUUAAGCAAAAGACUGUGCAACAUCAAAUUAAUUGAUAAGUUUGUAAUUCAGUAAAUUAACAACUUUCAUGGUAAAAUACAACAAAUUUCUUUUCAAAAAAAAAAAAAAAAAAUUAAAAGACGGCAUUCAAUUUUUUGGGCAUCUUAUUUCUUAAGAUUUUCCAGGAGGAGGGCACUAGAGGGACUUUCACCUAUGCAAGAGAGCAGAAGCCUUACUUUCGCUAUAAAGUAGACGUCAUUCUGAUUAAUAUGCGUUUGCAAAUCAGCUCCAUUUGAAUCAGUAUUCUGAUAGACACGUGAGGCAUUUACAUCCAUUUCCAAAGUCACAUGUUGCGAGGAGGACUCAUUUGAUUGCUCCUCUAGGAUCAUCUAAUUCAAGUAGCAAGGGUUGGAAGAGAAUAAAAAGUCACAAUUAUUCUUUUGCAUAAGUGAGACGAAAAUGAUAAAUGCAAUAUUAUCAGCAGUAAACAAGAAGAGAACACUCCAAGGAAUAGAUAGAUGCCGACAAGCAAGUUAAAAUGCACAGUUCCAAACCUCCGCAUACAACUUCUCUAAAAUAGCAAUAAUGUGUUGAUGAUAUGUUUUCUCAGCAUCUACCUGCAAAGGCCUGAGACCAGGAAAACAACAAUAAAACCACUAGCUAAAGGAGAAAGUAAAGAAAGAAAUACACUUGACAUAAAUCUUGACAAGAAGCACAAUUUAAGACAUAACAAACCCCAAUCAGAUUGUUUAGAACUACCAUUCGUUAUUUCGUUAUUGUAGCAUUUCGAACAAGUGUUGACUUAAUUCAACAUUGUUGGAAAGAUAGGCUUUUAGAAGCGGAAGAAAGCCUCUCAAACCAAAGUGAUUGUCCUUGUAUUGAUCAAGGGAUGUAAACAUAUUACAUUUGCAGGAUGAGUUUUAAUCACUCCCCUGAUUUAUUUGGGUUGCAGUAAAACUAAGCGAGCAACUGUUUGACUUUCAAGCAACAUCUAAAUCAGCUAUUAAAAUUCAAAUAAAAUUAUAAUAGAAUAAUAACAGGCCAUCUUGCAUAAAAAAUUAAGUUUAAUUUGUGAAUUUUUUUCUAUAGACAUGUUAGUUCCUGCUAUUGAAAUGUUAAAAGCAUUGAAAAAUUAUUCAAUAAAUUAUGCAAACAUUAAAAUAGAGGACAUAUUAAAAAGUUUCUAAUUACAAUGUUAAGAUUUCCUAUAUUUUAGCAUUUGCAUAUUUUAAUUUAAUUUAAAAGUUACGUCAAUCAACUUUGGGCGUGAAGAUUUUAGCUUCUACGAGACUUGAUUGGAAUAUGCAUAAGGAAGAGUGUUAAAAUAUGAUGCAUCCAACGAAAGACAAACCACGUGUAGUCUUUUAAUUAAGCCAAAGUAGCAGCUCAAACAAAUGACACUUGGACCAACAUGCAAUCAUGAAGUGGCCGGUAAAAGGACAAAUGCAACUUUGGCUUAAAUAAAAAAUAACAUGUGACUUGACUUUUGCUGACAUGCAUCAUGUAUUACAAGACAACAGAAAUCAGUAUGAUAGUACUAAAAGUUGACAAUAACAUGAAGAUAAGAGCAGAAUGUCAACACCUGCAUAGGCACACACAAGAAAGUAUUAACAUAUAUACCAUAGCAAAAAGUCUUUGAUAUGUCAUCUGUUGCUGCUGUGAUUCAACUGACAGCAUGGCAGCUGUCGCUUCUCUACCAAGAGCCAUUAUUGUAGAUUUAAGCUCGGUCAAUCUUGCUUCUGCAUUUCGAAGCUUCACAGCACUCUCUGCUGAUAUAUCAGAUUUCCUUAUCUUUGAUCGGUGCCUAAAUACUUCAGCUGCCUGGUGAAAAUAUUCAAUAUAAAUCUAACAUAAUUCUCAUCUUGCCUUAUACAUGCAUAUGUUACCUCAAAGCUUGCCUGGGCUUCAAACUUCAUGUCGAAGUUGUCAUAACGAUGAGUCAGGUGUCGAGCAUCUUCCAAAGGUGCUCCGUUGAUUAACGCCCGUAGUGGCUCAGAUACCUACAUGUCCAAAAACCUGUAACAUAGUUAGAAAAAUGAAAAGAAAGAGCGAAACCUCAAUUAAAAAGUUCCUCCAACAUAAUCAUGGAAUUUGGGCCUACUUCAAGGAUAUAUAUAAGAUAAUUUAUGCAAUUUUGGGUCUUAGGAUGAUUCAUAUUAGGUUAGUGUUCUUCUCUUCUGUAUUUAAGGUUAAAAUAGAAAUAAACCUAUGCAAAUAUCUAAAUUAGGGCUGUAAGACUUCCACAUGCAUCCUUCAUCUCAUGGAUUUGAUUUACUAUAGAUGCAAGUGUCUUUAUCGAAAAUGCUUGGAGUCAAUUGAGAGAACUCACAGCCAAUAACUUGUCACAUGCUAGUCUUUGCUAUGAUGCAAGAAGUCACAAGGUCUCUUCAACAUUUGAACCAAUAAAAUUAUUAAGUCAUGGAUGUCACUAGCAAUGAUUUCAAUAUAAAACAUUAAAUAUUUCAAGUUGUAACUUUAAAAUGGAUUCUUUUAUUCAAUAUCUUAGAACUAAGUUUCCUUAUGAGAAGAUAAUAGUUUCAGUAGUAAUUACAUGAAAUUUUCUAUAUUUGAAUUAUUUUCUAGUUAGGGAUGAACUAACCUGAUCAUGAAGAAUCCCAAGCAAAGUUUCCCUCUCAUUUUCCAUCAAAUCAUGUGAAGUGCCAAAUUGAAGAGCAGCUCUUGCAGCGCAAGAAUUGUCACUUUGAUUCUCCGCUCCAUACUUGCAACAAUCUUCAGCCAACUUUCUCGCUACAAUAUUUGAAUACAAAAAUAUUGUACACAAGAACCAGUCAAGAAAAUAAAAAAAAAAUCAAAUAUAUAUAACGAGAGCAAGAGCAAACAAACAACCUAUUUCCAUUUGUUUCAAGCUUACUGCAACAAACCCUUCAACGCCACGGACAAUAUUCCUCUGAAAAUGCUGUGCUACAGAGCAUAUAUUCCAAAUUAUUGUUCAGAUAAAACCAUAGAAACCAUCAUAAUUAUCAACAUACAUUAAGCUCCGUUUGGUAAAACUUGCAACUUCAGUCUAGAAAAUACAGUUUGUUUGUACCAUAUUUGACAAAAUUAUAUUUAAAAAUCAUAACUAAUUACCAAAAGCCACAAUAAAUCAUAUCAAACAGAGUCUUAUUAUUAGCUAAAGGAGGAUGGUGCCUUAGCUGCCCUGGUGGAAUUGUAUAGAUUUUAAAGUUGUUGGUGACACUCAAUUUCAGCUUCAUGAACCGCAAUAUUUUCAAUACCAAGAUGGAGCAGAUGCUUCAAUGCUGCCUGUACAAAUCAUAAAAAACUAAUAAAAAUAAAUAAAAUCGAUAAAUUCACUAACUAAAAGUCUAAAUAUAAUUUUUGAAAAAAGAAAAGAAACGGACUUGCUGCUGCUUGGCGACUUGUUCUCGGUGCUUGAUUGCCUGUUCUUGAUAGCUUCCAUACUGUUUCUUUCAAAAAGCAACGACGCUCAGCUCAUGGAGGUGGAAAAAAAAAGUAUGAUCGAGAAAAAUAAAAAGCGAUGAAUAAUUUUUUGACAAAAAGCGAAAAUAAAAAGGCAUGAAUAAUGAAUAAUUUUUGACAAAAAGCUCUUUCCAGAAAAUAAAAAAGAAAAAAAGAAAAAAGAAAAUUAUAAGUUUGAAAGGAGUAGAUGAUAGUGGAAGUGUGCGGUGUGGCUGCCAGCUACUUGAAUUGUAUUGUCGGGUAAGGUAAUAGUAGAGAAAUUUUUUUUUUGAAGAAAAAUGGGUAAUUUUUAAAAACCUCCCCUGAGGUUUGGCUUGUUGUAAGUAGAUGGCGAGAAUCCAUUUAUUUGUAAAAAACCCCCUACGUUUUUGCUCCGCUUGGUUGCCGUUUGGGCAAUUGUGGCUUGUUGACAUUUCGCAAUAAAACAAAUCUUUUGCAACUUUCGUUUCCUUGAGAACAAUAGCUAGAUUUCUCAAUCUGUUUCAUCCAACACUUCAAAAAUUUCAACUUUUAUGAGUUAUUGCAUUCUCUGGCAAAGUAGACUUCUUCUAAUUUUAUCACAGUGCUUUCAGGAACAAGAAUGGGAUCCAUUAACAUCCCCUCAAAUUUUACAGCUUCCUUACAGCUAUACACUGCUGUAACACGAAGUUUAAUGAUUCCAUCGCCAAAUAGUCCCCAAAAUCUAUUCUUCCCCAUAUUGAACAACUUAAGUUCACAACACUUGCAUUCUAAAGGCUUCCACUAACAUCUAAUAUCUCAAGACUCAACGUUGCUUUACAAUAAUUGUUAUUACUACCAAACAAACAUGAAGAAACCCCGAUUAUCGGAUAAAUCAACCAAAAUGAACAAGAGAAGAACCCAAAACAAGUGAAUCGCUAGAGCAAAACCCCCAACCCAUAUCCCUAAUCCCACACUCAAAAAAACCCAAUUUCUCUCCAAAGUCAUUGACACUAGCAUCACUACUAGACUCUAAUUCCAAUCCUAGAUUACAUUUAAUGUUAACCCAACUAAAAUGAAUGUUCUUACUACAAUACGCAUCGUUUACACUCUCAAACAACGCGCUGAACUUACUCUUAAACGAUCCCACAUUGGUCAAACACUCAUCACUCACAUCGACAUCCAAGAAUUCACUCAAAAACUUCAUAGACUCGACAAUUGGAGAAAACAAAACCACUAAACUCAACUUUAUACAAGCAUACCCAUCGAGAAUCUUACCGUCAUUAACCGAAUCACAACAAAUCACCGGGUCCCACGCGCAGUCGUGAACGAGCUUACGCAUGGACGGGGCAACAUUUAACCCCCGCGGCAAAAACGACGAAGCUUUGGAAAAAUUGUNUUUUUAAAAGGCAAAAAUAACAACACUUCUAUGGUUUGUUUUGAUAAUCACAUUUACAUAUACUCUCUAAUUUUCAAAAUGGACACAUAAAUCUUUUUUUUUCUACAAAUGUAUAUUAUUCGUAUUUUUUAUUAUUUUUAAUAUCAUAUUGUUAUUUAUUAUAAAUGUUUAAAGUAAAUUUUUAGGUUAAAAUAUAAUAAAAGGGUAUAAUCGUUCUCUUAUUAAACACCCAUACUUUUAGUUUCUAUCCAUUUGUCAUCUCAAUCUCUCUCAAUUAUUCUUUAUUGCUAAAAACGCGUUUUGUUGCAAAUUAUAGCAAAAAGACAAAUAUGGAAAAAAAAAAAGGAAGAAAUUAGUGCAUGAAAGACUUGAGAAAAACAACGAAGUAAGUCAACUAUAAUCUAGCUGGGUGUAUAAAUUGUUUGAUGCUUUAUAAGCAAAUAACAAACAGAGACAGACAGUGUGUGUUCGUUUUUUCAUAGUUAAAGAUAUAGUUAGAAUGGGUGGUUCAAAAUCAAAAAUGGCGAUAAUGUUUGUUAUGUUAUUAAUAAUAUUUAAAAGUGGGUGGAGUGAGGGAUGUUUGGAUCACGAGAGAUUUGCUCUUUUGCGACUGCAACAUUUCUUCAAUGAUCCUCGUAAUUCUCUUUACAACUGGGUCGAUGAUGAGGGAGCUACUGAUUGUUGUCAGUGGGAAAGGGUUGAGUGCAGCAACACCACAGGCCGAGUGAUAGCGCUAGACCUUUUUGAAAUGUAUUCGGGAGUACAGCUGGUAUCUGAAUGCUUCUUUGUUUACUCCCUUCCAACAACUUGAGUCACUUGAUUUAACUGCCAACAAAAUAGCCGGUUGUGUUGAGAAUGAAGGUGCUUCGUUUAAUUUAAUUAAUUUACUUUCUCCCCCCUAAUUUAAGUUGAAUAUCAAGACCGAGCAACUAUACGCAUAUUCAUUUAGUCGACAAUUUUGACUUUUUUUUAAGUGAUUAAUUAAUUUUAAAAUUACACCAAUAUCUAUGAUUUUUUUUUUUUUAAUUUUGCUUGCAGGUCUAGAGAGGCUAUCAAGAUUGAACAACUUGAAGAUGCUUAAUUUAAGUGAAAACUCUUUGAAAAAUAGCAUUUUAUCAUCUCUAACUCAUCUUUCAUCAUUAAGCUCAUUAAAUUUAUUUUUAAAUAGAUUGGAAGGAAGUAUUGACUUUAAAGGUACAUAAUUAAAACUUCAUCCCUUCUCCAAGCUCUUUCAUUAACUUGCUAAAAUAAGACUCAAGGCUUUGAAUUCAAUUUUUUUUAUGAUUAGUAUUAAAAAAAACAGUUUUUAAGCAAUUUUAUAAAUACAAGUUUUAAUGGUUAUCGUAAUUUCAUCUUGUAAUUUCAUAUGUCUUGAAUUUAAGAUUAAAAAAAACUCUAAUAGCGAACCAAACACCUCCACAACUUAUUAUUAUUAUUAUUAUUAUUAUUAUUUGUGGUGAGGUUGGAAACAUUCAACUUAAUUUGUACUUAUUACAGAAUUUGAUUCUUUGAGAGAUUUAGAGGAGCUAGACAUUGGCGGGAACAAGAUUGACAAAUUUGUGGUCUCAAAAGUACUACAAAUACCACAAAAAUGUAAACUUUUACAAAUUAGCUGGAUUCUUUGCCAUUUGGUUUAUUAUUUUACAGGUUUGAGUAAGUUGAAGUCUCUUGAUUUAAGUGGUAUCAAACUCAACCGUAGUAUCUUAUCUUCUCUAACUGUCUUUUCUUCAUUAAAGAAUUACAUCUACGUAAUAUCAUAUUCAAAGGAACAUUUGAUGUUCGAGGUAAGCCUAAGCCUUGCUUUCUCAUUUUCUAUAUGCCAACUAGAUUUGUGUAUCAUCGGGCAUAAUUUAAUAUUUAAUUUGAUAAGUCUGAAGGAAUUACAUGCUAAUUUAAACAUACUUUUAUUUACUUUGUCAAUUAAUUAAUUAAUUAAUUACUAUUUGACAUUGGACGGUUCCUCUCUCCAUAUAAGCCUUCUGCAAAGCAUUGCAUCAUUCACUUCGUUAAAAAAUCUGUCGAUGUCUGAUUGUGAAGUCAAUGGUGUCCUACGUGGUCAAGGUAAAAGAAAAGUGUUGAUUGUGAAUAAGCUGUUAAUUAAUUAAUGUUGUUGCUCCUUGCUUCUAAACAGAGUUGCGCAAUUUCACCAACUUGGAAUAUUUGAAUUGGAUUCUUCCUCGCUCCAUAUAAGCCUUCUACAAUUGCUUGAACAAUUUAUUUAUUUAUUUAUUUAUUAUUAUUGUUGUUGUUGUUGUUGUUGAAGUGGGGUGGGCAAGCGUUCACUCAGUUAAUAUGUGGGGAAUUAAAUAUUACAAUCCAAGGUAGAAUUGUGGAAAAUUAAAGCUAAAUGAGAAAUAUGGAAAGAAAGGAAGAAAGUUAAGGGCAUGAAAGACUGGGAGAAUACUAAAAACCACCAAAUAAGUCAACUGAAAACUAGCUGAGGCCUGGGUGUACAAAUUGUUAGAUGUUUGUUAUAAAUAACAUAGAGCCAUCUUGUUGGUUGCAGAGGCAGAGAGACAGAGAGUGUGCAUUUUGUCCAGUUAAAAAUGAUAAAAUUUAUCAUUUGUUUAUAUUGAUUUAUUAACUCUAUUUUAAGUCUUAAGUCUUGGCGUCUUGGCAUGUUUGCAGAAUUUGAUUCCUUGAGCAACUUAGAGGAGUUGGACAUGAGCGGCAAUGAAAUAGACAAUUUCGAGGUUCCUCAAGGUACACAAUUAAAAUAUUAUUUAAUUACAUUAAUUUAAUUCGUUUGAUUAGGGAAGGCCCAAAAUGUACAAAAACAUAAUUAGAAAAAAUAAAGAAACAGAGAAUUCAUAUUAUUUCAAAUAACAAAAGGUAAUACUAUUAUUUCAAAAACAGAUUGUAAUAAAGAUUUGAUUCCAAUUCUUUAAUCUUUACAGUGAUUGAAAAACGAUACUACUUCCCAAAGCAUAAAAUACGAAUUGACUCUCAAUUAAAUUAAUCAUUUAUUUCGUUUAGGUCUAAAUUUAGAAAAAUGAAUUUUGAUUCUCUUGAAUCAUUUCCUAAUAUUAUUAUUCAACAGGUUACAGAGGUUUGAGGAAGCUGAAAAGCCUGCAUCUAUCGGGAGUUGGAAUUAGAGAUGGAAGCAAGUUGUUACAGUCAAUGGGAUCAUUUCCAUCCCUCAACGCUCUUUACCUGAGCAAUAAUAAUUUUACCGGUACAACGUCAACUACUCAAGGUAAGUAAAAGGUACAGAUGUGGCCAAAUUUAUAAAUAAACUGUUAAUUAAUUAAUUUUCUGUAUUAUUAAUAAAGCUAAAUUUUUUGCUCAUUCCUUCUAAUUCUAAACAGAGUUGCACAAUUUCACCAACUUGGAAUAUUUGACAUUGGACGAUUCCUCUCUCCAUAUAAGCCUUCUGCAAAGCAUUGCAUCAAUAUUCCCUUCGUUGAAAAAACUGUCGAUGUCUUAUUGUGAAGUCAAUGGUGUCGUACAUGGUCAAGGUAAAAGAAAAGUGUUGGUUGUGCACUCACUCAGUGGUGUCCUACGUGUUCAAUAUUUUUAUUUAUUUAUUUUAUUGUUUAAUGAGAUGCUUCCACCCUCCCCUUUAAAUCUAUAAUAUUAAUUUUCGAUAAUAUAUAAUUAUAGAAACCAAUCACUUAUAAAAGAAUGCUAUGCAUUUGCCAAUUUUUUUAUAUUUUACUGAUUGAUGAAUUAAUAAAUUUUCAGGCCUCUGUUCGUUGGUGCAUCUACAAGAGUUGUACAUUGCAACUCUUGUAGUAAUUAAUUAAUUAAGUAUUAGUUAAUUAAUUAAUUAAUUAAUUUUCUGUAUUAUUAAUAAAGCUAAUUUUUUUGCUCAUUCCUUCUAAUUCUGAACAGAGUUGCACAAUUUCACCAACUUGGAAUAUUUGGCAUUGGACUCUUCCUCUCUCCAUAUAAGCCUUCUGCAAAGCAUUGCAUCAUUAUUCCCUUCAUUAAAAAAUCUGUCGAUGUCUAGUUGUGAAGUCAAUGGUGUCGUACGCAGUCAAGGUAAAAGAAAAGGGUUGAAUGUGAACUCACUCAAUGGUGUCCUACGUGUUCAACAUUUUUAUUUAUUUAUUUUAUUGUUUAAUCUUUCUGCUAGGUUUUCCUCAUUUCAAGAGUUUGGAACAUUUUGACAUGGAUUUCACGCGCAUUGCACUCAACACUAGCUUUAUUGCACUCAACACUAGCUUUCUUCAAAUCAUCAGUGAAUCGAUGCCUUCUCUUAAGUACUUAUCACUAUCAUAUUAUACUCUUGGAACUAAUAGCAGCGGGACUCUUGAUCAAGGUUAACGAGAUGCUCCCACCCUCCCCUCCUAAUCUAUAAUAUUAAUUUUUUAUUUAAUAUAAUUACACAAACGAAUCACUUAUAAAAGAAUGAUAUGCAUUUGUUAAUUUUUUUAUUGUACUGAUGGAUGAAUUAAUAAAUUUUCAGGCCUCUGUUCGUUGGUGCAUCUACAAGAGUUGUACAUUGCAAGCAAUGAUUUAAGAGGUAGCUUGCCUUGGUGCAUGGCAAAUAUGACAUCCCUCAGAAUAUUAGAUGUUUCUUCUAAUCAACUUACUGGAAGCAUCUCCUCAUCUCCCCUCGUUCAUUUGACAUCCAUUGAAGAGCUGAUGCUUUCAAACAAUUACUUCCAGAUCCCAAUUUCACUUGAACCACUUUUCAAUUACUCAAGACUCAAGAUUUUCAAUGCUGAGAACAACGAAAUAAAAGCUGAAAUAACUGAGUCACAUUCUUUGAUCGCCCCAAAAUUCCAAUUAAAUACUCUCUCAUUGUCUUCCAAUUACGGAGACGGUUUCAUAUUCCCCAAAUUCCUUUACCAUCAACAUGACCUGGAGUAUGUUGAUCUCUCACACAUAAAGAUGAAUGGAGAAUUUCCAAAUUGGUUGUUGGAAAACAACACAAAAUUAGAAACUCUUUUCUGGUUAAUGAUUCUCUUGCAGGACCUUUUCGGUUGCCAAUUCAUUCACACAAGCGGUUAAGACAGUUGGAUGUCUCCAACAACAACAUUCGAGGCCACAUUCCAGUAAAAAUUGGAGAUGUUUUACCAAGUUUAUACGUUUUCAACAAUUCCAUGAAUGCUUUAGACGGUAGCAUUCCCUCUUCAUUUGGUAAUAUGAAAUUCCUCCAAAUUCUGGACUUAUCCAACAAUCACUUGACUGGUGAAAUCCCCGAGCACUUGGCCGUGGGUUGCGUCAACUUGCAGUUUCUUGCAUUAUCAAAUAACAACCUACAAGGUCAUUUGUUCUCUAGAAAUUUUAACUUGACAAACUUGCAAUGGUUACAAUUGGAGGGCAAUCGCUUCGUAGGUGAGAUCCCACAAAGUUUGUCUAAAUGCUCCUCACUAGAAGGAUUGUACCUUAACAAUAAUAGUCUUUUAGGUAAGAUUCCACGAUGGUUGGGUAAUCUGACACGGUUACAAUAUAUUAUAAUGCCCAAUAAUCAUCUUGAAGGCCCUAUUCCAGUGGAGUUUUGCCAGCUUGAUUCGCUUCAGAUUUUGGACAUUUCAGACAACAACAUAUCUGGAAGUUUACCAUCUUGUUUCCAUCCUCUCUCUAUCAAACAAGUUCAUCUUUCAAAAAAUAUGUUACAUGGACAGCUAAAAAGAGGUACAUUCUUUAAUUGCUCUUCCCUUGUGACAUUAGAUCUUAGCUAUAACCGCUUGAAUGGCAGCAUUCCGGAUUGGGUUGAUGGGCUUUCUCAGUUAAGCCACCUUAUCUUAGGUCACAAUAAUCUUGAAGGUGAAGUGUCAGUUCAAUUGUGCGAAUUGAACCAACUACAAUUGUUAGAUCUUUCUAAUAAUAAUCUUCACGGUCCUAUUCCUCCUUGCUUUGAUAACACCACACUUCAUGAAAGUUACAGCAAUAGUUCUAGUCCUGAUGAGCAAUUUGAAAUAUUUUUUUCCAUCGAAGGCCAUCAGGGAUUUUUAGAAAAGCAAAACAUGAAAUUUUUUGAGUUCACAACAAAGAACAUUGCGUACAUUUACCAAGGAAAAGUGCUUAGCCUCCUAUCAGGACUUGAUCUUUCUUUGCAACAAUGCUUAAUUGGUCAUAUUCCUCCUCAAAUUGUGAAAUUUGACAAGGAUUCAAACAUUGAAUCUCUCGCACAAUAACUUGACAGGAUCGAUCCCAUCAACAUUUUCAAACUUGAAGCAUGUCGAAAGUUUGGAUCUUUCCAACAACAAAUUGAAUGGGAAAAUCCCUCAUCAACUAGUGGAGUUAAAGACAUUGGAGGUUUUCAAUGUGGCAUACAAUAACUUAUCAGGCGAAAUUUCCAGAAUGGAAAGCACAAUUUGCAACCUUCAACGAGAGUAGCUAUGAGGGAAAUACUUUUCUUUGUGGACUGCCAUUGCCCAUUUGCAGAUCACCAGCAACUAUGCCGGAGGCUUCAAUUUGGCAAUGAACAAGAUGAUAAUUUAAUUGAUUAUGGACAGUUUCUUUAUCACAUUUACAACAUCGUACGUAAUUGUGAUAUUCGGAAUUGUUAUUGUUUUAUAUGUAAAUUCUUAUUGGCGACGUAGAUGGUUUUACUUUGUUGAAAUGUGGAUAACUUAAUGUUACUAUUUUUGUUUAAACAAUCUUAUUGCAACAAGAUAUUGUCAUUGAAAUUAAUUAGCAGUUUAAUUACGAUUCUUUAAGUUCUAAUCAAGUUUGCUUAGGAAAUAAUUUUUUUUUUAUUUUUUUAUUAAAAUUGUAGUAGUAUUUAGCGCUAUAUAGCUUCCAACUUGGUAGAAAGCUCCAUUUUUUGUUUGGCUACAGUAAAAGCAUGUUGUUUUAUUCUUCUUAUACUUUACGCCUGCAUCAGCUUAAAUCACUUCUUAAACGCUUGCUUUAACUGCACCGCUUCGUACUGCUCUAUAUAUGUAACGGUUAUGCGGUUGUAGCUCACGGCUCAAGCUACGCGUUUGUUUGACGUGGUAGUUACGUUAUGAUGUUUCGAGUCUGUUAAACAUUCGGUGAUAAGAUUAGUUACAACAAACCUACUAGUUUUAUAAAAUUCAAGUGAGAUGGAAUAAAAUAAAAAAUAAAUAUAAAAUUGGCUUUUAUUUUUUUAGGUUAACCAUAUUUGUGUUCUCUUCGGGCACUACUACAAUUGUUCCCUAUACAUCAGUUACACUCACGUAUCAUCGACACGAAAAAUGAAAUCUAAUAUCACCUGUUUAGUUAAAGAAUCACUCAUGAAAAAAAAUUACCAUUUUGAUUGAAGAUCCAUAUUUUGAACUACCAAUUAAUGUUCAUCAAGAACAGAGUGUGGCCGUUAAGUAGAAAAACUAUUUUUGGACAAAUUAUUAAAUUCCAAUAUUGUAUCCAUAUGCAAACGAUGCCUGAAGCAGAGCCUCCAAACAAUGACCAGGGCACAAAACAAGAGUGUAGUAAUCAAGUGUAUUGUCUCAUAAUCAAUUAAAAGCAGAUAUACAGGAUACCAUAUUCAAUUCCAAAUAACAAAAGCAUAAUGAGGAUGAGAAGAACAAUGAUCACUCAAAUAUUUCUUCACUUUGGUUGUCAAUUAUCUAUUCAAAUUAAUCAGUGUCAUUAUGGACUUAUUUAUUUAGAAGAGCGGGUGAUAAAUAUAUUCAAUAUGUGAACAAGAAGUUGAUUAACUUUAUGAUCAUUUGGAAGGUCGGCCGUGUCAUCACUCGUCAAACACAUUGCAUCGAUCCACCAGCAUGAACCGACCGGAUUAUGCCCAAAAAGUUGAAAUAUCAAUAAAAAAAACAAUUAAUUAAAGUCGAAGAUGGGUCCUUUACAUUAUGUUUUGUUUUCGUAUUAGGUAGGAGGUUAUUAUAUUAUAUCAUGUAAUUAAUUUAUUAUUACUCAACACUAAGUAAUAACUUAACUAUAUAAAGACAACAAGAAGAUAAAAUGAUAUAUAAAAAAAAAAAGAAUUUCAAAGAGAUAGCAACAUACAAUAGACUGAAGCCAUUUGAUCUGCUCAUUGAUUUCAGCCUUAAACUUGUAAAUAGUUACUGUCAAAUAUUCUAUUCAUACGAAAAAAAUGUUUAGAUAUCUUACUAUAAAUAUAGCCGUUUGACUGUCUUAAUAAAGUCACACACAACCAUUCUUAUUAAAUUAGCAAGAUCAAACACUGCCCUGGAUCUUGAACAGAUCAACACAAGAUGCACAACUUAUGAUUGAACCAGAAACAAUCAAAUCUUUAGCAAGAACAAUUAAUCAGAGUCAAGAAACAAGUUUAAUGAAUAUAAAACCUAUAAUUGAAACAACAUAGCAAGAAAAAAAUACAGAUUUUACACGGUUCAGUUGUACCUAGGAUGGCACAACCUACACCACGAGAGAAGCUUUCUGGUGAGAUUUUAUUGAUGAUCAAAGAAGAAUCUUUUGACAAAGCUAAUAAUAGAGAUUUCAGAGAAUAAGCUGUAACCCUCUCUCCCUCUUCAAUCUCUCUCUAUUUUGUUCCCAUUGAUGACCCCAAUCUGCUUAGUUAUCCAGCUUUAUAGCUGCAUCAGUAACAAACCAGCAACCCAGAUUGAGCAGAUUGACGACACGUGGAUAACGGCUUUAACGAACCUGGUAAGAACUGCUCACAUGUUCGUCACGCGUGCUGCUUAAAUGAUGGCCAAAACGACUUCAAACAAAUGUCGUUUUGAGGCUUAUGAAUUACAAGUGAUAACACGAGCUUGUCUCAUGACUUUUAAAUGCAACAACGUGCCCACAACGCCGUCGUUUUACUCUGUUGAGUUUGAUUCAUUACUAAGCUUUACGACUGGCAAUGGAGAAGAUGAUAAUUUAAUUGACACGGACAGUUUUUUAUAUCACUUUUACAACAUCCUAUGCAAUUGUAAUAUUGGGAAUUAUUGAUGUUUUAUUCUGUGAAUCCUCAUUGGCAAAAACUAGUGGUUUUAUCUUUGUUGAAAUAUAGAUGACCUCUCGUUACUGUUUUAUUAUAAACAUAUAUUUCGUAAGUGAAACUAUAUGUUUAUAAUAAAUUAACAUAUAGUUUUGUUACAUUUCUGCCUCAUUAAGAUUCUCAAAUACCAGUCAGGUUUGCUUAAGAAAUAAAUUUUUUCCAUUAAAAUUGCAGUAGUAUUUCCAAGCAUAUCGCAUUUUCUAUGAGUUUUCAUAAAUUAAUUAAUCUGCGGUGCCAAUAUCAGAUUUAGUUUUUCAAACUAAAUAAUCAAGAAAGCAAACAUACAAAUAUACAGUUUAGAGGGUAAACUAGGUAGGUGGUUUAGAUUUUAGAACUAAGCCAGCUACCUCGCUAAAUUCCGAUUCGUACAGUGAACUGCAAGAAACUGAGAAAACAAUGUAUUUAUAAUUUAAUAGAAUCAUAAGAAAACAAUGCAGUCAUUGCUCAAUAUAAGAUGAUGAUUUCGGAGAGGCACAUUGUUUUCAAGUUAAUUUGAUCCGUUUAUAAGAGAUGAAGUGGAAUGAAGUUGAAAGUUUAAAUAACAAAUCCUUGUUCUUGAGUUUUACGACGUCGUUACUCCUUCAAGUGGCAGAUUAUGCAAGUGAAUGCAGAAACACAAUGCAUCAUCCGCGGGGAUGAUACAUCAAAAGCGGGAUUUGUUUAUGCCUGCAGAUUAGCAAUUUCACUCAUAUAGAAAAUUAAUUUUUUAUAUAUACUAAUCAACACUAAAUUGAUUAUGUGUUGUAUGUUUAUAUGCUAAUCAACACGAAAUUAUAUUGAAUUAUUAACAUUCAUAUUCCUAAUAAAAAUUAUUUUCCAUCAGUAUUCAAAAUUUUCACUUAUAGAAAAUGCGUUUUACGUGAAUACUAGUUAUUGUGUAAAUUUGAAUGAUAGCGAAAAUAAACCUAUUUGAAAACUGUAAGGGUGUGUUGGGAUAUUUUACAACUGUCGGAAUCUGGUAGGAUAUUGCACCAUUUGCCCAAUAUUUUUAGACGUACUCAACCGGUAUUCAAGAUAAGUAAAAUUUACAAGCGUGGCAAAAUAAAAAAAAAUUAAAUUCGUAACUUGUAAACGAAUUUUCCUGACAUGUAUAGUAAAUGAAGUUGUUGAUCCUUUCUUUGGAUUAUUUCAGCUCUGGUUGUUGGUCACCGAUGAGCCGAAGUCUUAUUUUAAUUUUAUUUAAACUCAUCAUAAGAUUCGUGGAGCACCUAACUAACUUAACUGACUGCGCAGAUCAUCUCAACAUGGCAUAUUUAACCAUCAUUCAAGUGAUGGGUUUAAUAAGACUGCUUUUGUUCUAUCAACUAUCAAGUUCCUCUGCCUCUAAGCAGAAUUACUAUUGAAGGGCCAAAAGAAAAUGAAAACGUGUGAGCUCCAACAACCACCCCACAAAUUCAAUGACGAUGCUCGGAGAGGGUUAGGUUGGGCCUCUGAGAAAAAAAAAAAUUAUUUUGUUAAAAAGUUACCCUUAUUGAAACCUGUAUAAACAUUUUAUAUUAAUUAGUUAUGUCGCCUCUUCAACGAUGAUCAAAUUCUUAUCUGAGCUCAUCAUUUAAUGAGUAAACAUGUAUUUUAAUGAUCUCAAUUAAUAUUUAGAACAAAUAUUUUAAGAAGUAAAGCUCAUUAUAUCUUCCAUUAUUAUGUAUUUCUUUAAUUUCUUAUUUACAUAAUUAUAUUGUACAUUAAAAAUGUAUUGAAUUUGAAGAAAAAAAAAUUCAACUCAAAAAAAAAAAAAAAUGCUGGUAGCUUCGUAAUAAUUACUGUAUUGACUGCACCAGAUAAAGUUUUGUAAAAUAAUAAGUUCUCAUAAGUGGUUUUUCAUUUUUAAUUUUUUUUCCGGCACACCUGAUCAAGAAUUCUAUUUUGUUAACUAAUCAAUUGCAAAGCAUAAGUGUUGAACGGUACAAAAAAAUUUAAAAAAAUACACUUAAAACGUGGGGGUAGGGUAACGGCUUCACUCAAAUCGUUAGGUAGAAAUUGUGGAAAACUUCAAAGCGAAAUGAGAAAUAUAGAAAAAAAGAAGAGGUGGAUUUUUUCUAGUGAAAUUUCUAUGGGUAACGGCUCACUCAUCCUUCUAUGAAUUUCUAGCUGUAUUGACCCCAACUGCUAAAGUUUUGUAAAAAUAAAAAUAAAAAUAAAAAAACUGGAAUUUCAACAAAAUUCAAAACGUUUGAAAUUAAUAUUUUGGCCAUGUGGAACAAAAUGUAAAUUAAGUAAAAAUAUAAAUCUCAAUUGCUUAGUAUGGUUAGGAUUUUGUGAGCAUCACUAAAAAGUGAAAACUAUGAAUGAUAGAGGUGAUGUUUGCAACAUGAAUAAAUGAUGAACUGAAUCAAUUGAUGAUCGUAAUUACAUAAUGAACAAAAUUUACAAAAUCAACAAAAGUUAAUAAAAAAUUUAUUUAAUAAUAAAAAAUCAAUAAAACUUAUUAUUUAAGGGCGCUCUAACCAUGGAAUACCAUAAUCAUAAUCUUCUUUUAAGAAAAUUAUAACUUAUUAUUUUACAGGAUUGAUCCAUUUGGAAUGAAGUGGUCUCAAGUUGAAAGUAAUUAAUUUAUUGAAUAACUUUCGACUUAUUAAUAGUUAUAUCAAGGGUGUUUUACCUCAUCAUGUCUUCAAGUGGAAGAUGAAGACUAUGCAAGUGAAUUCAGGAAUAUUGCAUGCCUGUUGUCUAAAGCAUUACCUCACAAGGUUUCAUGAGAAACGAAAGAUGUGUUUGCUUUGAACAAUUAAAGUUACUGCUACGAACCUCCCCAAAGGUCAAGAAGACAGAACAGGAAGCUAAUGCCAUCAAUGUCUUGUUCAUUAUAGCUGCUGGGUAGUUAGGUGUAGUUUCCUCAUUUGAAGCUGUCUAUACAUAGGCAUUUCCCUGCUUAUGUACAAAUAAAUGAACAACCUUGAAGCUUUAUUAUUCGCAACAAAAAGGGAUUACUAAUUGGAGAAGACUAUACAGAGUUUUCUCUCACACUUUGCUCUCUGUCAAUUUCAUCCAGAAGUCCCUCUGAAAGCUUCUCCCAAAACAGUUAGUCAUCUUUUAUGCUCUGUUUUCUGAAAACAGAGUCCUAACUAAAUUAAUUGACUGUACAGUGCAUUUCAACAUAGCAUAUUUAACCGUUUUAACAGUUAUUUGGACCGUCUUCAGAGGUAACAUCAACAAACUCAUUCAUAUGCUUAAUAAUGAACGAAUAGUCUUGGAUUGAUGUUUUGCAGCAAGAGCAACACGACACAAUCUGGAUUCAACCUCCUCCUUUCUAACAGGGGAUUUCGAUUUGAGUUACUUUGUGCUCAAGCAAAUUCACAUCAUAGUUUUGAUUCUUUAGAUAUGAAUUCAUCUCAUUACAUAUAUCAGAUUAAGUGUAACAAAAUUUGUAAUUUACUGCGAAAAGAAUAUGCACUAAAAAAUGAUUUCAAGACUAUUUGACUACAAAAAGCAGCUGUCAGAGUGCACUAAAAAUUUCUGUAGGAUAUUUUGUAGCUGUUUAAUAUGUUAUGAUGGGCAUAUAAUUCUCAAAUUUUGAUGCCUCUCAGCGAAAAAUAUAUCAAAGUUACGGAUGAUAUCACGUAAAACAUGCAUGGCUCAGGCUCAGGCUCAGGUAAGAAAGCCACAGAAAAUGGAAAAUCUCACUGUCACGACUCACGUCACGCAUCAUUCAAGUGAUGGAUUUAACAAGACUGCUUAUGUUCUAUCAAAUUCCUCUGCCUCUCAGAAGAUAACUUUUCUGGGCCAAAUUUCUCAUCUAAAGCAUAUUAUGCCCCAAAGUCACAGAUAACAAAAUGGGGCACUACCGAUUAUGAAAGAGAACUAGUAGUUGUCAGAAGCCUAAGCCAAAUUCCGGUAGUAAGAAGAGGCCUUUCUUGAGUUUAGAUUAUGUGUUCGAGUUUUAAUAAAUGCCUAAGUUAAUAAUAAUAACAACAGUAAUAAUAAACUAAAAAGCAUAAUUACUAUUGAAUGGUAAAAAAAAAAAUGAAAAUGUGUGAACUCCAAUAACCACCCCAGUGGCGAAUUUUGGAGAGGGCUAGGCCGGGCUUCUUAGAAAUUAUUUUUAUUUAAUUACAAAAUCACCUUUACUGAAACCUAUAUAAAAUUUUUUAUAUUAAUUAAUUAUGUUGCCUCUUCAAUUAUCAUUAAAUUCUUGUCCGUUCAUAAUUUGAUGGAUAAAUGUGUAUUUCAAUAAUUUCAAAUAAUGUCUAGAACAAAUAUUUUGAAUUAUAAAACUCAUUAUGUCCUGCAUUACUAGAUGUAUCUAUAAUUUAUUAUUUACAAAUUAUAUUGUAUGAUAAAAAUGUAUUGAAUUUUUGUUUAAAAAAAAGUUCGGCUCACUCAGAAAAAAAUGUUAUUAGCUUCGCCACUGCACAAAUCUAGAAUAAUAAUUAUUCCUUAUUAUAUUGACUGCACCAAGCAAUAAACUAAUAAGUUCUCAUCAGUGGUUUUUAAUCUUUUUAAUUCUUUUUACCGCACACCUGAUCAAGAAUUUUAUUUUGUUAACUAAUCAAUUGCAAAGCAUAUAUAAGUGUUGAACGGUACACAAGAUUGGAAAAAAAAAAUCUUAAAAAACGUGCGGAUUCGGGUGGCCACACCAGAAAUCUAUUUACAAUAAUUAGCUUUGAUGCUGGGAAUCUUUUAAUUUCUGGCCGUAUUGAAGUUUUUAAAAUAAUAAGUUCCCCUUCUCGUUUUUUUUUUUUUUUAAAUAUAUAUGCUUAUAACAAUUUUAGAAUAAUGAUUCAUUUGUAGAAGAACUUAUGAUUUCCCAUUAAUAUUAAUAUUGAAGUGGGGUGGGUCAAAUCUCAAUUGCUUGAAGAAUUUAUGUAUUAUUAAAUAUUACCAUCCAAGGUAGAAUUGUGGAAAAUUAAAGCAAAAUGACAAGUAUGGAAAGGAAGGCUGAAAGUAAGGCAUGACGAAAGGCUUUGAGAAGGCUGAAGACUACCAAAGAAGUCAACUGAAAACUAGCUGGGGCCUGAGUGUAUAAAUUGUUAGAUGCGUUUGUUAUAAAUAACAUAGAGCCCUUUUGUUAUUUAUAGUUAUAGAGAAAGAGAGAAUGUGUGUUUUUUAAUAGUUAGAGAUAUAGCUAGAAUGGGUUGCUCAAAAUCCAAAAUAGUGACAAUGUUAGUUCUCGUAUUGAUAAUAUUGGGGGGGGGGGGGGGGGGGGGGGGGGGGUGUUGGGAGGUCGAGUGAGGGAUGUUUGGAGCAUGAGCAAUUUGAUCUUUUGCGGCUUAAACAUUUCUUCAAUUAAUAUCGAUCUGGGAGAGUGGUAUCUGAAUGCUUCUCUAUUUACUUCCUUUCAACAACUUGGUAACAAAAUAGCCGGCUGCAUGCGUUGAGAAUGAAGGUGCUUCAUUUAAUUUAAUUUACUUAAUUUCUCCCUCCUAAUUAAUGUCUAUAAUCAUUAGGAGGAACAAGGGAUUUUAUUAACUCAAAUAUAUCUAAUGGAUCUCAUUCUUUGGUUUUACUUGCAGGGCUAGAAGCAGGUGUCAUCUAACAGCUGCUUUGAUAAUUUCCCUCCCCUUCAUCUUUGAUGGAAAGAUGAAAUAAAAACAAAUUGGUGAAAAUGGUAUUGGUACCUGAGGCUAUGUAAUCUAAUUCAAAAACUGCACCAUCAAAACGAUUACAUAAGUCUCAGAAGAAUCAAAUAUCAGUUUGCAAAAUAUCAAUUGCUGGAGGUUUGAUUCUAACUUCCGCUCUUCAUUUUUAUGGCAUAUUGUGUUGUACUUGCAUCCGAAAAUCAUAUUUUAGUUUACUUGCACUCAAUGCUUGGAUUAAAGUUUUUUUGGGGGGGGGGGGGGGAUUGAAGAAGACUAAAAUUACACCAAAAAAGAGUUGAGCGAGAGCGGGUUUUGUCUUCAUUUAAGGAGCUCUUUAUAAAUUUUGGGAUUUUUUUCCUGAGAAAAUUUAUGCCAACUCAUUCUUUGCUUCUUUUCUGAAGGGACACAUGCAACCGAAAGUAUAUUCUUGAAUUCUCCAGGAUAAGAGACAUACGUUUAGAUUCUGGAGCAUUUAAAACAAUGUCAAAUUUUAGAUUGCUGAAAUUUUAUAUAUCCGAGUAUGAUGGUGUUCCAAUUAUAAGCUCCAGGGUGCAACUUCACUGAGGUUUAGAAUGCCUUCCUAUAGAAUUGAGAAAUCUCCAUUGGCAUAAAUAUCUUUUGAAAAUACUGACAUCAGAUUUUGAAUUGGAGAACCUGAUUGGACUCAGCUUGCCCUGUAGUAAGGUUAAGCAAAUUUGGAAAAGAGAAAAGGUAUAAUGUAUUACUAUUACCAAAGUAUCUAUUUUUCUUUCUUUAAGUAUUUAUAAUGAAUAACUUUGAAAUUCAAUGAUGCUCAUUUAGUAUAGUUAUGUAUCUUUGGUUAUAGGAAGCUGUCAAGUUAAAAUCUAUAGACCUUCACCACCCCUUUAUCUCAAUAGGAUCCCAGAAAUACUAAAUCUUAAAAAAAUAAAUCUUUCAAAUUGUGAAAGCAUGCUUACGUUACCCCCGUAUAUCCACAAUUUCAACUAGCUGAGUAUGUUGUGUUUCAGGGAUGCAAAAUUCAUUUUGUUUCUCAUGAAAGGAUUGACUUGUCCGGAUGUAUUAGGGUUAGUAAACCAACUAAUCCCAUAAUUUGUUGAUGUAGGGUCCUAACAAAUUAUUGCAGUAGAUUGUAGAUCAGUACACUAUUCGAAAACGUAUUUGAUCCACACAGUGAAGUGGAUAUUGGACCAAUUUGAUGAUAAUGAAUUUCUUUCAAUCUCAAUCUUUUUUCUUUUUAGCAACAUGACUAGUCAUUGUGCAAAUUCAAACUCUGACAAUAAUUUCUCAAUCGGUUUCUAAGAUGAUGACCAUGCAUGUAUAUGUAUAUGCGUGUGUAUAUGUGUGUGUGUGUAGAGAGAGAGAGAGAGAUCACACGUGUGUGAUUUCCUUUUGCCAAUAGGAUAUGCAGAGAGCUUGAUCUUACCCAAUAGCGAAACAAACUUCCUAAUAAGUGAAGGUAUAGUAUAAAUACUUAUACUUUCAUGUUAUUUUGUUCAUCAGUAGCUUGAUUAUUUUAUAUGCGUCUUCGAUUUUAAUUUUCUUUCCCUAUAAUCGCUAUUAUCUUUGAACUGGUCAUAAUUUGCCCAUAAGAUUUCUCAUGUUGUUUUGAGGUGCAACGGAUUUUGAAUUUAGUGACAAGCAGUGGAAGCCAGAAGGCAAAUUAUGAAAAUGGAUAAAGAUCUAUAAUUAGCUGUUAUGGGAUGUCACAUAUCAUAUUGAUGGUAACGUUAUAUAUAUGUACAUAUAAUUAAUGGGGUUGGCUCACGAGCCCAUUAAUAAUGGUAUAUUAGCUUAUAUACUUCAAACAAUGUACUAUGAAGCAAUUUCACAAAUACUUGUUAGCUUAUGUUGAGCUUUAUUGAAUCAGUAGUUCACAGUUCAAUAAAAUGCAGGUUUGCUAUUUGAAGUACAUGGUUAUGGUGCGUACAUUCUUCAUAAGGCUAACUACUAAUUUAUCAUUGAAACUUGAAAAAUGUGAUAGAGAGAUGUAGAUAACAGCCGCAAAACACUGAGAUUGAAAAUCAGGGCUACUAAAUUCUAUUAAAAGUCCUUAAAAUAGACAGCGAUCACCCUGAAAUGUAUAUACUGAAACUAAGAAAUAUUAAUCGCAAAGUUAUGCAUUAAUAGAACUAUUGACUACUUAUCUUUAGCAUAAAGUAUAUUUUUAACUACAGCUUUCUGCUUUGUUCUAAGAACUAGGCAAAAGUGGUGUAUCUUCAAUCCAAUCAACAUAUAUACCACUUAUCUUCCUCUUCACUUCUGUCUAUUUUGAUUUGCACUUCAUAUCCUGCACUUGCUGCUUAGAAAUAGUCUUUAUUCUGGACAUUGAAAGUAGAAAAAGUACUUGAAACAAUCAUUGGCACAGCCCGAGAUUCCAUUGAAUCGUGGACUCCAAGCUUUCAUAGUUCUAUAAAGAAGAUGACAAAACUUCAUACAACUGGCAUUCUGCUUUUAACAUUUGCACAACCUGAGCGAGUUAGCAAGCCCCUUGUUGCGUUCCCAUUGAAUAGACCUACUUCUGUUAUCCGCAGAAGAUCCACCACUCAAAAUGUUUAUCACCAGGCUAUUCUUAAACUGAGCCUAAACUGAGUAGAAACUUCCGCACAUCUCUCAGCAUUUACAUGAAGAAAUCGACAACUAUCCUCAUCUCUCAGCAUUCUACAAAGUUGCAUUUCACUAAGCAAUCUAUCCUCUCCAUUCCUAGCAAAGUGACAUUGAUUCCCGUAUUUGUAAUCGCCUAACUUGGGUUUUGGGCAUAGCGUGGUCUUAAAAUUACCACCCAAUACUUUGUUCAGUGCCACUGGCAUCCACAAGCUCUAGCCCUGUUAGUUGAAUCAUAUUCAAUGGGACAGUGAGGCAGCAUUUCACUAACAUAUUCAAUUUGACUACUUAUAUUGACGCAAAUAUUAGAAUUUGAAAUCACUUCUUUUAUUGGAAUAUUAUAUUAAUAUGACCCCAAAUGAAAGUUCUUGAAUGGAAAUGAUUUUUAUUUACUUUUCGAACAGAUUCAAGAAAACCCAGAGAACACAAAAUUUACACAGUAAUAUGAUUAAGAGCUGAGAACGUACAUGUAGUAAAUGUCUAUCAAAAAACACCCAAGGGUUUCUUUAAAAUUAGUAACUAGUAAACAAAAAGAAAGAAUCAUUUUACAUUUUUAGCAACUUUGGGGUGAGUGAGUGAGUGAGAAAUUGAAACCCUCAAGUGAUGACAACAGUAAGAUUCAGUAUGAAGUGAAACCCCAAUUUGAAAUGUAGGCAUGAGUUGCUGAGUCAGUAGAUGAAGCUAUAAAUAGGCAUUCGGUUUCCUUCUUUUCGGUUUGGAGGGCCAUGGAAUAGUGUAUUGGAGUGGGCUCCAAGUAAUAGCCUCUAUCACUGGAACGACACAUCUAUAAAAUGUGAUACAUGGGGAAGGAUUGGGCAUUUUAUUCUUAGAUUAGCCCCUUAUUUAGGGUGUAUAUUAAGCAGAUUAUAUAUUACAUGGAGAUGGAGUUUAUGAAAUAGAUUAAAAAGAAAAGGAAAUUUUGGUGCCUAAAGUUUGCCACUUGGAAUAUUUCGGUGUCUAAAAUUCACUCACCACUUAUUUCAUGUUUGAUUAUAUGUUGAAAAGAUAUUAAAAUAGUAUAAUGCUAUUAAGGCUUAACGUAUAUUUUUUAUUAGUAGAGUGUAGAAUUUUUAAGAAAUAAAUUAUUAAAUUAUUAUAACUAACAUAUUAUUUUAAAGUUGUGUUAUGAAAAAAAUGAAAUAAAAAUGUACAGUAAAUAAGAAUAUUUUAAAACUUUUAUCUUUUUAAAAUUAGUUUUUAACAUAAGGUGAACUAUUUUUUUUUUAAAAUCACAUAUUCUAGUUAAAAUCAAAUAUGUAUUUAUACGAAGCUUGUAAUUUUUUUUUUUAGUACUGAUAUUUGAAUAUUAUCAAUAAAAAAAAGGGUAAUGUUCAUGCUGCAUUAUUUUUGUAGCACACAAAAGGACAACACCGUUUAUGGUAUAAUACUAUCGCUUCUGUUAUGAUAAUUUUUUUUGUGGCCAAAUAUCUUUUUUUUUUUUAAGUAAAAAAAAGUGGACAAAAUGCAAAUCAGUUUUUAAUCCUCAAUCUCUCCCAAAAUAUAUAUUUCGGUGUCUAAAAAUUCACUCACAAAACUAUAGCUGACAAAAAGUUACUAACAAAAAGUUAGGUCCAUGGGUUGUUAAAACUAUAGCUGACAAAAAGUUACUAACAAAAACAGAAUGUCCAUUUUAUAACUUUCUUAAAAAACUUUCCUUAACUUUUUAAACAAAAAGUUAUUUCCAAUUUUUAUUUUGUUAUAAUGUUUAUAACAAAAUUCGUAGUUAACUAAACUCUUCUUAUACCCUUUCUCAACUGCCAUACCCUAACCCACUAAACCACGCUCAAUUAAGGCCAUCAGAUUCUCCCGGGCCCACAUUAAUCCAACUGCUCACAGAGACCGACAGCCUCUCUAUCUCCAUUUCAAGCUCCCUCUUCAACUGGCUUCUGCUACCGUCCUACUCUUUCUCGGCUUCGGAGUCCGUAUUUGCUCGGCCUGUCCCACGAAGCUCCCUCUCACUCCAAUUGUCGCCCCACAAGACCAAUUGCUUAAUCAAGACACCGAACAAGAAAAGGAUGAGAAGUUGAAACAAGAAUUUGAGAAUUGGAAAUAAAAAACGUACGCAUUGACCGUGCCUUUGAGAGUCGUUUCUCUUCAGAACUCAGUGCCUCAAUCUUGGAUUAAGGAUUUUAUGCGAAGUCAGGGAAAGAGAUUGAAGUUUCAGAUGAAUUUGUGUGCUAGCAUUGAUGGGAUCUUUAACAAUUUAUCUGUGCCCUUUAACAAAGUUAAGGCUAAGUCAGCUUCUUAUAUGGCUGCUGAUUUGGUUAGUGUUGGUGAUUCAUGGCUUAGUUUUGCCAUUAAAAAGAGAUUGAUUGAGCCAAUGGCUGGAGCUGAAGACCAAGAUUGGUUCAAAUGCUUAAGUCACAAAUGGAAGGUAACAUCUUUGUCUUUGAUCCUCGAGGUAAAAUAUGGGCGGCACCGUACAGGUGGGGCACAACGGUGAUAGCCUACAAGAAAAGUAAAUUUCGAAAGCAUAAUUUGGCUCCGAUUGAGGUAAUAAUUUUCUUUAAACUCAUUUAGUUUUAUAUCAAACAAAAUCAAGACUGCCUUUCUCUUCAAUAUUUUUUAUGAUAAUAUCUUUAGAAGCAUCUCAUUGACGGGUAACAAUGGCAUCCCUGAAAGAGUCUAUAAACUCAAUGAUAUUAUCUUCUACAAAUGGUUCAUUAAACUUUGUCGUUGUACUCAAAUGUACACUCAGAUCAAUGAGAAGCUAUGCUACGUUAGCAUGUAGUGAUGGCACUUAAUAAGUGAGUUGCUAGGAUGUGAACUAGAAAAAUUAAAUAUUGUCUCCUUGGGUAUGCUAGCUGGUAAGUCAGGGUUAAUAUCAGAGCUUAAGAUAGUAUAACCGUGAGAACCUAUUGACUGCCAAUUAAAAUAUCCAUUGAAAUGUCUAGGGAGUUAUGAAGGUGGAGGUAACUUCCAAUUUCUAAGGCCACAGAGUAGACAUCAUCCAGGAUCCUAGGAAAGUCCAGUUAACCUCCUGCUCGAUGCAAUUAAUAAAUUUGGUCAAUGCCACUGAAACCUGCUAACUGACGUCACAAUGCGACAUGAGCACUUCAAAAUGGGACAGACGGUCAGUAGCACUAAAUUUUUCUUGCCCAAGAUUGAGCAAUUGGUCUAACUACUAAUCCCUAUUGUAGGUUGAUCAUUAUUUUUUCAAUUAUGUUCAGUUUGACCCAAAAAGUUGCAGAAUCUUGAGCUGAAUAUUGUCACUGAACACUGUCAAUGUCAUUUAGCAUAGCCAACUAACUUGAUGUUAAAACAAACACACAGUGUGUCUCAUGUCUCACAAUUCAAAUUAUCAUCUGUAAUGUUGGAGAAUUUUUCCAAUGUAUGAAGUAUGCUUUGAUACGUGGGUUACCUUGGAGAAGAUAUCUCAAAAUAAAGAAUAUGGGGAGAAAACAGUUCAGUAGUUUAUUAUUCUGUAGUCAAGUUUUGUCUCGAAAAUGGUCAAAAUUUAAAUGAAUAAGGACAGGGGAUCUUCAUUCUUUUUUCCCUUUUUUAUACCAAGAUAUCUCUCAACCUUUAUAUAAUCCCCACUGGAUAUCUGCUUCUAAUAAUUAAAAUAAAAAUUUCACCGCUCUAACAAUAAAAAGUAACAUCUUUCCUCAAAUAAUUUACAGUUCCUCAUCAUCUUAGUGUGAGACUAUCAGUACAUUCCAAAAACAUAAUAAAACUGGUUUGAUCCUGUUUAUUGAUGUUUAAAUGUUGUUCAUUGUGACAGGUAGAAAUGAUGAGGCGAAGUUUAUUUGGACAUCAAUUAGUAAGAUCUUGUUUGAAGUUGUUUUCUGAAAUGAACUGCCAAAUGGUAGUUUUUUGGGGGCAUUUGAUGGCUCUUUUUUUUUCCUCAUUUUCAACAUGUGCCUGCUUGGAACAUGAAGGAUUAGGCUGCAGAGUUGUUAUAUAUUUUGAGAUGCUCUGGUCAUUGCACAAUUUGUUCACACUGGAAAUUAGAAUGAGAAAUUUGUUGAUGCUGUUUUGAGAGAUCUGCAUUCUAUGCACAAUAACAUGAUUAAUGAAAAUGCAUUGUAGGACUGGAAAGAUCUGUGGCAGCCUGAGCUCGCAGGAAGAAUUUCAAUGGUUAAUUCUCCCCGAGAGGUUAUUGGUUCAGUUUUGAAGUAUAGGGGAACAUCAUACAAUUCAAACUAUAUUGAUUCGCAAGUUGCUGGUGGGAAGAUUGCUGUUCAGCAGAAUCUGGCAUUACUGGCAAACCAGGUACUCUUACAGAAAUCAUAUCUGGUCAUUGCAUGUUAUUGCCUGACAACUGAUUUUGUUUGUAAAAGUCUGCUUCUUCAUACAUAUGAAUGCAUAUGUUAGUGUUUUCUUCUCCUUUUCAUACAUAUAAAUGCAUAUGUUAGUGUUGUCUUUUCCUUUUCACACAUAUUAAUACAUAUGUUGGUGUUCUCUCCUGAGAUGGAUGCAAUAAAGGCUUUUGCUCCUAAAUUUAGCUGAAGAAAUGGCAAGGGAUGUGAGAUUCUGUCUCAUUAAAUUAACAAAAACCCAAAACAAUGAAAAUCCAUAAUAAUGUGGUGUGGGUAAAUUGGCUCCAUUUGGUUCGUUUCCUUAAUGUGAAUGCGCGAGCAAUAGAGACUAACAAAAUGAAGUGACAACAAGAAGUCAGUGUCCUUUGAUGGAUGCAUUUUUAGGCAGAAAUAUGUUUGUAAUUGACCAAAUUUGUCUGGCAUGCCAAUUUCAAAAAAAUUAAAUUAUGUGGUUAUUAGCUGUAAUGAAGGGGGAUAGUAGGUGCAAUCAGGUGUAUCCAGGAAAGUUCAACAAAGUUUUGGUAUGGCGUAGUGAAAUUGGUUUGUGCAACUCAGGAGUCUUUCAGGUGAACGAUGAUAGGUUUUGAUUUAUGAAUAUUAUAAAUCUACUGUGCAUAGUAUUCUAGUAGAAUCAUCUAUAAGUUCUAGUUAUUGUAUACUUUGCCCGGUUUGAGUUAAGGGCACAUGUAAUAUGAAAGAUAGUUGUCGCAUCUUUUAGGUUACCUAACAUUUGAUCAAUCCUAUUAUGGGGGCUUCAAGAUGUCUAACAAUAUGUAGAAUGCCCAUGCUCCUCCCCAUUGUUUAUCUUCUACAAUAAUUUGUUUUAGAUGCUAAUAUCUUUGUCGAUACCGGUAACAAUAUUACAAUAUCUGCGUUUAUUGGGUUUUACAUAGGUUCGACUGUUUGACAGUACACACUAUCUGAAGGCAUUUGCAAUUGGAGAUGUAUGGGUUGCUGUUGGGUGGAUUAGUGAUGUUCUUCCUGCUGUCAAACAUAUGUCUAAUGUUGCUGUUGUUGUUCCCAAGUCUGGUGCUAGCUUAUGGGCUGAUCUUUGGGUAUACCCAUGCCUGCCAUUCUACUUCAAUAUUCACAUUGUUAUCUCCUUCAUAUUAGUGAUCAGUAAACACGAUAAUGUGACUAAUAAGUUCGUAUUCUCUUUAUAGGCAAUCCCUGCUGCCUCAAGACUUGAAACAAAACAAAUUGGAGGGCGAGUCAGAGGUGCAUUUCCAUUAAUCCAUCAAUGGAUAGAAUUCUGCUUGCAAACAGCGAGAGCAUUGCCUUUCAAGCAAGAGGUUAUCCCGAGCGCAUCUCCCUCUGCCCUUGAGAGUACUCUGGUUAAGUUGCCUGAAGAACUUUUCAAGGGUAAACCAAGUCUGGAUACUAACUUAAUUGCUGGAGUACCCCCGACUGAAAUUCUGGCCAGAUGUGAGUUUUUGGAGCCUUUAUUUGAAGCUACAUUGUCGGAUUAUGAGUGGCUGGUUACUAAUCUGCAAAAAUCCACUCCUGUACUGAUCAACAAGAUGCAACAUUACAUGUCAUCAUUGAUCUUUAGCUAAAGGUACAUUGAAAAGUUAAUGGCACUGCAUACCAGUCAUUAUAAUUGGGUCAGGGCAAUUAGGUCAGAGCAUAACUUCAUUAGGAAAAGAUGCUUCAGCUACGUUAAAUAUUACAGGAUGUACUGAGAUGGCUGAAGCUGUUGAGGUUUUACGAGAAUCGAAAGAUAGUGUUUGUUUGAACAAAGUUGUUGCCAAUCUUGCAGAGUUCGAGAAGAAAGAUCACGAAGUGAAUGCCACCGAUUUCUUCAUCAUUGUAGCCUCCAUAGUUGAAGUUUCCUCAUUUGAAGCUGUUUAUGCAUAUGUUUUUUCCCUGCUCAAGUACAGGAAAUUGAAGAAUUAACCAGAUGUGAUAUGCUGAAAGAGGGAAGUUUUCUUCCUUGAAUGUGGUCUUUGUGAUUUGUCUUGAAGGAAUAGGGUGAUCACUGGCAAGAACCCUAUCAAGGUAGAUUUUAUGAUGUUAACAUAUCAUUAAGCAUUUUGUUACAUCAGCAAUGAUGCUUUCAUAGCAGCAUGAAAGUGUUUAAAUUUAACUGAAUGAUCUUGAUUGAUCAAUUAUGAGUUUUAAUCGAGUAAAAACUAAAUACAAUCAUCGUUAACAAAUAUUGAAAUUGGGUAAAUAAGAUCUUGAUAUUGAAGAAUUUGAAAUCACAACCCACACAGGAAAUCACCCUUCGCGUGGGGAUGGAGAUGUUUACUGCAGCGAUAUUGAAUAUGUCCACCGCUCUUUGGGUUAUGGUGCGACUUGCCCUGAAACAAUGGAAAAGAAUAAUUAAUAAUUUAACGCCAAGACAUAAAAUUAAAACGUGUGGACUCCGGUAGCUGCCCUACAAGUCUACAACUCUACAAACAUUAACUCUACAAACAUUAAAACGUGUGGACUCCGGUAGCUGCCCUACAAGUCUACAACUCUACGAGAAUAAUUUCUAGCCCUGUUGACUCCACUAACUAAAGAAAUUUCAAAACGUACAUAGAAUUCCACAACAAGCAAAACGUAUGGAAUUUAAUUUUUUGCCGUGUGGAACAAAAUACAAUUUAACAAAAAAGGAUAAGAAAAAUGGUAAGAUUUCUAAAAUGCAUGGAAGGUGAUUCAUAUUUUACUGAAACGACUUGUCCUGAACAUUAAGACGAUUGAUUUUUUUUUUUUUUUUAAUAACAUCAACUUCCAUAUCUUUCUAACCCCUAGAAUAUGCUCACGUUCAAGUCUAUCUUGGUAAUUUGAAAAAGAAAAUCAAAUCAAAUCAACACCAAAACAAUGAAAAGUAAAACUUUUGAAUUUCAACUUUAAACUUUUGUUAACCCCUAGAAUAUUCAGCGUUUUCAAAUUCUUCCGAUUGCAUAUCUUCUUCCUCCAUCAAUGCAAUAUUUGAACGAUUAUGAAAGAGUUUAAGAACAUAAAAAAUCUCCAAGGUUUAUACGGUAUAACAAAUUUAAAUUCUCAAUUACAAUAGAUAAUAAUUAAACUAAUAAUUUUUUAUGUACUUAUUUUAGUAAUUUCACCUAAGAAUAAUAUUGUAAUUAGAAAAAAAAAUCUAAUAAGUAGGGUGGUCUUAUACAAAAUCAACUGUACUGUGAUGAGUUUCCUUUUGUUAAUAAUUUUAGUCUAAUUUCAAUUGUACUGUGAUCGCUUCUCAAGGUAAGUGAAAGUUACAGAUGUGGCAAAAUAAAUAAUUAAGUUAACAAAAUGCUAACUAAUUUUCCUCAAUACCUAGGGUUGUACAAUUUCACCAACCUGGAAGAAUUGACAUUAAUGGACUGGUCUCCUCCCCAUAUAAUUAUAAUCCUUCUAGAAAGCUAUUUUUUAUUAAAUAUUUGCUUUUAAGUUAAUUUCAAUUAAAAAAUGUUUUAAGUUAUAUAUACUCUAAUGAGAUUCUGAAUUCCUUUAUUCCAAUAAUAAUGAAAACGUAUUAAAUUAGAAAUGAAAAAAUUGGUGUUGAUGAUUCAACCUAUUUGGAUAGAUUACGUGAAUAAAAUUAAAAUUUUGAUUUAAUUUUUGUUUAUUGUUAAUUCUCAGGCUAUCUUAAUUUCAAGAAUUUAGAAUGUUAAUUUGGUCAUGGAUUUCAACCCGUGAGUGUCAUAUUCUAGACUUAAUGGUACCAUUCUUUGAUUGAGGGCAAUGACUCUCACUCCUCUUGUAAAAAAAUAUUUUCAACUAUUUUGAUGACUUAAAAAUUGAUAGAUUUAUUGUUGUCAUGACCAAAUUAUUCAUUUUAAUGAAAUAUAAUUAAUGCAUCAAAGUUACCAGGUUUAUGUUCUAUCUUAAUGCGCUUUUUUUUUUUUUUUCAGUUAUAGCUUCUGCUUACGUCUGUUUCAUUUUUUUUUAAUAAAAAAACAAGGGAAGGUUUUUCCGAGUCAUCCAUUAUUUGAUUACCGUCAAUCAAGAAAACAACCAAAUUAAUUUCUCUCCAAAAUUUCCAAAAGCUAGAAAAUUUUGUUAUUUGAAAAUAACAUCAUUAAUUAUAGAGUGGAUCAAACCGCGUUAUUGUCUUUCAUAAAAUUGAUGUCUUUUUAAGAGUCAAUACUUUUUAUUUACGCAAACCAGUCGACAUCACACAUAUACUCUUUAAUUUGAUAAAUGGUUACACAAAUUUUGUUUACAAAAAUAUAUUAUUCAUGUUCUGUAUUAUUUUUUAACAUCAUAUUUUUAUUUAUUAUAAUUGUUUAAAGUUAAUUGUUAGGUUGAUAUAUAAUAAAAACGUAUAAUCGUUCUCUUACUAAACACACAUACUCAUAGUUUCUGUUCAUUUGUCAUCUCAAUCUAUCUCAUUUAUCCUUUGUUGAUAGCUCAAAACGCGUCACUGUGGAAAAUUAUAGCAAAACGACAAAUAUGGAAAAAAAUGGGAAGAAAAUUAAUGCAUGAAAGAGUUGCAGAAGACAACCAAAUAAGUCAACUAUACGCUAGUUGGGUGUAUAAAUUGUUAGAUGUGUUAUAAACAAAUAGCAUAGAGCCUUGGUUGGUUACAGAGAUAGAAAAAGUGUGUGUGUUUUUUAGAACUUAAAGAUAUAGUUAGAAUGGGUGGUUCAAAAUCAAAAAUGGUGAUAAUGUUUGUUCUGUUAUUAAUAAUAUUAGAAGGUGGGUGGAGUGAAGGAUGUUUGGAUCACGAGAGAUUUGCUCUUUUGCGACUCAAACAUUUCUUCGAUGAUACUGGUAGUUAUCUUUACAACUGGGGAGAUGGUGAGGGAGCUACUGAUUGUUGUCAGUGGGAAAGGGUUGAGUGCAGCAACACCACAGGCCGAGUGAUAGCGCUAGACCUUUUUGGCACGUAUCGGCGAGAGUACAGCUGGUAUUUGAAUGCUUCUUUGUUUACUCCCUUCCAACAACUUGAGUCACUUGAUUUACAUGGCAAAAAUAUAGCUGGUUUUGUUGAGAAUGAAGGUGCUUCGUCUAAUUCAAUUAAAUUACAUUUCGCUCUCCUAAUUUAAGUCGAAUAUCAAGACUGAGCAGCUAUAUGCAUAUUCAUUCAAUUGACAAUUUUUACAUAUUUUUUAAAAUGUUUAAUUUUGAAAUUACACCAAACAUCAUAUGUGAUCUUUGUUUUGAUUUUACUUGCAGGUCUAGAAAGAUUGAGCAACUUGAAGAGGCUUGAUUUAAGUCAUAACUUGUUCAACAAUAGCAUCUUAUCAUCUGUGGCUCAUCUUUCAUCACUAACAUCAUUAGAUUUAUCUGAAAAUAGAUUGGAAGGAAGUAUUAAUGUUAAAGGUACGUAAUUAAAACGUCAUCGCUUUUCCCAACUCUUUCAUUAACAUGUUAAAAUAAGAUUCAAGGCUUUGAAUUCAAUUUUUUUUAUGAGUAAAUAUUAGAAAAAUAGUUUUAAGCAAUUCAUAAAUACAAUUUUCAAUGUUUCUCAUAAUUACUCUAACUGUGAAGCAAAUACCCCAUGACUAAUUUAUCAUUUUGUCCAGUUAAAAAUGAUAAAAUUUAUCAUUUGUUUAUAUUGAUUUAUUAACUCUAUUUUAAGUCUUAAGUCUUGGCGUCUUGGCAUGUUUGCAGAAUUUGAUUCCUUGAGCAACUUAGAGGAGUUGGACAUGAGCUACAAUGAAAUAGACAAUUUCGAGGUUCCUCAAGGUAAACAAUUAAAAUAUUAUUUAAUUACAUUAAUUUAAUUCGUUUGAUUAGGGAAGACCCAAAAUGUACAAAAACAUAAUUAAAAAAAAAUAAAGAAACAGAGAAUUCAUAUUAUUUCAAAAAACAAAAGGUAAUACUAUUAUUUCAAAAAAAGAAUGUAAUAAAGAUUUGAUUCCGGUUCUUUAAUCUUUAUAGCAAUUGAACAACAAUGUUGCUCUUUUCCUAAAGCAUAAAAUAUGAAAUGAGUCAUAAUUGAAUUAGUCAUUUAUUUUGUUUAGAUCUAAAUUUAGACAAUAAAUUUUGAUUUUUUUUUCAAUCCUAUCCUUAUUAUUAUUGUUAAACAGGUUACAGAGGUUUGAGGAAGUUGAAAAGCCUCUAUCUAUCGAAUGUUGGAGUUAGAGAUGGAAGCAAGUUGUUACAGUCUAUGGGAUCAUUCCCAUCCCUCAACACUCUUUACCUGAAGGAUAAUAAUUUUACCGAUAUAGCGACAACUACUACUCAAGGUAAGUAAAAGGUACAUAUGUGGCCAAAUUUAUAAAUAAAUUGUUAAUUAAUUAAUUUUUCCGUAUUAUUAAUAAAGCUAAAUUCGUCGCUCAUUCCUUCUAAUUCUAAACAGAGUUGGCAAUUUCACCAACUUGGAGUAUUUGACAUUGGACUUGUCCUCACUCCAUUUAAGCCUUCUGCAAUUGCUUGAAGAAUGAAUUUAUUUAUUUAUUUAUUAUUAUUAUUAUUGUUGUUGUUGUUGUUGUUGUUGUUGAAGUGAGGUGGGCAAGCGUUCACUCAAUUAAUAUGUGAGGAAUUAAUAAUUACAAUCCAAGGUAGAAUUGUGGAAAAUUAAAGCAAAAUGAGAAAUAUGGAAAGAAAGGAAGAAAGUUAAGGGCAUGAAAGACUAGGAGAAGACUAAAGACCACCAAAUAAGUCAACUGAAAACUAGCUGGGGCCUGGGUGUACAAAUUGUUAGAUGUGUUUGUUAUAAAUAACAUAGAGCCAUCUUGUUGGUUGCAGAGGCAGAGAGACACAGAGUGUGCAUUUUAUUAAUUAAAAAUAUAUAUAAAAUGGGUGGUUCAAAAUCCAAAAUGGUGAUAAUGUUAGUUUUGUUAGUAUUAAUAAUAUUAGAAGGGAGGUGGCGUGAGGGAUGUUUGGUGCAUGAGAGAUUUGGUCUUUCGAGACUUAAAACAUUUCUUCAAUUCUCCUUAUAAUUUUUGUCACGACUGACCGUUGUCAAUAGAAUGGGGCUGGGUGCAGGGUUGAUUUACGUUAGAACAAUAUAGCCGGUAGUGUUGAGAAUGAAGGUGUUUCAUUUAAUUUAAUUAAUUUACUUUCUCCCUCCUAAUUUAAGUGGAAUAUCAAGACAGAACAAUUAUAUGCAUCUUCGUUCAGUUGACAAUUUUGACAUAUUUUUUUAAGUGAUUAAUUUUGAAAUUACACCAAACAUUAUUUGUGAUCUCUGUUUUGACUUUACUUGCAGCGCUAGAGACGUUAUCAAGAUUGAGCAACUUGACGAUACUUGAUUUAAGUUAUAACUUGUUCAAUAAUAGCAUCUUGUCAUUUGUUGCCCGUCUUUCAUCAUUAACAUCAUUAGAUUUAUCUUACAAUGGAUUGGAAGGAAGUAUUAAUGUUAAAGGUACGUAAUUAAAACGUCAUCGCUUCUCCCAACUCUUCCAUUAACAUGCUAAAAUAAGAUUCAAGGCUUUGAAUUCAAUUUUUUUUUAUGAGUAAUAUUAGAAAAAUAGUUUUAAGCAAUUCAUAAAUACAAUUUUCAAUGUUUCUCAUAAUUUCAUCUUGUACUUUUGUAUGUCUUGACUUUAAGAUUAAAAAAAAAUUACUCUAACUGUGAAGCAAAUACCCCAUGACUAAUUUACAAUUUUGUCCAGUUAAAAAUGAUAAAAUUUAGGGAAAUUAUCAUUUGUAUACCCUUAGUUUACUCUAUUAUCAAAAAUACUACAACACUUUGAGGGUGUAUCAAUCGUCCACCCUAAGUUGACAAAAUGUAUUAGCCAACCACCAAACCGUUAGUUGCCGUUUAAAUAUGAUAACAUCAUAAGGGUAAUCUGGUCUUUUCAUAUGAUACAAGUGAUAAUUUAAGGGUAUACAAGUGAUAAAAAGAGAGUUUAAGGGAUACAAGUGAUAAUUUUCAAGGGUAAAAUCGUCAAUUUACUGUAAUUCCAUUAACUUUCAAACGGCAAUUAACAGUUUGGUGGUCGGUUGAUACAUUUCAUCAACUUAGGGUGGACGAUUGAUACACCCUUAAAGUGUUGUAGUAUUUUUGAUAAUAAAGCAAAUAUAGGGUAUACGAAUGAUAAUUUCCCUAAAAUUUAUCAUUUGUUUAUAUUGAUUUAUUAACUCUAUUUUAAGUCUUAAGUCUUAAGUCUUGGCAUGUUUGCAGAAUUUGAUUCCUUGAGCAACUUAGAGGAGUUGGACAUGAGCGGCAAUGAAAUAGACAAUUUCAAGGUUCCUCAAGGUAAACAAUUAAAAUAUUAUUUAAUUACAUUAAUUUAAUUCGUUUGAUUAGGGAAGACCCAAAAUGUACAAAAACAUAAUUAAAAAAAAAUAAAGAAACAGAGAAUUCAUAUUAUUUCAAAAAACAAAAGGUAAUACUAUUAUUUCAAAAAAAGAAUGUAAUAAAGAUUUGAUUCCGGUUCUUUAAUCUUUAUAGCAAUUGAAAAACAAUGUUGCUCUUUUCCUAAAGCAUAAAAUAUGAAAUGAGUCAUAAUUGAAUUAGUCAUUUAUUUUGUUUAGAUCUAAAUUUAGACAAUAAAUUUUGAUUUUUUUUUCAAUUCUAUCCUUAUUAUUAUUGUUAAACAGGUUACAGAGGUUUGAGGAAGUUGAAAAGCCUCUAUCUAUCGAAUGUUGGAGUUAGAGAUGGAAGCAAGUUGUUACAGUCUAUGGGAUCAUUCCCAUCCCUCAACACUCUUUACCUGAAGGAUAAUAAUUUUACCGAUAUAGCGACAACUACUACUCAAGGUAAGUAAAAGGUACAGAUGUGGCCAAAUUUAUAAAUAAACUGUUAAUUAAUUAAUUUUCUGUAUUAUUAAUAAAGCUAAAUUUUUGCUCAUUCCCUCUAAUUCUAAACAGAGUUGCACAAUUUCACCAACUUGGAAUAUUUGACAUUGCACGGUUCCUCUCUCCAUAUAAGCCUUCUGCAAAGCAUUGCAUCAAUAUUCCCUUCGUUAAAAAAUCUGUCGAUAUCUUAUUGUGAAGUCAAUGGUGUCGUACAUGGUCAAGGUAAAAGAAAAGUGUUGGUUGUGCACUCACUGAGUGUUGUCCUACGUAUUCAAUAUUUUUAUUUAUUUAUUUUAUUGUUUAAUGUUUCUGCUAGGUUUUCCUCAUUUCAAGAGUUUGGAACAUUUGGGCAUGAUGUCCACGCGCAUUGCACUCAACACCAACUUUCUUCAAGUCAUCAGUGAAUCGAUGCCUUCUCUUAAGUACUUAUCACUGUCAUAUUCUACUCUUGGCACUAACAGCAGCAGGAUUCUUGAUCGAGGUUAAUCAGAUGCUCCCACCCUCCAUUCUUAAUCUAUAAUAUUAAUUUUCAGUUAAAUAUUUAAUUACACAAACCAAUCACUUAUUAUAAAAGAACAAUACGCAUUCAUUAAUUUUUAUAUUAUAUUAAUUGAUGAAUUUAAUAAAUUCCAGGCCUCUGUUCGCCGGUGCAUCUGCAAGAGUUAUACAUUGGUUCUAACGAUUUAAGAGGUAGCUUGCCUUGGUGCAUGACAAAUUUGACAUCCCUCCGAAUAUUAGAUGUUUCUUCCAAUCAACUUACUGGAAGCAUCUCCUCGUCUCCCCUCAUUCAUUUGACAUCCAUUGAAAAGCUGUAUCUUUCAAACAAUCACUUCCAGAUCCCAAUUUCACUUGAACCACUUUUCAAUCAUUCAAGACUCAAGACUUUUUAUGCUGACAACAACGAACUAAAUGCAGAAAUAACUCAGUCACAUUCUUUGACCGCCCCAAACUUCCAAUUAUCACGUCUCUCAUUGUCUUCCGGUUAUGAAGAUGGCGUCACAUUCCCCAAAUUCCUUUACCAUCAACAUGAUCUGGAGACUGUUGAGCUCUCACAUAUAAAGAUGAAUGGAGAAUUUCCAACUUGGUUGUUGGAAAACAACACAAAAUUGAGACAACUUUCUCUCGUCAAUGAUUCUCUUGGAGGACCUUUCCGGUUGCCAAUUCAUUCACACAAGCGGUUAGGAAUGUUGGAUAUAUCCAACAACAACUUCCGAGGCCACAUUCCAAUAGAAAUUGGAGAUGUUUUACCAAGUCUAUACCUUUUCAACAAUUCCAUGAAUGCUUUAGACGGUAGCAUUCCCUCUUCAUUUGGUAAUAUGAAAUUCCUCCAAAUUCUGGACUUAUCCAACAAUCACUUGACUGGUGAAAUCCCCGAGCACUUGGCCGUUGGUUGCGUCAACUUGCAGUCUCUUGCAUUAUCAAAUAACAACCUACAAGGUCACAUGUUCUCUAGAAAUUUUAACUUGAUAAACUUGAAAUGGUUACAAUUGGAGGGCAAUCGCUUCAUAGGUGAGAUCCCACAAAGUUUGUCUAAAUGCUCCUCACUAGAAGGAUUGUAUCUUAACAAUAAUAGUCUUUCGGGUAAGAUUCCACGAUGGUUGGGUAAUCUCACAUGGUUACAAUAUAUUAUAAUGCCCAAUAAUCAUCUUGAAGGCCCUAUUCCAGUGGAGUUUUGUCAGCUUGAUUUGCUUCAGAUUUUGGACAUUUCAGACAACAACAUAUCUGGAAGUUUACCAUCUUGUUUCCAUCCUCUCUCUAUCAAACAAGUUCAUCUUUCAAAAAAUAUGUUACAUGGACAGCUAAAAAGAGGUACAUUCUUUAAUUGCUCUUCCCUUGUGAUAUUAGAUCUUAGCUAUAAUCGCUUGAAUGGCAGCAUUCCGGAUUGGGUUGAUGGGCUUUCUCAGUUAAGCCACCUUAUCUUAGGUCAUAAUAAUCUUGAAGGUGAAGUGCUAGUUCAAUUGUGCGAAUUGAACCAACUACAAUUGUUAGAUCUUUCUAAUAAUAAUCUUCACGGUCCUAUUCCUCCUUGCUUUGAUAACACCACACUUUAUGAAAGUUACAGCAAUAGUUCUAGUCUUGAUGAGCAAUUUGAAAUAUUUUUUUCCAUCGAAAGCCCUCAGGGAAAUGUAGAAAAGCAAAUCCAUGAAAUUUUUGAGUUCACAACAAAGAACAUUGUGUACAUUUACCAAGGAAAAGUGCUUAGCCUCCUAUCAGGACUUGAUCUUUCUUGCAACAAGCUAAUUGGUCCUAUUCCUCCUCAAAUUGGAAAUUUGACAAGGAUUCAAACAUUGAAUCUAUCACACAACGACUUGAUAGGAUUGAUCCCAUCAACAUUUUCAAACUUGAAGCAUGUCGAAAGUUUGGAUCUUUCCAACAACAAAUUGAAUGGGAAAAUCCCUCAUCAACUAGUGGAGUUAAAGACAUUGGAGGUUUUCAGUGUGGCAUACAAUAACUUAUCAGGCGAAAUUCCAGAAUGGACUGCACAAUUUGCAACCUUCAAUGAGAGUAGCUAUGAGGGAAAUACUUUUCUUUGUGGAUUGCCAUUGCCCAUUUGCAGAUCACCAGCAACUAUGUCGGAGGCUUCAAUUGGCAAUGAACGAGAUGAUAAUUUAAUUGACAUGGACAAUUUCUUUAUCACAUUUACAACAUCGUACGUAAUUGUGAUAUUUGCAAUUGUUAUUAUUUUAUAUGUAAAUUCUUAUUGGCGACGUAGAUGGUUUUACUUUGUUGAAAUGUGGAUAACUUCAUCUUACUAUUUUGUUGUAGACAAUCUUAUUCCAACAAGAUUUUAUCAUUGAAAUUAAUUAGUAGUUUAAUUACGAUUCUUUAAGUACUAAUCAAGUUUGUUUAGGAAAUAUUUUUUUAUUAAAAUUGUAGUAGUAUUUAGCAUUAUAUAGCUUCCAACUUCCAAGCACUUCACAUUUGUCUCUACACUUAAAAAACUGAGUGAUCAUGUUUUGCAGAUCUGGAUUUGGAGCAGGAUGGAUCCAAACCCAUAUCUGUCCACCGUAACUUAUAGCUUCCCUAUACUGUGCAGCAUACUUAAAUAAGAGAACCAUCUCCAAUGUUAAAAGCAUUCACUCUAUAACAUUCAUUUAGAAACUAUAUUCAGAAUAAUUUUAUAAUUAAACACAAGAAAUGAAACACACAGAUACACUUGAUCGCCUAUUUUACUCUAAAAAAGAACGAUUAUUGUGCUAUCAUCAUCUUCUUCACUAGCAACAUUAACACCAAAUCGAUGGACCCAUACAUUUCAUCAAGAAAGGUCUAUAUCCAAUAAAGUUGAAGCCUAACAAAAAAUUCAAGAAGAUUCAUGCCUCGCCACAACAAGGGGCACAACAACAUCAAAGUAGAGAUUAAGCAGUAUUCUCAAAGCUAAAACUCUCAAAUCCACCCACCAGAAUUUCAUAUCUCCUCAACAAUUUUAAGAACUAAAGAUAAUUAGGAUUUAACAUUAGUUUUUUAUAUAUUAGUUUCAUAAUUUACAAAUCAAUGAAGAUGAAGAUUAUGCUAAUAAAUUCAAAUUAUACCAUACAUUCUCUAGAUGUUACCAAAAAUUUCUAAGUCAAUCCCACAUAUUUCAUAAUUUUAAGACUAGAAAAUUUCACUAGUUAGAAGUUUCAUUACCUUCAAGUGGAAGAUGAAGAACAUUAUACAAGUGAUUCAGAUUAUAUCAUACAUACUCCAAAUGCAACUAGAAAUUAACAAGUUCAUGCACACAUAUUUCAUAACAUUAUGAUUGAAAAGUUUCACAGAGAAAUUCUAAAUUCAAUCUCUUGCAUGAAGGCAAUUUGAUUGAUUUGAGUUACUUUCUUAUCAAGCUACUAAUAUAACAUUCAAGUCAGGGAGAAAAUAAAUUAAAACUGGGAAGAAAUAACAGUAAAAAUUUGUUGCUCAACAUGAUGUGUAUUUUUUUUCAAGGCAAUUUGGAAACACAAUUGUUACCACAGAUAUUCUUCUCAACUUGGAGAUAAAUACAAAUAUUAAAAUGCAUAUGAUCGCACAUACUACUUCGAGUUUAGUAAGAUUUCAUUAAAAGAAGCAAUCAAACCACUUAUCAAUUGUCGCAGUCGUUCUAUAAACUAAAAUAGCAAUAUAAUACAAGAAAAAGAACAUAUAGAUACUUGGCAAGAGUUCAUUAAGAAGUCACAUCACAUUCAGGUGAGGAGUUUGCUUCUGAUAUCUUGCUAGCUGGGGCUUUUUCUUGUCUUUCUACGUAUGCCGAGGGAAACCAACCAGCUUGGCCCUUGCAUUCACCUUCCGACCAUCCAAUAGGAGCCACCUUGAGAAGUUAUAACUAAAAUGGUGAAUUAAACAAAAGUUGACCGUUCAAAGACCUAAGGGGAAAACUAAUUCUUUUACGUAGGAGGAGUGAAUUAGUUGUGAUCACUGAAAUAACAGCAUAACUAUGGAAGCAUAACAAGAUAUAAAUUCACACGUCUAUAAGGGUAAACUGGGUGGUUGAGAACUGAGCUAGCAACCCUACUAUAUUCUGAUUUGCACUUCAAUGUAAAAGGGAAUAUAUGGUAGGAAGAAAGAAAACCAACCAUCAUUUGUUAACUCAUUGCUUUUCAAUCAAAAUUUUAAGAACAAAAUGCCAUGUGCUUUGAACAUCAAAUAAGUAUAAGCAUUAGUUCUAAAUUCCACAUAUCAUAAGUUGUUAGAAGGAUAAGUUAAUAGCAGAGUAGAAAAAUCUAUGUGUUGGUAUUUAGAGGGGAAAGUACCUGGCGAACCACAACAUAAUCAUCAAUUGAAAGACUUAGCUCUCCAUUUGCUUGAGCAUCAAAUGGAUGUAUAACCUGCAAGAUAAUGGGAUAAAUAGAACAUAAAAAAAGCAUAACAAAAGCGGCAACAGUAGCAGCAACGUUCAUUGUAACCACUAUGAUCAUGGCCAACAAAGAUAUAUUAGAAACAAAAUUCCAUUUUUACUACGACAUUAAUAUGUACUAUACGAUAUCAUGACGAUUGGGUUACUAAGAGCUAUCAAAGUCUAAUAAGUUCUGUAUAACUUUAUGUAGUUAUUUAAAUUAUGGAUCAGAUUUUAAAUUUGAAAUUUUGACUGCUCUCCACAAAACAUGGCCUAUGCACAAGAAAGUCAUAGAUAAUGAGGAUUACAAGUGUCCGACAUCUUUUGAGUGAUGGAUUUAACAUGAGAGCUUAUGGUCAGUCAAUUUCCUCUGCCUAGCAAUAUAAGCUUUCUCGGCCAGAUUUAUCAUCAAAUACAUAGAUUGCCCCCAAGUCACAUCCAUAUAAACAUAGUUUUUCUAGGUAAACCAAGUAAGGAGUAUCAUAAUUCAGACAUAAUCAUAAAAAGGCCCAUCUAACUUAAGAGAAAAUCUCAAAAAGAGGGAUGCUGAGCUAUCAGUCUUGUAUCUAUAAGCAAUAUCAAGACUUUACGUCACCUGCUACAUCGUGAGUGGCUACACAACUUUCAGUGGUUUGUCUUUCUUUGGCACGCCUAACUCAGCUUUGAUGUUGCUGAGAUAUUGAUAGUAGAGACACAUGAUACUUCUAGCUCAUGCAUUCUAUCUAACUCAUCCAACAACUAUCUCUUUUUUAAUUCAUUAGUGUUUGCUAAACCUCAUGCUUAAAAGUCCUGUUCUCCUAAACAAAGUUUCCUAAGAAUGACUUCCUUAGCACCACAGUUGGACACUUUUAGAGCAAUUUUAUUUGGGGGAAAAGAAUUUUCAAGGUGUUAACUAAUAAAUUUUAAAAAAUAAUUACAAUUUGUCCUACGAUCAUAUGACAAUUUAUCUGGGAUGAAAGGAUACAGAUAGACAUCUUCCACUUUCAAGACUAAUCACUACUUCCGUAGAUGUUGUGCAAUAAUACAAAUACUUGACCAGAUGGUAGAAAAAAAUUUUAUUGCUCCAAAAUUAAAAUAAGAAUGCAAUAUGUUAAGCAAAAGGCUGUGCAACAUCAAAUUAAUUGAUAAGUUUGUAAUUCAGUAAAUUAACAACUUUCAUGGUAAAAUACAACAAAUUUCUUUUGAAAAAAAAUAAAUAAAUCUUAAAAGACAACAUUCAAUUUUGUGUACAUCUUAUUUCUUAAGAUUUUUCAGGAGGAGGGCAAUAGAGGGACUUUCACCUAUGCAAGAGAGCAGAAGCCUUACUUUCCCUAUAAAGUAGACGUCAUUCUGAUUAAUAUGCGUUUGCAAAUCAGCUCCGUUUGAAUCAGUAUUCUGAUAGACACACGAGGCAUUUACAUCCAUUUCCAAAGUCACAUGUUGCGAGGAGGACUCAUUUGAUUGCUCCUAUACGAUCAUCUAAUUCAAGUAGCAAGGGUUGGAAGAGAAUAAAAAGUCACAAUUAUUCUUUUGCAUAAGUGAGACGAAAAUGAUAAAUGCAAUAUUAUCAGCAGUAAACAAGAAGAGAACGCUCCAAGAAAUAGAUAGAUGCAGACAGGCAAGUUAAAAUGCAUAGUCCCAAACCUCCGCAUACAACUUCUCUAAAAUAGCAAUAACGUGUUGAUGCUAUGUUUUCUCAGCAUCUACCUGCAAAGGCCCGAGACCAGGAAAACAACAAUAAAGGAGAAAGUAAAGAAAGAAAUACACUUGACAUAAAUCUUGAAAAGAAGCACAAUUUAAGACAUAACAAACCCCAAUCAUAUUGUUUAGAACUACCAUUCGUUAUUUCGUUAUUGUAGCAUUUCGAACAAGCGUUGACUUAAUUCAACAUUGUUGGAAAGAUAGGCUUUUAGAAGCGGAAGAAAGCCACUCAAACCAAAGUGAUUGUCCUUGUAUUGAUCAAGGGAUGUAAACAUAUUACAUUUGCAGGAUGAGUUUUAAUCACUCCCCUGAUUUAUUUGGGAUGCAGUAAAACUAAGCGAGCAACUGUUUGACUUUCAAGCAACAUCUAAAUCAGCUAUUAAAAUUCAAAUAAAAUUAUAAUAGAAUAAUAACAGGCCAUCUUGCAUCAAAAAUUAAGUUUAAUUUGUGAAUUUUUUUCUAUAGACAUGUUAGUUCCUGCUAUUGAAAUGUUAAAAGCAUUGAAAAAUUAUUCAAUAAAUUAUGCAAACAUUAAAAUAGAGGACAUAUUAAAAAGUUUCUAAUUACAAUGUUAAGAUUUCCUAUAUUUUAGCAUUUGCAUAUUUUAAUUUAUUUAAAAGCUACGUAGAUCAACUUUGGGCAUGAAGAUUUUAGCUUCUACGAGACUUGAUUGGAAUAUGCAUAAGGAAGUGUGUUAAAAUAUGAUGCAUCCAACGAAAGACAAACCACGUGUAGUCUUUUAAUUAAGCCAAAGUAGCAGCUCAAACAAAUGACACUUGGACCAACAUGCAAUCAUGAAGUGGCCGGAAAAAGGACAAAUGCAACUUUGGCUUAAAUAAAAAAUAACAUGUGACUCGACUUUUGCUGGACAUGCAUCAUGUUAUUACAAGACAACAAAAAUCAGUAUGAUAGUACUAAAAGUUGACAAUAACAUGAAGAUAAGAGGCAGAAUGUCAACACAUGCAUAGGCACACACAAGAAAGUAUUAACGUAUAUACCAUAGCAAAAAGUAUUUGAUAUGUCAUCUGUUGCUGCUGUGAUUCAACUGACAGCAUGGCAGCUGUUGCUUCUCUACCAAGAGCCAUUAUUGUAGAUUUAAGCUCGGUCAAUCUUGCUUCUGCAUUUCGAAGCUUCACAGCACUCUCUGCUGAUAUAUCAGAUUCCCUAAUCUUUGAUCGGUGCCUAAAUACUUCAGCUGCCUGGUGAAAAUAUUCAAUAUAAAUCUAAUAUAAUUCUCAUCUUGCCUUAUGCAUGCAUAUGUUACCUCAAAGCUUACCUGGGCUUCAACUUCAUGUCGAAGUUUGUCAUAACGAUGAGUCAGGUGUCGAGCAUCUUCCAAAGGUGCUCCGUUGAUUAACGCCCGUAGUGGCUCAGAUACCUACAUGUCCAAAAACCUGUAACAUAGUUAGAAAAAUGAAAAGAAAGAGCGAAACCUCAAUUAAAAAGUUCCUCCAACAUAAUCAUGGAAUUUGGGCCUACUUCAAGGAUAUAUAUAUAAGGAUAAUUUAUGCAAUUUUGGGUCUUAGGAUGAUUCAUAUUAGGUUAGUGUUCUUCUCUUCUGUAUUUAAGGUUAAAAUAGAAAUAAACCUAUGCAAAUAUAUAAAUUAGGGCUGUAAGACUUCCACAUGCAUCCUUCAGUCUCAUGGAUUUGAUUUUACUAUAGAUGCAAGUGUCUUUAUCGAAAAUGCUUGGAGUCAAUUGAGAGAACUCACGGCCAAUAACUUGUCACACGCUAGUCUUUGCUAGUGAUGUAAGAAGUCACAAGGUCUCUUCAGCAUUUGAACCAAUAAAAUUAUUAAGUCAUGGAUGUCACUAGCAAUGAUUUUAAUAUAAAAUAUUAAAUAUUUCAAGUUGUAACUUUAAAAUGGAUUCUUUUAUUCAAUAUCUUAGAACUAAGUUUCCUUAUGAGAAGAUAAUAGUUUCAGUAGUAAUGUACAUAUAAUUUUCUAUAUUUGAAUUAUUUUCUAGUUAGGGAUGAACUAACCUGAUCACGAAGAAUCCCAAGCAAAGUUUCCCUCUCAUUUUCCAUCAAAUCAUGUGAAGUGCCAAAUUGAAGAGCAGCUCUUGCAACGCAAGAAUUGUCACUUUGAUUCUCCACUCCAUACUUGCAACAAUCUUCGGCCAACUUUCUCGCUACAAUAUUUGAAUACAAAAAUAUUGUACACAAGAACUAGUCAAGAAAAUUAAAAAAAAAAUCAAAUAUUAUAACGAGAGCAAGAGCAAACGAACAACCUAUUUCCAUUUGUUUCAAGCUUACUGCAACAAACACUUCAACGCCACGGACAACAUUCCUCUGACAAUAUUCCAAAUUAUUGUUCAGAUAAAACCAUAGAAACCAUCAUAAUUGUUCAACAUACAUUAAGCUAAAGGAGGAUGGUGCCUUAGCUGCCCUGGUGGAAUUGUAUAGAUUUUGAAGUUGUUGGUGACACUCAAUUUCAGAUUCAUCAACCGCAACAUUUUCAAUACCAAGAUGGAGCAGAUGCUUCAAUACUGCCUGUACAAAUCAUAAAAAACUAAUGAAAAAUAAAUAAAAUCGAGAAAUUUCACUAACUAAAAGUCUAAAUAUAAUUUUUUUAAAAAGAAAAGAAACGGACUUGCUGCUGCUUGGCGACUUGUUCUCGGAGCUUGAUUGCCUGUUUCUUGAUAGCUUCCAUACUGUUUCUUUCAAAAAGCGACGACGGCUCAGCUCAUGGAGGUGGAAAAAAAAAGUGUGAUCGGGAAAAAUAAAAAGGCAUGAAUAAUUUUUGAAAAAAAGCGAAAAUCAAGGAAAGCCAGCUCUUUCCAGAAAAUAAAAAAAGAAAAAAGAAAAAAGAAAAUUAUAAGUUUGAAAGGAGAAGAUGAUUGUGGAAGUGUGCGGUGUGGCUGACAGCUACUUGGAUUGUAUUGUCGGGUAAGGUAAUAGUAGAGAAUUUUUUUUUUUUAAGAAAAAUAGUAGAGAAUUUUUUAAGAAGCUAGAACAGAGCAUGACAUUAGACUUUUGUUGACCAAAGGAUGUUGUUUUAUUCUUCUUAUACUUUACGUUUGGUUUGGUUUUUCAAACUAAAUAAUCAAGUAGCAAAAAUACAAAUUUAGAGAUUAGGGGGUGAACUAGCUAGGUGGUUUACAAAUAUUCCUAUUUGUAAGGUGAAUUAAUUGAAUCAUGAGAAAACAAUGUGACCAUAGCUCAAUAUGAGAUGAUUUCGGAGAGGCAUAUUGUUUUCAAGUGAAUUUGAUCCAUUAAGAGAUGAAGUGGAUUGAAGUGGAAAGUUUAAAUAACAAAUCCUUGUUCUUGAGUUUUACGACGUUGUUACUCCUUCAGGUGGCAGAUUAUGCAAGUGAAUUCAAAAACACAAUGCAUCAAUCACGGGGAUGCUACAUCAAAAGACGGGAUCAUAGUCUAUGCAUUGAACAGUUACAGUUGCUGCUACCAAUUGCCUCGGCAAAGAUCAAGAAGACUGAACGGGAAGUUAAUGCCAUCAAGGAGUUGUCUAGUGUUCUUUUCCUUAUGCUAUGAUCGGUGCUCUUGAGGCUGCCCUGAAACACAGGAAAAUACUUCGAUAUCCUCCAUUCGAUGAUGCAAAGAACCGGUUAAUGUAUGAUUACCUAAUUGACUCAGGAUCAGGUAACAACAACAACAAUUUAUUAAUAGUAAUAUCACAAACGAAGAAGAUUUCGGAGAGGGAGAUGUAAGCGUAUACUGUUUACAGGUUUGAUCCACUGGGGAUGAAGUGGUCUCAAGUGGAAAGUGAUUUAUUAAACAACAAAUCAUUGUUCUUGGGUUAUACCUCAUGAUGUCAUCAAGUGGAAGAUGAAGAUCGUUUGAUAUUGAAGAAUUUGAACAGAAAGCCCAUAGAAAGUACUUAAAUAAGCAUAUUCUUGUUGGGGUAGAAUAUUAAGAAAGGAGUUGUCUACUGUGUGUUGCGUAAUUAUGCUAUGAUCGGUGCUUUCAACAUUGCCCUGAAAACAGUGGGAAAUACUUCAUACCCUCGACAUGAUGAUGAAAAAUUGGUUACCGAUUACCUAAUUGACUCAGGUGACAACAAUCCAUUAAUAGCACAAUUUGACGUGAUGCCGUUUAGGUAUAUGGUUUUCAAGUUUGAUUCAUCAGUGAUGAAGCGGACUAAAAUUAAAAGUUUAAAUGAUAAGUCAUUGUUCUUGGGCAUAUCGUCAUUACUACUUCCAGUGAUCAACGAUGAAGAUGAAGAUGAAAAUUGUGCGAGUUCAAGAUUACCAUUUAUCAUUACUUGGGAUAUUACUUCAACAUAGAUGGGGUUAUAAUUUACUCCCACGAACAUCAACUCAACUUUAUGAUUGGAGUGUCUCACCGUGACUCAGACAAAUUCUGAUUCAACCUCCUUCACCAAUGGAUUUUGAUUAGUUAUUUUGUGAUCAAGCAACUUAAUUAAACUCACAGUUUGUUAGUCUAAUUUUAGUUUUACUGUGACCACUAUUCAAGGUAAGCGAAAGUUACAGAUGUGGCAAAAUCAAUAAUUAAAUUCAUAAAAUGUUAAAAAAUAAAACUUAUAAAUGUUGCAUGACUACUUACUAAUAAAUAAAUAAGUUAGAAUGUAGUUAGUUAAUUUUACACCAUAUUAUAUAUUAUUCGAUAAUAAUAUAAAAUAAAAAUAAUUAAAAAAUAAAUAAUUGAAUAAAUAAAUAUGGCUUUCUAAACAGUAAAAAUUCUAGAGUUAAAAUUUAUAUUAUUAUUUUAUUUUUUAAAAUUGACAUUUUUCUAUUGUCUUACAUGUACAAAGAUUUUGAGAGUUGAGAAGAAUAUAUUUAAUGAAGCUUGAUAACAUUUGAUGGGAUAGCAAGUAAGGGUAAAUAAGAUAUUUUUAUUUGUUAUUUAUUUGAAUUAUAUCUAUUUGUUCAAGUUAAAAUACUAAAUAUAAAUUGGAGGUAGACAUUUUAACAGAUCAUCUAAGCUCUCAAAUCUGAAAUUUUGUGUAGAUUUAAAUUCAUAAUCCCCAAUUAUUUGAUCAGCAACUAUCAAGAACUAACCAAAUUUAUUUCUUCAUGACUUCCAAACACUAGAAAAUUUUGUUAUUUGAUAAUAAUAUCAUUAAUUAGAGUUUAUCAAACCGCAUUAUUUUCUUUCAUAAAAUUGAUGCCUAUUAGUGUCACACUUUAUUUGUAUUACCUAGCGGACAUCAACUUUUUUUUUAAUUUUUUAAAUUAAAAAGACCAUUUGAUUUUAACCCAUGUUCUUGGCCUUAGGGAAGCUGACUUCUUUUAUAGUCAGGCGAUGAGUUAAGAAGUGACAUAGCAUUCAGGCGAUGAGUUUAUUUUUGUUAUCUUGCUAACAGUUUUAGUCUAAUUUUAGUUUUACUGUGACCACUAUUCAAGGUAAGCGAAAGUUACAGAUGUGGCAAAAUCAAUAAUUAAAUUCACAAAAUGUUAACUAAUUAAAUUCAUAGAGUUGCACAAUUUCAUCAACUUGGAAGAAUUGACUUUAAUGGACUGGCCUUCUCCCCCUAUAAUUCUAAUGCUUCUAGGAAGCAAAUUUUUAUAAAUUAUUUAUUUUUGAGUUAAUUUCAAUUUCAAAAAACAAAUUUUUUAAGUUAUUGAUACUCUAAUGAGAGUAUCUUCAUAACAAUUCCCUUGCUCCAAUAAUAACAAAAAGGUGGUUACUUAGAAAUAAUUAAAAUAAAUAAGUGUUGAUUAUAUAUCCUAAUUUGCAUCGAUUUUUUUUUACCUUAAUUUCAGGAAUUUGGAAUAUAAGUUUGUGAAUGGAGGAUGAUCACGCGUGUGUUAAUUUUUCAGUCAUUGACUGUCGUAUUCUCGACUUAACGAUAGUGUUCUUGAUCAAGGGCAAUGACUCCCACCCCUCUUUUAAAAAUAUUGUCAAGUAUAUUGAUGACAAAAUCUCUUAUAGUUAAUAGUCUUUAAAAAUUUAUAGAUUUACUAUUGUCAUGACCAAAUUAUUCAUGUUUAAUGAAAUAUUAAUGCAUCAAAAUAGAUAUCUUCGGAAUCUAAUCCGAUCGGCUCAAUCCGUUUCAUUCGCAAAAGUGCAAUCCGCAAAAAUUUGAUCUGUGGAUUAGUGGAUUGGAUUGGAUUGAAAGUUUAAAAAUCCAUAGUCGAUAAAUUGGAUAUCGAUUUACUUCUCUAAAUAUGCAAAAAUUCAUGAAUUCGCAAAAAAAAAAAAUGUAUUUACUAAUAAAUAAAUAAGUUAAAAUGUAGUUAGUUAAUUUAACACCAUAUUAUAUCUUAUUCGAUAAUAAUAUAAAAUAAAAAUAAUUAAAAAAUGAAUAAUUGGAUAAAUAAAUAUGACUUUCUAAACAGUAAAACUUCUAGAGUUAAAAUUUAUAUUGUUAUUCUAUUUUUUUAAAUUGACAUUUUUCUAUUGUCUUACAUGUACAGAGAUUUUGAGAGUUGAAAAGAAUAUAUUUAAAUAAAAUAUUUUUAUUUGUUAUUUAUUUCAAUUAUAUCUAUUUUGUUCAAGUUAAAAUACUAAAUAUAAAUUGGAGGUAGGCAUUUUAACAGAUCAUCUAAGCUCUCAAAUCUGAAAUUUGUGUAGAUUUAAAUUCAUAAUUUUAGUUAAUUUUCAUAUAUUCAUAUAAACAAAUUUAUGAGAUUUUUUUCUUUUCAACAUGUUAUAUUUUUAAACUUUCAAUGUAUUAUUUUAGCUAUAUUUAAACAAUUAAUUUAUUUAAUUUUAAAUUUGAUCAGUAUAAAAUGUUUUUAUAUCAAAUUUUUUUAUUUAAAUAGUUCGUGGAUUGGACAAAAUUAAACAUUUUUAAUUCUUAAAUGAUGGAUUGGAUAUGAAUUGGAUCAAAUCCACAUUCGAUCCGCAGUUAUAUGGAUUGAAUUUGAAUUGAAUUUCAUCAAUCUAUGGAUUAUAUUGGAUUAAAAAUUUAUAAUCCACAAAAUCGUUGAUUAGAUAUGGAUUGAUGUCCAAUUCGCAAAAUCUAAUUGCCGAACACUCCACUAUCAAAAUUUUCAAAAAUAUGUUUUAUCCUAUAAUUUUUUUUUAAAGUCAUAGUCUAAUGGCAGCUCAAUUUCUACUGCAUUCAUAUAAGCGGAGUUCAAAUCUCAUACCUCUUAUCUCCACACGAGAUUUAACCAGUUGAAAUAGCUAGCACCCACAAAUAUACUAGUACAGCAUCUCUUAACGUUUAACAUACGUAUAAUUAACGCCAUAGCUAUUGAUAAACACAUUGUUCAAUAUAUAUGAUCAAGAAUCUGAUCCUGCGAGCAACAGCAGUAAGAAGAACCAUUAUAAUGCCUAGCUCUUAUCCCGGUUAAUCCUCUGGCCCGAUGCUUCAUCAUAGUGAUUUAAAAAACAAACAACAGCUCUCUAAAAGAGAUGAAGAUAUCAUCUACGUAAAGAACAUGAAACGGAGAUUCACAACCCAUAAGAACUGAGAUAAAUUGGACCAGACCGGUAAUCUUGAGAUAAGUUAAACUGUGACCUAAGUUGAAAUCAGAGGACCAGAAUUUUAAAAUCUUUCGGCUAAGCCCCUGAGCAAUUUUCUAGAGUACGGCUUCUGCUUACCUCUGUUUAAUUUCUCUUUAUAUUUUUCUUUCAUUUCAUUAAUAAAGUCAAAUAAUAAAUCAAAGAACGAGGGAAGAUUUUUCCAAGUCAUGCAUUAUUUGAUUACCAUCAAUCAAGAAACCGACCAAAUUAAUUUCUCUCCGUGAUUUUUAAAAAUUAAAAAAAAAAUUAUUUGAACAUAACAUCAUUAAUUAUAGAGUGGAUCAAACUGCGUUAAUCAUGAAACUGAUACCUAUUAAGAGUCAAACUUUUUACUUAUGCAUACUAAAAGACAUCAAAUUGUUCCGAUCCCCAAUUAUUUGAUCAGCAACUAUCAAGAACUGACCAAAUUUAUUUCUUCAUGACUUCCAAACACUAGAAAAUUUUGUUAUUUGAUAAUAAUAUCAUUAAUUAGAGUUUAUCAAACCGCAUUAUUUUCUUUCAUAAAAUUGAUGCCUAUUAGUGUCACACUUUAUUUGUAUUACCUAGCGGACAUCAACUUUUUUUUUAAUUUUUUUAAAUUAAAAAGACCAUUUGAUUUUAACCCAUGUUCUUGGCCUUAGGGAAGCUGACUUCUUUUAUAGGUGAUAUCUGCUUGAACUUUGGUGUGUUAAUUAUUUCAAUCCCCAAUUAUGUAAUUUUUUAAAUUAUAGCCUAACGGCGGUCUCAUCACCACGUGUGUGAUUUUCUUUUGCCAAUAGGAUCUGCAGAGAGCUUGAUCUCAUCCAAUAGCAAAAUAAACUUCCUAAUAAGUGAAGGUAUAGUAUAAAUAUUUCACCCCCAUAUUAUUUAUUAGCAGCUUGAUUAUUUUAUAUGCAUCUUUGAUUUUAAUUUUUUUUCCCAUAAUUGCUACUAUGUUCGAACUGGUCAUGAAUUAUCUAUAAGAUUUUUCAUGUUGCUUUUAGGUGCAUUGGAUUUUUUGAGUUUAGUGCAAGAGUAGAGGAAGGCAAAUUAAGAAAAAGGAUAAAGAUCUAUGAUUAGCUAUUUUGGGAUGUCUCAUAACAUAUUGAUGCUAACAUUAUACAUAUGUAUAUCUAAAUAAUGGGCUUGGAUCAAGAGCCCAUUAAUAAUCAUAGAUUAGCUUAUAUAGUUCAAAAAAUGUACCAUAAAGCAAUUUUACAAGCACUUGUUAGCCUAUGUUGAGCUUUAUUAUCAAUAGUUCAUAGUUCAUCAGUGCACUGCAAGUUUACUAUUUGAAGUAAAUGUUGUGGUGCGUGCAUUCUUCAUAAGGCCAACUAUUGAAUUUAGCAUUGAAACUUACAAAAUGUAAUAGAAAGAGGUAGAUAACAGCCAUAAAACACUAAGAUUGGAAAUCAGGGCAACUAAAUACUAUUACAAGCCCUUAGAAAAGACAGCGAUCAUCCUGAAAUAUAUAUACUGAAAGUAAGAAAUGUUAAUCGCAAAGUUAUGUGCCAACAGAACUAUUGACUACUUGUCUCUAGUAGAAAGUAAAUAUUUUUAACUUCAGCCCUCUACUUUGUUCUAAGAACAAGGCAAUAUAAGGAAACAUCGGUGUCUAAAAUUUGCCGCUUGGAAUAUUUCACUGUCUAAACAUUCACUCACCACUUAUUUCAUUAAUGAAUUUUGUCUAAUUAUAUGUUGAUAAAGAUAUUAGAGUAAUAUAAUACAUUUAAGGCUUAACUUAUAUUUUUUAUUAGUAGAGUGUAGAACUUUUAAGAAAUAAAUUAUUAAAUUACUAUAACUAACAUAUUAUUUUAAAGUUAUGUUAAGGAAAAGAAUGAAACAAAAAUAAAUAAAUAAAUAAGGGUAUUCUAAAACUUUGAUCUUUUUAAAAGUAGAUUUUGACAUAGAUAAAAUAAUUUUUAUAUUUUUUAAAUCACAUACUCUAGUUAAAAUCAAAUUGUAUUUAUAAAGUUUGUAAAUUUUUUUUUUUUUAGCACUGAUAUUUGAACACUAUCAAGAUAAGAAAUAGGGCACUGGUCAUGCUACAACAUUAUUAUAGCACAUAAAAAGACAAUACCAUUUAUUUUAUUGUACUAUCAUUGUUGUUAUAAUAGUAUUUUUGUUAGUGGUCAAAUAUUAUUUUUUUAAGUAAAAAAAGUGAACAAUGUAAAUUAACUUUUAAUCUCUCCUAAAUUCUAAUUCCUAGUUACGAAACAAAAUUGUUUAAAACCAUAGGUGAUAGGUGAUAGAAGUUACUAACACAAGCAAAUUUGACGGUCCAUUUUAUAAAAUUUGUUAUUUACCAUUUUACCACCUAUAUAAGGAGUGCCGCAUCGACAUAUCAACUCAUUUGCAGAUUAUUUUAAUUUUGUAAAAUUCAUUUAACCUGCACUUGGUCGCCCCUAUUCUCUGAAUGGUUAUGGCGAUAUCAUCAUUAUCGUUACUUGUACCAACGCUAAACCCUUCUUAUUCCCUUUCUCGCCUGUCAUACCCUAACAUUAUAUCCCGUGUCCACACUAAAGACAAGUAGUCAAUUCAAGCCAUCAGAUUAUAGUGGACCCACAUCAAUCCAACUACUUACAAUGACCGACAGCCUCUCCAUCUCCAUUUCAGGUUUCCUCUUCAACUGGCUUCUGCUUCCGCUGUAUUUGCUCCAUUUCUUGGAUUCGGAGUCCGUAUUUGGUCGGUCGGUCCCGCACAGCUCCCUCUCACUCCAAUUGUCACCCAACAAGACCAAUUGCUUAAUCAAGGCACAGAACAAGAAGAGGAUGAGAAAUUGAAACAGAAUUUGAGAAUUGGAAAUCGAAAACGUACGCAUUGACCGUGCCUUUGAGGGCAAUUACUUUUCUUGAGAAUUGAAGUUUGGUAAUGUAAUUUGUUCUCCAUCUGUGUUCCUUUGUAGUCAUUUCAUUUAUUUGUUUGUUUGCUUUAUUUGCACUUACGAAGUCUCAGGUAUACCUACGCAGGAAUGAGCAGGAGAAAUUGAUCCUCGAGGUAACAUAUGGGCGCGCCAUAUCGGUGGGGCACAGUGGUGAUAGCUUACAAGAAAGUAAAUUUCGAAAGCAUAAUUUGGUUCCGAUUGAGGUAAUAAUUGUCUUUAAGCUCAUUUAGUUUUAUAUCAAACAAAAUCAAGACUGCCUUUCUCUUCAAUAGUUUUGAUGAUAAUAUCUUUAGAAGCAUCUCAUUGACAGGUAAUCGUGGUACCCCUUAAAGAGUCUAUAAACUCAAGGAUAUUAUCUUCUGCAAAUGGUUCAUUAAACUUCUUAGAUGUAGUUAAAUGUACACUGAGAACAACGAGAAGCUAUGCCACUGUAGCAUGUAGUGAUGGCACUUAAUGAGUGAGUUGCUAGGAUAUGAACUAGAAAAAUUAAACAUUGUCUCCCUGGGUAUGCUAGCUUGUAAGUCGGUUAAUAUUAGAGCUUGAGAUACUAUAACCAUGAGAAGCUAUUGACCGCCGAUUAAAAUAUCCAUUAAAAUGUCUAGGGAGUUAUGAAGGUGGAGGUGUCUCCCAAUUUCUAAGGCCAUAUAGUAGACAUCAUCCAGGAUCCUAUUAAAGUGCAGUUAGCCUCCUGCUUGAUGCUAAUGUCAAACAAUUAAUAAAUUUGGUCAAUGUAACUGAAACUUGCUAACUGACGUCAGAUUGCGACUUGAGCACCUUAAAAUGGGAUAGACGAUUAGUAGCACUGAAUUCUUCUUGCCUAAGAUUGAGCAAUUGUUCUAACUACUAUCUCCUAUUGUAGGUUGAUUAUUAUGUUCUAAUUAUGUCGAUUUUGACCCAAAAAAUUACAUAAUCUUGAUCUGCAUAAUGUCACUGAACAGUGUCAAUUUCGUUUACCAACUAACUUGAGUUUGAUAUAACAAACACACGGUGUGUCUCUCAUGUCUCACCAUGAUGGAGAAUUUUUCUAAUGCAUGAAGCAAGCUUCGAUAUGUGGGUUAGCUUGGAGAAGAUAUCUUAAAAUGAAGAAUAUGGGGAGUUAAUGGGAAGAAACAGUUCAGUAGUUUAUAAUUCUGUCGUCGAGCUGUAUCUCUAACAUGGUCAAAAUUUAUGUGAAUAAGGACAGGGAAUCUUCAUUCCUCUUUCCCUUUUUAUACCCACAUAUCUCUCAACCUUUAUAUGUUGCUCACUGGAGAUCUGCUUCUGAUAACUAAAAUAAAAAUUUCAUCCACUCAAAUAAAUUCUGACCAAGCUUUCACAAGAAAAAGUAACAUCUUUAGUGAAGUAAUUUACAAGUAAUUUAGAGUUCCUUAUCAUCUUCUUGUGAGUCUAUCAGUAUGAUCCAAAAACAUAAUAAAUCUUGUUAGAUCCUGUUUAUUGAUGUUUAAACGCUGCUCAUUGUGAAAUGUAGAAACAAUGACGUGAAGUUUCUUUGGUCAUCAAUUAGUGAGAUCUUGUUUGAAGUUGUUUUCUGAAAUGAACUGCCAAAUGAUAGUUUUUUUUUUUUUUUCUUUGGACGCAUUUGAUGGCUCUUUUCUCCUCAUUUUAAGCAUGUGCCUGCUUGGUAUGGGAAGGAAUAGGCUUCAGAGUUGUUAUAUAUGUUGACAUGCUCUGGUCAUUACACAAUAUGUUCAAAUUGGAAAUUAGAAUGAGAUAUUUGUCGAUGCUUUUUGAGAGAUCUGCAUUCUAUGCAGCAUAACAUGAUUAAUGAAAAUGGGUUUAAGGACUGGAAAGAUCUGUGGCAGCCCAAGCUUGCAGGAAGGAUUUCAAUGGUUAAUUCUCCCAGAGAGGUUAUUGGUACAGUUUUGAAGUAUAUGGGAGCAUCAUACAAUUCAAACGACAUUAAUUAGCAAGUUGCUGCUGGGAGGAUUGCUGUUCAGCAGAAUCUGGCAUUACUGGGAAACCAGGUACUCUUAAAGAAACGAUAGCUGGUCAAUGCAUAUUAUUGCCUGACGGCUGAUUUUGUUUGUAAAGUGUGCCUUUUCAUACAUAUGAAUGCAUAUGUUAGUGUUGUCUUCUCCUUUCCAUAAAUAUGAAUGCAUAUGUUGGUGUUCUUUUCUGAGAUGGAUGCAAUAAAGGCUUUUCUUCUCUAAAUGACGAGUUUUCAUUUAAAAAUGUUAUAAAUCUGCCAUGCAUAGUAUUCUAGUAGAAUCAUCUAUAAAUUCAAGUUAUUGAAAUUGUCUAUUUGUCCAGUUUGAGUUAAGGACGCAUGUAAUAUGAAAAUAGUUGUCGAAUAUUGUAGGUUAGCUAAUAUUGAUCAAUCCUAUAGGGAGGGCUUUAAGAUGUCUAACAACAUGUAGAAUGCCCCUGCUUCCCCCACAAUUUUUAUCUUAUACAAUUUUUAUCUAUAAACAGUAUUUGCCAGACCUUAACUGUUCAGAUUCCCCUUCUCGACUAUCAUACCCUACGCCCCGUCUCCGUGUCUCCGAUAAACAGCUCAAUUAAGGCCAUCAGAUUAUCCCGGUCCCACAUUGAUCAACGGCUCACAAUGACCGACAACCUCUGUCUCCAUUACAAGCUCCCUCUUCAACUCGCUUCUGCUUCCAUCCUACUCUUUCUCAGAUUCGGAGCCCGUAUAUGCUCGCUGGUCCCACGAAGCUCCCUCUCACUCCAGCUGUCAACCGACAAGACCAAUUGCCUUAUCAAGACAGAGAACAAAAAGAGGAUGAGAAAUUGAAACAAGAAUUGAGAAUUGGAAAUCGAAAACGUACUCAUUGACCGUGCCUUUGAGAGUUGUUUCUCUUCAGAAUUCAGUGCCUCAAUCUUGGGUUAAGGAUUUUAUGCGAAGUCAAGGAAAGUGAUUGAAGUUUCAGAUGAAUUUGUGUGCUAGCAUUGGUGGGAUCUUUAACAAUUUAUCUGCCCUUUAACAAAGUCAAGGCUAAUUCAGCUUCUUAUAUGGCUGCUGAUUUGGUUAGUGUUGGUGAUUCAUGGCUUAGUUUUGCCAUUAAAGAGAGAUUGAUUGAGCCAAUGGCUGGAGCUGAAGACCAAGAUUGGUUCAAAUGCUUAAGUCACAAAUGGAAGGUAACAUCUUUAUCUUUGGCCCGAUAAUUUUUAUUGUCUUACAUUGAAAUUUGGUAAUGUAAUUUGUUCUCUAUCUGUAUUACCCUUUUUAGUCAUUUUAUUUAUUUGUUUAUUUGCUUUUAUUUGCACUAACGAAGUCUCAGGUAUAUCUAUGCAGAAUGAUGCAGGAGAAAUUGAUCCUCGAUGUGAAAUAUGGGCGGCACCAUACAGGUGGGGCACAAUGGUGAUAGCCUACAAGAAAAGUAAAUUUCGAAAGCAUAAUUUGGCUCCGAUUGAGGUAAUAAUUGUCUUUAAACUCAUUUAGUUUUAUAUCAAACAAAAUCAAGACUGCCUUUCUCUUCAAUAUUUUUGAUGAUAAUAUCUUUAGAAGCAUCUUAUUGAUGGGUAAUAAUUGUAUCCCUGAAACAGUCUAUAAACUCAAUGAUAUUAUUUCUACAAAUGGCUCAUUAAACUUUGUCGUUGUAGUCAAAUGUACACUCAGAGCAAUGACAAGCUAUGCCACUGUAGCAUGUAGUGAUGGCACUUAAUAAGUGAGUUGCUAGGAUGUGAACUAGAAAAAUUAAAUAUUGUCUCCCUGGGCAUGCUAGCUCAUAAGUCAGGGUUAAUAUUAGAACUCAAGAUACUAUAACCAUGAGAAGCUAUUGACUGCCAAUUAAAAUAUCCUUUAAAAUGUCUAGGAAGUUAUGAAGGUGGAAGUAUCUUCCGAUUUCUGAGGCCACAUGGUAGAUAUCAUCCAGGAUCCUAGUACAGUGCAGUUAACCUCCUGCUUGAUGCAAUUAAUAAAUUUGGUCAAUGCCACUGAAACAUGCUAACUGACGUCGCAAUGCGACAUGAGCACUUCAAAAUGGGACAGACGGUCGGUAGCACUAAAUUUUUCUUGCCUAAGAUUGAGCAAUUGGUCUAACUACUAACCCCUUUUGUAGUUGAUCAUUAUUUUUCAAUUAUUUUCAGUUUGACCCAAAACGUUACAGAAUCUUGAUCUGAAUAUUGUCACUGAACAUUGUCACUGAACAUUGUCAAUGUCGUUUAGCGUAGCCAACUAACUUGAGUUUGGUAAAACAAACACACAGUGUGUCAUGUCUCACAAUUCAAAUUAUCAUUUGUAAUGAUGGAGAAUUUUUCCAAUAUGAAGUAUGCUUUGAUACGUGGGUUACCUUGGGGAAGGUAUCUCAAAAUAAAGAAUAUGGGGAGAAAAGUUCAGUAGUUUAUUAUUAUGUAGUCAAGUUUUGUCUCAAAAAUGGUCCAAAUUUAAAUGAAUAAGGACCGGGGAUCUUCAUUCUUUUUUCCCUUUUUUAUACCUAGAUAUCUCUCAACCUUUAUAUAAUCCCCACUGGAUAUCUGCUUCUAAUAAUUAAAAUAAAAAUUUCACCCACACAAAUAAAUACUGACCAAGCUCUAACAAUAAAAAGUAACUUCUUUAGUCAAGUGAUUUACAGUUCCUCAUCACCUUAGUGAGACUAUCAGUGUGUUCCAAAAACAUAAUAAAAUUGGUUGUUCCUGUUUAUUGAUGUUUAAAUGUUGUUCAUUGUGACAUGUAGAAAUGAUGAGGCGAAGUUUAUUUGGUCAUCAAUUUGUAAGAUCUUGUUUGAAGUUGCUUUCUGAAAUGAACUGCCAAAUGGUAGUUUCUUUGGGGCAUUUGAUGGCUCUUUUUUCCUCAUUUUAAACAUGUGCCUGCUUGGAACAGGAAGGAUUAGGCUGCAGAGUUGUUAUAUAUUUUGACAUGCUCUAGUCAUUGCACAAUUUGUUCACACUGGAAACUAGAAUGAGAAAUUUGUUGCAUUCUAUGCACAAUAACAUGAUUAAUGAAAAUGGAUUGUAGGACUGGAAAGAUCUGUGGCAGCCUGAGCUCGCAGGACGAAUUUCAAUGGUUAAUUCUCCCUGAGAGGUUAUUGGUUUAGUUUUGAAGUAUAUGGGAGCAUCAUACAAUUCAAACGAUAUUGAUUCGCAAGUUGCUGGUGGGAAGAUUGCUGCUUCAGCAGAAUCUGGCAUUACUGGCAAACCAGGUACUCUCAAAGAAAUGAUAUCUGGUCAUUGCAUGUUAUUACCUGACAACUGAUUUUGUUUGUAAAAGUCUGCUUCUUCAUACAUAUGAAUGCAUAUGUUAGUGUUUUUCUUCCUUUUCAUACAUAUGAAUGCAUAUGUUGCUUCUUUUCCUUUCCAUACAUAUUAAUACAUAUGUUGGUGUUCUCUCCUGAGAUGGAUGCAAUAAAGGUUUUUCUGAAGAAAUGGCAAGGGAUGUGAGAUUCUGUCUCAUAAAAUUAACAAAAACCCAAAACAAUGAAAACCCAUAAUAAUGUGGUGUGGGUAAAUUGACGCCAUUUGGUUCGUUUCCUUGAUGUGAAUACGCGGGCAAUAGAGACUAACAAAAUGAAGUGACAACAAGAAGUCAGUGUCCUUUGAUGGAUGCAUUUUUAGGCAGAAAUAGGUUUGUAAUUGACCAAAUUUGUCUGGCAUGCCAAUUUCAAAAAAAAUUAAAUUAUGUGGUUAUUAGCUGUAAUGAAAGGGGGAUUGUAGGUCCAAUCAGGUGGAUCCAUGAAAGUUCAACAAAGUUCUGGUAUGGCGUAGAAAUUGGUUUGUGCAACUCAAGAGUCUUUCUGGUGAACGAUGAUGGGUUUUGAUUUUAUAAAUGUUAUAAAUCUACUGUGCAUAGUAUUCUAGUAGAAUCAUCUAUAAGUUCUAGUUAUUGAAAUUGUCUACCUUGUUCAGUUUGAGUUAAGGGCACAUGUAAUAUGAAAAAUAGUUGUUGCAUCUUUUAGGUUACCUAACAUUUGAUCAAUCCUAUUAUGAGGCUUCAAGAUGUCUAACAAUAUGUGGAAUGCCCAUGCUCCUCCCCAUUGUUUAUCUUAUAUAAUAAUUUGUUUUAGAUGCUAAUAUCUUUGUCGAUACCGGUAACAAUAUUACAAUAUCUGCGUUUAUUGGGUUUUACAUAGGUUCGACUGUUUGACAGUACACACUCUCUGAAGGCAUUUGGAAAUGGAGAUGUAUGGAUUGCUGUUGGGUGGAGUAGUGAUGUUCUUCCUGCUGUCAAACGUUUGUCUAAUGUUGCAGUUGUUGUUCCCAAGUCUGGUGCUAGCUUAUGGGCUGAUCUUUGGGUAUACCCAUGCCUGCCAUUCUACUUCAAUAUUCACAUUGUUAUCUCCUUCAUAUUAGUGAUCAGUAAACAUGAUAAUGUGACUAAUAAGUUCGUAUUCUCUUUAUAGGCAAUCCCUGCUGACUCAAGACUUGAAACAAAACAAAUUGGAGGGUGAGUCAGAGGUGCAUUUCCAUUAAUCCAUCAAUGGAUAGAAUUCUGCUUGCAAACAGCGAGAGCAUUGCCUUUCAAGCAAGAGGUUAUCCCGAGCGCAUCUCCCUCUGCCUUGAGAGUACUCUGGUUAAGUUGCCUGAAGAACUUUUGAAGGGUAAACCAAGUCUGGAUACUAACUUAAUUGCUGGAGUACCCCUGACGGAAAUUCUGGCCAGAUGUGAGUUUUUGGAGCCAUUAUCUGAAGCUACAUUGUCGGAUUAUGAGUGGCUGGUUGCUAAUCUGCAAAAAUCCACUCCUGUACUGAUCAACAAGAUGCAACAUUACAUGUCAUCAUUGAUCUUUAGCUAAAGGUACAUUGAAAAGUUAAUGGCACUGCAUACCAGUCAUUAUAAUUGGGUCAGGGCAAUUGGGUCAGGGCAAUUAGGUCAGAGCAUAACUUCAUUAGGAAAAGAGGCUUCAGCUACGUUAAAUAUUACAGGAUGUACUGAGAUGGCUGAAGUUGGUGAGGUUUUACGAGAAACGAAAGAUAGUGUUUGUUUGAACAAAGUUGUUGCCAAUCUUGCAGAGUUCGAGAAGAAAGAUCACGAAGCGAAUGCCACCGAUUUCUUCAUCAUUGUAGCCUCCAUAGUUGAAGUUUCCUCAUUUGAAGCUGUUUAUGCAUAUGCUUUUUCCCUUCUCAAGUACAGGAAAUUGAAGAAUUAACCAGAUGUGAUAUGCUGAAAGAGGGAAGUUUUCUUCCUUGAAUGUGACCUUUGUGAUUUGUCUUGAAGGGAUAGGGUGAUCACUGGCAAGAACCCUAUCAAGGUAGAUUUUAUGAUGUUAACAUAUUAUUAAGCAUUUUGUUACAUCAGCAAUGAUGCUUUCAUAGCAUGAAAGUGUUUAAAUUUAACUGAAUGAUCUUGAUUGAUCAAUUAUGAGUUUUAAUCGAGUAAAAACUAAAUACAAUAAUCGUUAACAAAUAUUGAAAUUGGGUAAAUAAGAUCUUGAUAGUGAAGAAUUUGAAAUCACACCCACACAGGAAAUCACCCUUCGCGUGGGGAUGGAGAUGUUUACUGCAGCGAUAUUGAAUAUGUCCACUGCUGGACUAAUUCUGAUUACCUAAUUGACUCAGGAUCGGCUGGCAAUAAUAACAGUUUAUUAACAAUGCACAGUCCGAGUACUUUUCCAGGAUCAGAUACGACGUGGUCUAAUGUUGAUAAUAAUAGAUUAUCAAAUGACAAAUCGUUGUUCUACUAUUGCAAGCCCCCAGAUUUAAGAAUCUUUUUCAGAAAUUAAAUACAUUCUGAGAGAUGCUGGUCUACUAUUGCAAGCCCCCAGAUUUAAGAAUCUUUUGACGGUAAUUUAUCACCUGUAACUGUGCCGGAAGAUUCAACUAGCACUGAAAAAGAUGAUAAAUUAAUUGAUAUGGAGAGUUUUCAUAUCACUUUUAAAUCAUCUUAUGUAAUUGUGAUGUUAGGAAGCAUUAGUGAUCUAUAUGUGAAUUAUUAUUGGCGCCAUUGGUGGUUUUAUCUUGUUAAAAUAUGGAUGAAUUCCAGUUACUAUUUUGUUGCAGACAAUCUUCUUCAAUUAACAUAUGGUUUAAAAUCAUUAUGUAAAUCAAUCUAUUAAUUUUCAAGAUAUUUAACUGAGUUAAAACUAAGUGCACUCAAUAAAUCUCUUUUCCUUUAAAAAACUGUUACGCUUUGAUUUUAGUGCUUAAUAUUUAUUGAACUCCGAUACAGGGAAUUUGAAAUCAAACUCGUAACUACAUAUUAUCUAAUUGCAAGUUUCUAUCCAUAGCUGCUGAUUUGUAGUGAUUAUCUAAUUGACUGAGGUGACGACAAUUUUUUUUUUUUUAAAUUUUCAAUAGCACAAUGUGGAAUUCAAUAAUUAAAUUCUCCUUUUUAAUUUGUUUCCAGUUAAAUUAUUAAUUACUUAAACUCUGUUUUAAGUCUUUAAGUUUAUGUGUUUAUGCAGAAUUGGAUUCUUGAGCGUGUUGGACACGACCAACAAUGAAAUUGACAGUAAAAAAAACAAUACAACGUGUGGACUCCGGUAGAUGCCAUACAAGUCUACAACUUUACAAAUAAUAAUUGAGUAAGCAACUUUGAUUCUCGGGGCCCUUCAAUGAAUUUCUAGCCCCGUUGACUCCGCCAACUAAAGUUUGUAAAAUAAAAAAAUACAUAGAAUUCCACUAAAUGCAAAACGCGUGGAAUUUAAUUUUCGGCCAUGUGGACCAAAACAUAAUUUAAUGAAAAAGGAAAAAAAUGAUAAGAUUUCUAAAAUAUGUGAAAGAUGAUCCAUAUUUUACUGAAACGACUUAUUAAAUUUUUCAAAGAUUUAGAAUAUUUAGUCAUAAAUUACGUGCAUGUUAAUUUUUCCGCCAUUGACUAUCAUAUUCUAAACUUAAUAGUACAUUUCUUGUUGAAGGGUACUUAAUCUCUCUUCUCCUCUUAUAAAAAUUAUAUUGAUGGAUUUCUUGUUAUAGUUAAUAGUCUUUAAGAACGGAUAACUUUAUUGUUUUCGUGACCAAAUUAUGUCCGCCUAAGGUUGUGACUAUUAAUAAAAUUAAUAUUUAAUGUUUAUGUUAAAAGAUAUAAGAUUUUAUGCGUUCAUUAAUUGUUAUUAGCUAAAGGAUGAAUUAUUUUUUCAACCCAAUCAGUUGAUGCAUCUGCAAGAGUUUUUUCUUUUAUUGACCAUAAUUAUGUUCCGGGUACAAUAAAUUGUCUUUGGUGCUUGGAAAAUAUGACUUCUUACUUCAAGUUUGAUAUGUCUCUCUCCAUAAACUUACUGGAAAUAUAUCCUCAUCUACUGUCAUUUAUCUAAUAUCAAUUGAAGAUCUCACUUUUUCAAACUAUCACUUCCAAGUCUCAUUGUCACUUGGCCAUUCUUGGACCAUUCAAAACCAAUCAAGUGUUGAAAUAAUCAAAUAUAUGCAAAAUUAGAGUCACGAUUUUUGGUCCCCCAAAUUCUAAUUAUAUAACUUCUAUAUAUUUCAUUGCCAGGUCACGAACUUGUUGGCACAUUUUCCAAAUUCCUCUUCCAUCAGCUCUCACACGUUAACUUAAGUGAAAAGUUUCCAAGUUGAUUGCUAGAAAGCAACGCAAAAUCAGACACACUUGAUCUGUCCCCUAAUUCUCUUUUCUACGUUGAAAAAGAAAAAAAAAAAUAAAAUACAUACAUACAUAUAUAUAUAUAUAUAUAUAUAUAUAUAUAUAUAUAUAUAUAUAUAUAUCUAUGUAAAAAUAAAUAAUAAACUGAGUAAAAGUACAUUUGUUUAAUUAACAUCUGAUCGGGGCAUUUUUGGUGUAAGCCACAACUAAAAUCAAACAGCCCCUUAGCAUACUUCUUCCAUUUUAUCGGCUACUUUUGUGGAUCUUAUAGGGUGGGCAUGUGGACAGAAUUUAAAAGUUUUAAUAGGCUCAAAGAAGAAGAUGUGUUAAAUCUAAAGUUGUUGCACCUUCUGAUUAAAUAAAGUUGUACAAUUUCAUCAACUUGAAAGAAUUGACAUUAAUGAACUGGUCGCCUCUCCAUGUAUGAAGCCUUCUUAAAAGUUAAUUUUUAUUUCAGAAAAAAAAAGUUUAAGUUACAUAUAUUACAGUAAGAUUUUUUGAGACCAAUUCCCUUCUUGAAAUAAUAAUAGAAAAGUAUUAAUUUAAAAAUAAAAUGAAUAUGUAUUGAUUAUAUCCUGAUUUUCAUCGAUUAUAGUUAGAGUUUCACCAAAUCAAUUCCCUUAUUCAAAUAAUACAGAAAAAAUAGUAAUUUAAUAGUAAAAUAAACAGGUGUUGAUUAUAUAUCCUAAGUUUCAUCGAUUAUGUGAUCAAAGUGGCAUUGUUGAUUUAUUUUUUGUUCAAUGUUAAUUUUUAGGUUAUAUAAAUUUCAAGGAUUUAAAAUCUUUGGCCAUGAAUUACACGCUUGUUAAUUUUCCUGCCAUUGACUGUCAUAUUCUAGACUUAAUGAUACCUUUCUUGAUCAAGGGUAAUUACUCUCUCUUCUCCUCUUAUAAAUUCCUCUUCCAUUAACAUCACUAGGAGUAUGUUGAUCUCUCAGACGUUAACUUGAGUGGAGAGUUUCCAAAUUGAUUGUUACAAAACAACACAAAAACUAGACACACUUGAUCUGUCUAAUAAUUCUCUUUCGGUAAAAUUAAAUAAUUUUAGGGGAAUAUUCGGCCAACCUCUAUAAUUUCAUAGUGAUCAUUAAUUAAUUAAUCGAUACAAAUAUCUAAAGUGAUUAAAUGUGACUUGAAAUUUGAUCUCUAUCGAUUGGUUUACAAAUGGACGUACUUGUGCCUUUGUGGCGAUAAUCGAACAAGUACCCAUGAUUAUUAUUUUUUCCAAAAACUUUUUUACAACAAAUUCAUCUCGUCAAAAAUUCUAUGUUGCUAACUAACAAUAAUUGAGCACUUGGCCGCAUUGACUCCACGUCUCCACCUCUUUCUAAAUUCUAAGUAAAAACAUGGAAAUGUAAUUUCCACAAAAUGCCAAAUGUGUGGAAUUUAAUUUUUUGCCUUGUGGAUCAAAAUACAAAUGAAAGAAACAGAAGAAAAAAAAGGCCCAAAGACUUCUAAAAGAUGAAGAAGUCUUUGUGCCUUUUUAUAAUGGUGAAUUUUUUUAAAGAAAAAAAAUAACAACAUUUUUAUGGUUUGUUUUGAUAAUCAUAUUUACAUAUACUCUCUAAUUUUCAAAAUGGACACAUAAAUCUUUUUUUUUUACAAAAUAUAUAUUAUUCAUAUUUUUUUUAUUUUUUUAUUAUCAUAUUUUUAUUUAUUAUAAAUGUUUAGAGCAAAUUUUUAGGUUGAAAUAUAAUAAAAAGGUAUAAUUGUUCUCUUAUUAAACACACAUACUUUUAUUAGUUUCUAUCCAUUUGUCAUCUCAAUCUCUCUCAAUUAUUCUUUAUUGCUAGCUCAAAACGCGUUGCUGUUGCAAAUUAUAGCAAAAUGACAAAUAUGGAAAAAAAGGGAAGAAAAUUAAUGCAUGAAAGACUUGGAGAAAACAACAAAAUAAGCCAACUAUGAGCUAGUUGGGUGUAUAAAUUGUUAGAUGUGUUAUAUACAAAUAGCGUAGAGCCCUCUAGUUGGUUCCAGAGACAGAAAGAGCGUGUGUGUUUUUUCACAGUUAGAGAUAUAGUUAGAAUGGGUGGUUCAAAAUCAAAAAUGAUGAUAAUGUUUAUUAUGUUAUUAAUAAUAUUUAAAAGUGGGUGGAGUGAGGGAUGUUUGGAUCACGAGAGAUUUGCUUUUUUGAGACUCAAACAUUUCUUCAAUGAUCCUCUUAAUUCUCUUUACGACUGGGUAGAUGGUGAGGGAGCUACUGAUUGUUGUCAGUGGGAAAGGGUUGAGUGCAGCAACACCACAGGCCGAGUGAUAGCACUGGACCUUUCUUAUAUAUAUUCGGGAGAGUACAGCUGGUAUCUGAAUGCUUCUUUAUUUACUCCCUUCCAACAACUUGAGUCACUUGAUUUAACUCAAAACAAAAUAGCCGGAUGUGUUGAGAAUGAAGGUACUUUGUUUAAUUUAAUUAAUUUACUUUCUCCCCCCUAAUUUAAGUUGAAUAUCAAGACCGAGCAAUUAUAUGCAUAUUCAUUUAGUCGACAAUUUUGACUUUUUUUUAAAUGAUUAAUUUUGAAAUUACACCAGUAUCUAUGAUCUUUUUUAUUUUAUUUUAUUUGCAGGUAUAGAGAGGCUAUCAAGAUUGAACAACUUGAAGAUGCUUAAUUUAAGUCGAAACUCAUUCAAUAAUAACAUUUUAUCAUCUCUAACUCAUCUUUCAUCAUUAAGAUCAUUAAAUUUAUUGUGGAAUAGAUUGGAAGGAAGUAUUGACGUUAAAGGUACAUAAUUAAAACUUCAAGCUCUUUCAUUAACUUGCUAAAAUAAGAUUCAAGGCUUUGAAUUCAAUUUUUUUAUGAUUAAUAUUAAAAAAACAGUUUUAAGCAAUUUAUAAAUACAAGUUUUAAUGUUUCUUGUAAUUUCAUCUUGUACUUUCAUAUGUCUUGAAUUUAAGAUUAAAAAAAAAACUCUAAUAGCGAACCAAACACCUCCACAACUUAUUAUUAUUAUUUUAAUUUGUGGUGAGGUUUGAAACAUUCAACUCAAUUUGUACUUAUUACAGAAUUUGAUUCUUUGAGAGAUUUAGAGGAGCUAGACAUUGGCGGGAACAAGAUUGACAAAUUUGUGGUCUCAAAAGGUACUACAAAUACCAUAAAAAAAUAUGCUAACUUUUACAAAUUAGUUAGAUUCUUUGCCAUUUGGUUUAUUAUUUUACAGGUUUGAGUAAGUUGAAGUCUCUUGGUUUAAGUGGUAUCAAACUCAAUCGUAGCAUCUUAUCUUCUCUUUCUUCGUUAAGAGAAUUAGAUAUAAGUCGUACGGGAUUCAAAGGAACAUUUGAUGUUCGAGGUAAGCCUAAACCUUGCUUUCUCAUUUUAUAUAUGCCAACUAGAUUUGUGUAUCAUCGACAUAAUUUAAUAUUUAAUUUGAUAAGUCUGAAUGAAUUACAUGCUAAUUUAAACACACUUUUAUUUACUUUGUCAAUUAAUUAAUUAAUUAAUUACUAUUUGGCUUGGUUUGGACGAAAUUCUCAUGAUGUUUUAAUUUCUUUAAAUUAAUUAAUUAAUUAACUCUGUUUUUAAGUCUUAAGUCUGGGCAUGUUUGCAGAAUUUGAUUCCUUCAAUAACUUAGAAGUGUUGGACAUGAGUUGGAACGAAAUCGACAAUCUUGUGGUUCCUCACGGUAAACAAUUAAAAUGUUAUUCAAUUACAUUAUUUUAAUUCAUUUGAUUAGGGAAGGCCAAAAAGGUAAAAAAAAUAAUAAUAAAGAAACAGAGAAUUUGUAUUAUUUAAAAAACAGAAUGUAAUAAAGAUUUGAUUCUGGUUCUUUAAUCUUUAAAGUGAUUGAAAAACAAUGUUGCUCUUUUCCCAAAGCAUCAAAUACGAAUUGAAUGCCAAUUAACUUAAUCAUUCAUUUCGUUUAGCUCUAAAUUUAGACAAUGAAUUUUUAUAUUAUUUCAAAAACAUGACGUAAUAGAAUUUUUUUAAAAACAGAUUCUAAUAAAGAUUUGAUUCCAAUUCUUUAAUCUUUACAGUGAUUGAAAAACGAUACUACUCUUUUCCCAAAGCAUAAAUACGAAUUGACUCCCAAUCAAAUUAAUCAUUUAUUUCGUUCAUCUCUGAAUUUAAAUAAUGAAUUUUGAUCUUCAAUCGUAUUAUAAUUACUAUUAAAGAACAGGUUACAGAGGUUUGAGGAAGUUGAAUCAUCUUGAUCUAUCGGGAGUUGGAAUUAGAGAUGGAAGCAAGUUGUUACAGUCAAUGGGAUCAUUCCAUCCCUCAACACUCUUUACCUUUCGUGGAAUAAUUUUAUCGAUACAGCGACCGCUACUCAAGGUAAGUAAAAGGUACAAAUGUGGCCAAAUUUAUAAAUAAAUUGUUAAUUAAUUAAUUUUUCCGUAUUAUUAAUUAAGCUAAAUUUGUUGCUCCUUCCUUCUAAAUCUAAACAGAGUUGCACAAUUUCACCAACUUGGAAUAUUUGACAUUGGACUUUUCCUCUCUCCAUAUAAGCCUUCUCCAAAGCAUUGCAUCAUUAUUCCCUUCGUUAAAAAAUCUGUCGAUAUCUCAUUGUGAAGUCAAUGGUGUCCUACGCGGUCAAGGUAAAAGAAAAUCGUUGAUUGUGAACUCACUCAAUGGUGUCCUACGUGUUCAACAUUUUUAUUUAUUUAUUGUUUAAUGUUUCUGCUAGGUUUUCCUCAUUUCAAGAGUUUGGAACAUUUGGAUAUGGAUUACACGCGCAUUGCACUCAACACCGGCUUUCUUCAAAUCAUCGGUGAAUCGAUGCCUUCUCUUAAGUACUUAUCACUGUCAAGGUUAAUCUAUAAAUCGAUGCCUUCUCUUGAUCAAGGUUAAUCAGAUGCUCCCACUCUCCCCUCUUAAUCUAUAAUAUUAAUUUUCAAUUCAAUAUUUAAUUACACAAACGAAUCACUUAUUAUAAAAGAAUAAUACGCAUUCAUUAAUUUUUAUAUUGUAUUAAUAAUUGAUGAAUUUAAUAACUUUUCAGGUCUCUGUUCGUUGGUGCAUCUGCAAGUGUUGAACAUUGCAGGCAAUGAUUUAAGAGGUAGCUUGCCUUGGUGCUUGGCAAAUAUGACAUCCCUCCGAAUAUUAGAUGUUUCUUCCAAUCAACUUACUGGAAGCAUCUCCUCAUCUCCCCUCGUUCAUUUGACAUCCAUUGAAGAGCUGAUGCUUUCAGACAAUCACUUCCAGAUCCCAAUUUCACUUGAACCAUUUUUCAAUCACUCACGACUCAAGAUUUUCCAUGCUUACAACAACGAAAUAAAUGCAGAAAUAACUGAGUCACAUUCUUUGACUGCCCCAAACUUCCAAUUAAAAUAUCUCUCAUUGUCUUCCGGUUACGGAGAUGGUGUCACAUUCCCCAAAUUCCUUUACCAUCAACAUGAUCUGGAGACUGUUGACCUCUCACAUAUAAACAUGAGCGGAGAAUUUCCAAAUUGGUUGUUGGAAAACAACACAAACUUAGAAUAUAUUUUUUUGGUUAAUGAUUCUCUUGCAGGACCUUUCCGGUUGCCAAUUCAUUCACACAAGCGGUUAAGACUGUUGGAUAUAUCCAACAACAACAUCAGAGGCCACAUUCCAGUAGAAAUUGGAGAUGUUUUACCGGGUUUAUUUUCUUUAAACAUUUUCAUGAAUGCUUUAGACGGUUGCAUUCCCUCUUCAUUUGGUAAUAUGAAAUUCCUCCAAUUUCUGGACUUAUCCAACAACCAAUUGACUGGUGAAAUCCCUAAGCACUUGGCCGUGGGUUGCGUCAACUUAGAGUCUCUUGCGUUGUCAAACAACAACUUAGAAGGUCAUAUGUUCUCCAGAAACUUCAACCUGACAAACUUGAAAUGGUUACAAUUGGAAAGCAAUCACUUCGUAGGAGAGAUCCCACAAAGUUUGUCUAAAUGCUCCUCACUAAAAGGAUUGUAUCUUAACAAUAAUAGUCUUUCGGGUAAGAUUCCACGAUGGUUGGGUAAUCUCACAUGGUUACAAUAUAUUACAAUGCCCAAUAAUCAUCUUGAAGGUCCUAUUCCAGUGGAGUUUUGUCAGCUUGAAUGGCUUCAGAUUUUGGACAUUUCAGACAACAACAUAUCUGGAAGUUUACCAUCUUGUUUCCAUCUUCUCUCUAUCAAACAAGUUCAUCUUUCAAAAAAUAUGUUACAUGGACAGCUAAAAAGAGGUACAUUCUUUAAUUGCUCUUCCCUUGUGACAUUAGAUCUUAGUUAUAACCGCUUGAAUGGCAGCAUUCCGGAUUGGGUUGAUGGGCUUUCUCGGUUAAGCCACCUUAUCUUGGCUCACAAUAAUCUUAAAGGUGAAGUGCCAGUUCAAUUGUGCAAAUUGAACCAACUACAAUUGUUAGAUCUUUCUAAUAAUAAUCUUCACGGUCCUAUUCCUCUUUGCUUUGAUAACACCACACUUCAUGAAAGUUACAGCAAUAGUUCUAGUCCUGAUGAGCAAUUUGAAAUAUAUGUUUUCAUCGAAGGCCCUCAGGGAGGUGUAGAAAAGAAAAUCCAUGAAAUUUUUGAGUUCACAACAAAGAACAUUGCGUACAUUUACCAAGGAAAAGUGCUUAGCCUCCUAUCAGGACUUGAUCUUUCUUGCAACAAGCUAAUCGGUAUUAUUCCUCCUCAAAUUGGAAAUUUGACAAGGAUUCAAACAUUGAAUCUAUCGCACAACAACUUGACAGGAUCGAUCCCAUCAACAUUUUCAAACUUGAAGCAUGUCGAAAGUUUGGAUCUUUCCAACAACAAAUUGAAUGGGAAAAUCCCUCAUCAACUAGUGGAGUUAAAGACAUUGGAGGUUUUCAGUGUGGCAUACAAUAACUUAUCAGGCGAAAUUCCAGAAUGGAAAGCACAAUUUGCAACCUUCAACGGGAGUAGCUAUGAAGGAAAUACUUUUCUUUGUGGACUGCUAUUGCCCAUUUGCAGAUCACCAGCAACUACGUCGGAGGGUUCAAUUGGCAAUGAACGAGAUGAUAAUUUAAUUGACAUGGACAAUUUCUUUAUCACAUUUACAACAUCGUACGAAAUUGUGAUAUUCGGAAUUGUUAUUGUUUUAUAUGUAAAUUCUUAUUGGCGACGUAGAUGGUUUUACUUUGUUGAAAUGUGGAUAACUUCAUGUUAUUAUUUUAUUGUAGACAAUCUUAUUACAACAAGAUAUUGUCAUUGAAAUUAAUUAGGAGUUUAAUUACGAUUCUUUAAGUUCUAAUCAAGUUUGCUUAGGAAAUAAAUUUAUUUUUAUUUUUUAUUAAAACUGUAGUAGUAUUUAGCUCUAUAUAGCUUCCAACUUCCAAGCACUUCACAUUUGUCUCUACACUUCCAAACCCAUAUCUAUCCACCAUAACUUAUACUUCCCUAUACUGUGCAGCAUACUUAAAUAAGAGAACCAUCUCCAAUGUUAAAACCAGCCACUCUAUAACAUUCAUUUAGAAUAGUUUUAUUAUCAUACACAAGAAAUGAAACACCUAGAUGCACUUGAUCGCCUAUUUUACUUUAAAAAAUAAUGAUUAUGGUGCUAUCAUCAUCUUCUUCACUAGCAACAUUAACACCAAAUCCAGCGAUGGACCCAGACAUUUUAUCAAGAAAGGUAUAUAUAUAAUAAAGUUGAAGCUUGACAAAAAAUUCAGGAAGAUUAAUGCCUCGCCACAACAAGGGCACAACAACAUCAAAGUAGAGAUGAAGCAAUAUUUUCAAAUCUAAAACUCUCAAAUCCACCCACCAAAAUUUCAUAUCUCCUCAACAAUUUUAAGAACUAAAGAUAAUUAGGAUCUAACAUUAGUUUUUUAUAUAUUAGUUUCAUAAUUUACAAAUCAAUGAAGAUGAAGAUUAUGCUAAUGAAUUCAAAUUAUACCAUAGAUUCUCGAGAUGUUUACCAAAAAUUUCUAAGCCAAUCCCACAUAUUUCAUAAUUUUAAGACUAGAAAAUUUCAUUAGUUAGAAGUUUCAUUACCUUCAAGUGGAAGAUGAAGAACAUUAUACAAUUGAUUCAGAUUAUAUCAUACAUACUCCAAAUGCAACUAGAAAUUAACAAGUUCAUGCGCACAGAUUUCAUAACAUUAUGAUUGGAAAGUUUCACAAAGAGAAAUUCUAAAUUCAAUCUCUUGCAUCAAGGUAGUUUGAUUGAUUUGAGUUACUUUCUCAUCAAGCUACUAAUAUAACAUUCAAGUCAGGGAGAAAGUAAAUUAAAACUGGGAAGAAACAACAGUAAAAAUUUGUUGCUAAACAUGAUGUGUAUUUUUUUUUAAGGCAAUUUGGAAACACAGUUGUUACUACAGAUAUUCUCCUCAACUUAGAGAUAAAUACAAAUAUUAAAAUGCAUAUGAUCGCACAUAUUACUUGGAGCUUAGUAAGAUUUCAUUAAGAGAAGCAAUCAAACCACUUAUCAAUUGUUGCAAUCGUUCUAUAAGCUAAAAUAGCAAUAUAAUACAAGAAAAAGAACAUAUAGAUACUUGGCAAGAGUUCAUUAAGAAGUCGCAUCACAUUCGGGUGAGUUUGCUUCUGAUAUCUUGCUAGCUGGGGCUUUUUCUUGUCUUUCUACGUAUGCCGAGGGAAACCAACCAGCUUGGCCCUUGCAUUCACCUUCCGACCAUCCAGUAGGAGCCACCUUGAGAAGUUAUAACUAAAAGUCUAAAACAAUGAAUUAAACAAAAGUUGACCGUUCAAAGACCUAAGGGGAAAACUAAUUCUUUUACGUAGGAGGAGUGAAUUAGUUGUGAUCACUGAAAUAACAGCAUAACUAUGGAAGCAUAACAAGAUAUAAAUUCACACGUCUAUAAGGGUAAACUGGGUGGUUUAGAACUGAGCUAGCAACCCUACUAUAUUCUGAUUUGCACAUCAAUGUAAAAGGGAAUAUAUGGUAGGAAGAAAGAAAACCAACCAUCAGUUGUUAACUCAUUGCUUUUCAAUCAAAAUUUUAAGAACAAAAUGCCAUGUGCUUUGAACAUCAAAUAAGUAUAAGCAUUAGUUCUAAAUUCCACAUAUCAUAAGUUAGAAGGACAAGUCAAUAGCAUAGUAGAAAAAUCUAUGUGUUGUUAUUUAGAGGGGAAAGUACCUGGCGAACCACAACAUAAUCAUCAAUUGAAAGACUUAGCUCUCCAUUUGCUUGAGCAUCAAAUGGAUGUAUAACCUGCAAGAUAAUGGGAUAAAUAGAACUUAAUCUUAAAAAAAGCAUAACAAAAGCAGCAACAGUAGCAGCAGCGUUCAUUGUAACCACUAUGAUCAUGGCCAACAAAGAUAUAUUACAAACAAAAUUCCAUUUUUACUACGACAUUAAUAUGUACUAUAUGAUAUCAUGACGAUUGGGUUACCAAGAGCUAUCAAAGUCCAAUAAAUUCUGUAUAACUUUAGGUAGUUAUUCAAAUUAUGGAUCAGAUUUUAAAUCCGAAAUUUUGACUGCUCUCCACAAAACAUGGCCUAUGCACAAGAAAGUCAUAGAUAAUGAGGAUUACAAGUGUCUGACAUCUUUUGAGUGAUGGAUUUAACAUGAGAGCUUAUGGUCAGUCAAUUUCCUCUGCCUAGCAAUAUAAGCUUUCUCGGCCAGAUUUAUCAUCAAAUACAUAGAUUGGCCCCAAGUCACAUCCAAAUAAACAUAGUUUUUCUAGGUAAACCAAGUAAGGAGAAUCAUAAUUCAGACAUAAUCAUAAAAAGGCCCAUCUAACUUAAGAGAAAAUCUCAAAAAGAGGGAUGUUGAGCUAUCAGUCUUGUAUCUAUAAGCAAUAUCAAGACUUUACAUCACCUACUACAUCGUGAGUGGCUACACAACUUUCAGUGGUUUGUCUUUCUUUGGCAUGCCUAACUCAGCUUUGAUGUUGCUGAGAUAUUGAUAGUAAAGACACAUGAUACUUCUAGCCCAUGCAUUCUAUCUAGCUCAUCCGACAACUAUCUCUUUUUUAAUUCAUUAGUGUUUGCUAAACCUCAUGCUUAAAAGUCCUAUUCUCCUAAACAAAGCUUCCUAAGAAUGACUUCCUCAGCACCACAUUUGGACACUUUUAGAGCAAUUUUAUUUGGGGGAAAAGAAUUUUCAAGGUGUUAACUAAUAAAUUUUAAAAAAUAAUUACAAUUUGUCCUACAAUUAUAUGACAAUUUAUCUGGGAUGAAAGGAUACAGACAGACAUCUUCCACUUUCAAGACUAAUCACUACUUCCGUAGAUGUUUUGCAAUAAUACAAAUACUUGACCAGAUGGUAGAAAAAAAUUUUAUUGCUCCAAAAUUAAAAUAAGAAUGCAAUAUGUUAAGCAAAAGACUGUGCAACAUCAAAUUAAUUGAUAAGUUUGUAAUUCAGUAAAUUAACAACUUUCAUGGUAAAAUACAACAAAUUUCUUUUCAAAAAAAAAAAAAAAAAUUAAAAGACGGCAUUCAAUUUUUUGGGCAUCUUAUUUCUUAAGAUUUUCCAGGAGGAGGGCACUAGAGGGACUUUCACCUAUGCAAGAGAGCAGAAGCCUUACUUUCGCUAUAAAGUAGACGUCAUUCUGAUUAAUAUGCGUUUGCAAAUCAGCUCCAUUUGAAUCAGUAUUCUGAUAGACACGUGAGGCAUUUACAUCCAUUUCCAAAGUCACAUGUUGCGAGGAGGACUCAUUUGAUUGCUCCUCUAGGAUCAUCUAAUUCAAGUAGCAAGGGUUGGAAGAGAAUAAAAAGUCACAAUUAUUCUUUUGCAUAAGUGAGACGAAAAUGAUAAAUGCAAUAUUAUCAGCAGUAAACAAGAAGAGAACACUCCAAGGAAUAGAUAGAUGCCGACAAGCAAGUUAAAAUGCACAGUUCCAAACCUCCGCAUACAACUUCUCUAAAAUAGCAAUAAUGUGUUGAUGAUAUGUUUUCUCAGCAUCUACCUGCAAAGGCCUGAGACCAGGAAAACAACAAUAAAACCACUAGCUAAAGGAGAAAGUAAAGAAAGAAAUACACUUGACAUAAAUCUUGACAAGAAGCACAAUUUAAGACAUAACAAACCCCAAUCAGAUUGUUUAGAACUACCAUUCGUUAUUUCGUUAUUGUAGCAUUUCGAACAAGUGUUGACUUAAUUCAACAUUGUUGGAAAGAUAGGCUUUUAGAAGCGGAAGAAAGCCUCUCAAACCAAAGUGAUUGUCCUUGUAUUGAUCAAGGGAUGUAAACAUAUUACAUUUGCAGGAUGAGUUUUAAUCACUCCCCUGAUUUAUUUGGGUUGCAGUAAAACUAAGCGAGCAACUGUUUGACUUUCAAGCAACAUCUAAAUCAGCUAUUAAAAUUCAAAUAAAAUUAUAAUAGAAUAAUAACAGGCCAUCUUGCAUAAAAAAUUAAGUUUAAUUUGUGAAUUUUUUUCUAUAGACAUGUUAGUUCCUGCUAUUGAAAUGUUAAAAGCAUUGAAAAAUUAUUCAAUAAAUUAUGCAAACAUUAAAAUAGAGGACAUAUUAAAAAGUUUCUAAUUACAAUGUUAAGAUUUCCUAUAUUUUAGCAUUUGCAUAUUUUAAUUUAUUUAAAAGUUACGUCAAUCAACUUUGGGCGUGAAGAUUUUAGCUUCUACGAGACUUGAUUGGAAUAUGCAUAAGGAAGAGUGUUAAAAUAUGAUGCAUCCAACGAAAGACAAACCACGUGUAGUCUUUUAAUUAAGCCAAAGUAGCAGCUCAAACAAAUGACACUUGGACCAACAUGCAAUCAUGAAGUGGCCGGUAAAAGGACAAAUGCAACUUUGGCUUAAAUAAAAAAUAACAUGUGACUUGACUUUUGCUGGACAUGCAUCAUGUUAUUACAAGACAACAGAAAUCAGUAUGAUAGUACUAAAAGUUGACAAUAACAUGAAGAUAAGAGGCAGAAUGUCAACACCUGCAUAGGCACACACAAGAAAGUAUUAACAUAUAUACCAUAGCAAAAAGUCUUUGAUAUGUCAUCUGUUGCUGCUGUGAUUCAACUGACAGCAUGGCAGCUGUCGCUUCUCUACCAAGAGCCAUUAUUGUAGAUUUAAGCUCGGUCAAUCUUGCUUCUGCAUUUCGAAGCUUCACAGCACUCUCUGCUGAUAUAUCAGAUUUCCUUAUCUUUGAUCGGUGCCUAAAUACUUCAGCUGCCUGGUGAAAAUAUUCAAUAUAAAUCUAACAUAAUUCUCAUCUUGCCUUAUACAUGCAUAUGUUACCUCAAAGCUUGCCUGGGCUUCAACUUCAUGUCGAAGUUUGUCAUAACGAUGAGUCAGGUGUCGAGCAUCUUCCAAAGGUGCUCCGUUGAUUAACGCCCGUAGUGGCUCAGAUACCUACAUGUCCAAAAACCUGUAACAUAGUUAGAAAAAUGAAAAGAAAGAGCGAAACCUCAAUUAAAAAGUUCCUCCAACAUAAUCAUGGAAUUUGGGCCUACUUCAAGGAUAUAUAUAAGGAUAAUUUAUGCAAUUUUGGGUCUUAGGAUGAUUCAUAUUAGGUUAGUGUUCUUCUCUUCUGUAUUUAAGGUUAAAAUAGAAAUAAACCUAUGCAAAUAUCUAAAUUAGGGCUGUAAGACUUCCACAUGCAUCCUUCAGUCUCAUGGAUUUGAUUUUACUAUAGAUGCAAGUGUCUUUAUCGAAAAUGCUUGGAGUCAAUUGAGAGAACUCACAGCCAAUAACUUGUCACAUGCUAGUCUUUGCUAGUGAUGCAAGAAGUCACAAGGUCUCUUCAACAUUUGAACCAAUAAAAUUAUUAAGUCAUGGAUGUCACUAGCAAUGAUUUCAAUAUAAAACAUUAAAUAUUUCAAGUUGUAACUUUAAAAUGGAUUCUUUUAUUCAAUAUCUUAGAACUAAGUUUCCUUAUGAGAAGAUAAUAGUUUCAGUAGUAAUUUACAUGAAAUUUUCUAUAUUUGAAUUAUUUUCUAGUUAGGGAUGAACUAACCUGAUCAUGAAGAAUCCCAAGCAAAGUUUCCCUCUCAUUUUCCAUCAAAUCAUGUGAAGUGCCAAAUUGAAGAGCAGCUCUUGCAGCGCAAGAAUUGUCACUUUGAUUCUCCGCUCCAUACUUGCAACAAUCUUCAGCCAACUUUCUCGCUACAAUAUUUGAAUACAAAAAUAUUGUACACAAGAACCAGUCAAGAAAAUAAAAAAAAAAUCAAAUAUUAUAACGAGAGCAAGAGCAAACAAACAACCUAUUUCCAUUUGUUUCAAGCUUACUGCAACAAACCCUUCAACGCCACGGACAAUAUUCCUCUGAAAAUGCUGUGCUACAGAGCAUAUAUUCCAAAUUAUUGUUCAGAUAAAACCAUAGAAACCAUCAUAAUUAUCAACAUACAUUAAGCUCCGUUUGGUAAAUACUUGCAACUUCAGUCUAGAAAAUACAGUUGUUUGUACCAUAUUUGACAAAAUUAUUAUUUAAAAAUCAUAACUAAUUACCAAAAGCCACAAUAAAUCAAUAUCAAACAGAGUCUUAUUAUUAGCUAAAGGAGGAUGGUGCCUUAGCUGCCCUGGUGGAAUUGUAUAGAUUUUAAAGUUGUUGGUGACACUCAAUUUCAGCUUCAUGAACCGCAAUAUUUUCAAUACCAAGAUGGAGCAGAUGCUUCAAUGCUGCCUGUACAAAUCAUAAAAAACUAAUAAAAAUAAAUAAAAUCGAUAAAUUUCACUAACUAAAAGUCUAAAUAUAAUUUUUGAAAAAAGAAAAGAAACGGACUUGCUGCUGCUUGGCGACUUGUUCUCGGUGCUUGAUUGCCUGUUUCUUGAUAGCUUCCAUACUGUUUCUUUCAAAAAGCAACGACGGCUCAGCUCAUGGAGGUGGAAAAAAAAAGUAUGAUCGAGAAAAAUAAAAAGGCAUGAAUAAUUUUUGACAAAAAGCGAAAAAUAAAAAGGCAUGAAUAAUGAAUAAUUUUUGACAAAAAGCUCUUUCCAGAAAAUAAAAAAAGAAAAAAGAAAAAAGAAAAUUAUAAGUUUGAAAGGAGUAGAUGAUAGUGGAAGUGUGCGGUGUGGCUGCCAGCUACUUGAAUUGUAUUGUCGGGUAAGGUAAUAGUAGAGAAUUUUUUUUUUUGAAGAAAAAUGGGUAAUUUUUAAAAACCUCCCCUGAGGUUUGGGCUUGUUGUAAGUAGAUGGCGAGAAUCCAUUUAUUUGUAAAAAACCCCCUACGUUUUUGCUCCGCUUGGUUGCCGUUUGGGCAAUUGUGGGCAUUGUUGACAUUUCGCAAUAAAACAAAUCUUUUGCAACUUUCGUUUCCUUGAGAACAAUAGCUAGAUUUCUCAAUCUGUUUCAUCCAACACUUCAAAAAUUUCAACUUUUAUGAGUUAUUGCAUUCUCUGGCAAAGUAGACUUCUUCUAAUUUUAUCACAGUGCUUUCAGGAACAAGAAUGGGAUCCAUUAACAUCCCCUCAAAUUUUACAGCUUCCUUACAGCUAUACACUGCUGUAACACGAAGUUUAAUGAUUCCAUCGCCAAAUAGUCCCCAAAAUCUAUUCUUCCCCAUAUUGAACAACUUAAGUUCACAACACUUGCAUUCUAAAGGCUUCCCACUAACAUCUAAUAUCUCAAGACUCAACGUUGCUUUACAAUAAUUGUUAUUACUACCAAACAAACAUGAAGAAACCCCGAUUAUCGGAUAAAUCAACCCAAAAUGAACAAGAGAAGAACCCAAAACAAGUGAAUCGCUAGAGCAAAACCCCCAACCCAUAUCCCUAAUCCCACACUCAAAAAAACCCAAUUUCUCUCCAAAGUCAUUGACACUAGCAUCACUACUAGACUCUAAUUCCAAUCCUAGAUUACAUUUAAUGUUAACCCAACUAAAAUGAAUGUUCUUACUACAAUACGCAUCGUUUACACUCUCAAACAACGCGCUGAACUUACUCUUAAACGAUCCCACAUUGGUCAAACACUCAUCACUCACAUCGACAUCCAAGAAUUCACUCAAAAACUUCAUAGACUCGACAAUUGGAGAAAACAAAACCACUAAACUCAACUUUAUACAAGCAUACCCAUCGAGAAUCUUACCGUCAUUAACCGAAUCACAACAAAUCACCGGGUCCCACGCGCAGUCGUGAACGAGCUUACGCAUGGACGGGGCAACAUUUAACCCCCGCGGCAAAAACGACGAAGCUUUGGAAAAAUUGUGUUUUAGAGCUGGGUUGAGGAGUAGAGAUUGGAGAGAUUGGAAGGUGGAAUCGGGACGGUCAAAGGAAAGAGAGAGAGAAGGGAAGGGGAUCUUUAAAAGAGAAGUGGGGAGAGGGAGGAGAAGAAGGAUUUGAAAGAGAAAAGAGAGGAACGGAGAGGCGGGAAUGAGAUUAAGGUUUUCACUGCAACUAAAAGAGUAAUCAUGUAUGGCUCUUGGUCUUGGAGAUGAAGGAGAGGAUUCAGGUCGAUUAAGAGGACUAUACGCUGCAUUUUGGUGUAGUCUGCCGCCAUUGGUAGAAGUUUCGAAGUGGGUUUCUGUUUAGAUCCGAGUUUGACGAAGAAACGUGGUGGUUGCGCUUGGGACAAUAUUGUUUUUGCACUGGUCAAUGUAGAAAUUAAACGAUGGUAGGGUGUUUUUUUAUAAAUAAAUGAAUUCUCGCCAUUUAUAACAAGCCGAAACCUCAAAAGAAGAUUUUAAAAAUUACCCGAAGAUUCGAAAAAUAGUAGAGAAUUUUUUAAAAAGCUAGAACAGAGCAUGCUAGACUUUUGUGGACCAAAUUCAAAAGCCGAAGGGCACGGCCCAAAAGCUUUUGAAUACAAUAACUUACUAGAAAGCUCCAUUUUUUGUUGGCUACAGUAAAAGUAUGUUGUUUUAUGCUUCUUAUAUGUUACGCUUGCAUCAGCCUCAAUCACUUCUUAAUCGCUUGCUUUAACUGCAUCGCUCUCUGUGUACUCUUCUACACAUGUAACGGUUAUGCGGUUGUAGUUCACGGCUGAGGCUACGUGUUGGUUUGACGCGGCAGUUACGUUACGACAUUACGAGUCUGUUAAACAUUCAGUGAUAGAGCAUUAUUAGUUAUUUUAAGGGGACAAAUAAGAUUGGUUGCAAUAAACCCACUAAUAUUAUAAAAUUCGAGUAAUAUAGAAUAAAAUAAAAAAAUACAUACAAAAUUGGCUUUUAUUUUUUAUGGUUGACUGUAUUUUGUGUUCUCUUUCGGCACUACUACAUCAGUCACACCCAUAUAUCAUCAAUACAAGAAAUGAAAUCUAAUGUCACCUAUUUAGUUAAAGAAUUACUCAUGAAAAAAUUUUACCAUUUUACUUUGAGGAUCCAUAUUUUGAACUGCAAGCUAAUGUUCAUCAAGAAUCACUAAUGUUCAUAAAAAACAGAGCAUGGCCGUUGAGUAGAAAAACUAUUUUUGGACAAAUUAUUUUUGUUGAUAAAAGAAUUUCUUAAGGGACUACUAAUAUUAUGAAUAACAAUGUAGAACACACCCACAUAUCAUCGACACAAUUGACUUUAAGGAUCCAUGCUUUGAAUUGCCACCUAAUGUUCAUCAAGAACAGAGUAUGCCUUGUGAGUUGUGAGUAGAAAAUUUUAUGAUUUUGGUCCGAAAUAAAAAGAAAUUAAAUUAGAUGAGAAUCUGCCACUUUCUCAUAAAGAAAGGCAUACGGAGCAUACCAUGGUACCAUACAAUACAAAGAGUCUCUAUUCUCUGGUUUUUCAAACUCUGAAGGGGCCAAUAUUCCCGAAUUCCCCCUUGAAAAUUCUGAUUACGACAUUAUUCAAUUCUUGACACAAUCAAAGUAGCGACAAAGUUAAGAAAAAUAUGAGUCCUAAGUAAUGGCUAGGUAGGGUUCUUGAGAGCAAAAUUGUCCUAAGCAUUAUAUGCAUACAUGGUGUGGUACAUAGAGCACGUUGAAUUCCACACUAUAACACAAACCCAGAAAGACAAGUAAUAACUCAACUGAUAUAAAAACAAAAAGAAGAUAAAAUGAUAUAGAAAAAAGAAUUUCAAAGAGACAGCAACAUACGAUAGACUGAAGCCACUUGAUCUGCUCACUGAUUGCAGCCUUAAACUUACAAAUAGUUACUGUACGCUAGUGCUCUAAGAAGUGAAAAUGAUAAGAGACCUAAUUUCCUUUUGACUUCCAUUUACUGUCAAACAUUCUAGUAAUACAAAAAAUUGUUUAGAUAUCUUGCUAUAAAUAUAGUCGUUUGACUGUCAUAAUAAAGUCACAAAUAACCAUUCAUAUUGAUCCACUGUCACACAGCAUGCUUUAUGCAUACAACAUCUGCAUGUAUACCAACUCCUAACCUUAUCAAUACAUUUGGCAAAAACUUAAGAAGAAAACUAUUUCUCCAUCUCUUUUUUGAAAUUUCACAAUAAACCAGCACAUUGUGAAAGCUAUGUUCUAAUCUUAUGAUAAAUGCUCUAGACUCCAAAAGGAUUUUAUUUAUGAGAGUUUGUUGCAACAGAUAUAUUGACUUAUCAAGUAUGAAUCAUUGUCUGGAUGAACUAUCUUUAAAUAAAAGAAUAUUAGAACCACUGUAGAAUAUCUUUACGCUGCUGGUUCUAACAGGAAUCUGCAUGUGGCAACAAUUGCUAGAUCCACAAUUCCCCAACUUGAAAUACAUAGUUGCACACCGUGAGAUAGUGCUGCAAUCUACUGAGAUCUAACUUAUUUGAUACUUUAAGCUACUAAUGUUUGCAUAUUUCUACAUGUUAAAUUGACACUACCAUCUAUAAUCACCCCAAAACGACAAAUGAAAAGCAGCUUUUGGCCACUUAUUACUAGCAUCCACAACACAAUUAUAAAUAAGAGAUCAUGGGUUUACUUGUUGCAACUACUUAAUGAUCUGCAUUUGAUACCCUGACGCAAGGUUUAAAUAGUGACUGCUUAGAACCCUUGUAGUUGGAUCUUGACCUCUCCCAUUGUAGCCAAGAUUGGCUACUCUGGUAAUGAAUCAACACUCUCCUGCUUAUUUUUUUAUUUUUAAAAAAUAACGAAAUCAUAAAAUAAAUAAACACGUGUUUGGUUUUGGGCAUUUUCGUUUGUUCAUUUAAUAUCAUCUGGUUCCCUGAUUUUUGACUAAUUAACAACGGAAUCCUGUUAGUUUCUAAAUUGAAAUAAUAAAAGGUCAUGAGAUUAUUUACUCCAUUUAGCACUGUAGACUUAGAGUAUAUUGAAAAAGCUUUGUCAAAUAGUAGUAAUAGGGGCAUAAUAAAUAAGUUUUUCAGAAUUUACAUAAUGUACUUGGCUCUAGGAAGAUUGCCCUCUUAUCACUCAAGUUAAGUUUUGCCUUAGAGUUGAGGUAAAUCAUUAAAAUAAAUUAUAGCUAUCACAAAUUCGUUAGGAGAAUUUCAAUUUUUUUUCCAUUAAAUGGCUAUGAGGCAAAAUUACCUCAGCUUAUAUUGCAACACUAAUACUUCAAAUCCUAACAAUAAAAUUGAUGACAAUGGUUUUUAUGUAUAGUAAUUUUCACUCUUUUGUUUGAUCUAAAAGUAGUUCUUAAAAUGACAAUGAUGACUUAUUUAGAAGAAAUGGCAAACUUAUAGUUUGUAAUAUUGUUUGCACAAACAAUAAAGACUAAUUUGAUAAUAAUGAAGUGUUAAUUACUAUUUAACAUUUUUAAUUAAUUUUUAAAUUUAAAAAAAAAUGAAGGCCCAAACUUGUGCAUUAAAUUUUAAUUAAAAGUUGAUUGCUUCGAAGGUUGGAUCGUGACAAAUUGACAAUUGAAAAAAGAAGUAGGGAAUAUAUAUUCUGAUGAAAGGGACAAGAUUAAGCAAGGGGACAAUAUUGUCUAUUGGACCUACAAAUGGGGGCAAAGAUAUAUAUAUUCCAAAAUUUCUUAUUUGUGGAUUGGCCACCACGUGUAACUAAUAUAAAAAGAGAAAAUUUGGCAUGGUUUUAACCGAUAUAAGGGUCCGUUUGAGAUUGAGGUGCUGUAACUUUUAAGGUAUAGCUGCUGUGGAAAAAAAAACUGUAAGUAUUAAAUAAAAGUUAAUAAUAUAUAGUAAAUAUAAAUUUUAAAUAAUAAUUUUGAUGAAAUUAUUAAAGAUAUAAUAGAUUUUUUAUUAUACAAAUGAAAAUUCAUAUCAACAUAGCUUAAAAGUUACAGCAGUUAGUGUUUACCAAACACUUUAGUGCUGUAGCUUUUAAGCUACAGCUGCCCAACCUCAAUCCCAAACGCACCCUAAGAAGAGAAAAUUUUGAGUGUAUAAGAAGAGAAAAUUUUGAGUGCACAACAAGAACAAAGCAAAACCCAUGAAAAUUCACCUUUCAUGUGGGUUGGAUUGGAUAAAAUCAAUAUCUUGAAUAAAACAAAAUGUUUGGUACUUGAAGGUUUUUUUAACAUUUUCAUUUUUUUUCCAUUUAUGAAGUCCAAUUUUUUUUUAAUUUUGAUUUUUUUGAAUGAUUUUGCAGGUGUUGAUAUAAGGUCAUCAAAAGUUUGUGAACUUGGGGUGUUGAAUUAUAAGGCGAAGCGUGUGUUUUAUCCAUUUGAAGCAAGUAAAUUUCGUUGUCGGUAUGAUUACUAUUGGGCUUCUAUCUUCAAGGUAUUCAUACAUUUUCCCCUGUACUAUAAGCUUCUUAGUGGCGGUCUUGUGAGCGGAAGUGAGCGGUGUGGCUGACAGCUUCUUGAAAAUUAUAAGUUUGAACAGAGCAUGUUAGACUUUUGUUGACCAAAUUCGAAAGCCAAAUGGCACAGCUCAGAAGCUUUUGAAUUGAAUAACUUACUAGAAAGCUCCAAUUUUUUGUUGGCUACAGUAAAAAGAGGUUGUUUUAUUCUUCUUAUACUUUACGCUUGCAUCAGCUUAAAUCACUUCUUAAACGCUUUGCUUUAACUCCACCGCUUCGUACUGUUCUAUAGAUGUAUCGGGUAUGCGGUUGUAGUUCACUGCUGAGACUACGUGUUUGUUUAACGUGGAAGUUACGUUACGAGUCUGUUAAAACAUUCGGUGAUUAAAGUAUUAUCAGUUAUUUCAAAGGGACAAAUAAGAUUAGCUACAACACACACUAGUUUUAUAAAAUUCGAAUGAGAUGGAAUAAAAUAAAUAAGUAAAUUGACUUUUAAUUUAGUGCUUGAAUAUAUUUUGUAUUCUCUUUGGGCACUGCUGUAAUUGUUCCUUAUCACACCCAUAUGUUAUAGACACAAGAAAUGAAAUUUAAGAUCACCUGUUUAAUUAAAGAAUCACUCAUGAAAACAUUUUGUCAUUUUGAUUUGAGGAUCCACAUUUUGAACAACCAACUUAUGUUCAUUAAGAACAAAGCAUUGCCUGUGAGUAGAAAAUGAUUUUUGAACAAAUUAUUUUUUGUUUAUAGAAGAAUUUCUCAAGGGACUAUUAAAAUUACUAAUAAAAAUGUCAGACGCACCCAUGUACCAUCGACAAAAUUAACUAUGAGGAUCCAUGUUUUGAACUGCCACCGAAUGUUCAUCAAGAACAUAGUAUAACUUGUGACAAGAAAAUUUUUUGAAUUUGGCCUAGAACAAAAUGAAAUUAAAUUGAAGGAGAAUCUACUACUUUCUCAUUAAGAAAGGCAGACGGGGCAUACCAUGGUACCAUACAAUACAAAAAGUGUCUGUUCUCUGACUUUUCAAACUCUGAAGGGGGCAAUAUUCCCCAAUUCCCUUGUGAAAAUUCUGAUUACGACAUUAUUCAUCGCUUGAUACAUAAGUAAAAGUAGUGAUAAAAUUAGAAAAAAUAUGACUUAUAAGUAAUUACUAGGCAGGGCUCUUGAGAGCAACAUUGUGCUAGGCUUUAUAUGCAUACAUUGUGUGGUACAUUCUACACUAUAACACAAACCCAGAAAGACAAGUAAUAUCUCAAAUUAUAUAAAGACAAAAAGAAGAUAAAACGAUACAGAACAAAGCAUUUCAAAGAGACAGCAACAUACAAUAGACUAAAGCCAGUUGAUCUGCUCGUUGAUUGCAGCCUUAAACUUGCAAAUGUUUACUGUAGCCUGGUGCUCUAAGAAGUGAAAGUGAUGCAAACCUUGAUUCCCUGUUUACUUCCAUUUACUGUCAAACAUUCUAUUCAUACGAAAAAAAUUGUUUAGAUAUCUUGCCGUAAAUAUAGCCAUUUGAUUGUCUUAAUAAAGCCACACACAACCAUUCAUAUUGAUCCACAUUGCCAUAUAGCCUGAUUUAAGCAUACAACAGCUGAAUGCAUACUGACUCCUAACCUUAUCAAUACAUUGGAGACAACUUAAGAAUAAAACGAUUUCUCCAUCUCUUUUUUUUAAAUUUCACAAGAAAACAGCACAACGUAAGAGCUGCAAUGAAAAUGGACCGUCAGGAACUAUGGCGGAAGCUUCAACUAGUGUAGUGAUUUGACCUUCUUAUUAACUUAGCGAUAUCAAGCACUGCCCUUGAUCUUGAACAGAUCAAUACAAUACGCACAACUUAUGAUUGAAUCCAGAAACAAUCAAAUCUUUAGCAAGAAAAAUUAAUCAGAAUCAAGAAACAAGUUCAAUGAAUAUAAACCUAUAAUUGGAACAAACACAGCCAAAGAACCCAAGAAUGACACAACCUACACCACGGGAGAAGCUUUCCAGUGAGAUUUUAUUGAUGAUCAAAGAAGAAUCUUUUUACAAAGCUAACAAAAGAGAUUUCAAAGAAUAAGCUAUGACUCUCUCUCUUCAAUCUCUCUCUAGUUUGUUCACAGUGAUGACCCCAAUCUGCUUCGUUAGCCAGCUUCAUAAUUGCGUCAGUGACAAACUAGCAAACCCAGAUUGAGCAGAUUACCGACACGUGGAUAACGGCUAUUAAGAACUUGGUUAAAGAACUGCUCACAUAUUCGUCACGCGUGUUACUUAAAUGAUGGCCAAAACGACUUCAACCAGAUGUCGUUUUGAAGCUUGUGAAUUAAAUUGAAAACACGUGCUUGUCUCGUGACACUUAAAUACAACAACAAGCCCAAAACACUGCCGUUUCACUUUGUUGAGUUUGCCAUCUCUAAGCUUCACAACUAGCAACGGAGAAGAUGAUAAUUAAAUUGACAUGGAGAGUUUUUAUAUCACUUUUACAACAUUCUAUAUAAUUGUGAUAUUGGGAAUCGUCGGUGUUGUAUAUGUGAACUCUCGUUGGCGACACUGGUGGUUUUAUUUUUGUUGAAAUAUGGAUGACAUUUCGUUACUAUUUUAUUGUACACAACCUUAUUCUUAGGAGAUUUAAUCAUUGAAAUUAACAUGUUAGUUUCAUUAGCCACUAGGCCUUUGGCUGAGUCGUUCGGGUGUCUGCCCUCCAACUUGGAGGGCACCAGUUUGAACCCCCACAAGCGCAAUGUGGGGUAUUUUCUUCUUUAAUCCCUCGAAUAUUACUGAGGGUUAAAAUCUAGGUAGAGCUCCAUAAGUAUUAAUGUAAGUUGGUUCCAGUAAUAGUCUAAUUUAAAAAUAUCAGUUAUAGUCUCAUGUAAGAUGAGUUGUAAUUUGAGCAAUAGUCUCAUAUAAUAAUAAUAAAAUAAAAUAAACAUGUUAGCUUCAUUACAUUUUUCUUCGUUAAAAUUCUCAAGUAUUAGUCAGGUUUGCUUAAGUAAUAAAAUUUUGUCAUUAAAAUUGUAGUAGUAUUUCUGAGCACCUCACAUUUUCAAUGAUUGUUCAUAAAUCAAUUAAUCUGCCGUACCGAUAUUAGGUUUAGUUUUUCAUACUAAAUAAUCAAGAAAGCAAACAUACAAAUUCACAGUUUAGAGGGGUAAACUAGGUUGGUGGUUUAGAUUUUAGAACUAGGCUAGCUACCCCACUAAAUUCCAAUUUGUACAGUGAACUACAAGAAAUUGAGAAAACAGUGUAUUUAUAGUUUAAUUGAAUCGUGAGAAAGCAAUGUAGUCAUAGCUCAAUCUGAGAUGAUCACGGAGAGGCAUAUUCUUUUCAAGUUAAUUUGAUCAAUUUAUAAGAGAUGAAGUGGAUUGAAGUUAAAAGUUUAAAUAACAAAUCCUUGUUCUUGAGUUUUACGACGUCGUUACUCCUUCAAGAGGCAGAUUAUUUAUGCAAGUGAAUGCAGAAACGCAAUGCAUCAUCCACGGGGAUGGUACAUCAAAAGGCGGGAUCAUAGUCUAUGCCCGCAGAUUAACAAUUUCGCUCAUAUAGAAAAUUAAUUUUUUAUAUAUACUAAUCAACACUAAAUUGAUUAUGUUUUGUAUGUUUAUAUGCGAAUCAACACUAAAUUAUAUUAAAUGAAGAAAUAAUUCAAUUUUUUUCUAAUUUAAUUUAGAAAAUAAAAUUAUUAACAUUAAUAUUCCCAACAAAAAUUAUUUUCCAUUAGUAUUCAAAGUCUUCACUUAUGGAAAAUGUGUUUUACAUGAAUAUUAGUUACUGUGUGAAUUUGAAUGAUAGUGAAAAAUAAUUUUUUAAUUAUUGUAAAAAUAAUUAACCAUAUCAAAUCCCUUACGUAAAUAAUUUUUAUUUUUUAAAAAGAUAGAAAGAUGGUUAAUGCACAAGUAAAUUUUAAGCCCCUCUCUUCUUGGCCGAAGAUUCAAACUCAGAUGACUAGUUAAAUAAACCUAUGUGAAAAUCAUUCGGCCAGGUCCGCGGGGCAAAAAUACAAGAUCCUUAAUUUCAUAAUAUAUAUGAAUUAAUGUCAUUUACUUGAAUUAUCCAAAUUCAUCAGAGGUUAACGAAUUUUCCUGACAUGUAGUAGAUGAAGUUGUUGCUUCCUUCUUGGCAUUAUUUCAGCUCUGGUUGUUGGUCCCGAUGAGCUUUAGUCUUAUUUUAAUUUUAUUUAAACUCAUCAUAAGAUUCGUGGAGCACCUAACUGCUUAACUGACUGUGCAGAAAUGUCACAUAGCAUAUUUAACCGUUUUAACAGUAAUUUUGAACGGUCUUCGCAGUUAUCAUCAACAAACUCCUUCAUACUGGUCCAAUAUUCCGGACGAUAUCAUAUGCCUAAUAAUGAAUGAAUGGUCUUGGAUCGGUGUUUCGCAGCAAGAGCAACUCGACAAAAUCUGGAGUCAAGCUCCUCCGAUCGAACAAGGGAUUUCGAUUGAUGAUUGAGUUUCUUUGUGCUCAAGCAAGUUCAAAUCAUAGUUUUGAUUCUUUAGAUAUGAAUUCAUCACAUUACAUAUAACAGAUUGAGUUAAACAAAAUUUUAAUUUACUGAGAAAAGAAUUCUAUUUUGUGAACUAAUCAAUUGCAAAGCAUUAGUGUUGAACGAUACAAAAAAUUGGGAAAAAAAAAAAACUUAAAACGUGUGGACUCGGAUAGUCACACUAGAAAUCUACCACAAUAAUUACCUUUGAUGCUUGGAAUCUUUUAAUUUCUAGCCGUGUUGACUCCACUAGGUGAAGUUUUUGAAAUAAUAAUAAGCUCCCAUUCUUGAUUUAAAAAAAUGUGCUUAUAAUAAUUUUAGAAUAAUGGCUUAUUUAUAGAACAACUUAUGAUUUCCCAUUAGCAUUAUUAUUGAAGUGGGGUGGGUAACGGUUCACUCAAUUCGUCGGGAAUAAAAAAUUACCAUCCAAGGCAGAAUUGUAGAAAAUUAAAGCGAAAUGGGAAAUAUGGAAAUGAAGGAAGAAAGUUAAGGCAUGAAAGACUUCCAGUUGAAAUUGGUAAUCAUGUUUCUCUUUGGUAACUAAUCAAAUGGGAAACUGAACCAUAAACAGACAUUAAAACAUGUGUACUCCGCUGGCUGCCUUACAAGCCUACAAUAAUAACUGAGUACCUUUGAUUCAUCCUUCUAUGAAUUUCUAGCCGUAUUGACUCCACCGAAAUUUCCACAAAAGCAAAAAAAAAAAAAAAAAAAAAAAAAAGAAGAAUUUCCACAAAAUGCAAAACGCAUGGAACUUAAUUUUUGGCCCUGUGAUCACUAAGAUACAAUCCUUCUAGUGAAGAGCAAUCAGGCAAAUUUUUUUAGAUCUCUCCGACAAAGUGAUUACCAUCUAAUCGCAAUAUUGAACAAAAAUAAAAAUUUUAAUGGGAGUUUGACCUUAAAUUUAGAAAAUGAAUUUUCACUUUCUUCAAUUAUUAAACAGAUUACAGACAUUUGAGGAAUUUGAAAACACUUUAUCCAUCGAAAGUUAAAAUUAGAGAUGGAAGCUAGGUGCUACAGCUAAUGGGAUCAUUAAUUCCCCUCCCUCAAAUGUGUAGUUGUUCCUCUUUCCACAGCAUAAGCCUUAUAGUUAGAGUUUCUUUUAAAAAAAAAUGUUAAACAAUUUCGGUUGAGCAUGGUUUUGGUAGUUGAAUAGACACCUCCGCCGUACCUCAAACAAAACUGUCAUUAUUCGUGUCAUGAAACAUGUUUCGGCCGUCAAAGUCAUGAGUAGGAGUGGGCAUGGGUUGGUUUGGGUUAGAUUUUAAGUCAAUUUAAAGCAAACCAUAAAAAUUUGGGUUCAAUCCAAACCAACCCACAUAUUUUUAACCCAACCCAAACCAACCUAUUUGGGUUUGGUUUGGGUUUGGGUUUUGUUUGAAUUUUAUAAUUAAAAUAUUUUUUAUUUUAAUAAAUUUAACUAUAUCAAAUUAUAAUAAUUAUUAAAUUAAUAUUAAAAUACGAAAAAAUGUGGUGGAUAAAAAUUAUGAAUAAUGGAUUUUACAAUAACUUUGUUCUUAAAUAUUAACCAUAUUACAACAUAAAUUUUAACAAUGUCAAUACAAAUUAAAGUAAGAUAAGAUAUCUCAACUCAAGCAUCAAAGCAAUCCAUCAAAAUUAAAUUAUUUAAUUUUAUAAAUUUAAAUCUUCCGAGAAAUAAAUCUAAAAUUUAUUGUAAUUAGAAAAAGCGCCAAAAUUUUAAACGCAGUAAGAAAAAUUAGACAUGAAAUCUAAUUAGGUUUAAAUUUAAUUAAAAAAUAACAAUAGAAUUAUAUUUUAUUUGAUAAAAUCUUAAAAUCAAUUGCAUUUUUAAUUUUAGUAAGUUACAAUACAAAUAGGAUUAUAAAAUUAUAUUACAGGAUUUCAUAAAAAUAUUAUUUGAGUAAUUUAUUAAAGGACUCACCUACGUUGCCACAGUUGUAGCUUACCACACUUUUUGUCUUUUUCCAGUAAAAUCGUAGAUGCUUUCAAAUUUAAUCUAACGGCUGCAAUUAAUUAUUAGAUAAUUUAAUCAGCCGUUGGCAACCUUUACAACCGGUUAUAUUCUCUCGUUACAUUUCUCGGCUACCAAACAAUCCCCAAGAAAAUGACGAAGUGAGUAACUAAUACACACACCGCAGAGAAAGAUGACAGGAGAAGAGAUGACGGUAGGCCCACCGGCACAAAGGUUCUUCGAUUGCUCAAUUUCUUCGGCGCCAGAUUUAUCUACACAGCUACAAUCGACAAGUGGCGGGAACUCGAGCGGAAGUCAUUGAAGAAGAAACAGCAAGAGAGCAAUCUAUGGACUGAUGAUAACUCAGCAACUACGGUAAAGAAAGCCGUCAAAUGAUUUUUUUUAUUUGACUUUUGAUGGAUUUUCAAGAGUUUUGGUAAUAAAAUGUCUCUUAAUUUUUCAUUUCAAUGGCCUAUUGUUUGAGUUAUUAUUAUGCAUAAUUGUUGGAAGAGUUAGGGUUUUACUAUUGGAUUUUGGAAUUUGUAUUUUGGCUUUGAUAUGUUAUUGUUGUGAUGUCGGUCAAGAAAUUUUUGACAACACUCUCCUCGAGUUUGAUACUAUAGCUAAUGAAAUUUUAUGGCAAAUAUAUUCUUUUCUUUGAAAAAAAAAAAAACACUUUACAACUGGUUAUGCAUUCAUUUAGGAGUUGUUAACUGAGCGUGAGUUCCAUAAUUUUCCAACCAGUGGUUAGGGUUUCAUAGAAAAAUGUCGACAUUGAUCUUUAGGCAGCACUUAAGACUGAAAUUGGUUGUAGAGGAUCGAAUUUGGGGAACUAGAAAUUUCUGAUCAUUAAUAAUUGAAAAUGGCCUCUCACUUGUAGGCAGUUGUUGGAUGUAAUGUAUCCAGUUUCUGAAAUCGAAAGCAGAGUGAGUUCUUAGGUUAGAUGUAACUACAUGCAUUAAGGUUCGAAGAUGUAGAAUAGGCCAAUUGUUUGAUGUCAGCUUUGUUGCACAUGUUCUGAAAUUGAUCAUUUAAGAUGGCUUGGAAGCACUCCGUGAUGUGACUAAGAAGAUUCGAGGAAGUAUUAAAUAUGUUGAAAGUUCACAAUUAAUAUAAGGAAAGUUCAAUGAGAUCACCCAACAAGUUGAAAUCAACGGUCAAAAGAGCCUAAAGUGUGAUAUUUUUCUCUUGGAUUGUUUUUUUAUUUUCCAUUUCAAAGCUGAUAGUGUAAAUAUUUUGUUUGCAAAAGUUUCUAAAAAGUACUUGAGUCAAGAUGGUUAGGUAUUUCAUAACUUCCUUUUUACUCUUAACUAGAUUCAUAGAGAGUUAUAACAUUAACAUAAUUUUUCUUUUAAAAGUGAUCAAUUAGACACUGAUGAGAUAUCUCACUUUUGAAUCAUUUAGCUUUAUGUAAUGUCAUUACUAUUAUAUGCCCCCAGGAAUUGUUGAAGUAUAUAUAUCUUGGCAUUUCUUCACUGACUGAAUUAUCUUUCAUAAUAUUCCAGCUUCAAAUGGGUACACUGCAGAGCCGAUUGGAUGCAGAAUUCCUUCUAGCUCAUAUGUGCUCUGUAAAAUUCAAAGACUGAAUAGUGGUUAUGGCAACUCUUUUUAGAUGAUCUAAGGUAUAAUGCCCAAUUAUUGCUUUUGCUUUCUCUGUUUUACCUUGCAACAUUUUGAAAUUUAUGAGAAGCAUAAAAUUACUGAGCCAAAAUUGAGGAUCUGAACUUUCGUAAAAAUAUUUGUAUUUUUAAAUUAUAAAAUAUUGCAUUUGAUGCUUUAGGUGGAACUUAGUUCACUACAGAAAGGAAAAUUAUGUUGGGCAUAACCAGAUGUUUUUCAAGAGAAAAUUUCACUGAUAUUUUUCUGAGGAUUUUACUUGGCCAUCUUAUUUCAAGCUGCUUGAAUUUUUUCUUUAUAUCAUCUUGGUUGUAUACUAUAACUCGUUGAAUUUGCUAGCACUUUUGCUAGUUGUUUAUUCUAUAUGUGAUUGUGGUGGUAAAGUUUGGAAGUUGUUUUUCUUAAUAACUCCAAUUAACUUGAAGUUGUUACCUGAUUUAUUAUGACAGUGUGCAUUACGAUAAGUAUCCUUGCAUAUUAAGAUUUUCCUUCCAGAUCUUUGCGGUACUUUUUGAUCUUUUCCGACAUGAUAUGCGAUUAUGGGAAGCAUAUGCCAUCACCUUACAGGUAUUCUCUUAAUUUUUAGAUAGUGCUCAAGAUGACAUUCAAGUUGGCUAUUAUUGGGUGCAAGAUUUACCAUGCUCUUAUUUUGCUUUUUUAGUCUAACCCGACAUUUGCUUAAUACCAUGAUCUGCUUCAAGCCUUGGAUGGAAAACUUUCAUUUUUUGUAUAUUCUGCAAUGAGAUGAGGGUAGUUUUUCUGAUGAUAUUUAGCAGUAAAUUGGGACUAAGGUGGCGUUUGUUUUUUAACUUAAUGACUUAAAGUGACUUAACUUAAUUAAUUAAGUUAAUUAGAGAUGUUUGUUUUUAUAACUUAAUGAGACUUUUUUGAUAAUUUUGACUUAAUAAAAUAAGCCAAUUUUUUUGGCUUUUUACUUAAUGGAGAAAUCUUAAUUAAGUCAAUUACUUACUAAUGUCAAAAAUAUCCCUGCUUUAUAAUUUAUUUUUCAUGUCUAUCCCAAAACUCACCCAUAGACAUUUACCCCACAUAAAAAUAUCCAUGUUUUUUCUUUCUUAUAUUAUAUACGAUAAAAUUUGAAAUUUAUGGUAUUUUAUAUAUUAAAAUUCCAAAAUAAUUAUGUAUUCACUUGAAUAUAGUUUUAUUUAUAAAUGUUAAAAUAUUAUGGUAUUUAAUAUAUUAUUUAUUUGACAUUCAAAUUUAAUAAGGAUACAAAUGUAAAAGUAUAUAUUUUCAGCUUUUUAAGUUAAAAAAACAAACAACUUAAUACUUAUUUUUCAAGAUUCAGACGAAAAAAUAAACAUAUUAUUCAGAUUCAGAUAUUCAGAUCUAUUCAGAAUUCAGACUAAUUCAGGUCUAUUCAGAUUUCAGACAAAAAAACAAACGCCACCUAACUAAAGUAAUUUUCUUAAUGGCAUGUCUACUUCUCAGAUGAAUGACCGUCUGUUCAGACUCCCAAGUGAUGAAUUAACAACCACCGAUCUAUUCUGGGUGAAGAUGAUGACGUUGACACCAAGCCAGUGGAAUGACUAGGACUUCCCUUUUGUUACAAUAAAUUGUGUUCAUUAGACACACACAGUUAAUUAGUGUAGAUAAAGGAGGUCUAUGAACAAUAGACUGUUUUGUAUUUCGAGAGUCCUUUUUUUGUUUCUUUCAUUCUCCAUUCUUUUGAAAUUAUGUACAAUGGUUAUAUUGUCUAUAUUAUUACGGAUUUAUGAUGGGAGUAUCCUAAGUUUAUGGAAUAAUUAUAAAUAAGGACUUUAAAUUUUUGUUGAAAGAAGUUGAGUGAGAGAAAAGAAGCUAAAGCAGUAAGCAUUUGUUAUACUUCAUUCGAUUGUAUCUAAAUUACAAAGGUUGGUGGCCUUAUUUAUAGUGAAGUUCCCACAGGCCACUUGCACUCAAAACAUUCGAAAUAUGCAAACAUAUUGAUAUAUAAACAUACAGAAUUAAUAUUCUGAAUCCUUGUAAGUAAUGCAAAUAAAAGUGAGGUUGGGGCAGACAAUAUUUACAUCAUGUAUUAAUAGAAAUAAAAUCAAUUAUUUCCAAAUAAAGUCACUUAGUUCAAAGCACGGGCUUCAGUUAAGUUGAACAAGCAAGCCAAUUUUUGUUGUUACUUCAUGAUUGUCGUAAGCCGUGGGUAGUGGAUCGUGUUCCCUAUAAAAGACAAACAGAAGCAUAAGUUUCUCUCAAUUAAGGCACCUGAAAUGUAUUUCCAUGUCUACUAACCUGGUCAUUCGUCCAUGAACUAAACCCUUCUGAGGAUCUUGAAUAGAUUUAUAGAGAUCUCAGAUAAUUUCCUGGUGUGCCUGAGUAAAGACAAGUCUUAUGUACUUGAUUACUUCUGGCCAAUCUAUCGAGGCCACCACCUGUCUCAGUCAAUUCAAUCUUUUAAUAGAGUGAAUUACUAGAAUAAAAUUGAUUAAAGUUGAUAUAAAAUCUAAAUUAAAAAAAUCAGAUAAGAGAAUGAUCCAAAAUCCAAAAAAUCAAAUAUUUAAGGAGUGGACUUGUGACCCUCUAUAGAAUCCAUGGAAGAGUAACUAAGGGAAAAACAUUAGAGGUGCUUUUGGCGAUACUAUUAGUAUUCUUGUGCUGAUCAUAAUCUUGGGGGUAGAUCUAGACUAAUUAGCUAUUCAUUGAACAAUCCAUUUCUCCACAGUUACAUGCAAAAAUGCAGCUUGCAGUUGCAGCCUAGACCAUAGAAAUAUAGAAUUCCAAUUAUCAACAUCUAAAGCUACUGUAGUGACUUGCAACCAUGAGAUGAUAUAUACAUAUGCUGAGAUUCAAAUAUUUGAGAAGUUUAAACAUCCUGAUGAAAAAUAGACUAGUUCACAGCUACUUUGGGGAAGUUGAUUUCUAAUAGCAGUAGAAAAUACAAGUUUUUUUAAACAUACCUACUCCAGUAAACUCAAUUAACCAAAACAAAACUCAAAGCAUGAAAAAGAGGGAUUUUAACUAACCUAAUCAUUAUCAUUGAUAUUUUAACAUAUUGAUCUUCACAUGGAGUUAACAAACACAAGACUUAGUGCCUAGUACAUAUGUCUGGGGUUGCACAGUCUGUUCGACAAAUUUAUUGAAACUAUAUCCAUGCUCCUUCUUCAAUAAAUAAAUAUCCUCUUGCUUCUUCCAUCCUACUCUAAUUCUUCCUGGAAAGCAUUCUCCCCUUCUCUAAUUCUUCCGAAAAAACAUAACCGACAAUCCUAAACUAAUUACCACCGUUAAAUCUUUCAAACAAAAUUUACAAUUUCUUAUCAGUAGUUUCCUGCCGCAUCCGAUCGAACGGCUCAUCAACGAAUCAAACAGACUUCUUUCCACCCUUUUUCCAUAUAAUUACAUUUGCCUAAUUCCUAAAGUUUCGGCUCCGCCCAAUGUCGGCCGCAAUUGGCUGCCGCAGCGAUAUGUUCAUCUUCAACUUCUCUGCUGCGAUUUCAAAUUUACUUCAGCCUCGUACCACCACACUUCCACUGGCAAUUAAUUUCAUUAUCCGAUUUUACUAUGUGUGGAAUAGAUUUGAGCAAUUUAUGAGUUUUCGCUACGAUUUCGACGAUGUCCUCUCAACACUAAUUUGAUCACCUAAUUUUAACUGUUUUGGGUUAUUUAUUUUUUUAUUAUAUUUAUCUACAGUCUCUGCAGGCAACUGACUACUUCACUUAUAUGUGGAACUCAUCUGAGCUAUUAGAUGGAGGCCCUCCAGAUCCUACGGCGAUUAUAUAUGAGGACAAAAAGUGUUGUAUGUUGGAACUGUUGCAACGUAGGAGGAUCCUUUAUUAAAAUGUUAAUUUAGUUUUUUAACUCAAGUUUAGACCGUAAAAAAUUGUUAUAUAAUAGUGUAUUGUAUAACCAAUUACAUAUGUAUUUGCCUUGUGCAACACUUCUAUUAUUAUUAUAUAAUAAUAAUUAGUAGUAGUAUAAUUACUAUAUAAUAAUAAUUCUAAUAAAAAAUUAUUAUUAAAAUAUUGAUUUAGCCUUUUAUUUUAUUUAAUUUACUUUUUAUUAAUAUGUUAUCUUGAAUUUGUUCAUGACCCAUGAGUAAACCAUACCCAAACCAUUAUAAAAUAAUUUCUUUCAUAAAAACUCAAAUUUAACCCAUUUCAUGAUUUAUCCAACCCAAAUAAUUUAAUUUAGUUUGGGUUUGGAUAAACCUAUGGAUUGUGGGUUUAUGCCCAACCCUAGUCAUGAGAGGGGUGACGACGCUGCAUAUGAUGACACACCAGCCGACAAUGUAGUAACAGCACAAAACCAAAAUCUACCAAAAUCAACCAAAGUCAAUAAAAAAUUAUUUUAUUAAUAAAAAAAAAAAUUAUUAUUUGUGGGGAUGUGUAUCUGAUUCUGUGGACUGAAAUGGAAAAUAUGACGAAGUUCAGAGUCGUUGUAUAGAUUGACUUCAGUUGAACGGGUCUAAUAGAUAUUUUAUGCUGACGUGGCACGAAUUAGUUAUAAUCUGUUAUAACGAUUCCAGAAAUAUCAGUAUAAAUAGAAGCUGAUGAGCAGUGCCUGUUGUACGAUCCUUUUCUUCUUCAGUUGUUCGUCAAUUUGCAUAGAAUCUGUUUCAUUGUGAUCUGUGCAAAGUCUUCUGUAAAUCCACGUAUGUUUGAUUAGUUAUUGAUCAAUAUCGAGAGUAAAUUUUUCCUUCAAAUCUUGCUGGUUCGUGCCCCUGUUUCAGUUCUGGAUUUUUCUUUUUUUGUUUAGUUCUGGUUUCUUAAUUCAAUUGAAUUUCUUGGUGCUUAAUUCAUCAAGAUUCAGUGGAAUCGACUUGAAAAGGACUCAAUAGACUCAAAAUUAUUUAACGACACUCUGACCGUGGGGUACCGUAAUCAUAAUCUGAUUUUAAGAAAAUUACAACUUAUUUUAAAUAGCGCUUCAAUGUAAUUCUAAAUAUUUAAAAGGAAAACAUUAUCCACCUGGAACGACUUCAAGUCCAAAGUAAAAGACAAGAGUGGCUCCCCGCAAUUUUCUUGUUUUCAGUAUAUUUUCUCUUUUUCUUUUUUAAAAUCUUUUGACGCAUGCAUAAUCUACCCUUGUUUAUUUUUAAAAUGGACUUUGCUCUGCUCAAGUCCAUUUUUUUCAAAUAUUAUUUUAAAUAAUAAAUUGAAUAAAAUUACAUUUGUGUAAUUAAUUAGUAUCUGAGGGGGGCAUAUUUGGUGUAAUGCUAUGUAAGACUCAGCUAUUAUAUCACACAUACGCAUAUAAUAUAAUUAAGCAUUUGUUAUUAUAGCAAAGAUCCAUAGCAUGAAAGUGAAUAAAUUUAACUAAAUGAUUAAUUAAUCAAUUAAGUUUCAUGAGCUUUAAUCGAGUUAAAACCAAGUACAAACAUCGUUAACAAAUACUGAAAAUUAGGAAAUUAAAAAAAAAAACUAAUUCAAGUAAGAUGUAGUUUUUACAUGUUGAUCAGCAGAAUACAACAUUACAUUUUGUCAUUGACAAUAUUGCAUACCAGUCAUCCAAAGCAUUACCUCACGAGGUUUUAUGAGAAACGAAAGAUAAGUGUUUGCUCUGAACAAUUAAAGUUGCUGCUACCAACCUCCCCGAAGACCAAGAAGACGGAACAGGAAGCUAAUGCAUCAAUGUCUUCUUCAUUACAGCUGCUGCGUAGUUAGGUGUAGUUUCCUCAUUUGAAGCUGUCUAUACAUAGGCUUUCCCCCUGCUUAUGUACAAAUAAAUGAACAGCCUUGAAGCUUUAUUAUUCGCAACAAAAGGGGUUACCAAUUGGAGAAGACUUUACAGAGUUUCUCUCACACUCUCUCUCUCUCUCAAUUUCAUCUAGAAGUCCCUCCAAAAGCAUCUCCCAAAACAGUUAGUCAUCUUUAAUACUCUGUUUUCUAGAAACAGAGUCCUAACUAGAUUAAUUGACUGUACAGUGCAUUUCAACAUAGCAUAUUUAACCGUUAACCGUCUUCUGAGUUAUCAUCAUCAAAUUCAUUCAUAUUUCUCCAGUCUUACGGACGAUAUCAUAUGUUUAAUAAUGAAUGAAUAGUCUUGGAUCAGUGUUUUGCAGCAAAUUCACAUCAUAGUUUUGAUUCUUUAGAUAUGAAUUCAUCACAUUACCGAAAAGAAUAUGCGCUAAAAAAUGAUUCCAAGACUAUUUGACUACCAAAAGCUGCUGUCAGAGUGCACUGAAAUUUCCGUAGGAUACUUUGCGGUUGUUUAUUAUGUUAUGAUGGGCAUAUAAUUCUCAAAUUUUGACUCCUCUCAGCGAAAAAUAUAUCAAAGUUUAGAUUAUGUGUUCGAGCUUUAAUAAAUGCCUGAGUUAAUAAUAAUAACAACAAUAAUAAUAAACUAAAAAGCAAAAUUACUAUUGAAUGAUCGGAAAAAAAAAUUAGAAAACGUGUGAACUCCAAUAACCACCCCACAAAUUCAGUGGCGAAUUUUGGAGAGGGCAAGGCCGGGCUUCUCAGAAAAAAAAAAAAAAAAAAUUAUUUGGAGAGGGCAAGGCCGAGCUCAUUCUUUGGUUUUACUUGCAGGGAUUGAAGAAGACUAGAAUGACACAAAAAAAAAAGAAAAAAAGAGUUGAGCGAGUGCAGGUUUUGUCUUCAUUUAAGGAGCUCUUUAUAAAUUUUAGGAUUUUUUUCCUGAGAAAAUUUAUGCCAACUCAUUCUUUGCUUCUUUUCUGAAGGGACACAUGCAACCGAAAGUAUAUUCUUGAAUUCUCCAGGAUAAGAGACAUACGUUUAGAUUCUGGAGCAUUUAAAACAAUGUCAAAUUUUAGAUUGCUGAAAUUUUAUAUAUCCGAGUAUGAUGGUGUUCCAAUUAUAAGCUCCAGGGUGCAAGUUCACUGAGGUUUAGAAUGCCUUCCUAUAGAAUUGAGAAAUCUCCAUUGGCAUAAAUAUCUUUUGAAAAUACUGACAUCAGAUUUUGAAUUGGAGAACCUGAUUGGACUCAGCUUGCCUUGUAGUAAGGUUAAGCAAAUUUGGAAAAGAGAAAAGGUAUAAUGUAUUACUAUUACCAAAGUAUCUAUUUUUCUUUCUUUAAGUAUUUAUAAUGAAUAACUUUUAAAUUCAAUGAUGCUCAUUUAGUAUAGUUAUGUAUCUUUGGUUAUAGGAAGCUGUCAAGUUAAAAUCUAUAGACCUUCACCACCCCUCUAUCUCAAUAGGAUCCCAGAAAUACUAAAUCUUAAAAAAAUAAAUCUUUUAAAUUGUGAAAGCAUGCUUACGUUACCCCCGUAUAUCCACAAUUUCAACUAGCUGAGUAUGUUGUGUUUCAGGGAUGCAAAAUUCAUUUUGUUUCUCAUGAAAGGAUUGACUUGUCCGGAUGUAUUAGGGUUAAUAAACCAACUAAUCCCAUAAUUUGUUGAUGUAGGGUCCUAACAAAUUAUUGCAGUAGAUUGUAGAUCAGUACACUAUUCGAAAACGUAUUUGAUCCACAUAGUGAAGUGGAUAUUGGACCAAUUUGAUGAUAAUGAAUUUCUUUCAACCUCAAUCUUUUUUCCUUUUAGCAACAUGACUAGUCAUUGCGCAAAUUCAAACUCUGACAAUGAUUUCUCAAUCGGUUUCUAAGAUGAUGACCAUGUAUGUAUAUGUAUAUGCGUGUGUGUAUGUGUGUGUGUGUGUAGAGAGAGAGAGAGAGAUCACACGUGUGUGAUUUCCUUUUGCUAAUAGGAUAUGCAGAGAGCUUGAUCUUACCCAAUAGCGAAACAAAAUUCCUAAUAGGUGAAGGUAUAGUAUAAAUACUUAUACUUUCAUGUUAUUUUGUUCAUCAGUAGCUCGAUUAUUUUAUAUGCGUCUUCGAUUUUAAUUUUCUUUCCCUAUAAUCGCUAUUAUCUUUGAACUGGUCAUGAUUUGCCUAUAAGAUUUCUCAUGUUGUUUUGAGGUGCAAUGGAUUUUGAAUUUAGUGACGAGCAGUGGAAGCCAGAAGGCAAAUUAUGAAAAUGGAUAAAGAUCUAUAAUUAGUUGUUAUGGGAUGUCACAUAUCAUAUUGAUGGUAACAUUAUAUAUAUGUACAUAUAAUUAAUGGGGUUGGCUCACGAAACCAUUAAUAAUCAUAUAUUAGCUUAAAUACUUCAAACAAUGUACCAUGAAGCAAUUUCACAAAUACUCGUUAGCUUACGUUGAGCUUUAUUGAAUCAGUAGUUCACAGUUCAAUAAAAUGCAGGUUUUCUAUUUAACGUACAUGGUUAUGGUGUGUGCAUUCUUCAUAAGGCUAACUACUAAUUUAUCAAUGAAACUUGAAAAAUGUAACAGAAAGAUGUCGAUAACAGCCGCAAAACACUGAGAUUGAAAAUCAGGGUUACUAAAUUCUAUUAAAAGCUCUUAAAAUAGACAGCGAUCAUCCUUAAUCGCAAAGUUAUGCACUAAUAGAACUAUUGACUACUUAUCUUUAGCAGAAGGUAUAUUUUUAACUACAGCUUUCUGCUUUGUUCUAAGAACUAGGCAAAAGUGGUAUAUCUUCAAUCCAAUCAACAUAUAUACCACUUAUGUUCCUCUUCACUUCUGUCCAUUUUGAUUUGCACUUCAUAUCCUGCACUUGCUGCUUAGAAAUAGUCUUAGUCCGGACAUUGAAAGUAGAAAAAGUACUUGAAACAAUCAUUGGCACAGCCCGAGAUUCCAUUGAAUCGUGGACUCCAAACUUUCAUAGUUCUAUAAAGAAAAUGACAAAACUUCAUACAACUGGCAUUCUGCUUUUAACAUUUGCACAACCUGAGCGAGUUAGCAAGCCCCUUGUUGCGUUCCCAUUGAAUAGACAUACUUCUGUUAUCCACAGAAGAUCCACCACUCAAAAUGUUUAUCACCAGGCUAUUCUUAAACUGAGCCUAAUGUCACGGGAUGAGUGUUUUGCGCAGCUAACCCGUGUGGCACUUAGACAACUUUGCCGAAUGUUGCUAAGUAAGCCUAGAGCUUCUCGAACUAGAGAAGAGAGCAAUUGAGCCAAAGAAGAAAACUUGUAUUGCACAAAGAGAGAAUACAAUGCUUGAGUUGCUUACAAUGUUUGUUGGAUACAAAUGCCUAAUGCCAUCCCAUAUUUAUAGGGGAGUCUUGACAAGCUCUAGAGAUUCUAGAGAAUUCUACCCACUAUCUAGAAUUUACAUGUGCUGGAAAGUCAUAGAGAAUUCUAGAAUAUUUACAUGUUCACAUGUGCUAGAGUUGCCUAGAACCUUCCGGAAUUGGGCCAAGCUAGCACUCUUGGCCUUGUAUUGGCUCUCUAGCCCGAAAUUGUGGGCAAUUGGGCUAGUGAAUUGGGCGGUCCGCAACAUCCUCCCCCACCUAAGCUCGCGGCGUCCUCGUCGCGCUCUCGUGCUUGAACCUUUGGAUGUGCUCAGCGAAUUGCCACAAAUCAUCUUCACGUUCCCAAGUGGCUUCGCUCUCGGGGAGGCUUUUCCACUUCACCAAGUACUCGCUAUGUGUUGGCACGCCCCUCCUCAAAACCACGCGGUCCGCAAUGAUGUAGUCCACAUCUUUGUCGAAUGCGGUAACAACGGCAGUUGGCACGCGCCUCGAUUCUCCGCGACUUGGUUCUCCCAUGUCUUCGUGAUAUGGCUUGAGAAGGCUCACAUGGAAGACCGGAUGGAUCUUGAGUCUUGGCGGAAGUUGGAGUUGAUAUGAGACACUGCCCACACGUCGAACAACCCGGAAGGGUCCCUCGUAGCGCCUCACUAACCCCUUGUGAACUUUCCGCAAAGUCUUGAACUGUUGGGGUAGGAGCUUGAUCAUGACUUGAUCACCUUCCUUGUGCUCAACAUGCCGUCUCCUUGUAUCCGCCCAUUUCUUCAUUUUCCUCGCGGCUUUGUCGAGGUAGGCUUGCGUGAUGUCCGCUUCCUCAUGCCAUUCGCGGGCGAGCUUGUGUGCCGCGGGGCUUUUCCCUCCGUAAGUCGAGGCAUUGGGGGUCAUGGGCUGGAAUCCCAUGAUGAUCUCGAAUGGACUCUUGCCCGUAGCCUCACUUCGCUGCAAGUUAUAAGAAAAUUGGGCGACGUCAAGUAGUUUUGCCCAAUCCCGCAGAUGAGCGCUCACAUAAUACCUCAAGUACAUCUCGAGGAGCCCAUUAAUGUGCUCGGUCUGCCCAUUCGUUUGUGGGUGGAAGCUUGUCGAGAACUUGAGAUCGGUCCCCAACAUCUUAAAGUGCUCCAUCCAAAAACGCCCAGUGAACCGAGGGUCUCGGUCGCUCACAAUGCUCUUCGGAACUCCCCAAAGCUUCACAAUGUGCUUGACGAAUAGGCGGGCUGCCUCAUCCGCUUUGCAAUCGACUGGUGCGGCAAUGAAUGUGGCAUACUUGCUGUAUCGGUCGACAAUGACCAUGAUGCUUCCGCAACCUUCGGACUUGGGCAGCGAUGUGAUGAAGUCCAUGGAGACACUUUCCCAUGGCCUUGUUGCUAGUGGUAGCGGUUCCAACAAUCCCGCUGGAAGUUGGUGAUCCACCUUGUCUUGUUGGCACACAAGACAAGUUCGCACAUAUGCCUCGAUGUCGUCCCUCAUGUGCGGCCAAAAAUACGAGGCUUGGACUAGUGCGGUGGUGCGCUCAAUUCCUGGGUGACCAGCCCACUUAGAGUCGUGGCACUCUUUGAUUACUUCCUUCCGCAAGUUUCCCCACCUUGGCACGAACAGCCGAUCUCCUUUGGUGAGGAGGAUGCAUUCCUCUUGCCAAAAUCGCCUUGUCUUUCCCUCGAGCACCUUCUCCAGCAAGUCCUUUGCUAGCGGAUCUUGUUGGAGGCCUUCCUUGAUGCGUGAGACAAUGUCGGACUUCGGUUGGCUCAUGCUAAGCGUUGCCAAUUCCGCCUUGCGGCUUGGAGCGUCCGCAACGACAUUGGCUUUACCCAGUUUGUACUCUAGCCGAUAGUUGAAUUCCGCAAGGAAAUCUUGCCACCGUGCUUGCUUCGGACUCAACUUCUUUUGAGUUUGGAAGUACCUUGUCGCCACGUUGUCCGUCAUGAUCGUGAAGUGUGAGCCAAGCAAAUAAUGUCGCCACACUCUUAGACAAUGGAUGAUGGCUGUCAUCUCCUUUUCUUGCACCGUGUAGCGGCGUUCCGUGUCAUUUAGCUUUCGACUCUCGAACGCUAUUGGGAGGCCUUCUUGCGUAAGGACUCCUCCUAUGGCGAAAUUCGAGGCAUCCGUUUGGACUUCGAAGGGUUUAGUGUGGUCCGGAAGAGCGAGGACGGGUUCCUCCGAAAUUGCCUUCUUCAACUCCUCGAAUGCGCGUUGGCACUCUUCGGACCAAUGCCACAUUAUGUUUUUCUUGAGCAUAUCCGUCAAGGGUGCCGCCUUGGUCGAAUAACCCUUGAUAAAGCGGCGGUAGUAAUUCACCAGCCCAAGGAAUGAGCGAAGCUCGGGAACUUUCGAGGGAGGCUCCCAAUCGAGGAUGGCCUUUACUUUGGCAUUCUCCAUCAUAAUCUUCCCACCAGCAAUCUUGUGGCCAAGGAACUCCGGAAGAGCGAGGACGGGUUCCUCCGAAAUUGCCUUCUUCAACUCCUCGAAUGCGCGUUGGCACUCUUCGGACCAAUGCCACAUUAUGUUUUUCUUGAGCAUAUCCGUCAAGGGUGCCGCCUUGGUCGAAUAACCCUUGAUAAAGCGGCGGUAGUAAUUCACCAGCCCAAGGAAUGAGCGAAGCUCGGGAACUUUCGAGGGAGGCUCCCAAUCGAGGAUGGCCUUUACUUUGGCAUUCUCCAUCAUAAUCUUCCCACCAGCAAUCUUGUGGCCAAGGAACUCCACUUCUUGUUGGGCAAACGAGCACUUUUCCAACUUGAGGAAGAGCUCGAUGUCUUGGAGUACUUGGAGGACUUGUCGCAAGUGUUGGGCAUGAUCCUCGAGUGUGGUGCUAUACACCACGAUGUCGUCCAAGUACACGACCACGAAGCGGUUGAGGAAUGGUUGGAGUACCUUGUUCAUGAGUGUGCAAAAUGUGGCGGGUGCAUUAGUAAGGCCAAAAGACAUCACAAGGAAUUCGAAAGACCUGUACCUUGCUGUGCACGCUGUCUUCGGUUCGUCUCCCUUGGCGAUGCGCACUUGGUAGUACCCGGAACGCAAGUCAAGUUUGGUGAAGUACCGCGCUUUGCCAAGCUGGUCGAACAAGUCCGCAAUCAAUGGAAUCAGAUACUUGUUCUUGAUGGUGAUCUUGUUGAGCGCUCUAUAGUCGAUGCACAUCCGCAGCGAUCCAUCCUUUUUCUUUUGGAAGAGAACCGGUGCACCGAAUGGGGCCUUUGAGGGGUGAAUGUAGCCUGCGUCCAGCAAGUCUUUGAGUUGUCUCCGCAACUCCUCUAGUUCGGGUGGUGCCAUGCGGUAGGGCGCCAAGGCUGGUGGCUUCGGGCCUUGUUCCAGCUCGAUUGCAUGAUCUACCUCUCGUCGAGGUGGGAGCUUCUUCGGAAGUUCUGGAGGCAUCACGUCCUUGAACUCAUUGAGGAUGGUUUGAAUUCGCGGAGGGACUUGGCUUGGCGACGUUCCUCUAUUUCCUUCCUCGUUUAGUUCUCGGAUUGAGACCAAGAAGCUUGGGUCCUUUUUUAAAGCCCUCUUGAAUUGCACGGCGGAGAGUGUCUUCUCCUCGGACUUGCCUCGUUUCGUGAGAACCAUGCAUGCUUUACUCCCGUCGAGGAUGCUUAGGGAGUUUGUAGCAGGCAGCGGGAAAGCAUGCACUUGGUCGAAGAAUUCCAUGCCGAGGACCAUCUUAAAGUCGUCCAUGGGCACGAUGGAGAAGUCAAACUUUCCGCUCCACGUACCAAGUGUGAUGUGCACGCCUUGUGCAAUUCCCGCAAUUGGCUUGGCGGGUGAGUUUACUACCUUCAUUGUGCCUCUUUCCUUAGUAGCCUUGAGGCCUAAGCGCUUGGCCUCGUCUACAGACACGAAAUUGUGCGUUGCUCCCGUGUCUAGUAGCGCGCGAACGGACUGACCGUUUACCUUUGCGCUUACAUACAUGAGCCCUUUCUUGACGAGUGCGGGUUGUUGGCGAUUAAGUGCGCCGAGGCGUUGGAGAGAACCCAUGCUGAGUUGGGGUUCCUCCGCGGACAUUGUGGGGUUGCUCUUGAGUUGGGCAGCAAGAGCGUUAAGUGACCUUUUCUCUGGACAGUCACGUACCCAAUGAGGACCAUUGCAUAUGAAGCAUGGGCUUCGCGGCUUUGGCGCCUCCUUCUUGCCCUCCAAUUUUCCUUGCCCGCUCUUGUUGCUAGGCGACUUUUUCUGCCCUCAAUCUUUGCGGUUGUUGCCCUUGUCCUUGCGACUCUCUCCCCCACCUUUGCCUUGGCUAGACUUCUUGUCUUUGGAUUGGGUAGAGUAUUUGGUGAGCGAUUCCGCAACGGCGAUGGCGUCGUCAAGUGUUUGAACACCACGCCUAUCAAGCUCGGUCUUGGCCCAAUCUUUGAGGCCAUCUUGGAAGUAGAAGAGUAAAUCUUUGUCGGACAUGUUGCUUAUCUCCAACAUAAGGGUAGUGAACUCAUUGAUGUAGUCCUGAAUGCUACCCGAUUGCUUGAGGUGACGUAAGCGCGCUCGCGCUUCCUUCUCCGCAUUGCUUGGGGCGAACUGCUUUCAGAGUUCUUGCUUGAAGUCGGCCCAAGUGUCGAUGGCGCAAAUGCCCUUGCCCAUCUCGCCAUGCUUGCGACGCCACCAUAGUUGUGCAGCGCCUCGAAGAUAGGUGGGUGCAGUGCCCACUUUCGAUGCCUCAUCUCGGACACCCAUGGCAUCGAAGUAUUGAUCCAGCCCGAAUAGGAAGUUGUCCACGAUUGUGGCGUUGCGUGUGCCAUCGUAGGUGUCGAGCUUUGGCACAUCAAUGCGGCGCGCAUCACUCGAGUUUGCGGAAGCUGGACUAGCGGAGAGUGUGCGCUUGUGCCAUGCCCAAUCCGAGCGGACUUCAUCCACUUCCGCACGGACAGCUCGUAGUUCAUCUUGAACAAAACUACGAAGUUUUAGCAACUCAUCAUGAAAAGAACGAAACUCACCUCGGAGAGUGUUUGCUUGCUCUUGGAUGAGAGCUUUGGUUGCCACCGUGAACUCGGCGUAUUCCCCCUCGAGACCGUCCACUCGUUCCUCCAAUCCCUCGAGGCUAUCCUGAGCGGCGGACAAUGCUAUUUCGAGAGUGCCUACACGAGGCUCCAACGCAUCCACGGAUAGGGCCUUGGACUUGCCGCGAGUCUUGCCUUGGGCGCGUUCUCCCUCUCGGCCGCGGCUUGGUUCUGGUGGAGCAUCCACACUAACAACACCCUCUUAUGCUACGUUCGAAGGGUUGGCCAUUGCUUCGUGAGCUAAUUUGUGUGCGUGCAAACCUUAGCUCUGAUACCACUUGUCACGGGAUGAGUGUUUUGCGCAGCUAACCCGUGCGGCACUUAGACAACUUUACCGAAUGUUGCUAAGUAAGCCUAGAGCUUCUCGAACUAGAGAAGAGAGCAAUUGAGCCAAAGAAGAAAACUUGUAUUGCACAAAGAGAGAAUACAAUGCUUGAGUUGCUUACAAUGUUUGUUGGAUACAAAUGCCUAAUGCCAUCCCAUAUUUAUAGGGGAGUCCUAACAAGCUCUAGAGAUUCUAGAGAAUUCUACCCACUAUCUAGAAUUUACAUGUGCUGGAAAGUCAUAGAGAAUUCUAGAAUAUUUACAUGUUCACAUGUGCUAGAGUUGCCUAGAACCUUCCGGAAUUGGGCCAAGCUAGCACUCUUGGCCUUGUAUUGGCUCUCUAACCCGAAAUUGUGGGCAAUUGGGCUAGUGAAUUGGGCGGUCCGCAACACUAAACUGAGUAGAAACUUCCGCACAUCUCUCAGCAUUUACAUGAAGAAAUCGACAACUAUCCUCAUCUCUCAGCACAUCUCUCAGCAUUCUACAAAGUUGCAUUUCACUAAGCAAUCUAUCCUCUCCAUUCCUAGCAAAGUGACAUUGAUUCCCGUAUUUGUAAUCACCUAACUUGGGUUUUGGGCAUAGCGUGGUCUUAAAAUUACCACCCAAUACUUUGUUCAGUGCCAAUGGCAUCCACAAGCUCUAGCCCUGUUAGCUGAAUCAUAUUCAAUGGGACAGUGAGGCAGCAUUUCACUGACAUAUUCAAUUUGACUACUUAUAUUGACGCAAAUAUUAGAAUUUGAAAUCACUUCUUUUCUUGGAAUAUUAUAUUAAAAUGACCCCAAAUGAAAGUUCUUGAAUGGAAAUGAUUUUUAUUUAAUUUUCCAACAGAUUCAAGAAACCCAGAGAACACAAAAUUUACACAGUAAUAUGAUUAAGACCUGAGAACGUACAUGUAGUAAAUGUCUAUCAAAAAACAUCCAAGGGUUUCUUUAAAAUUAGAAACUAGUAAACAAAAAGAAAGAAUCAUUUUACAUUUUUAGCAACUUUGGGGUGAGUGAGGAGUGAGAAAUUGAAACCCUAAAGUGAUGACAACAGUAAGAUUCAGUAUGAAGUGAAACCCCAAUUUGGAAUGUAGGCAUGAGUUGCUGAGUCAGUAGAUGAAGCUAUAAAUAGGCAUUCGGUUUGGAGGGCCAUGGAAUCGUGUACUGGAGUGGGCUCCAAGUAAUAGCCUCUAUCACUGGAACGACACAUCUGUAAAAUGUGAUACAUGGGGAAGGAUUGGGCAUUAUAUUCUUAGAUUAGCGCCUUAUUUAGGGUGUAUAUUAAGCAGAUUAUAUAUUACAUGGAGAUGGAGUUUAUGAAAUAGAUUAAAAAGAAAAGGAAAUUUCAGUGCCUAAAAGUUUGCCACUUGGAAUAUUUCGGUGUCUAAAAAUUCACUCACAAAACUAUAGCUGACAAAAGGUUACUAACAAAAAGUUAGGUCCAUGGGUUGUUAAAACUAUAUAGCUGACAAAAAGUUACUAACAAAAACAGAAUGUCCAUUUUAUAACUUUCUUAAAAAACUUUCCUUAACUUUUUUAAAAAGUUACCAACAAAAACUUAUUUCCAAUUUUUAUUUUGUUAUAAUUUUUAUAACAAAAUUCGUAGUUAACUAAACUCUUCUUAUUCCCUUUCUCAACUGCCAUACCCUAACCCACUAAACCACGCUCAAUUAAGGCCAUCAGAUUCUCCCGGGCCCACAUUAAUCCAACUGCUCACAGAGACCGACAGCCUCUCUAUCUCCAUUUCAAGCUCCCUCUUCAACUGGCUUCUGCGACCGUCCUACUCUUUCUCGGAUUCGGAGUCCGUAUUUGCUCGGCCGGUCCCACGCAACUCCCUCUCACUCCAAUUGUGACCCAACAAGACCAAUUGCUUAAUCAAGGCACAGAACAAGAAGAGGAUGAGAAGUUGAAACAAUAAUUUGAGAAUUGGAAAUCGAAAACGUACGCAUUGACCGUGCCUGUAAGGUUUGUUUCUCUUCAGAAUUCAGUGCCUCAAUCUUGGGUUAAGGAUUUUAUGCGAAGUCAAGGAAAGAGAUUGAAGUUUCAGAUGAAUUUGUGUGCUAGCAUUGAUGGGAUCUUUAACAAUUUAUCUGUGCCCUGUAACAAAGUUAAGGCUAAGUCAGCUUCUUAUAUGGCUGCUGAUUUGGUUAGUGUUGGUGAUUCAUGGCUCAACUUUGCGAUUAAAAAGAGAUUGAUUGAGCCAAUAGCUGGAGCUGAAGAUCAAGAUUGGUUCAAAUACUUAAGUCAAAAAUGGAAGGUAACAUACUAACAUCUUUAUCUUUGACCCGAUAAUUUUUAUUGUCUUACAUUGAAAUUUGGUAAUGUAAUUUGUUCUCUAUUUGUGUUACCCUUAGUAGUCGUUUUAUUUAUUUGUUUAUUUGCUUUUAUUUGCACUAACGAAAUCUCAGGUAUAUCUACGCAGGAAUGAUGCAGGAGAAAUUGAUCCUCGAGGUAAAAUAUGGGCGGCACCAUACAGGUGGGGCACAACGGUGAUAGCCUCCAAGAAAAGUAAAUUUCGAAAGCAUAAUUUGGCUCCGAUUGAGGUAAUAAUUUUCUUUAAACUCAUUUAGUUUUAUAUCAAACAAAAUCAAGACUGCCUUUCUCUUCAAUAUUUUUUAUGAUAAUAUCUUUAGAAGCAUCUCAUUGACAGGUAACAAUGGCAUCCCUAAAAGAGUCUAUAAACUCAAUGAUAUUAUCUUCUACAAAUGGUUCAUUAAACUUUGUCGUUGUACUCAAAUGUACACUCAGAUCAAUGAGAAGCUAUGCCACUUUAGCAUGUAGUGAUGGCACUUAAUAAGUGAGUUGCUAGGAUGUGAACUAGAAAAAUUAAAUAUUGUCUCCUUGGGUAUGCUAGCUCGUAAGUCAGGGUUAAUAUCAGAGCUUAAGAUACUAUAAUUGUGAGAACCUAUUGAUUGCCAAUUAAAAUAUCCAUUAAAAUGUCUAGGGAGUUAUGAAGGUGGAGGUAACUUCCAAUUUCUAAGGCCACAGAGUAAAAUAAUUUGGAUAGAACUAUUGACUACUUAUCUUUAGCAGAAGGUAUAUUUUUAACUACAGCUUUCUGCUUUGUUCUAAGAACUAGGCAAAAGUGGUAUAUCUUCAAUCCAAUCAACAUAUAUACCACGUAUCUUCCUCUUCACUUCUGUCCAUUUUGAUUUGUACUUCAUAUCCUGCACUUGCUGCUUAGAAAUAGUCUUACUCUGGACAUUGAAAGUAGAAAAAGUACUUGAAACAAUCAUUGGCACAGCCCGAGAUUCCAUUGAAUCGUGGACUCCAAGCUUUCAUAGCUCUAUAAAGAAAAUGACAAAACAUCAUACAACUGGCAUUCAGCUUUUAACAUGUGCACAACCUGAGCGAGUUAGCAAGCCCCUUGUUGCGUUCCCAUUGAAUAGACCUACUUCUGUUAUCCACAGAAGAUCCACCACUCAAAAUGUUUAUCACCAAGCCAUUCCUAAACUGAGUAGAAACUUCCGCACAUCUCUCAGCAUUUACAUGAAGAAAUCGACACCUAUCCUCAUAUUUGCAAGUUUUCUGAUAAUAGAACUCUCCACAAAGCUGCAUUUCACUAAGCAAUCUAGCCUCUGCAUUUAUAGCAAAGUGACAUUGAUUCCCGUAUUUGUAAUCACCUAACUUGGGUUUUGGGCAUAGCAUGGUCUUAAAAUUACCACCCAUUACUUUGUUCAGUGCCACUGGCAUUCACAAGCUCUAGCCCUGUUAGCUGAAUCAUAUUUAAUGGGACAGUGAGGCAGCAUUUCACUAACAUGUUCAAUUUGACUACUCAUAUUGACGCAAAUAUUAGAAUUUGAAAUCACUUCUUUUCUUGGAAUAUUAUAUUAAAAUGACCCCAAAUGAAAGUUCUUGAAUGGAAAUGAUUUUUAUUUAAUCUUCCAACAGAUUCAAGAAAACCCAGAUAACACAAAAUUUACACAGUAAUAUGAUUAAGAGCUAAGAACGUACAUGUAGUAAAUGUCUAUCAAAAAACACCAAAGGGUUUCUUUAAAAUUAGAAACUAAGAAUCAUUUUACAUUUUUAGCAACUUUGGGGUGAGUGAGUGAGUGAGAAAGUGAAACCCUAAAGUGAUGACAACAAUAGAUUCAGUAUGAAGUGAAACCCCAAUUUGAAAUGUAGGCAUGAGUUGCUGAGUCAGUAGAUGAAAUUAUAAUUAGGCAUUCGGUAUCUUUCUUUUCGGUUUGGAGGGCCAUGGAAUAGUGUAUUGGAGUGGGCUCUAAGUAAUAGCCUCUAUCACUGCAAUGACACAUUUGCAAAACGUGAUACAUAGGGAAGGAUUGGGCAUUAUACUCUUAUAUUAGUGCCUUAUUUAGGGUGUAUAUUAAGUAGAUUAUAUAUUACAUGGAGAUGGAGUUUAUAAAAUAAAUUAAAAAGAAAAGGAAAUUUAGUGUUUAGAGUUUGCCACUUGGAAUAUUUCGGUGUCUAAACAUUCACUCACCACUUAUUUCAUGUCUGAUUAUAUGUUGAAAAGAUAUUAAAGUAAUUUAACGCAAUUAAGGCUUAACGUAUAUUUUUUAUUAGUAGAGUGUAGAACUUUUAAGAAAUAUAUUAUUAAAUUACUAUAACUAACAUAUUAUUUUAAAGUUGUGUUAUGAAAAAAAAUGAAAUAAAAACGUAAAGUAAAUAAGAAUAUUCUAAAACUUUUAUCUUUUUAAAAUUAGUUUUUAACAUAAGGUGAACAAUUUUUUUUUAAAUCACAUAUUCUAGUUAAAAUCAAAUAUGUAUUUAUAUGAAGCUUGUAAAUUUUUUUUUAGUACUGAUAUUUGAAUAUUAUCAAUAAAAAAAAAAGGGUAAUGUUCAUGCUGCAUUAUUUUUGUAGCACACAAAAGGACAACACCGUUUAUGUUAUAAUACUAUUGCUUCUGUUAUGAUAGUAUUUUUGUUAGUGGCAAAAUAUCAUUUUUUUUUUAAGUAAAAAGGUGGACAGAAUGCAAAUCAGUUUUUAAUCCUCAAUUUCUCCCAAAAUUUAAAUUCGUAAUUAGUCAAAUAAAAUUGAUCGAAAACCAUUAAGCUAGGUCCAUGGGUUGUUAAAACUAUAGCUGACAAAAAGUUACUAACAAAAACAGAAUGUCCAUUUUAUAACUUUCUUAAAAAACUUUCUUUAACUUUUUUAAAAAGUUACCAACAAAAAGUUAUUUCCAAUUUUUAUUUUGUUAUAAUGUUUAUAACAAAAUUCGUAGUUAACUAAACUCUUCUUAUCCCCUUUCUCAACUGCCAUACCCUAACCACGCUCAAUUUAGGCCAUCACAGUGACCGACAGCCUCCCUAUCUCCAUUUCAAGCUCCCUCUUCAACUGGCUUCUGCUUCGGUCGUACUCUUUCUUGGAUUCAGAGUCCGUAUUUGCUCGGCCGGUCCCGCACAACUCCCUCUCACUCCAAUUGUCACCCAACAAGACCAAUUGCUUACUCAAGGCACAGAACAAGAAGAGGAUGAGAAGUUGAAACAAGAAUUUGAGAAUUGGAAAUCGAAAUCGAAAACGUACGCAUUGACCAUGCCUUUAAGGGUUGUUUCUCUUCAGAAUUCAGUGCCUCAAUCUUGGGUUUAGGAUUUUAUGCGAAGUCAAGGAAAGAGAUUGAAGUUUCAGAUGAAUUUGUGUGCUAGCAUUGAUGGGAUCUUUAACAAUUUAUCUGUGCCCUUUAACAAAGUUAAGGCUAAGUCAGCUUCUUAUAUGGCUGCUGAUUUGGUUAGUGUUGGUGAUUCAUGGCUUAGUUUUGCCAUUAAAAAGAGAUUGAUUGAGCCAAUUGCUGGAACUGAAGAUCAAGAUUGGUUCAAAUACUUAAGUCAAAAAUGGAAGGUAACAUACUAACAUCUUUAUCUUUGACCCGAUAAUUUUUAUUGUCUUACAUUGAAAUUUGGUAAUGUAAUUUGUUCUCUAUUUGUGUUACCCUUAGUAGUCGUUUUAUUUAUUUGUUUAUUUGCUUUUAUUUGCACUAACGAAAUCUCAGGUAUAUCUACGCAGGAAUGAUGCAGGAGAAAUUGAUCCUCGAGGUAAAAUAUGGGCGGCACCAUACAGGUGGGGCACAACGGUGAUAGCCUCCAAGAAAAGUAAAUUUCGAAAGCAUAAUUUGGCUCCGAUUGAGGUAAUAAUUUUCUUUAAACUCAUUUAGUUUUAUAUCAAACAAAAUCAAGACUGCCUUUCUCUUCAAUAUUUUUUAUGAUAAUAUCUUUAGAAGCAUCUCAUUGACAGGUAACAAUGGCAUCCCUGAAAGAGUCUAUAAACUCAAUGAUAUUAUCUUCUACAAAUGGUUCAUUAAACUUUGUCGUUGUACUCAAAUGUACACUCAGAUCAAUGAGAAGCUAUGCCACUUUAGCAUGUAGUGAUGGCACUUAAUAAGUGAGUUGCUAGGAUGUGAACUAGAAAAAUUAAAUAUUGUCUCCUUGGGUAUGCUAGCUUGUAAGUCAGGGUUAAUAUCAGAGCUUAAGAUACUAUAACCGUGAGAACCUAUUGACUGCCAAUUAAAAUAUCCAUUAAAAUGUCUAGGGAGUUAUGAAGGUGGAGGUUACUUCCAAUUUCUAAGGCCACAGAGUAGACAUCAUCCAGGAUCCUAGGAAAGUCCAGUUAACCUCCUGCUCGAUGCAAUUAAUAAAUUUGGUCAAUGCCACUGAAACCUGUUAACUGACGUCACAAUGCGACAUGAGCACUUCAAAAUGGGACAGACGGUCAGUAGCACUAAAUUUUUCUUGCCUAAGAUUGAGCAAUUGGUCUAACUACUAAUCCCUAUUGUAGGUUGAUCAUUAUUUUUUCAAUUAUGUUCAGUUUGACCCAAAAAGUUGCAGAAUCUUGAGCAGAAUAUUGUCACUAAACACUGUCAAUGUCGUUUAGGUUAGCCAACUAACUUGAUGUUAAAACAAACACACAGUGUGUCUCAUGUCUCACAAAUCAAAUAAUCAUCUGUAAUGAUGGAGAAUUUUUCCAAUGUAUGAAGUAUGCUUUGAUACGUGGGUUACCUUGGAGAAGAUAUCUCAAAAUAAAGAAUAUGGGGAGAAAACAGUUCAGUAGUUUAUUAUUCUGUAGUCAAGUUUUGUCUCGAAAAUGGUCAAAAUUUAAAUGAAUAAGGACAGGGGAUCUUCAUUCUUUUUUCCCUUUUUUAUACCAAGAUAUCUCUCAACCUUUAUAUAAUCCCCACUGGAUAUCUGCUUCUAAUAAUUAAAAUAAAAAUUUCACCGCUCUAACAAUAAAAAGUAACAUCUUUAGUCAAAUAAUUUACAGUUCCUCAUCAUCUUAGUGUGAGACUAUCAGUACAUUCCAAAAACAUAAUAAAACUGGUUUGAUCCUGUUUAUUGAUGUUUAAAUGUUGUUCAUUGUGACAUGUAGAAAUGAUGAGGUGAAGUUUAUUUGGACAUCAAUUAGUAAGAUCUUGUUUGAAGUUGUUUUCUGAAAUGAACUGCCAAAUGGUAGUUUUUGGGGGCAUUUGAUGGCUCUUUUUUUUUCCUCAUUUUCAACAUAUGCCUGCUUGGAACAGGAAGGAUUAGGCUGCAGAGUUGUUAUAUAUUUUGAGAUGCUCUGGUCAUUGCACAAUUUGUUCACACUGGAAAUUAGAAUGAGAAAUUUGUUGAUGCUGUUUUGAGAGAUCUGCAUUCUAUGCACAAUAACAUGAUUAAUGAAAAUGCAUUGUAGGACUGGAAAGAUCUGUGGCAGCCUGAGCUCGCAGGAAAAAUUUCAAUGGUUAAUUCUCCCCGAGAGGUUAUUGGUUCAGUUUUGAAGUAUAGGGGAGCAUCAUACAAUUCAAACGAUAUUGAUUCGCAAGUUGCUGGUGGGAAGAUUGCUGUUCAGCAGAAUCUGGCAUUACUUGCAAACCAGGUACUCUUACAGAAAUGAUAUAUGGUCAUUGCAUGUUAUUGGCCUGACAACUGAUUUUGUUUGUAAAAGUCUGCUUCUUGAUACAUAUGAAUGCAUGUGUUAGUGUUUUCUUCUCCUUUUCAUACAUAUAAAUGCAUAUGUUAGUGUUGUCUUUUCCUUUUCAUACAUAUUAACACAUAUGUUGGUGUUCUCUCCUGAGAUGGAUGCAAUAAAGGCUUUUGCUCCUAAAUUUAGCUGAAGAAAUGGCAAAGGAUGUGAGAUUCUGUCUCAUUAAAUUAACAAAAACCCAAAACAAUGAAAAUCCAUUAUAAUGUGGUGUGGGUAAAUUGGCUCCAUUUGGUUCAUUUACUUAAUGUGAACGCGCGAGCAGUAGAGACUAACAAAAUGAAGUGACAACAAGAAGUCAGUGUCCUUUGAUGGAUGCAUUUUUAGGCAGAAAUAGGUUUGUAAUUGACCAAAUUUAUCUGGCAUGCCAAUUUCAAAAAAAAAAAUUAUGUGGUUAUUAGCUGUAAUGAAGGGGGAUAGUAGGUGCAAUCAGGUGGAUCCAGGAAAUUUCAACAAAGUUUUGGUAUGGCGUAGGGAAAUUGGUUUGUGCAACUCAGGAGUCUUUCAGGUGAACGAUGAUAGGUUUUGAUUUAUGAAUAUUAUAAAUCUGCUGUGCAUAGCAUUCUAGUAGAAUCAUCUAUAAGUUCUAGUUAUUGAAAUUGUAUGCUUUGCCCGGUUUGAGUUAAGGGCACAUGUAAUAUGAAAGAUAGUUGUCGCAUCUUUUAGGUUACCUAACAUUUGAUCAAUCCUAUUAUGGGGGCUUCAAGAUGUCUAACAAUAUGUAGAAUGCCCAUGCUCCUCCCCAUUGUUUAUAUUAUACAAUAAUUUGUUUUAGAUGCUAAUAUCUUUAUCGAUACUGGUAACAAUAUGACAACAUCUGCGUUUAUUGGGUUUUACAUAGGUUCGACUGUUUGACAGUACACACCAUCUGAAGGCAUUUGCAAUUGGAGAUGUAUGGGUUGCUGUUGGGUGGAUUAGUGAUGUUCUUCCUGCUGUCAAACGUAUGUCUAGUGUUGCUGUUGUUGUUCCCAAGUCUGGUGCUAGCUGCCUGCCAUUCUUCUUCGAUAUUCACAUUGUUAUCUCCUUCAUAUUAGCGAUCAGUAAACACGAUAAUGUGACUAAUAAGUUUGUAUUCUCUUUAUAGGCAAUCCGUGCUGCCUCAAGACUUGAAACAAAACAAAUUGGAGGGCGAAUCAGAGGUCCAUCUCCGUUAAUCCAUCAAUGGAUAGAAUUCUGCUUGCAAACAGCGAGAGCAUUGCCUUUCAAGCAAGAGGUAAUCCCAGGUGCAUCUCCCUCUGCCCUUGAAAGUACUCUGGUUAAGUUGCCUGAAGAACUUCUGGAGGGUAAACCAAGUCUGGAUACUAACUUAAUUGCUGGAGUACUCCCGGCUGAAAUUCUGGCCAGAUGUGAGUUUUUGGAGCCAUUAUCUGAAGCUACUUUGUCAGAUUAUGAGUGGCUGGUUGUUAAUCUGCAAAAACCUGCUCCUGUCUUGAUGAAAAGGGUGCAACAUUACUUGUCAUCAUUAAUCCAAAGCUUUCUAGCAAGAGCUACGUUGAAAAGUUAAUGGCGCUGCAUGCCAGUCAUUAUAAUGCUGUCAGGGCAAUUGGAUCAGGGCAAUUAGGUCAGAGCAUAACUUCAUUAGGAAAGGAGGCUUCAGCUACGUUAAAUAUUACAGGAUGUACUGAGAUGGCUGAAAUUCUUGAGGUUUUAUGAGAAACGAAAGAUGAGUGUUUGUUUGAACAAAGUUGUUGCCAAUCUUGCAGAGUUCGAAAACAAAGAUCAUGGAGCGAAUGCCACCGAUUUCUUCAUCAUUUUAGCCUCCAUAGUUGAAGUUUCCUCAUUUGAAGCUGUUUAUGCAUACGAUUUUUCCCUGCUCUAGUACAUGAAAUUGAAGAAUUACCAGAUGUGAUAUGCUGAAAGAGGGAAGUUUUCUUCCUUGAAUGUGGCCUUUGUGAUUUGUCUUGAAGGAAUAGGAUGAUCACUGGCAAGAACCCUAUCAAGUUAGAUUUUAUGGUGUUAACAUAUUAUUCAGCAUUUUGUUACAUUAGCAAUGAUGCUUUCAUAGCAUGAAAGUGUUUAAAUUUAACUGAAUGAUCUUGAUUGAUCAAUUAUGAGUUUUAAUCGAGUAAAAACUAAAUACAAUAAUCGUUAACAAAUAUUGAAAUUGGGUAAAUAUGAUCUUGAUAUUGAUGAAUUUGAAAUCACGACCCACACAGGAAAUCACCCUUCGCGUGGGGAUGGAGAUGUUUACUGCAGCGAUAUUGAAUAUGUCCACUGCUCUUUGGGUUAUGGUGCGACUUGCGAUUUCAAGGUUGCCAUGAAACAAUGGAAAAGAUUAACAUACCCUCCAAUGAAUGAAAACGGGUGGACUAAUUCUGAUUACCUAAUUGACUCAGGAUCAGGAUCGGCUGGCAAUAAUAACAGUUUAUUAACAAUGCACAGUCCGAGUACUUUUCCAGGAUGAGAUACGACGUGGUCUAAUGUUGAUAAUAAUAGAUUAUCAAAUGACAAAUCGUUGUUCUUGGGUGUUGAUUUCAGAAAUAAAAUACAUUCUGAGAGAUGCUGGUCUACUAUUGCAAGCCCCCAGAUUUAAGAAUCUUUUGAUGAUAAUUUAAUUGAUAUGGACAGUUUCCAUAUCACUUUUAAAUCAUCUUAUGUAAUUGUGAUGUUAGGAAGCAUUAGUGAUCUAUAUGUGAAUUAUUAUUAGCGACAUUAGUGGUUUUAUCUUGUUAAAAUAUGGAUGACUUCCAGUUAUUAUUUUAUUGUAGACAAUCUUAUUCAAUUAACAUAUAGUUUAAAAUCAUUAUGUAAAUUAAUCUAUUAAUUUUCAUGAUAUUUAAUUGAGUUAAAACUAAGUGCAAUCAAUAAAUCUCUUUUCCAUUAAAAAACUGCUACCUUUUGAUUUUAGUGCUUAAUAUUUAUUGAACUCUGAUGCAGGAAAUUUGAAAUCAAACUCGUAAUACAGAUUAUCUAAUUGCGAGUUACUGUCCAUAGCUGCUAAUUUGUAGUGAUUAUCUAAUUGACUGAGGUGACAAUAAUUCUUUUAUUUUCAAUAGCACAAUGUGGAAUUCAAUAAUUAAAUUCUCCUGUUUAAUUUGUUUCAAGUUAAAUUAUUAAUUACUUAAACUCUGUUUUAAGUCUUUAAUUUUAUGUGUUUAUGCAGAAUUGGAUUCUUGAGCGUGUUGGACACGACCAACAAUGAAAUUGACAGUAAACAAACAUUAGAACGUGUGGACUCCGGUAAGCACCAAUGAAUUUCUAGCCCCGUUGACUCCGCCAACUAAAGUUUUGUAAAAUAAAAAAAAAAUACAUAGAAUUCCACCAAAUGCAAAAUGCGUGAAAUUUAAUUUUCUGCCGUGUGGACCAAAACAUAAUUUAACGAAAAAGGAAAAAAUGAUAAGAUUUUUAAAAUGUGUGGAAGGUGAUCCAUAUUUUACUGAAACGACUUGUUAAAUUUUUUAAGGAUUUAGAAUAUUUAGUCAUAAAUUACGUGCAUGUUAAUUUUUCCGCCAUUGACUAUCAUAUUCUAGACUUAAUGGUACCUUUCUUGAUGAAGGGUACUUAGUCUCUCUUCUCCUCUUAUAAAAAUUAUAUUAAUUGAUUUCUUGUUAUAGUUAAUAGUCUUUAAGAACGGAUAGAUUUAUUGUUUUCAUGACCAAAUUAUGCAUGCCUAAGGUUGCCACUAUUAAUAAAAUUAAUAUUUAAUGUUUAUUUUAAAAGAUAUAAGAUUUUAUGCAUUCAUUAAUUGUUAUUAGCUAAAGGAUGAAUUAUUUUUUCCCAAUCAAUUGAUGCAUCUGCAAGAGUUUUUUUUUUUCUUUUAUUGACCAUAAUUAUAUUCCGGGUACAAUAAAUUGUCUUUGGUGCUUGGAAAAUAUGACAUCUCUCUGUCAACUUACUGGAAAUAUCUCCUCAUCUACUCUCAUUUAUCUAAUAUCAAUUGAAGAUCUCAUAUUUCCAAACUAUGACUUCCAAAUCUCAUUAUCAUUUGAGCAUUCAAAACUAAUCAAGUGUGGAAAUAAUCAAAUAUAUGCAAAAAUCGAGUCACAAUCUUUGGCCCCUCAAAAUUCUAAUUAUAUAACUUCUAUAUAUCUCAUACAUUUUCUAAAUGCCUCUUCCAUCAACAUCACUAGGAGUAUGUUCAUCUCUCACACAUUAACUUGAGUGGAGAGUUUCCAAAUUGAUUGUCAGAAAACAAUACAAAAGUUAGACACGCUUGAUCUGUCUAAUAAUUCUCUUUCGGUAAAAUUAAUUAAUUUUAGGGGAAUUCAGCCAACCACUGUAAUUUUAGAGUGAUCAUUAAUUAAUUAAACAAUACAAAUAUCUAAAGUGAUUAGAUGUUUGCUGACAAUACAAGUUCAUGGCUUGAAAUUUGAUCUCUAUCGAUUGGUUUUUUAGUGCUUAAUAUUUACGGAACUCCGGGAAUUUGAAAUCAAACUCGUAACUACAAAUUAUCUAAUUGCAAGUGUUUGUCCAUAGCUGCUGAUUUGUAGUGAUUAUCUAAUUGACUGAGGUGACAACAAUUUUUUUUUUUAAUUUUCAAUAGCAUAAUGUGGAAUUCAAUAAUUAAAUUCUCCUUUUUAAUUUGUUUCCAGUUAAAUUAUUAAUUACUUAAACUCUGUUUUAAGUCUUUAAUUUUAUGUGUUUAUACAGAAUUGGAUUCUUGAGCGUGUUGGACACAACCAACAAUGAAAUUGACAGUAAACAAACAUUACAACGAGUUGAGUGUCGACUCCGGUAGCUGCCCUACAAGUCUACAACUUUACAAAAAAUAAUUGAGUACACACAUUUGAUUCUCGGGACCCUUCAAUGAAUUUCUAGCCCCGUUGACUCCACUGACAAAAGUUUUGGAAAAUAAAAAAAAAAUUCAUAGAAUUCCACCAAAUGCAAAACGCAUGGAAUUUAAUUUUCGGCCGUGUGGACCAAAACAUAAUUUAAUGAAAAAAAAAAGAUAAAUUUUCUAAAAUGUGUGGAAGGUGAUCCAUAUUUUAUUGAAACAACUUGUUAAAUUUUUUAAGGAUUUAGAAUAUUUGGUCAUAAAUUACGCUCAUGUUAAUUUUUCCGCUAUUGACUAUCAUAUUCUAGACUCACUGGUACCUUUCUUGAUGAAGGGUACUUAGUCUCUCUUCUACUCUUAUAAAAAUUAUAUUAAUUGAUUUCUUAUUAUAAUAAAUUGUCUUUAAGAACGUAUAGAUUUAUUGUUUUCGUGACCAAAUUAUGCUAGAUUAAGGUUGCGACUAUUAAUAAAAUUAAUAUUUAAUGUUUAUGUUAAAAGAUAUAAGAUUUUAUGCAUUCAUUAAUUGUUAUUAGCUAAAGGAUUAAUUAUUUUUUCAACCCAAUCAGUUGAUGCAUCUGCAAGAAUGUUUUCUUUUAUUGACCAUAAUUAUAUUCCGGGUACAAUAAAUUAUCUUUGGUGCUUGGAAAAUAUGACUUCUUACUUCAAGUUUGAUGUGUCUCUCUCCAUAAGCUUACUGGAAAUAUAUCCUCAUCUACUGUCAUUUAUCUAAUAUCAAUUGAAGAUCUGACUUUUUCAAACUAUCACUUCCAAGUCUCAUUGUCACUUGGCCAUUCUUGGACCAUUCAAAACCAAACAAGUGUUGAAAUAAUCAAAUAUAUGCAAAAUUAGAGUCACGACUUUUGGUCCUCCAAAUUCUAAUUAUGUUACUUCUAUAUAUCUCAUUGUCACGUCACGAACUUGUUGGCACAUUUUCCAAACUCCUCUUCCAUCAGCUCUCACACGUUAACUUAAGUGGAAAGUUUCCAAGUUGAUUGCUAGAAAGCAACGCAAAAUCAGACACGCUUGAUCUGUCCCCUAAUUCUCUUUUCUACGUUGAAAAAGAAAAAAAAUAAGAAAAAAGAAAAUAGAUCUAUGUAAAAAUAAAUAAUAAACUGAGUAAAAGUACAUUUGUUUAUUUAACAUCUGAUCGGGGCAUUUUUGGUGUAAUUUCGUGCUGUGUAACCCACAACUAAAAUCAAACAGCCCCUUAGAAUACUUCUUCCAUUUUAUCUGCUACUUUUGUGGAUCUUAUAGGGUGGGCAUGUGAACAGAAUUUAAAAAUUUUAAUAGUCUCAAAGAAUAAGAUAUGCUAAAGCUAAAGUUGUUGCACCUUCUAAUUAAAUAAAGUUGUAUAAUUUCACCAACUUGGAAGAAUUGAUAUUAAUGGACGGUCCCCUCUCCAUAUAUGAAGCCUUCUUAAAAGUUAAUUUUUAUUUCAGAAAAAAAAAGUUUAAGUUACAUAUAUUAUAGUAAGAUUUUUUGAGACCAAUUCCCUUCUUGAAAUAAUAAUGGAUAAGUAUUAAUUUAAAAAUAAAAUGAAUAUGUAUUGAUUAUAUCCUGAUUUUCAUCGAUUAUAGUGAGAGUUUCUACAAAUCAAUUCCCUUAUUCAAAUAAUACAGAAAAAAUAGUAAUUUAAUAGUAAAAUAAACAUGUGUUGAUUAUAUAUUCUAAGUUUCAUCGAUUAUGUGAUCAAAGUGGCAUUGUUGAUUUAUUUCUUGUUCAAUGUUAAUUUUUAGGUUAUAUAAAUUUCAAGGAUCUAAAAUCUUUGGUCAUGGAUUACACGCUUGUUAAUUUUUCUGCCAUUAACUGUCAUAUUCUAGACUUAAUGAUACCUUUCUUGAUCAAGGCUAAUUACUCUCUCUUCUCCUCUUAUAAAUUCCUCUUCCAUUAACAUCACUAGGAGUAUGUUGAUCUCUCAGACGUUAACUUGAGUGGAGAGUUUCCAAAUUGAUUGUUACAAAACAACACAAAAACUAGACACACUUGAUCUGUCUAAUAAUUCUCUUUCGGUAAAAUUAAUUAAUUUUAGGGGAAUAUUCUGCCAACCUCUGUAAUUUCAGAGUGAUCAUUAAUUAAUUAAAUGAUACAAAUAUCUAAAGUGAUUAGAUGUUUGCCGACAAUACAAGUUCAUGACUUGAAAUUUGAUCUCUAUCGAUUGGUUUACAAAUGGACGUACUUGUGCCUUUGUGGCGAUAAUCGAACAAGUUCCCAUGAUUAUUAUUUUUUCCAAAAACUUUUUUACAACAAAUUCAUCUCGCCAAAAAUUCUAUGUUGCUAGCUAACAAUAAUUGAGCACUUGGCCGCAUUGACUCCACGUCUCCACCUCUUUCUAAAAACAUGGAAAAUGUAAUUUCCACAAAAUGCCAAACGUGUGGAAUUUAAUUUUUUUGCCUUGUGGAUCAAAAUACAAAUGAAAGAAACAGGAGAAAAAAAAGGCCCAAAGACUUCUAAAAGAUGAAGAAGUCUUUGGGCCUUUUUAUAAUGGUGAAUUUUUUAAAAGAAAAAAAAUAACAACAUUUUUAUGGUUUGUUUUGAUAAUCAUAUUUACAUAUACUCUCUAAUUUUCAAAAUGGACACAUAAAUCUUUUUUUUUCACAAAAUAUAUAUUAUUCAUAUUUUUUAUUUUUUAUUAUCAUAUUUUUAUUUAUUAUAAAUGUUUAGAGUAAAUUUUUAGGUUGAAAUAUAAUAAAAAUGUAUAAUCGUUCUCUUAUUAAACACACAUACUUUUAUUAGUUUCUAUGCAUUUGUCAUCUCAAUCUCUCUCAAUUAUUCUUUAUUGCUAGCUCAAAACGCGUUGCUGUUGCAAAUUAUAGCAAAAUGACAAAUAUGGAAAAAAAGGGAAGAAAAUUAAUGCAUGAAAGACUUGGAGAAAACAACAAAAUAAGCCAACUAUGAGCUAGUUGGGUGUAUAAAUUGUUAGAUGUGUUAUAUACAAAUAGCAUAGAGCCCUCUAGUUAGUUCCAGAGACAGAAAGAGCGUGUGUGUUUUUUCACAGUUAGAGAUAUAGUUAGAAUGGGUGGUUCAAAAUCAAAAAUGAUGAUAAUGUUUAUUAUGUUAUUAAUAAUAUUUAAAAGUGGGUGGAGUGAGGGAUGUUUGGAUCACGAGAGAUUUGCUCUUUUGCGACUCAAACAUUUCUUCGAUGAUAGUUAUCUUUAUGACUGGGCCGAUGAUGAGGGAGCUACUGAUUGUUGUCAGUGGGAAAAUGUUGAGUGCAGCAACACCACAGGCCGAGUGAUAGCGCUAGACCUUUUUGACACGCAUGGGGGAGAGCACAGCUGGUAUCUGAAUGCUUCUUUGUUUACUCCCUUCCAACAACUUGAGUCACUUGAUUUAACUUACAACAAUAUAGCCGGUUGUGUUGAGAAUGAAGGUGCUUCGUUUAAUUUAAUUAAUUUACUUUCUCCCCCCAAAUUUAAGUUGAAUAUCAAGACCGAGCAAUUAUAUGCAUAUUCAUUUAGUCGACAAUUUUGACUUUUUUUUAAAUGAUUAAUUUUGAAAUUACACCAGGAUCUAUGAUCUUUUUUUAUUUUAUUUUAUUUGCAGGUAUAGAGAGGCUAUCAAGAUUGAACAACUUGAAGAUGCUUAAUUUAAGUCGAAACUCAUUCAAUAAUAGCAUUUUAUCAUCUCUAACUCAUCUUUCAUCAUUAAGAUCAUUAAAUUUACUUUGGAAUAGAUUGGAAGGAAGUAUUGACGUUAAAGGUACAUAAUUAAAACUUCAUCCCUUCUCCAAGCUCUUUCAUUAACUUGCUAAAAUAAGAUUCAAGGCUUUGAAUUCAAUUUUUUUUAUGAUUAGUAUUAAAAAAAAAAACAGUUUUAAGCAAUUUAUAAAAACAAGUUUUAAUGUUUCUUGUAAUUUCAUCUUGUACUUUCAUAUGUCUUGAAUUUAAGAUUAAAAAAAAAAACUCUAAUAGCGAACCAAACACCUCCACAACUUCUUAUUAUUUGUGGUGAGGUUUGAAACAUUCAACUCAAUUUGUACUUAUUACAGAAUUUGAUUCUUUGAGAGAUUUAGAGGAGCUAGACAUUGGCGGGAACAAGAUUGACAAAUUUGUGGUCUCAAAAGGUACUACAAAUACCAUAAAAAAAAAAUGCUAACUUUUACAAAUUAGCUGGAUUCUUUGCCAUUUGGUUUAUUAUUUUACAGAUUUGAGUAAGUUGAAGUCUCUUGGUUUAAGUGGUAUCAAACUCAACUGUAGCAUCUUAUCUUCUCUGACUGUCUUUUCUUCGUUAAGAGAAUUAGAUAUAAGUGAAACCGGAUUCAAAGGAACAUUCGAUGUUCGAGGUAAGCCUAAACCCUGCUUUCUCAUUUUAUAUAUGCCAACUAGAUUUGUGUAUCAUCGACAUAAUUUAAUAUUUAAUUUGAUAAGUCUGAAUGAAUUACAUGCUAAUUUAAACACACUUUUAUUUACUUUGUCAAUUAAUUAAUUAAUUAAUUACUAUUUGGCUUGGUUUGGACGAAAUUCUCAUGAUGUUUUAAUUUCUUUAAAUUAAUUAAUUAAUUAACUCUGUUUUUAAGUCUUAAGUCUGGGCAUGUUUGCAGAAUUUGAUUCCUUCAAUAACUUAGAAGUGUUGGACAUGAGUGGCAAUGAAAUCGACAAUCUUGUGGUUCCUCAAGGUAAACAAUUAAAAUAUUAUUCAAUUACAUUAUUUUAAUUCAUUUGAUUAGGGAAGGCCAAAAAGGUCCAAAAAAAUAAUAAUAAUAAAGAAACAGAUAAUUUGUAUUAUUUAAAAAACAGAAUGUAAUAAAGAUUUGAUUCCAGUUCUUUAAUCUUUAAAGCGAUUGAAAAACAAUGUUGGUCUUUUCCCAAAGCAUAAAAUACGAAUUGAAUGCCAAUUAACUUAAUCAUUCAUUUCGUUUAGCUCUAAAUUUAGACAAUGAAUUUUUAUAUUAUUUCAAAAACAGGACGUAAUAGAAUUUUUUUAAAAAACAUAUUGUAAUAAAGAUUUGAUUCCAAUUCUUUAAUCUUUACAGUGAUUGAAAAACGAUACUACUUCCCAAAGCAUAAAAUACGAAUUGACUCUCAAUUAAAUUAAUCAUUUAUUUCGUUCAUCUCUGAAUUUAAAUAAUGAAUUUUGAUCUUCAAUCUUUUCCUAAUUAUUAUUAAUAAACAGGUUACGGAGGUUUGAGGAAGUUGAAAAGCUUUGGUCUAUCGGGAGUUGGAAUUAGAGAUGGAAGCAAGUUGUUACAGUCAAUGGGAUCAUUCCCAUCCCUCAACACUCUUGACCUGAGCUAUAAUAAUUUUACCGAUAUAGCGAUAACUACUACUCAAGGUAAGUAAAAGGUACAGAUGUGGCCAAAUUUAUAAAUAAAUUGUUAAUUAAUUAAUUUUUCCGUAUUAUUAAUAAAGUGAAAUUUGUUGCUCCUUCCUUCUAAAUCUAAACAGAGUUGCACAAUUUCACCAACUUGGAAUAUUUGACAUUGGACGAAUCCUCUCUCCAUAUAAGUCUUCUGCAAAGCAUUGCAUCAUUAUUCCCUUCAUUAAAAAAUUUGUCGAUAUCUUAUUGUGAAGUAAAUGGUGUCUUACGCGGUCAAGGUAAAAGAAAAGCGUUGAUUGUGAACUCACUCAAUGGUGUCCUACGUGUUCAACAUUUUUGUUUAUUUAUUUAUUUAUUGUUUAAUGUUUCUGCUAGGUUUUCCUUCUUUCAAGAGUUUGGAACAUUUGCACAUGAGCUUCGCGCCCAUUGCACUCAACACCAGCUUUCUUCAAAUCAUCGGUGAAUCGAUGCCUUCUCUUAAGUACUUAUCACUGUCAGGUUCUAUUCUUGGCACUAACAGCAGCAGGAUUCUUGAUCAAGGUUAAUCAGAUGCUCCCACCCUCCCUUCUUAAUCUAUAAUAUUAAUUUUCAAUUCAAUAUUUAAUUACACAAACCAAUCACUUAUUAUAAAAGAACAAUACUCAUUCAUUAAUCUUUAUAUUGUAUUAAUAAUUGAUGAAUUUAAUAAAUUUUCAGGCCUCUGUUCGCUGGUGCAUCUGCAAGAAUUGCGCAUGGCUGAUAAUGAUUUAAGAGGUAGCUUGCCUUGGUGCUUGGCAAAUAUGACAUCCCUCCGAAUAUUAGAUGUUUCUUUCAAUCAACUUACUGGAAGCAUCUCCUCAUCUCCCCUCGUUCAUUUGACAUCCAUUGAAAUGCUGAUACUUUCAGACAAUCACUUCCAGAUCCCAAUUUCACUUGAACCACUUUUCAAUCAUUCAAGACUCAAGAUUUUUUAUGCUGACAACAACGAACUAAAUGCAGAAAUAACUCAGUCACAUUCUUUGACCGCCCCAAACUUCCAAUUAAAUAGACUCUUGUUGUCUUCCAGUUACGGAGACGGUUUCAUAUUCCCCAAAUUCCUUUACCAUCAACAUGACCUGGAGUUUGUUGAUCUCUCACACAUAAAGAUGAAUGGAGAAUUUCCAACUUGGUUGCUGGAAAACAACGCAAAAUUAGAAACUCUUUUUCUCAUCAAUGAUUCUAUUGGAGGACCUUUUCGAUUGCCAAUUCAUCCACACAGGCGGUUAAGAUUCUUGGAUGUCUCCAACAACAACUUCCAAGGCCAUAUGCCAGUAGAAAUUGGAGAUAUUUUACCAAGUUUAUUUUCUUUUAACAUUUCCACGAAUGCCUUGCAUGGUAGCAUUCCCUCUUCAUUUGGUAAUAUGAAAUUCCUCCAAAUUCUGGACUUAUCCAACAAUCACUUGACUGGUGAAAUCCCCGAGUACUUGGCCGUCGGUUGCGUCAACUUGAAUUCUCUUGCAUUAUCAAACAACAACCUACAAGGUCACAUGUUCUCUAGAAAUUUUAACUUGACAAACUUGAAAUGGUUACUAUUGGAGGGCAAUCGCUUCGUAGGUGAGAUCCCACAAAGUUUGUCUAAAUGCUCCUCACUAGAAGGAUUGUAUCUUAACAAUAAUAGUCUUUCGGGUAAGAUUCCACGAUGGUUGGGUAAUCUCACAAGGUUACAAUAUAUUAUAAUGCCCAAUAAUCAUCUUGAAGGCCCUAUUCCAGUGGAGUUUUGUCAGCUGGAUUUGCUUCAGAUUUUGGACAUUUCAGACAACAACAUAUCUGGAAGUCUACCAUCUUGUUUCCAUCCUCUCAAUAUCAAACAAGUUCAUCUUUCAAAAAAUAUGUUACAUGGACAACUAAAAAGAGGUACAUUCUUUAAUUGCUCUUCCCUUGUGACAUUAGAUCUUAGCUAUAACCGCUUGAAUGACAGCAUUCCGGAUUGGGUUGAUGGGCUUUCUCAGUUAAGUCACCUUAUCUUAGGUCACAAUAAUCUUGAAGGUAAAGUGCCAGUUCAAUUGUGCGAAUUGAACCAACUACAAUUGUUAGAUCUUUCUAAUAAUAAUCUUCACGGUCCUAUUCCUCCUUGCUUUGAUAACACCACACUUCAUGACAGUUACAGCAAUAGUUCUAGUCUUGAUGAGCAAUUUGAAAUAUCUUUUUCCAUCGACGGCCCUGACGGAGAUGUAGAAAAGCAAAUCCGUGAAAAUUUUGAGUUCACAACAAAGAACAUUGCGUACAUUUACCAAGGAAAAGUGCUUAGCCUCCUAUCAGGACUUGAUCUUUCUUGCAACAAGCUAAUCGGUCAUAUUCCCCCUCAAAUUGGAAAUUUGACAAGGAUUCAAACAUUGAAUCUAUCACACAACAACUUGACAGGAUUGAUCCCAUCAACAUUUUCAAACUUGAAGCAAAUCGAAAGUUUGGAUCUUUCCUACAACAAAUUGAAUGGGAAAAUCCCUCAUCAACUUGUGGAGUUAAAGGAAUUGGCCGUUUUCAGUGUGGCAUACAAUAACUUAACAGGCGAAAUUCCAGAAUGGGAAGCACAAUUUGCAACCUUCAACGAGAAUAGCUAUGAGGGAAAUACUUUUCUUUGUGGACUGCCAUUGCCCAUUUGCAGAUCACCAGCAACUAUGUCGGAGGCGUCAAUCGGCAAUGAACGAGAUGAUAAUUUAAUUGACACGGACAGUUUCUUUAUCACAUUUACAACAUCGUACGUAAUAGUGAUAUUUGGAAUUGUUAUUGUUUUAUAUGUAAAUUCUUAUUGGCGACGUAGAUGGUUUUACUUUGUUGAAAUGUGGAUAACUUCAUGUUAUUAUUUUGUUGUAGACAAUCUUAUUCCAACAAGAUUUUGUCAUUGAAAUUAAUUAGUAGCUUAAUUACGAUUCUUUAAGUACUAAUCAAGUUUGCUUAGGAAAUAAAUUUAUUUUUAUUUUUUAUUAAAAUUGUAGUAGUAUUUAGCGUUAUAUAGCUUCCAACUUCCAAGCACUUCACAAUUGUCUCUACACUUCCAAACCCAUAUCUAUCCACCAUAACUUAUACUUCCCUAUACUGUGCAGCAUACUUAAAUAAGAGAACCAUCUCCAAUGUUAAAAGCAGCCACUCUAUAACAUUCAUUUAGAAACUAUAUUCAGAAUAGUUUUAUAAUCAUACACAAGAAAUGAAACACCUAGAUGCAGUUGAUCGCCUAUUUUACUUUAAAAAAUAAUGAUUAUGGUGCUAUCAUCAUCUUCUUCACUAGCAACAUUAACACCAAAUCCAGCGAUGGACCCAGACAUUUUAUCAAGAAAGGUAUAUAUAUAUAAUAAAGUUGAAGCUUGACAAAAAAUUCAGGAAGAUUAAUGCCUCAGCCACAACAAGGGGCACAACAACAUCAAAGUAGAGAUGAAGCAAUAUUCUCAAAGCUAAAACUCUCAAAUCCACCCACCAGAAUUUCAUAUCUCCUCGACAAUUUUAAGAACUAAAGAUAAUUAGGAUUUAACAUUAGUUUUUUAUAUAUUAGUUUCAUAAUUUACAAAUCAAUGAAGAUGAAGAUUAUGCUAAUGAAUUCAAAUUAUACCAUACAUUCUAUAGAUGUUACCAAAAAUUUCUAAGUCAAUCCCACAUAUUUCAUAAUUUUAAGACUAGAAAAUUUCAUUAGUUAGAAGUUUCAUUACCUUCAAGUGGAAGAUGAAGAACAUUAUAUAAGUGAUUCAGAUUAUAUCAUACAUACUCCAAAUGCAACUAGAAAUUAACAAGUUCAUGCGCACAUAUUUCAUAACAUUAUGAUUGGAAAGUUUCACAAAGAGAAAUUCUAAAUUCAAUCUCUUGCAUCAAGGUAGUUUGAUUGAUUUGAGUUACUUUCUGAUCAAGCUACUAAUAUAACAUUCAAGUCAGGGAGAAAGUAAAUUAAAACUGGGAAGAAAUAACAGUAAAAAUUUGUUGCUAAACAUGAUGUGUAUUUUUUUUAAAGCAAUUUGGAAACACAGUUGUUACUACAGGUAUUCUCCUCAACUUGGAGAUAAAUACAAAUAUUAAAAUGCAUAUGAUCGCACAUAUUACUUGGAGCUUAGUAAGAUUUCAUUAAGAGAAGAAAUCAAACCACUUAUCAAUUGUUGCAGUCAUUCUAUAAGCUAAAAUAGCAAUAUAAUACAAGAAAAAGAACAUAUAGAUACUUGGCAAGAGUUCAUUAAGAAGUCACAUCAUAUUCGGGUGAGGAGUUUGCUUCUGAUAUCUUGCUAGCCGGGGCUUUUUCUUGUCUUUCUACGUAUGCCGAGGGAAACCAACCAGCUUGGCCCUUGCAUUCACCUUCCGACCAUCCAGUAGGAGCCACCUUGAGAAGUUAUAACUAAAACGGUGAAUUAAACAAAAGUUGACCGUUCAAAGACCUAAGGGGAAAACUAAUUCUUUUACGUAGGAGGAGUGAAUUAGUUGUGAUCACUGAAAUAACAGCAUAACUAUGGAAGCAUAACAAGAUAUAAAUUCACAUGUCUAUAAGGGUAAACUGGGUGGUUUAGAACUGAGCUAGCAACCCUACUAUAUUCUGAUUUGCACUUCAAUGUAAAAGGGAAUAUGGUAGGAAGAAAGAAAACCAACCAUCAUUUGUUAACUCAUUGCUUUUCAAUCAAAAUUUUAAGAACAAAAUGCCAUGUGCUUUGAACAUCAAAUAAGUAUAAGCAUUAGUUCUAAAUUUCACAUGUCAUAAGUUAAUAGCAUAGUAGAAAAAUCUAAUAGCAUCGUAGAAAAAUCUCUGUGUUGUUAUUUAGAGGGGAAAGUACCUGGCGAACCACAACAUAAUCAUCAAUUGAAAGACUUAGCUCUCCAUUUGCUUGAGCAUCAAAUGGAUGUAUAACCUGCAAGAUAAUGGGAUAAAUAGAACUUAAUCUUAGAAAAAGCAUAACAAAAGCAGCAACAGUAGCAGCAGCGUUCAUUGUAACCACUAUGAUCAUAGCCAACAAAGAUAUAUUAGAAACAAAAUUCCAUUUUUACUACGACAUUAAUAUGUACUAUAUGAUAUCAUGACGAUUGGGUUACCAAGAUCUAUCAAAGUCCAAUAAGUUCUGUAUAACUCUAUGUAGUUAUUUAAAUUAUGGAUCAGAUUUUAAAUCUGAAAUUUUGACUGCUCUCCACAAAACAUGACCUAUGCACAAAAAAGUCAUAGAUAAUGAGGAUUACAAAUGUCUGACAUCUUUUGAGUGAUGGAUUUAACAUGAGAGCUUAUGGUCAGUCAAUUUCCUCUGCCUAGCAAUAUAAGCUUUCUCGGCCAGAUUUAUCAUCAAAUACAUAGAUUGCGCCCAAGUUAAGGAGAAUCAUAAUUCAGACAUAAUCAUAAAAAGGCCCAUCUAACUUAAGAGAAAAUCUCAAAAAGAGGGAUGUUGAGCUAUCAGUCUUGUAUCUAUAAGCAAUAUCAAGACUUUACAUCACCUGCUACAUCGUGAGUGGCUACACAACUUUCAGUGGUUUGACUUUCUUGGGCAUGCCUAACUCAGCUUUGAUGUUGCUGAGAUAUUGAUAGUAGAGACACAUGAUACUUCUAGCUCAUGCAUUCUAUCUAGCUCAUCCGACAGCUAUCUCUUUUUUAAUUCAUUAGUGUUUGCUAAACCUCAUGCUUAAAAGUCCUGUUCUGCUAAACAAAGUUUCCUAAGAAUGACUUCCUCAGCACCACAUUUGGACACUUUUAGAGCAAUUUUAUUUGGGGGAAAAGAAUUUUCAAGGUGUUAACUAAUAAAUUUUAAAAAAUAAUUACAAUUUGUCCUACGAUUAUAUGACAAUUUAUCUAGGAUGAAAGGAUACAGACAGACAUCUUCCACUUUCAAGACUAAUCACUACUUCCGUAGAUGUUUUGCAAUAAUACAAAUACUUGACCAGAUGGUGGUGAUGGUAGAAAAAAAUUUUAUUGCUCCAAAAUUAAAAUAAGAAUGCAAUACGUUAAGCAAAAGACUGUGCAACAUCAAAUUAAUUGAUAAGUUUGUAAUUCAGUAAAUUAACAACUUUCAUGGUAAAAUACAACAAAUUUCUUUUCAAAAAAAAAAAAAUCUUAAAAGACAGCAUUCAAUUUUGGGCGCAUCUUAUUUCUUAAGAUUUUCCAGGAGGAGGGCAAUAAAGGGACUUUCACCUAUGCAAGAGAGCAGAAGCCUUACUUUCGCUAUAAAGUAGACGUCAUUCUGAUUAAUAUGCAUUUGCAAAUCAGCUCCAUUUGAAUCAGUAUUCUGAUAGACACAUGAGGCAUUUACAUCCAUUUCCAAAGUCACAUGUUGCGAGGAGGACUCAUUUGAUUGCUCCUCUAGGAUCAUCUAAUUCAAGUAGCAAGGGUUGGAAGAGAAUAAAAAGUCACAAUUAUUCUUUUGCAUAAGUGAGACGAAAAUGAUAAAUGCAAUAUUAUCAGCAGUAAACAAGAAGAGAACACUCCAAGGAAUAGAUAGAUGCGGACAAGCAAGUUAAAAUGCAUAGUUCCAAACCUCCGCAUACAACUUCUCUAAAAUAGCAAUAACGUGUUGAUGAUAUGUUUUCUCAGCAUCUACCUGCAAAGGCCCGAGACCAGGAAAACAACAAUAAAACCACUAGCUAAAGGAGAAAGUAAAGAAAGAAAUACACUUGACAUAAAUCUUGACAAGAAGCACAAUUUAAGACAUAACAAACCCCAAUCAUAUUGUUUAGAACUACCAUUCGUUAUUUCGUUAUUGUUGCAUUUCGAACAAGUGUUGACUUAAUUCAACAUUGUUGGAAAGAUAGGCUUUUAGAAGCGGAAGAAAGCCACUCAAACCAAAGUGAUUGUCCUUGUAUUGAUCAAGGGAUGUAAACAUAUUACAUUUGCAGGAUGAGUUUUAAUCACUCCCCUGAUUUAUUUGGGUUGCAGUAAAACUAAGCGAGCAACUGUUUGACCUUCAAGCAACAUCUGAAUCAGCUAUUAAAAUUCAAAUAAAAUCAUAAUAGAAUAAUAACAGGCCAUCUUGCAUCAAAAAUUAAGUUUAAUUUGUGAAUUUUUUUCCAUAGACAUGUUAGCUCCUGCUAUUGAAAUGUUAAAAGCAUUGAAAAAUUAUUCAAUAAAUUAUGCAAACAUUAAAAUAGAGGACACAUUAAAAAGUUUCUAAUUACAAUGUUAAUAUUUCCUAUAUUUUAGCAUUUGAAUAUUUUAAUUUAUUUAAAAGCUACGUCGAUCAACUUUGGGCGUGAAGAUUUUAUCUUCUACGAGACUUGAUUGGAAUAUGCAUAAGGAAGAGUGUUAAAAUAUGAUGCAUCCAACGAAAGACAAACCACGUGUAGUCUUUUAAUUAAGCCAAAGUAGCAGCUCAAACAAAUGACACUUGGACCAACAUGCAAUCAUGAAGUGGCCGGAAAAAGGACAAAUGCAACUUUGGCUUAAAUAAAAAAUAACAUGUGACUUGACUUUUGCUGGACAUGCAUCAUGUUAUUACAAGACAACAGAAAUCAGUAUGAUAGUACUAAAAGUUGACAAUAACAUGAAGAUAAGAGGCAGAAUGUCAACACAUGCAUAGGCACACACAAGAAAGUAUUAACUUAUAUACCAUAGCAAAAAGUCUUUGAUAUGUCAUCUGUUGCUGCUGUGAUUCAACUGACAGCAUGGCAGCUGUUGCUUCUCUACCAAGAGCCAUUAUUGUAGAUUUAAGCUCGGUCAAUCUUGCUUCUGCAUUUCGAAGCUUCACAGCACUCUCUGCUGAUAUAUCAGAUUCCCUAAUCUUUGAUCGGCGCCUAAAUACUUCAGCUGCCUGGUGAAAAUAUUCAAUAUAAAUCUAACAUAAUUCUAAUCUUGCCUUAUACAUGCAUAUGUUAACUCAAAGCUUACCUGGGCUUCAACUUCAUGUCGAAGUUUGUCAUAACGAUGAGUCAGGUGUCGAGCAUCUUCCAAAGGUGCUCCGUUGAUUAACGCCCGUAGUGGCUCAGAUACCUACAUGUCCAAAAACCUGUAACAUAGUUAGAAAAAUGAAAAGAAAGAGCGAAACCUCAAUUAAAAAGUUCCUCCAACAUAAUCAUGGAAUUUGGGCCUACUUCAAGGACAUAUAUAAGGAUAAUUUAUGCAAUUUUGGGUCUUAGGAUGAUUCAUAUUAGGUUAGUGUUCUUCUCUUCUGUAUUUAAGGUUAAAAUAGAAAUAAACCUAUGCAAAUAUCUAAAUUAGGGCUGUAAGACUUCCACAUGCAUCCUUCAGUCUCAUGGAUUUGAUUUUACUAUAGAUGCAAGUGUCUUUAUUGAAAAUGCUUGGAGUCAAUUGAGAGAACUCACGGCCAAUAACUUGUCACACGCUAGUCUUUGCUAGUGAUGUAAGAAGUCACAAGGUCUCUUCAGCAUUUGAACCAAUAAAAUUAUUAAGUCAUGGAUGUCACUAGCAAUGAUUUUAAUAUAAAACAUUAAAUAUUUCAGAGUUGUAACUUUAAAAUGGAUUCUUUUAUUCAAUAUCUUAGAACUAAGUUUCCGUAUGAGAAGAUAAUAGUUUCAGUAGUAAUUUACAUAUAAUUUUCUAUAUUUGAAUUAUUUUCUAGUUAGGGAUGAACUAACCUGAUCACGAAGAAUCCCAAGCAAAGUUUCCCUCUCAUUUUCCAUCAAAUCAUGUGAAGUGCCAAAUUGAAGAGCAGCUCUUGCAACGCAAGAAUUGUCACUUUGAUUCUCCGCUCCAUACUUGCAACAAUCUUCGGCCAACUUUCUCGCUACAAUAUUUGAAUGCAAAAAUAUUGUACACAAUAACUAGUCAAGAAAAUUAAAAAAAAAAAUUCAAAUAUUAUAACGAGAGCAAGAGCAAACAAACAACCUAUUUCCAUUUGUUUCAAGCUUACUGCAACAAACACUUCAACGCCACGGACAACAUUCCUCUGAAAAUGCUGCGCUACAGAGCAUAUAUUCCAAAUUAUUGUUCAGAUAAAACCAUACAAACCAUCAUAAUUAUUCAACAUACAUUAAGCUCCGUUUGGUAAAUACUUGCAACUUCAGUCUAGAAAAUACAGUUAAUUUUUAUUUAAAAAACAUCAUAAUUAUCAACAUACAUAUUUGACAAAAUUAUUAUUUAAAAAUCAUAACUAAUUACCAAAAGCCACAAUAAAUCAAUAUCAAACAGAGUCUUAUUAUUAGCUAAAGGAGGAUAGUACCUUAGCUGCCCUGGUGGAAUUGUAUAGAUUUUGAAGUUGUUGGUGACACUCAAUUUCAGCUUCAUCAACCGCAACAUUUUCAAUGCCAAGAUGGAGCAGAUGCUUCAAUACUGCCUGUACAAACCAUAAAAAACUAAUGAAAAAUAAAUAAAAUCGAGAAAUUUCACUAAUUAAAAGUCUAAAUAAUUUAAAAACAAAAAAAGAAAAGAAACGGACUUGCUGCUGCUUGGCGACUUGUUCUCGGAGCUUGAUUGCCUGCUUCUUGAUAGCUUCCAUACUGUUUCUUUCAAAAAGCGACAACGGCUCAGCUCGUGGAAGUUGGGAAAGAAAAAACAGUGUGAUCAAGAAAAAUAAAAAGGCGUGAAUAAUUUUUGACAAAAAGCGAAAAUCAAGGAAAGCCGGCUCUUUCCAGAAAAUAAAAAAGAAAAAAGAAAAAAGAAAAAAGAAAAUUAUAAGUUUGAAAGGAGAAGAUGAUAGUGGAAGUGUGCGGUGUGGCUGCCAGCUACUAGGAUUUUACUGUUGGGUAAGGUAAUAGUAGAGAUUUUUUUUUUUUUUUUGAAGAAAAAUAGUAGAGAAUUUUUUAAGAAACUAGAACAGAGCAUGACAUUAGACUUUUGUGGACCAAAUUCAAAAGCCGAAUGGCACGGCCCAGAAGCUUUUGAAUAGAAUAACUUGCAUCAGCCUCAAUCACUUCUUAAUAUGCAUAAGUGCAUAAGUGCAUAAGUGCGGUGUGGCUCCAUUUUUUGUCGGCUACAAUAAAAGUAGGUUGUUUUAUUCUUCUUAUACUUUACGCUUGCAUCAGCCUCAAUCACUUCUUAAUCGCUUGCUUUAACUGCAUCGCUCUCUCUGUGCUCUUCUAUAUAUGUAACAGUUACGCGGUUGUAGUUCACGGCUGAGGCUACGCGUUGGUUUGACGUGGCAGUUACGUUACAAGGGGAUAAAUAAGAUUGGUUGCAACAAACCCACUAAUUUUAUAAAAUUCGAGUAAUAUAAAAUAAAAUAAAAAAAUUAAUGCAAAAUUGACUUUUAUUUUUUAUGGUUGACUGUAUUUUGUGUUCUCUUCCGGCACUACUACAAUUGUUCCCUAUAUAUCAGUCACACCCAUAUAUCAUUAACACAAGAAAUGAAAUCUAAUGUCACCUAUUUAGUUAAAGAAUCACUCAUGAAAAAAUUUUACCAUUUUGCAUUGAGGAUCCAUAUUUUGAACUGCAAGCUAAUGUUCAUCAAGAAUCACUAAUGUUCAUAAAAAUCAUAGUAUGGCCGUUGAGUAGAAAAACUAUUUUUGGACAAAUUUUUUUUGUUGAUAGAAGAAUUUCUUAAGGGACUACUAAAAUUAUUAAUAAAAAUGUAGAACACACCCACAUAUCAUCAACACAAUUGACUUUGAGGAUCCAUGCUUUGAAUUGCCGCCUAAUGUUCAAGAACAGAGUAUGCCUUGUGAGUAGAAAAUUUUAUGAUUUUGGCCCAAAAUAAAAAGAAAUUAAAUUAGAUGAGAAUCUGCCACUUUCUCAUAAAGAAAGGCCUAUGGUUUUUCAAACUCUGAAGGGGCCAAUAUUCCCGAAUUCCCCCUUGAAAAUUCUGAUUACGACAUUAUUCAUCGCUUGACGCAAUCAAAGUAGCGACAAAGUUAAGAAAAAUUUGAGUCCUAAGUAAUUGCUAGGUAGGGUUCCUGAGAGCAAAAUUGUCCUAAGCAUUAUAUGCAUACAUGGUGUGGUACAUAGAGCACGUUGAAUUCCACACUAUAACACAAACCCAGAAAGACAAGUAAUAACUCAACUGAUAUAAAGACAAAAAGAAGAUAAAAUGAUAUAGAAAAAAGAAUUUCAAAGAGACAGCAACAUACGAUAGACUGAAGCCACUUGAUCUACUCAUUGAUUGCAGCCUUAAACUUACAAAUAGUUACUGUACGCUAAUGCUCUAAGAAGUGAAAAUGAUGCGAGCCCUUAUUCCCUUUUGACUUCCAUUUACUGUCAAACAUUCUAGUAAUACAAAAAAUUGUUUAGAUAUCUUGCUAUAAAUAUAGCCGUUUGACUGUCAUAAUAAAGUCACAAAUAACCAUUCAUAUUGAUCCACUAUCACACAGCAUGCUUUAUGCAUACAACAUCUGUAUGUAUACCAACUCCUAACCUUAUCAAUACAUUUGGCAAAAACUUAAGAAGAAAACUAUUUCUCCAUCUCUUUUUUGAAAUUUCACAAUAAACCUGCACAUGUGAAAGCUAUGUUCUAAUCUUAUGAUAAAUGCUCUAGACUCCAAAAGGACUUUAUAUAUGAGAGUUUGUUGCAGCAGAUAUAUUGACUUAUCAAGUAUGAAUCAUUGUCUGGAUGAACUAUCUUUAAAUAAAAGAACAUUAGAACCACUGUAGAAUAUCUUUACCCUGCUGGUUCUAACAGGAAUCUGCAUGUGGCAACAAUUGCUAGAUCCACAAUUCCCCAACUUGAAAUACAUAGUUGCACACCAUGAGAUAGUGCUACAAUCUACUGAGAUCUAACUUAUAUGAUACUUUAUGCUACUAAUGUUUGCAUAUUUCUACAUGUUAAAUUAACACUAUCAUCUAUAAUCACUCCAAAACGACAAAUGAUAAGCAGCUUUUGGCUACUUAUUACUAGCAUCCACAAUUAUAAAUAAGAGAUCAUGGGUUUACUUGUUGCACCUACUUAAUGAUCUGCAGUUGAGACCCUGACGCAAGGUUUAAAUAGUGACUGCUUAGAACCCUUGUAGUUGGAUCUUGACCUCUCCC
rnacentral:lncRNA from 1 species